rnacentral:lncRNA from 1 species
UAUAAUUGAGCUAGAAUACUUUUACAAGUAUCACCCCUUUGGUGCUAUUAGGUUUUUAGCCCUUGGAUCUACUCCUUGAUUACUAAUAGCCCUUGGAUCAAACACUAUUUCAUCUACCACCACCUACCACCAUCAUCCCAACCCUACAUUUCUCUAUCCAAGAGUUAAAAACUCACAAGCACCAUCCUUUUGAUGCUUUUAGAAGUAUUCUAGCUCAACUAUAUAUAUAUAUAUCCUCAAUAUUUGUUGUCACGUGGUAAGUUUUUCUUUACCCUCACUAGCAUGUGACUUUUCUUAUUUCCAUCACUAAAUUUUUAAUAUACAUUUUAACGGUCCAAUUAACCAAACUUUCAAUUAGUGCAUUUAAAUGGUCUCACUAUCUUUCCUCCACUAUACUUUCAAUUAAUAUAAAUGAUUUCACUACCAAACUUCCAAUUAGUAUAUUUAAAUGGUCCUACUACUAUCUACGAUCCUAAUCUCUCUAUGUCUAAUUAUUCAUCAUAUUCACUAAAUUUUCAAUAUGCAUUUUAACGGUCUCAUUAAUCAAACUUUCAAUUAAUGCAUUUAAAUGGUCUCACUACCUUCCCUCCACUACUUUCAAUUAAUGUAAAUGGUUCCACCACCAAACUUCUAAUUAGUAUAUUUAAAUAGUCCUACUACUAUCUAGUAUCCUAACCUCUAACCUCCAAUUAUUCUUCAUGACGUCAUGACCCCUUUUCCUCCUUCCAUCGAACUUUCAAUUCUUUAUCUCCGAUUUGUUCAUUAAUUCUUUAUUUAUCAUUUUUAGCUACACACUAUCGCCUCCUCCCCUGCCCCCCCCCUCGCCUUCUCUCUCUCUCUCUCUCUCUCUCUCUCAUGUGCACCCAAUUCUUUCUUCCGCCACGGUCGGAGAGAUCGUCGUUGCCGUCAUUAUCAACAUUGCAGGAAAAGGCAUCGUCGGGUUCAUAUCUACCGCCUACAAUGAGAUACAUUUAGUAGAUGUGCCAAAUGAGAUCCACAAAAAAAUAUUUAAUAUUUUAUUAUUAUUAAUUACUAUUAUGAUUUCUAUUCGCUGCAAAGCGCGGGUCUUUUUACUAUAGUGUAUAUAUAUAUAUAUAUAUAUAUAUAUAUAUAUAUAGAGAGAGAGAGAGAGAGAGAGAGAGAGAGAGAGUAGGGCUAUAGAAUACUUGUAAAAAUAUCAUGGGGUUAACUUUGUGUUAUUAGCACUUUUUUGGAAGAUGAGUUGAAAUAUGGUGGCGUUAGGUGGUGGAGGUGGAAUAGUUUUUUAAUCCAAGGACUAUUAAAUAAUCAAAAAUUAAUCUAAAUGCUUAAAACCUAAUAGCACUGUGAUGUGAUACUUGUAAAAGUAUCAUUAGCUCAAAACUCUUUCUCUCUCCUCUCUCUCCUAUCUAUAUAUAUAUAGUACACAUAUAUAUAUAUUUCUUCAAUAAGGUGUCCAAUCAAAAAGACGUUUGUGGGGAAAAAAAGCAGCCCACUGUCUAUCUGAAUCUCUGACAAUAAGCAGCAAAAGUAUAAUUACUAGUUAUCACUAAAUUUAAAUUUAGCAAGAGUGCUACAUAAUUCUGCCAAUUUGCAUAAAAAAAUUCACAUUAUUCUUGACUUUUGAAAAACCGGGCCACCUUUUUCGAUUUGCAAUCGCUAGCUUUUUCACAGUGCAAACGACCAAAAUAUCUCAUAUACUUUUUCGUCUUUCCUCUUUUCUCUCUCUCUCUCGUUUAUGUCGUUCUUAUUUUUUUCUGCGCCGAAUAAAUAGCGGAUCGAACCGUCGCCUCCCUCUCUCACGACCUCAUCCUCUUCACCCUUGCUCCUCACUCACCCCUUCCACCGCGCCCCGACCACCUCCUCCUCUCCCCCCGCCGCCGGCCUGACCACCCCACGAACCCGUUCGUCUCCGUCGCCGUCCGAGCCCACCAUGGCGGCGACGGCCCCAUUUGCCGCCGUCACCCGUCGUUCUCUCGUCGCCUGAGCCGCUCUCCGCCGCACGUCGCUCGUCAGCUGUCGUUGGCAGCGGCGGAUGAAGAGGCUUGCGGACAGUUCGCGCGGCGGCUGAGCGUAGCGACUCCGGAUUGGCGCGCGGUGUGCUCUGCCGGCACUGCCGUCACAGGCGUCCGCGUUCGCCUAACUACAUCUCGCCAUCGCGCAAGCCAGCCGGACCUCUGUCCAGCUGCUGCUAGAGUUCGCGCCGUUAACCGAUCCCCCCACUGAGCCCGGCGCGGCCGACCCCCCGGCCGCUUGAGCGUCGCGGCGGCGGGGGAGGCCUGAUCGCGGCUGCUCUUGGCGCGGGCCAAAGGCGUGCGGCCCGGUCGGCGGCGGAGUUGGUCCCGGUGCAACAAGCGCGUCGGCGCAGGCACGCUGCGGCUGCUCUUCUCUUCUUCAUAGUGUAAUGGUGCACCAUCUACACAUUAAUGGUAAAGGUGCAACCAUUAAUGUUAAUGGUGCAAUGGUGCACGCAUUACACAUUAAUGGGCGUGGCUGGCGACGGCAACGGAGAACGGUGACGCGACGAAGACUCACGGUGGGGUACGAGGCUCACAAGGGAGUACGAGGAGAGAUUGACGGUGACCGAGCGCGUCGCAAGGGGCGGUACUGGCUAUCGCGACCGGCUGACGCCGAUGAGCCGACGGUGGGCUGGCUCGCGCGGCGGCGGGGGAGAGAAGGGGCUCGUACAGCGGACUUCGCUGAAACGGGAACGAUCGGGAACUCUCGAGCCUGAGCUUGACGAGGAGCUUGCUCCGCCCCUGGGCACUUCGUGACCGACGCGCGGCGGUUUCGCAUUUGGAGGCUAGGUAGGACGCGGACUUUGCGGCUGCCUUGAGGAGGCGACGGGGAGUGAAAGGGGCUUUGAUGAGUGAAAGAAAGAGGAGAAGAGAAAAGGUAGCGAGACGACGGUAGGUGGCUCGGCGGCGGCUGGCGGGAAAGGAGGAGGGUUCGGCUUGCGGAGGCGGAGGAGGGGCUCGGCGGCGGGCUCGAAAAAAGAACGAAAAAAAAAUAUAUAAUAAGGGUAUUUUGGUCAGUUUACUGAAAAAACGGACCGAAUCUGCAAAAACGAAAAAAGUGAUCCAAUUUUGCAAAAGCCCAAAAUAAGUGGAUUUUUUAUGCAAAAAGGCCUAGAUUCUUCAAAGUGCUGGCCUAUUAAUUAAUUCACUUAACGUAAAUUAUGGUAUUAUAUGAAUAAAUAUGUCAACAUAUUAAGAACCAAUAGACAUUACUUUUUUCUUAAGGAUACCUGUUUAUUUUCCGUUAUUAUCCAUCGUGAGAUUUUUUUUUUUAAAUCAGCCUUUUUAAUAUCAAUUUUUCACUAUUUGUCUACAGUGAUGUGUUGACGACAACUUAGCAAAAUCGACAAAAACUUCAACUGAAUGGCGAUUUGCAUCAAAAAGACUGUUUAUGUUGUUUUCUCCUGCUAACUUUUUAGAGUUAGCUGAUAGAUAAGGACACUAAUGUUCAAAGAGGUGUAAGAUAUAAACUGGCGCUAAAAUAUUAAUUAUUACUUGUAUAGAAAUAAUAUUUAGUGUCCACUUUUUUUCGUUAGAUGCCUUGAGUUUACUAUACGGUAGUUAUAGAUUCAAGAGCUAAAGAGUUAAUAGUAAAUAUUAUGUAUCUACUAUAAAUAGUAUUCUACCUAGACUUGUGAGAUAUAUAUAUAUUCUUUUUUCUGUAUAAAUUACAAAGCCAAGUCCUUUCUUAGCAGUUUGGUGCAGUCUCUCUCUUUGCAUGAGGCCUUAAGUUAGAUUAUUUGUAGUACUAGCUAGCCAGUUUCAGUAAUCUUUGAUGCUCUUUUUGAGACACUCUGAACACUGCUUAGUUCGGUAAGAUCUUUCAUUUAACUAAUUAACAUAACUUACAUUGCAAUAAAUAGAAAAUGAGAAAGAAAUAGGGGGAAAAGAGAAAGGUUCAGAGCCUAUUUCAAAGUGGCCUAUAAAUAAAUCUAUAAUAAUUGAGAGGUCCCCAAACGCUCUGAUGCUGCACGCUUUACCUCAUAGAAUUGAUCAAAAGGAAAAAAAAAAGAAAAAAAGAAAAAAAAAAAAANAUAAAUCUAUAAUAAUUGAGAGGUCCCCAAACGCUCUGAUGCUGCACGCUUUACCUCAUAGAAUUGAUCAAAAGGAAAAAAAAAAGAAAAAAAAAAAAAAAAAAAAAAAAGAAAGAAAAUUAAAAAGAAAAAAAAAGUACCAAGUGUCCAACACUUUUUUAGGAAUCUCCAUUCAAAGGAAAUACAUGCACUUCAUUUUUUUUUUAAAAAAAAGAAAGAUAAAAAGAAAAACUAACCUUCUAAUUAAGAGGCCGUGAUUAGAUAAAUUACACACAAUACAUUGCAAAAAGAUAGAAAAUGAGAUCCAUAAUAGUAGUCUCUAUACAUACACAUAAAUUACCAUAGCUAGAUAGAUAGAUAGAUAGAUAGAUAGAUAUAUAUAUAUAUACACAUGCAUCAAUUAAUAAACCUUCUUAGAGAAAAUGGUUCUUAGAUUAAACAUACUCCCAUUCCCUCCACCACCAUCACCACCACCACCGCCACCGCCACCGCCGCCACUAUCACCGCCAUCACUGCCGCUACUAGUGUUGCCGCUCCUCCGACCACUGCCUCCGGCCCGGCACCCCGCCGGGUUCGGGUACCCGAUGCAGGUGUUCACGUUCAAAUUUAGCACCCGAACUCCGCCCCCGCCACCGCCUCCCGAUCCUUUCUUGCUGCUGCUGCUGCUGCUGUCGGCACCGUUUUCAUCGCCGCCGCGAAUAUUUGAUUUCUCUAAUUCUUGGCUGCUCUUGCUCUUGCUCUUUUUCCGCAGCUGCCAUAUCGUCACCGGGCCGGUCCGGCCGAGGUGGAUGCCGCCGUUGGGCCCGACGCGGCUCACGCGUGGGGCCCACCUUCUUAGGUUUGUGGUGGCGGUGGCGGUGGCGGUGGCGGUGGCAGCAGGCGGCUUGGCGGAGGACUCUCCGCAGGAGCGGCUGCGUGAAAAGGGCCAGAUGUUGAUGUUUAUCAGCUCCGCGUGGCUGCCGGCACUUCCCCUCCUCAUCUCCUUACCGCUGCUGCUGCUAUUAUUAUUAUUAGUAGUAGUAGUAGUAGUAUUACUAGUAUUGCUAGUAUUGCUGCUGCUGCUGUUAGUGGUGCUGCCGCUGCUGUUUCUUCUUUCUCUCUCCUCGAGCUUUCGCUCUCUGGCGAGCUUGAAUAGCUCUCUCCAGAUGCUGUAAGAGGCGAUCGGGGGAGGGGAGGAAGGGGGAGGAGGGGAGACGAAGUGUGGUGGGUGUUGUUGCGGAUUCGGUGGUGGUGGUGGUGGUGGUGGUGGUGGUUCUUCUUGUUUUGCUUCUCCUCCUCCUCCUCCUCCUUCUUCUCCUUCCUCCUCGUCUUCUUGUUCAUGGUGUUGUUGGGAUGCGUUUGUGUUGUCGGUGGUGGCGGUGGUGGUGGGGUUGGGUUGGGAGGGGAGGGAGAGGAGGUGGAGGGGGAGGAGGACGCCGUCGACGAAGAGCUCGUCGGCGGUGAGGAACGAAGGGAAAAAUGAGGAGGAGGAGAGGUCGGCGGCGGCGGCGGCGUUAUUAUUAGUAGAAGUAGUACUAGUACUGCUGUUGCCCACCAUCGACCAGAAUUCGAAGUCGGCGGAGGCGACGCAGUCGCUGCCGCUUUUCCGAGGGGAGCACUGUUCCUCUUCUUCUUCUUCUGGUGAUGUUAUUAACUCCAUUUCUUCUUCUUCUUCUUCUUUUUUCCCUCUUCUUCUUCUUCUUCUUUCUGGAGAGAUAGAUAGAGAGAGAGAGAGGAAGUGGAGAGAUGAGGGAGAAAGAGGGGUUGAAUAGGGAACUAAGGUCCCGUUUGGUUCGGGUAUAAGCAAGAACUAGCUAUUAUAGGGAUAGGUACAAGUAUGGGGAUAAGAAAAAUAGCGUUUGGAUGAAAAUUGGGUUGUUCCCGAGGAUAAGAAAAAUAUUAGAAAGUUUUAUAUAGAAAAUAGAGGUGUUGGUGGGGAUAACCGAGAACUACUAUUCUCGGGUAAAAAAUUAGCGUUUGGGUAUAAAGGGAGGGAUAAGGGCCUAUCCCUAUCCCUAUUCCCAAACCAAACGGUGCCUAAGGGUUGAAUAGGGAACUAACUGGGAGGAGGUGAUGACUCCUCCAAUACGGGGUAGGAGGGAAAUUAAGAAACAAGGGAGAGAGAGAGAGAGAGAGAGAGAGAGAGAGAAAAAGAAAGGGAUGGAUGAGAAGAGGAGCUAUAAAGUUAUUGCAUGUGGAUGGAUGGAUCAUGGAUGGAUCAGUGGAUGCAGUUGUAGAGAGAGGAGGGGAGGGGAGGGGAGGGGGAGUUAUCUUUAGAGAGAGACGUGGAAUUAUUGCCUGCGCCUGGUGCUUCCGUAGGCCCGUCUCAUACUCUCAUGCAUGUGCUGCAUCAAUCAUCCACAGUUUCAAAACUAAAGACUCUCUCUCUCUCUCUCUCUCUAUAUAUAUAUAUAUAUAUAUAUAUUAAAAAUAAAAGUAUUAAGCAAAUCCAAAAUUAAAAUUUUUGACAAUUUAUUAUAUACUUAAAAGAAUUAAGCAAUCCAAAAGCACAACCCUAGGGAAAGGAACAUAUAAAAUAAUAAUUCUAAGUUACAAGAACUCCCCAUUCAAAAUGUAUGAAUUCUGGCAUGUAAGUUUUUCGCAUAUAAUAAAAGCACAUUUAUUGAAUACGGUUCUGAUUUUAAGGCCCCUUUAGCAGUGCGUUGCAUGAGAUGUUCUCAUACGCCGAGUACAUGCAACAGUUUACACGCAGAGAGAGAGAGAGAGAGAGAGAGAGAGAGAGAGAGAGGGAUGGAUCAGUGGCCUUGGUACCAUGUUGUGUUGUGGGGACUGUCCCCGCUGUUUUCUGUGUCUGCUGCUGAUAAUUAUUUAGGAAGUCUUAUAGUGAUCUGCUGCAGGGCAGAGUGCAGUCACUGUAACUUAAUAUGCGAAAAUUACUACCUGGACAUGACCCACCACGUCAAUGUUUCACCCCUAGUUUUAAAGAAUGGAUGAGAGAGUUAGGUGGCUACGGACCGGGUCCAGUCACUCACAUCUCACAACUCCUCAGCGUUCAAAUUCAUAGUAAUCCAAGUCGAGUUUUCAAUGUCCUAACAGGGCAGCUUCAAAUCCAAAAAAAAAAAAAAAAAAAAAAAAAAAAAAAAAAAAAACUCUAAAGAUAAUAAUUAGUAAAACUCCAAAAGCUGUCCAAGCGUAAGAAAUUUGCAUAUUCUCAACAACCAAAAAGCCUUUCUGUUUACUACAUCAACUCCGUAGAAUAAUUACUGAGUUGGUAUCCGAGGUUGUAAAUUCGAAUCUUAGUUGAUUCACAUUCGCAGCUAAAUUUAUUUCUAAAUGAAAUAAACGAAACGAAUAGCAUGUUACCUUAUUUCUGGAAAAAAAAAAUUUCUCCAAAGCCUCCGUUUGGUUCGGGGUUAAGAAAAAAGCAGCUAUUCCAGGGAUAGAGUUAAGUUCAGGAUUAAAGUGGAGUUAAAGUUUUUUUUUUGUUUGGUUGGGAGUUAGAGUUAGUCUAGAAUAAUAAAAAAUAAUGUUUGGUUGGGUAUGUGGGAUAAGAAUAUAAUGAUUGAUAAAAAAGGAUAAUGAUUGGUUGGAGUAUGUGUGAUAAGAAAGAUAGUGAGUUAUUAUGAAUAAAAAAUAGUGUUUGGUUGGAGUUUGGUGGGGUUAGAUGGGAUUAGCUAACCCCACUUAUUUUUUAGAAUGUUUGGAAAUAAAAUGAGGGUUAAAGAAUUAUUCCACCCUUUAACUCCCAACCAAACAAAGACAAGGGUCUCAUCAGAUAUUUAUACACUUAUUUAAGGUUUUUUUUUUUUUUGUCUGAAGAGGGUUAUUAUUAUUCACCAUGUGAGUGACUAGGGCAGGUAUUUAAUUGGUUGGGCGGCACAUUGAAAAACACCCAUAGUUAAUUCUUCGCGGUUGUUUAUUUUAAUUUUUUUUAUAGCAAUUUAUGAUGAUAGUACGUCUUUAUAUACGAAUCCAAGGAAAAAAGAGAAAGAAAAAAAAAAAGAGAAAACUAAAAUGCAACGACCACAUUGCUGAUGUGAUGUCCUUUAACCCAUCAAAAUACUCCCUUUGGAUUCACCUAAUCCAUCUUGAUUUUUUAAAAAUACUCCAUUAUAAUUUUUCUCUCAAAAAAGAGACAUAAUUGGUUAAUUACAGAAGAUGUAAUGUAGCUACGGCAUGGUAGAUUUCCUCGUGGACCUAAGAUUACUCUUUUGCCCGGGAAAUUUUUGUUAUUGGUUCAUACCCUGUAUCGAUAAAAGGUCCUUGAAUCAGCACUCCGGAUGGAUGUUGAAACUCUUAUUAAAAAAAAAAAAAAAAAAAAAAAAGCCCACAUCCGGUUUCAAUAGCAUAUUCAGGCAUCAAAUGAAUCAAAUCAGCUGCUUUUAACCGUGCAUUAGUAUAAUUUCCACGCAUAAGAAAAAUCAACCAUAAUUACAUACGUUUGUGUGAGAUUACAGAGGGGUGUUUAUUUUAGGCUAAAUUAUAAAAAAUCUCUGUCAAUACCUGAUUUUGUACUUUUCUCUCUAUCAUUCAAAAACCUACACUUUACCUUCUUAAAAAAAUAAAAAAUAUUCACCUUGAUCCCCGCUAUCAGUGUUUCGUUAAAGUUUCGUUUAUAUUUUAUUUUUUAUAUCCAAAGUACUUCUGAAACCCUCAUCUUUCCUCACCAACCCCGGCCGCUUCUCGCCCUCGCCCACCUUUUUGUCCAUGCCUACACACACGCUCUUGCCCACCCCUUUGUCCAUGCCCACACACACGCCCUUGCCCUCCUCCACCGUCUCACCCUCGCCCACCUCUCCAUUUAUACCCACUCGGAUCUUUCUUCCUACUGUCGUCGAAAUGAAGGAAUGACGAGGAUGCUAGAGGAGCGGAGGAGCAGAUGAAAAAAAUAGAGUCGAAGUUGGGGUUGAGAAAGACGCGAUGAAUGGUAGAGAGGCUGCGGCUGAAAAGAAGAGGCUUCGCAUUAGGAAAAAGACGAAGAGAAUGAAGAGCAAUUUGAUCAUUUUAUCACAGCGUAUUUUCUAUAAAUAUUUUUUAUUUUUUAAGAAAGUAAAGUAUAGAUUUUUGAAUGACAGUGAAGAAAAAUAAAAAAAACAAAUAUUGACCGAAAGUUUUAUGUAAUUUAUCCUUUAUUUUAUGAUCUUAAAACUUCGGAAAAGAAGCAUCACCUUCAUUGAGCAACUACGUGAUGCACCACAUGCAGUGAUGUAGACGCACCCCGUACCCGGCCCACCCAAAUUCAUGGGAAGCAUCCAGCACAACGGAGACAAGGGAUACAGUUAUAGCAUCCCAACAGCCUAUCACGUACCGCCGCAUCGGAUGAUGGUCCGCCAACUAAUUUCCGAUAUGAGCUAUCUUCUUUGUGGGGAAUAUGCUUCCUGUCCAGCUCUAUUCAUCCUAAAACCCUAAAAUCCAGAACACAAACACACGCGCACGCAUGCGCGCGCGCGCACACAUGUAUGCACACAAGCGUGAUAUCCCACCAGAAAAAGGGACAAAGAGCAAGAGGAACUGCUGCAAAAUGAGAAGUGCAUAUGCUCUUCUUCGUUGCGGAUCCCCAUUGAGAUUGAUAUUAACACAGGUAAUGAUAUUAACAAAACAAAACUUUACAAUCGAUGGACCAGAUACAUUGAAUGCAGUAAAGUCCACUCACCGAAUAGUGACUAGGUUGAUUGUGCCUGAUCGGCCAACUGCUCUCUCAAUAUCAUCACCUCCCAAAAAACAGUAUGUCGUUAAGGAUUUCGACAUCUCAGAUUCCCAAGUUUCAGGAAUUUAAGCCGGACGAGCUUUCUGCUUCCGACUGCAAUGUUUAAAGAUAACAAGCACGAGAGAUUCUGCAUUCACAAGGGAAUUGAAAAGGAAUUGAAUAUAGAAUGAGGCAGAAUGAAAUUCUGAACAAGUAAAAGAACAUUCUAUGUUGCAUAACUAAAGAGAUGAUAGAGUAUUUCCAAUGAUAUCUGCAGGAGGGUAAUUAAAAAAGACUUAACGGACAGAUCAACUCAAAAGAAAAUAAAAGAGAAGCUUCCAUUAGUCCGGAAUCAGCUUAGAAGAAGUUAAUAUAGUGAUUUCCAGAAGAUGGUUGGUGAAAUCUAACCUCAAAUUUACUAAGCACUGAUAUAGCUUUUUCAUUUUUUUUAAAAUUCCUUUACAAAGAUCAUAACUACAAAAGCGAGUGCUACCUAACUGAUUCAAUGAUUCUAAUGUAACUGCUUGGGAAGCCAAAUCAAAUGGUCUUUCAGCCGCCUGACUUACACACAUAUCCAUCAAACUAAAAAAAUCAGCAAGUUACCAAUUUACGGUGCUUGUGUAUGCCAACCACAAAAGUAGAGAGCAAGAAAGGAGUAACUGAAGACUGCAGAUUUGGACUCUAAUUCAAAUAUAAUGGAAAAACUAAUUGCAGCCCCCACCAAUUGAGAUAUAUAAAAUGGCACCUAACCCCAAUGAUUUUAAACAUGCGGUCAGAGAGAGAGAGAGAGAGAGAGAGAGAGAGAGAUGAGAUUUUAAAUCCACUAUUCUCACUCUUGUAACAUGACAAGAAGAACAUUAACUUACAUCUAAAAGUUAAAUCCAAUAAGCACUCAAUUACAAGCAAAAAGGAAUGGAUGUGUGAGAGGACUCUUUCAUUAGUGUGUUUCUAAUUCUACAACACACACACACACACACACACAGAGCAUGAAGCAUUGAGGGGGCAUUUAGUCUUUCUCUUUCUACCCUUUUUCCUGUCGGAAUCGCCGACGGGAAACAGAUGCUAGGAAAGAUUAUUAUUGUGUGUUCACAAAGAUUUCAAAAUAUAGCCCAUUAGGAUUCCGAGCAACACGACCGCCAACAUGAACGUGAAGGAGAAACCUCCGUGUUGUUUACCGACCUCUCGCCUCAAAAGCUCCUGCACGCAUUUGGCUUUUAAGUAAAUGAGACUGUAAAUGCAAGGGAAGUGAUACUUUCAUGCUACAUAAGUACACAUAUAUUUUCAACAAUCACGGAAAACAAAGUUACCCGAGCUACAAUAUGCGGUUUUGCUUUACAUCCCAUGACAAAUUAAAGAAACCUGAAUUGGAAGACGUGCAACCACAUAGCUGUCUUUGCUAAAAUGUAAAUGCUUGGAGGAUUGACAUUAGUCGCAGAAAUGGCCCUUAAAGAGUAAGUUCUAGCAGUGGUGUUUACUUCAAUUUAUAGCCUCAUUAAGGCGGCAACAAUAAUUUCUUCAUUAAUACUGCAUUGAGUCGGAAGCUGAAACCUCUAAUUCUAAAACCUCUAAUUCUAAGAACUAUAAGCGAAAUUUGUAAGAAAAAACUUCAGAUGUUUGGAAUGGCCAGGAAUGAGUUAUGCAUCCAGCGACACUUACUGUCUAUGGUUGAUUAUCUAGCCAUCCAAUAAUGCCAGAAAGAAGCCUCUCCAGCAGAAGAAUUUAGUCAUAUAUUUAAUAUCAAGCAUAACAUAAACAAUGCGCGAUACAGUUAUCAUUUGUAGGAUGGCCUUUCCUUACAAAUACUUGUAUUGGUUGUCGAAAGGGGGUUACCAAGGGGUACAUAGUUCUACAUAGAUGCGGAGGAGGAUCGUAUGGAAUAAGUGUACGUUCAACUAGGAGAUCAAAUCAAAUGAAAUACAAAGAAGAUAAAUUGCAGCAACAUAUAUGCGCCCAGUAUGCUGAAAGGAAAUCGAUUGCAGGAAACCAGAUAAUUGACGCCGUUGAGAUGGUGAAAAUAUGUUGCAGAUAGACUGGUACGUCAUUAUACAGCAUACGAGAUCUACUUAUCAAAUAAGAGUUAAAAUAGGUUAGAAAAGAACGAAAGCACACGAUCGAGCUAGCCCUAGCUUGCUCGUGUUCGGCGCGUUGAUAGCUCUAACUGUAUAUAGCAUGAUGUGAUAUAUCUGCUACACAGAAAACUUUCUCCUCCAACAUACCCUUAAUUUUUUAAUUUUCUUCCAACUUAAUUUUCACAUAGUAGAAGAUCGAACUGACAAUCUAAUUUACUGUUCUUGAGCCAGCUCAUAUUCGGCAAGCACAGCACAAUUUUGAAUUUUCAGCUCGAUACUUUAACGAGCUAGCUCGUGCUAGGCUCUUAAUGAAUGAGUACACACGAGCUGGCCCUAGCUCGCUCGUGUUCGGCUCGUCGACAUCUCUAACUGCGUAGUCCGAUCCUACGUGGCGCCUCUACAUUUGUUUCAUUCAUCCGAGCCUAUCUCCCUCCCUCUUCUCCCACCGAGCCUCUCUCCUUCCCUCCACUGCGAGCUGGCCCUCUCUCUUCACACCCUCUCUCUCUCUCUCUCUCUCUCCCCUCCCUUUCUCUCUCUACCUCCCUCUCCUACACUCUCUCUCUCCACACCCAUCCCUCCUCUUUCCCUCUCUACUCGGUCUCUCUCACUUCCCCACUCUCUAGAUCCCCUCUCACCCCUCUCCUCGGGGGUGCGGGCGCGGGGCUUGAGCGAGGGCGGGCGCUGGCGCGAGCAGGAGGCCGAGCGGGAGGGCGUUAGUUUUUGAGCCUCUAAUGGGUUUGGUUCAAGCACUAGACCCCAAGUUACUAUAUAUGGUAGGUUUAACAGUCCCAAGUUGGGAUGGUCCACUGGUAUUUUUUAAAGGAGAACAUGACCUGUUUGAUUCCCUCUUAACUAGCCCCUACAUGACUUCGGGACCUGCUAGGUGUUUCUAGGUCCAUAAUAUAGUACAGGAAGAAAAAAACACCUACAGGAUAAAGUCAAUCCAGCAUUAUAUUGGCUGCUCUAAAUACUUAGUUGCAUUUGUUUGCAAGCAUCUGGACCCAAAAAUAUUUAUGCAGUGAGGAAAUCCAAGGACAAUUCCACAGAUUAUAUCCUCUCCACAGUAGUUUCCACAACAAAGAUUAGAUUGCUGGAGAAUUCCCGCAGCAGUGAACCGCAGAAGCUACGGUAAAUAAGAUUUGACUCUAUUAACAUAUGAACUCAGUUUAGGGACAAGACCGACCAGACACGGGCACCUAUAACACCCAAAAACCUGCUCGACCAAAUCAAAAUCUAACUCAAGUAAAAGCUGAUCAUCUUCUAGAUCAACAAGGGUUGCAACAAAUUGGUUGAUUCUGGAUUUUUAGACAUCCUGCAGAUCUGGACUUAAUCGUAAAUGUGAUGAGCUAAAGCAGGAGUGAGAUCAUUAACUAUAAUUGUACGACCACUAAAUACCUUUGAGUAGAAUCUUGAAGACAUCAAUAAGAGAAUUAAUAUAAUCACAUAAACAAAUUUUCAUAGUUUCAAACAAUCUAAUAAAAGCUCCAGAGGAGUAAAUUUCCUAUUUCAUAAGCCUCUUUUCUUUAAGUGGUUCCUUGGUAUCUGAAGAAACAAAUAUAAUACUAGUUGAACUGAAGCAGAAAGUUACCAAGUGAUUUCUAGAGGAAAAUAUGAAUAAUCAGCAAUGCAAAGACAAAAAUCAUUUUAUCCACAGUAAAUUGUACUUUAUAUCCAUACAAUACAACAGUAUACUGCAAUGUUAAAUUGAAUGGAUAUGAAUACAUACCGUAACUCAUGGAGGUCCAUCCUGAUAUUAUGAAUCAGUAGUCUUUCCUUCACAAUAGUCAUUAAGCUCACAAUCUUUAUCAGAAGCUAUACGCUGCAUAGCAAAUAAGAACAUAGAAAGCAUGCAAGAUCAAUGUUCUAACAUACAAGAAAAAAAAAACCCAGCGUUUGCAAUGAAGAGGAUAUACUUCAGGCAAUCAUAGCAGACAAAAGACUUGCUCCCAUCCAUUUAUAGGAAUUAAAAGAGUAAACAAAAAUAUAGGAUAAGAAACAUGAAUUAUUAGAAAAUGUAGAAUUUACCAUUCUUUUGCUGAUAUAUGGUUGUAUCUUGAAUGAUACUUCAGAUGCUACUUCAGGGUGAUUUUUGUCCCCAUUGAGCUUAUGCUUCUCCUUCUCAAACUCUCUUUUGGAUUCCCUUCUAGUGCCAGAUUGCCAAACUCGACCAAAAUUUGGGAGCCAAUUAGCAUCACAAAUAUUUGCAGCAAUUUCGCCUCUCUUCUCCCUUUCUAUUUCAGCUCUUCUUUUUUCUGCCCAUGCAGCUCCUACACGUUUAGGGUUCAAUUUCCGCUUCCCUUUCUGGGCAGAGGCUGAAGAAGAGCUCUUGAGGCAUGUUACUCCAUUCACUAAGUUUCUCUCAUUUUCUUCACUUGCAUCUAACCAGGGAGGCAAAGCACCACUAUGCACAUUUUCUUUCAAGCCUUCAGAAGGCAAUGCUAUUGGAGUCAAACCUUUCACAACUAAAACAGAAUUCAUUCAUCAGUUGCAACUGCAAUACUGCAAGAAUAUAUCCUGCUAAGAAAUAGGAAAACUGGAAAUCUAAAUAAAGAUUGUGAAGAAAUCAAUACCAGCACUAAAGUCACCCCUAGAAUCACUGCUUUGAUCCUGUAUAAAACAAUAAGUUCAUUUGCUUGUAACAUUCAAAGGAAGAAGCUCAUAUCAUACACCUCAAAAUUAUCGUAUCAGACCAGAAAAGCAUCAAAACUAUUAAAAGUAAAGCUGUAGAAUCAAUAUGUCAGUAGAUUUUUUCCUUUUUUAGGGAUAAGAUAUCUUAUGUUAAAGGCAAGCUUCUAUUAACAAUAUAAGAUCUCCUGAAGUAUAUACUGCCAUCUAUAACGUGAACUAAAUCAAACAUGAACAGGAUAGAACAAUCAAAAAUCAUAUCUAGAAUUAGUUCCCAAAGAAUCAGCUUUUGCUUAUCGACUAGAAAAGCUACUCUAGUAGUUGGAUCAAACAGGCAGUAAGUAUAAUCCAAAUUUAACGCUCUCCAUAGAAUGACUUCUCUUAUGCCAUUUGCAUAUGAGACUUGAGAUCACAUGCCUAUUUUAUUCUCCAACAUUACCAUUCCAUCUUAGUGAGUUCUCAAAUUAUAGAGCCCCUCAUAAUUGCCAAAGAAAGGUUUUCCAAUCCUAAAUAGAAGACAGACAACUUCCAUAUCCUUUACAUCUAAAUGUACUAUUUAUCACCCAAAAAAAGAGGAGAAAGUUGAACUUAAAGUGGAACAAUCAUGUCAAAUCCACAGGUGACUUCGUGAAUACAAUCUCAAUAAGCACAUACAAAAGGAUAUUUUAUACAUUUUACAAAACAAGAAUAUUUACCAUUCCUCUUCUUGCAGACCAACCAAAUGAUGCUUUACCAUUAUUAUUGCAAAGACUAGCAGGUUGGUUACCUGAGACAUAAUACCAAACAUGAAAAGUUAACAUCAAAUGAUGAAAUUAUUGGAAAGUUAACAUGAAAAGAGAAGUUAAGAUGUUGAAUACUAAACAAUCAUCACAAGAACAUAAAUAAUUUGCACUCACUUUGGUAACUUCCAGCCCAACUUUGCGAAGCAUGUGUAUACUGGAGACUGCUAUAUUCCUGUACGCUAGCUGUGAAAGGAGCAAAGUAGGGAACUUGUCCAGUAUUCGAAGUUCCACUAAACUCCUCAUUGGUAAGACUUUGUAAAGGCAUAACACAAUGAGAAACAUUUGAACUAAAUGACUGGAUAUAACUUUGUGCAUAAGUAUCCAUAUUGUUAGAGGUAAGUUCAUUUUGGAUAUCUAUUGACUUUGAUGGCCCCGGCGAUGGUCCAAUUGGUCCUUCACUUAGUGUCUGAGCUGCACUCUUUAAUGCUUCACAGCCUUUCUCCCACUGCAGUUCCAUAAUCAUCACCACAUAAUUAAUAUACUCAAAAUAAAUUUAAUUUCUUCAAAUUAGGGAAAACUCCAACACAAAUCUAGCCACUUAACUCGCUGACUUUGUCAAAUAAUUAUCAUGAUUAUACAAAAAAGAAACAAUUUCACUUAAAAUCCUUCUUAAACAAUGAUAUAUGUCUGAAAAAGAAUAUAAGAAAGUAUAUGCACAUAACCCAUAAAAAAAACUCAGCAUUGAGGAAACUAUUUCCAUGAACUACAUGAAGUCACAAUAGUGUCCUUAGAAAACAAACUAACUUUACAGUCAUCGAGUAUCUAAUUAGCAUCCAUUAUGAGCUAGUUUCACUUACUUUACGGUCAUAGAGUAAAGUUACUUAACAAGCAUUAAAUUUACUUGAUGCAAAUAAACACCAAGAUCAAGCUAGCUUCUUCUUUAGAAAUUUCAGAGGCCAAAAAUCAUUAAAAAAAUUACUUCAAAUUGAAUCAUGUGCUCACCUUGAGCAGCUCCACUUCCGAAACCCUAAACGAAUCAACCCGAUCCAUCCCUCCCCCAUGCUUCUGCAGGAAAUCCCUCACGUUCCUCAGAUGUUCCUCGCUUGCCAGAUGAUGGAUCGCGUUGCUACUGCGGAUAACCAACCACAACAACCAAAACGACGAAACACUAGAAACCCUCAUCAAACACGGAAUCUCACAAAACCCUAAAUCCAGGAGCAUCGAGAAGUGGGGAGGCGUACCAUGCGAAGGCGCUGCCGAGCUCGCGGAGGUCGAGGGCGCAGAAGGGGCACUAGAGGCGGUUGAUGUGCGCUUGCUUCGAGCAGAGAGGGGACGGAUGGCGGAGGAAGAAGCGGAGGUCGGAGAGCUUGGCACGGAAGCGGGAGAGGAGGGCGGAGACGGCGCGGAGGUGCGAGGGGAAGUACCUGUGGCGGCGCCCAUGUGCGUGGUUCACCCUGCACACCUCGCACAGCUCGAAGGAUCCCUCCUCCGACGAUCGCUUCGCACCCUUCUCCGCCAUUGUCGACGAUGGAGAGAAAGAAAGGGGUUAGGUAGAAAACGCGGAACGGAGGAGGAGGAGGGGGAGACGGGAACCCUUCCCCGUCUCCUUGUUUAGUAUAUAUGUAGGCCCGCGCUGCUGCGAAAAAUUUAUGUAAUAUUUAAAAUUUAAAUUUUUAAUCUUUAUUUUUAUUCUAAAAUUUAAAAUUUAUAAUUUAAAAAUUCUAAAAUUUUUCUGUUUUAAAUUUUAAUUUUCAAAAUUCAAUAUUUUACUGCCCACGGAUCAAAAAAUUUAAACUUUAAUGUAAAAUCAAAAAAUUUAAAUUUUAAAUUUAAUUUUUAUUAUUUGUAUGUGAUCUAAAAUCAUACAAAAUAAAAAAAAAGGUUAGAAAAGAGAAAAAAAAAAAGGAAAAUGAAACAUAGAGAAGAUGCUGGAGAAAAUAAUAAAAAUAAAGUGACUGCAAAGCUACCAGUGAAGAUCAUGGCCGUGGGAUGCGGAUUUAGCGGCGAUGAUGAUGAAGUUGGAGUUGAUCUUGCUAUCUCCGCCAUGUUUUUAGCGAUCUGAGCUCUCUUUCUCUCUCUAGGUCGAUGUUAGAGAGAGACGCCGCAAAGUCAAUAGAUUUCGUUUUCUCACAGAUGGUUGUAAACUCCACCUCUCUUUCUCUCUCUCUGUGUGUGAGUUGUGUUAAGUGGUCAAUAUUAUAAAACUAAAAUUUAUGUUUAAUACAUAUAACCUACACUAUUUAAAAAUUAUAUGUAAAACAUUUUAUACUUUAAAUUUUUAUGAUGAAAGAGAGUAGAAUUAGAUUGNGGAAAAAAAAAGUAAAAAAAACAUAGAGAAGAUGCUGGAGAAAAGUAUAUACAAAACACAUAUAAAGUUGGCCCGGUCCAGCACAAAUACCGCCCAAUUCGCUCGAGCCAGCGUCCGCGCCGGCUCGCCCCACGCCGGCGACCACCCGCACCUCUCGACUCCGCCUCUCGGCUCUAGCGCCGGCGCCGUCCGCGCCAGAACCGAAGUUCGCCCCCGCACCCGCAGCAGCGCGAGCCCGCGCCCGCGCCUCCGCCUCCCGCUACCGCCCGCCCGCGGCUCCGCCUCCUGUUGCCGAGCGCUCGCGCCGCCCGCUCGCUCUGGGGAGAGGGGGCGAAAGAGAGAGAGAAGGGGGGAGGAAAAGAGGGGGAGAGAGAGAGGCGUUGAGAGAGAGAGAGAGAGACGUUGAGAGAGUGAGAGACAGAGAGGCGGUGAGAGAGGGAGAGAGAAAGAGAGAGCGCGGCGGUUCGAGAGGGAGAGAGAGAGAGGAGAGAGAGAGAGGCGAGAGAGAGAGAGAGAGCGGCGCUUUGGACGGGUGGGGGAAGGGAGUCAUCCGAUGAAAAAAUGGGCGGCGCAGAUUGAUCCAUGUUGAAAGGUUGGCUUUGGAGUUUGGAGGGACAAUAAGAGCCUGUCACGUGGCAGAAUAGAAGUCCCAAAUAGAUAAAUUAUAUAGAUAAUAUAGAUAAUAAUAAUAUACGUAUACAUAUACAUAUAUGUAUAUGUAUAUAUUAUAGAGCGCUCCUCUUAAAGCACGUGGCGUUUGCACGACUCCCAAAGCACUAGGUGCUAAGUAGGCCGGGAUGUUGGCCGGGCUCAAUUGAUUCGUUAAAAUUGGGCCGGGUUGGCCCGGGACGGGCCAGAUUUAGUAUUUUGCUGGUUUUUCUCGUACGUCAACUUUAGUGGGAGUUCUUUUACAAUUUUAAAUUUUAAUAAACCAGUACAUUGAACAUUGGAUUUUACAAAUAAAAAAAAAAAACCCCUUUACUCCGCAAAAGCUGAGGUUACAUAUGGUUGAUAAUAAAUUGAAUUUCUAGUUAUUUGAUUUAUCUUCUUUUUUUUUUCGAAUAAGUAGUAUUGUUCAUUUUUAGCGGUAAUUUGAUGGAGAAGUUUCGAAGUUAAAAAAUAUACAUACAUUAUACAUACAGAUAUAUAUUGUAAGUAGGUGUGACAAUAUAUGACGAGACCGACGGUCUCUGGAGCAAGUGGCAAAGGGUUUGGUGGUUGGUAUCUGAGGUCUCAAGUUCGAAUCCUAGUUAAUUCACAUUUCCAGCUAAAUUUAUUUCUAAAUAAAAUAAAUGAAGCGGAUAGCGUACUCUCUAUCUCUUAAAAAAAAAAAAAAAAAACAAUAUAUGACGAGAUCUGAUAAAUAAACAAAUUUCGAUAUAAAAUCUGGUCUUGAAAAUCGGGUCCGAACAAAUUACUUGGUCCGAAUCAAAUUUGGGUUCAGGUCCGAGCGCGGAAUUCAUGCCCACCAGGUCAUGCAACCAAGAUUUCUAAUAACAGUUUAGAUAGCUAAAGUAAACUUUAUUAUUUUAAUAUUUAUGUUUUAUAUUUUAUUUUUAGAAUAAUGUGUUUCUAGGAAUGCCACAUUUUUCCGCUGUAGGUGUGUAAAUUUUGAAUUCAAAUUUUAAUUUUGUAGAUAUUUUAAACUUUUUCUUUAAGGUUGCGUUUUUGGUUCAGUAAGAAUUGCUUAUUUCAAAGAUAGUACAAAUUUAAGUAUAAAUAUGAAUUAGACCAAUUUUGUAUUUGGAUAAAAUUGAAUUGUUCAUGAAAAUAAGGUAAAUAGUAUUUUGAUAGUUAGAUUAGAACAAAAACAAAUAGAAGUUAUAAUUUUAAAUUAAAAAGAUUUUAUCUAAUUAAUUAACAUCAAAAUAUUAAUUGGAUUGGCUUUAUAUUUAGGUCUUAAUAGAUUUUUUUUAUUUUGGUAUAAAUAGGACACUUAUACAAAAGUGCCUAAAAAAUGUGUCUUACAAUCUAAUUUUGUUCUGUUGAAUUUAGUAAAUUAAUAAAUUUAUUAACUAUAAAAAUAUAUUAAUUAAUUAAUUAUAAAAAAAAUUAUAACUUUUUAAUUAGUUAGUAAAUUAUUUUAGUUAGAUAAUUAGUAUAGAAAUUAAUUAGAUUAGUAAAAAUAUUAUCGAUUGAUCAAUAUCAAUAUAAAUAUUAGCUUAUGGAUUAACACAUUAAAUUAUUAAUUUUUAAUUAGCGAAUUAAUUAUAAAUAAUAUAUUAAUUUCUUACUUUAUUAUUUAAGCAAUAGAUAAUGAUGAAAUAUAUUAAUUAGAUUAAUUAAUGAUUUAAUACUAUAAUUAAAAUAAAAUUUAGCCUUUAAUUAAGCUUAUUCUUAUUUCGAAACAAACGUUAAUUGCAGGAAAAAAGAUAGAAUAACAGUUUCAGACUUAUACCAACUUAAUUGUUUCAAAAAAAAAAAAGGACCAUUGUUUCCAUCUCCCAAAUUAUGUUUGGAUAUAAAAGGGGGGGAAUAAGGACUUAUUCUCCCCUUGUACCCUUUAAUCAAUCGGAUAAGGUAUUAAAAAUUGGGUUAAAGUAGGUUUGGAUCUAAAUAUAGUACAAUUAAUAUUUUGAACAGUAGAAUUGUAAAGUAUAAAUUAUUAUCCCACAUAUACACAGAGGGUUUCUGANCACACCCGAAAAAAAAAAGAAAAGAAAAGAAAACAGAGAGAGAGUCAAAUUAUAGAAUUGAUUGAGCCAUCCAACCACCAAAGAGUUGGGUCCUUUUCACUGCCUAUGUAUCUCCUCAUGUCAUGGUGCACAAACGUGGUCCAAAUACAUCUUGGGACAACUACACCUCCUUUAACCUUAACAAGCACAAAACGAAAAACAGAUGCAACUUUUAUUGUACUUGGCACACCUACGUACGUACAGUUUAAAUAUUGUUCAAUGAUAACAAAAGCACUAUUAAAUUCCUUAAAUGGCAUGGAGAGUAUUAUUUUGUUCUUUGUUUUUUUGGCAUAAGAAGCUUCCUUUCUAAGAUUAGUACCUAUAACUUACCACUAAUGUUAAUCUAUAUAUUCGUUUUGUAUUUGUUUGGACCACAAUGUGGUGGUGGUUUUUGGACCACAGUAAACGAUCGAGUACAUGAGGUGGUUGUGUUUAAAGUUAUAUUUAAUGAAUGGGGACUUGUUUUCUUAUGGUAUUGUUGAGAGUUAAUGACCAAUUAAUGUGCUCAGAUGAUUGUGUCUGUGGUCCUAUAAUAUACCAUACAUAGGUUUUAGAGAGAGAGAGAGAGAGAGAGAGAGAGAGAGAGAGAGAGAGAGAAUUUAAAUAGCUUGAUGUACCAUAGAAUGUACCCCACAAUAUCUCCUCCCCUCUCAAUUUUUACGUAUAACCUAGAUAUUGUGUCGCGUACGAUUCCAUGGCAAAGUAUAAAAAUCUAAGUUGGUAUGAGUUUUAUGAUCACACCAAUGCUGUUCUAAGUACUACGGAAAUUGAUAGACUACCUUUUGAAAUAUAAGUUUAUAUGCUAAAUUUAAAAAACAUGUAUUUGCGUUAAAAGAUAUAUUUUAACAAAUGCAUAUGUCAGAAACUUCGGUUUAGUGCAUGCGAACGGACGAUAAAUAACUUUCGGUGAAACUGAAGAGCCAUGCUGUUUAUUUUAACGAAAGUGACACAAAAUAGCAGAACUUCAGUUUCAAAUACUACCAAGCUACAUUUAGGGUACAUUUUGGUUAUAAUUAUAUGUGUAAAAACUAUGGCUCUCAUAUCAAGGACACAACUAUUAUGCUUAAGUCCAACAGUGAUAGGUUGUUCAAAGCUUUUGGAAAUGAGCAUACAUCACAUGCUUGCCCAUGCUUCUAUGGGACCACUCAAUGAGGUGUACCAUAAGGUUUUUUAUACUUGGUUUUUCAAUAUAAGUUUAACUUCUUCCUAGGUAAAUACAAGGAACUCAUUGGUUUAUGCUCUAUUAGUUAUAUUACUACUUGAUAAAAAUUUGACAUAUCCAUGAAUAUACUCUUGCCAAAUACCCUUCUCUAGGAAACUCAACUUACCUCUAUGAAUUGCAUGGUUCCUUUUAAAAGAUAUUUUGGUAAGAAACAGUAUCCCAAAACUGAAGGAAAUUGUACCACAAAAUAGUUCCUUAAUUAUGCACGUGAAAUUGAUAUAUAUUGAGAGAGAGAGAGAGAGAGAGUGAGAGAGAGUUUAGUUAACAUACUAUUGAGAAUGUAUGAAUAGUUUUUACUAUAUAUUUUUCUAUCAUUAAUUAGAUUAUUACUAUUUCACCUACCACCGCUAAAUCUUAGCAUCCAAUAAUAAAAAAUAAUAUAUGGCAAAUAUUAUUUCUAUACUAUUAAUAAUGUACUAGCACCACUUUUAUAUAUAUAUAGAGAGAGAGAGAGAGAGAGAGAGAACUAGGUUGGAAUGCUAUCAAUACACCAAGCUAUUGGUGCUAUUAGUUUUUUAGCUUUUGGAUUGAGAAAUGUGCGGUUAGGAUGAUGUGGGCCCCUAGGGUUGAGUGGGUGGUUGGUUGAAUAGUAUAAUCUAACGAAUAAAAAUAAUCAAAGAGUUAAAUCUAACGGUGGAAAACUCGAUAGUACCAAGUCCUUGGUCCUAUCAAUAGUAUCCCAGCUGAACUCUCUCUCUCUCUCUCUAUAUAUUUAUAAGCAGGAUAUUGUGCUAUUAGAAGCACAACAGCCCUUGUGCUUUUAAAUUCCUAACCAUUCAUUAAUUUUGAUGAAUGGUUAAGGUGAAAGAGAGAAGAUAAAUUGAAGAGAAAUUGGAUAUCUCAAUUUCUCUUUUCUUUAAUUUUUUUUUCAAUUUUUCUACUCUCUCUCACCCUAAUCAUUCAUUAAAAUUAAUUGAUGAUUAGAAACUUAAAAGCAAAAGGAUUAUUGUGCUCCUAAUAGCACAGUAGCCCUACUCUCUCUCUCUCUCUCUCUCUCUCUCUCUCUCUCUCUAUAUAUAUAUAUAUAUAUGAGGGAGGAGCUGAAAAUUUUACUAAUUAAACAUAUACGAACAAUUAAAUUUAUUAAAUGUUAACGGUAACCUCACACAACCUCCCCUCGUCUGCAUGAUAAUAUGAAAAACAAGUGGGAUUGAUAGGUAAAGUAUAAGAUGCGGAUUUAACCCAUUAAAUGUGAGAUUUUAGUUAUAAAACCAUUUACAAUAAAAGAUCUUCCUAGCAGGAGAUGUAUGAAUUAAUACAGAAAACACGGAAUAUAACCUUCACAUGCUAUUUUACCAACGAAAGGAAUGCAUGCAAAAUUAGGAAUUUCAUAGAUGUGCUCCAUUCCCUCAAUUUGCACCAAAUAGUGAGGCCUUACCUACUAUUCUAUGCACAGUAGUUUUAAUAAAUCGUGUCACAUUUUAGUCCUUUUAUCAUAUGGUACAUCACAACUAUUCAUAAUUUAGUGAGACCAUACAAAUAUUCCACAAGUGAUCAUGGAUCCACUUUGGAAUACGCAUGAAGAUGUAAACAGUUUGUAAGUACCAGAUGAAAAGUGCAUUGACAAAUUUACGUAUGGAGAGCUACUAUCAAAGUUGAGAUGUACCUUAGUGUUUCUUUGCUAUGUAAGUGAUUCAUUUUAGCACUGAUCCAAACUCUUCAAAAAUUGUCACAUUUUUGUUAAUGUUAAUUUUUUUUAAAAAAAAGAAGAAAAAAGGUGAUUAUUACUAUCAAUAUUGUAAAAAUAAUAAAGAAUAAAUGAGUUCUGAUUCAAAUUGACAGAAAUAAAAGGUGUGCUCAGAACAACAUGAGGGUAUAACGACGUCCAUUCUGCUUGGACAACAUUACUACUCGCUUGAAAGCUGCUUGGUACUGACUCUGUGCUGGUUUGGUCUCGCUCCUUUCCUGCAGGCCUAGAUGAUUUAUUAUUCUUACAAAAAAUUAAUGACAAAGGCUGUAUCAAAGUAUCACUUCCUACAAAGUAGCAACCGAAAAAAAUAACAAGGGCUUAGAAAGGGAACAAAAGUUUGUCCCCAGAAAUAAGACUCCUAUAAUUGUUGGUUUUGAAAAAAAAAAAAAAGAAGUCUUGAAGUAGUAUUAUUCCAACUACUGACAUUGUGGUCUUUGAUGGACCCUCUCUGUCAUUAUAAUCAAAGAUCACCAAUUUUCAUGUGGAUCACAUUCACACUUUGUUUGCCUCUAGUCAACCCAAUUGUUUGACCAUAGAUCACACCACUAUUUGGAAAAAGGAAUGGAAUCUUUGGUGGGAGCCAAUUUGGGAACUCAAUGCAAAUUAGGGCUUUCUCACAAGAAAAGUAGUGAAAUAGUGCACUUCGUUUUUGCUCCUGUUUUCAGUUAUAAUAAUGUUUAGUAGAAUAUUAAAUAUAUUAAAAAGUUGAGGCAAUUGUUUAUAUAUUCUUAAAAAGUUAUAGAUUUUUUUUUAUUUACCCCUUUAUAUGGUUAAUAUAAAAAAUAUAUUUUUAACGUUUCAACUUUUUUUCAAAUAUGUUUUUGGAGUUAAAUUAUGUUAGUGAACUAUUAAGAACAUUCGUUAUUUCUGUAAAAUUACUAUUUUGUUUUUUUCAAUAUAUACUAUUUUACACUCACCAAGUUUUUUUAUUUGUGUCAGGGAUAAAAAGUAUCUUGACUUUUUGUCCUUUUAAAUAUACUCUUUUACCAUCAUCACCAAAUUCUCUUAUUUGCUCUUAAGUUAGGAAUAAAAGAGAUAUUUUGACUUUUUUUUAACUUUAGUAGAAAUUUAAUCUAAAUUUAAUUUGAGGUAACUUAACGAAUACUGAUCGUGGGAGUAUUUUUAAAUGACGAAAAAAAUAUACGAGAGAUAUAUUUGAAAUAAAAAAAUAUAUAAAAAAAAUAUUUCAGAAGUUUUGAAUAGUAUAUUAAUAAUUAUCCCUAGAAAGUUUGAUACUUUUGUUACAGUGGGUGCUUUAACUGAUAUUUUAACCCUCAAAGAAGCUCUUCCAGUUUGUGACUCAUCUACACAAUAAAAUAUAUUUAAGCAGCAAGGUGUUUUAUAGCUAAACCAAAUGGGUCCUUAUUAAGGAUUACUUCUCUUUUUGCUUUUCGCUUUUUUUUCUUUUUUUUUUUCUGGUGAAAACUAAUAACCAUAAUCGACUGUCUCUAGAGCAAGUGGCAAAAGACUUGAUGAUUAGUACUUGAGGUCCCAAGUUCGAAUCCUAGUUGAUUCAUAUUUUCAGCUAAGUUUAUUUUUAAAUGAAAUAAACGAAGCGGGUAGCGUACCUAUCUCUCUCUCAAAAAACAAACAAAUCUUGUUCACACUUCACACAUGUCAGUGUAAGGUUGUGUUUANAAAAAAAAAAAAAAAAAAAAAAAAAAACUAAUGUAACAUGAAAAAGCAAGUCAUCUGUAAAAUGAAAAAAAGAAUUAAAGAUACUCAACUUAUUUACAUUCUUAUACAAAUCUACAUUCACAUCAUCUUCUCUCACCUCAAAAAAAACAGAAAAAAAAAGAAAAAGAAAAGAAAAAAGCUGCACAUUUUAACUUUCCCUGAAAAGUUGAAACCAGCCACAUCCUGGCCCCUUUUUGCCACUCAAUCCUCCUUAUUUAUCUCUUCAAUGCCCCCCAUAUCACUAGAAAUUUUACUGCAGCUUAACCUUUUUUUUCUCUUGUAAAUAUAAAUAAUUACUUUAUUUGAUCUAACAUUAAAGGACAACAAAACAAUCUCAUAUGUCACUCCAAGGAUUUCCUGCUUCCCAGCUCCCCUACUCCACCCCCUCUCUCUCUCUCUCUCUCUCUCUCUCUCUCUCUUCUUCAAAGUAGGUUGAAGUACACUUGGUCAUUAUAUUCUUUUUAAAAAAUAAAAAAAAAUUUUGUAAUAGUUUUAUUAUCUUGCAAUAAAAAAUUUUAAUGUGAGGGUGAGGGGGUGUUUAACUGUACAUAAAAUCGUAAAAAAUAAUUUUUUAUAAUUUUUUUGUGAAAAUAAUAUUUUAUAUUUUGUAGUAUUAGAUUCAUAGAAAAAAGUUUUUUAUUAAUAUUUAUUUGGUUGGAAAAAUUAUAUUUAUUUGGCUCAGUGGAAAAAAAUAAAUGAAAAAAUUUAUGCAGCUUGAAUUUUCGUUCUUCACUGAAAAUCGGCGAAAAAUAAAAAUACAUUAUUUUUUUUUCUAAAUCUGUAAAAAUAAUUCUUCGAAAAAAAUUUUCUACGACUAAAUAAACAUACAAAAAAUAAUUUUUCAAAAGUAAUUAUAUCAAAAAGCAGAACAAAAGCAUACUAUUGAGUAUAAAAAUAUAAAAAAUAUAAAAAUAUUUCAUAUUAUUAAAAAAUAAUAUUAGAAUUAUUUUAAAUCCCUACAGCUUUACAACGAUUUUGUAACGUAAUUAUUUAAAUCCACACCAUUCAUAUUUAACAAAGUAACAUUUUUCUAUAUUAAAACCGAAUAUAUUAACUUUUUAUUUAAUAAUAAUUUAAGUUUUUAAAGAUAAAUAAUUAUUUGGCAGGCAACUGUGAUACAGUAAUACUACCUUUUUUUUUAUCUAGGUUGGUAAUGUCAGACACUCCAAUAAGGGAAGCCAAGAAAAGUGUGACUCCCCACCAAUAAUUGUGGCAAGAGCCAAUAAUAUGCCCUUCACUUGUGCCCAACAUAUAUAUAUAUAUAUAUAAUAUAUAUAUAUAUAGAGAGAGAGAGAGAGAGAGAGAUUGUGUGUGGGUAGUAUGCUUAUAUAAGCAUGGAGCUCUUUGUACUUUUCAGUCGUUUUUAAUAUUAAAACUUUCGAAUUAAUGAUCAGCUCUAGUAGAUUUGAUUUAAGGCUAAAUUAUAGAAAAUUUUCCUAUAAUAACCCGCUUUUUCACUUUUCUUUUCCCUCCUGACAUUUAAAAACCUACACUUUGCUCUCCUGUAAAAUGAAAAAUAUUCACAUGAGGAUUACGGUGUGUAAAAUGACCAUUUUGCCCCUCGCCAUUGUCGUAUUCUUCCCCAUCUUCCUCAGUCGCCCCUUCUUUCUGCUACGAUUUCCACCUCAAUCGGCCACGAUCUCUUUCCAUUUUCUUCUCCACCUGCUCUCCUUCUCCUCCUGCACCCUCGCCGCCUUCGAUUUCGGUGACAGUAGGAGAAACCGAGAUAAGCGACAGUAGGAGAAGGGCAAAGAAGGCGAAGGCGAGGUGGCGGAGGAUGACGAAGGGGAUGUGGGUGAGGGCGAGGCAGUGGAGGACGGCGAGGCGGCGAGGCGGCAGCAAGGUGGCGAGCCGGAGGGAGGCGAAGCAACAGGAAGAUAGCGGAGGGGUAUUUUCGGAAUAAAAAUAUAUUUUUUAACGGAAACCUAACGGUAGGGGGUGAAGUGCACAUUUUUUAUUUUACAGGGGUGUAAAGUGUAGGUUUUUAAAUGUCAGGGAGGAAAAGUGAAAAAGCGGGUUAUUACAAGGGGGUUUUCUGUAAUUUAGCCUUGAUUUAAAGUAUUUGAAGUAUCUAAAAAGUAAAUUUUGUAACUUUUCGAUAUCAUUUGCCUAGUGAUCGAAGGGGCUCAAAAGCAACAACUGAAAAUAAAAAUCUUAUAAAAUGUGAUGAUAUAAUAUUAGAAUUUUUGAUCAAUUACAUUAAUCUUGUUUUAUAUAGUAUAUAAAAAAUUUUAUAUUAAAAAUUUACGUGAUUUAGAUAUUUCUACACUAUUAAACUUACAAAUGGCUUACCAUGGUUAUUAAAAUUAUUGAUUUUGAGCCCCUUGAUCACUAGACUAAUGAUAUCAAAAAAAUCACAAAAUUUAUUUUAUUGGUAAUUCAAAUACUCUAAAUAAAAUCUAAUAGAACCGAUCGUCGAUUUAAAAGUCCUAAUAUCGAAAACGACUUAAAAGCACGGAGGGCUCCGUGCUUUCAGAAGCAUACUAGUCUCACUCUCUCUCUCUUUCUCUCUUUCUAUAUAUAUAUAUAUAUAUAUAGAGAGAGAGAGAGAGAGAGAGAGAGAGAGCUAGACUGGAAUACUAUUGAUAGCAAAAGGUUCUUUUUGCUAUCAAGUUUUUAAUCCUUGGAUAAGAAAUUGUAAGGUUAGGAUGAUAUUAAUCCCUUAGGGUUGAGUGGUCCCCACUCGGUUAUAAUAUUUAAUCCAAUUAUUAUAAAUGAUGAAAGGAAUUAAUUCAAAGGUUAAAAAAUUUGAUAACAAAAAAGGUCUUUUGCUAUCAAUAGUAUUCUAGCCCAACUUUAUAUAUAUAUAUACACACACAUGUAUAUAUAAAGUUUGGCUACUAUAAUUUUAUGAAUAUAGACCCUUUUAUACUUAUAAGUUUUCGACCGUUAUAUCUUACUCCUUUGAUCGUUUCUAUCCAUUAAAUUAUACUAUUAACCAACCACCCACUCAACCCCGGACGACUACUAUCAUCCUAAUUGCACAUUUCUUUAUCCAACGGCCAAAAAUUUAAAUCUAUACUCAUUAGAGUAUAGUUACCCUAGCAUAUAUAUAUAUAUAUAUAUAUAUAUAUAUAUAUAUAUAUAUAGAGAGAGAGAGAGAGAGAGAGAGAGAGAGAGAGAGAGAGAGAGAGAGAGAGAGUUGAGCCGGAAUACUAUAUUGAUAGCAAACGAGAUCCAUUGCCACCUAUUUAUUUUCGAUGAUGGAGCCUCCAAAUCGACGAUCGACACCGUUUAACAUGAUCUAUACCACUUGAAGUAUCUAGAAAUCAAAUUUUAUACUUCUUCGAUAUUGUUCUCUUGUCCAUAAAGUAGGCGUAAAAAUGAACGGCUGAAAAUGAAUAUCCUUUAAAAAGUGAUGAUAGAAAUUUUGUAAUCAAGAUCAAGAGUAUAGAUCUUGUUUUAAAUAGUUUGAAGAAUUUUUUAACCAAAAUUCAAUUAAUUUGAAUAGCUUUACACCGUUAAACAAGAAAAUGUCUCAUAUCUACCAUUAAAAUUAUAAAUUUUGAAAUCCUUUGAUUAUUAGGUCAAUGAUGUCGAAAAGAUUUGAAAAUUGAUUUCUAGAUACUUCAAGUGGCAUAAAUCAUAUUCAACGGUGCGCAUCGUCGAUUUGAGGCUUCAUCAUUAAAAACAAAUGGAUGGCAACGGAGCCCGUUUGCUACCGAUAGCAUUCCAGCUCAACUCUCUCUAUCUCUAUGUAUAACUAGAUUAGAAUACUAUUAAUAGCACCAACUCAUUAGUGUUAUUAAGUUUUCGACCCUUGGUUAAAGCGAUGUGCGGUUAGGAUGAUAGUAAUUUUCUACUAUUGAGCGGGUGGUUGAUUGAAUAAUAUAAUUUAACAGAUAAAAAUAAUUAAAAGAUUAAAUCUAACCGUGGAAACUAUAUAGUAAGUUUAAGAAGCCCCACUCAAUAUACACGGCUCCAGCUUUAUUACCCCAGCGUCCGCUUAUGUAUUAUAUUAUAAUACAUAGGCGGACGCUGAGGUAAUAAAGUUGGAGCCGUGUAUAUUGAGGGGGCCCUUGAACUUACUGCCCACUCCAGAGUCUCCUUUUUCCCCUUCACAUUUAUUGUUCUCUUUGGAAUCCUUGUCAGGGAAUUGAAUGGUUGGAAAGCUACAGACCAAAUAAUAGUCUGCGAGUCUCCUCCUGCUGCUGCUGCAGCUGUUUCUGCAACCACUGUCUCUGUUUCUGCUCCUAACCUUCUUGGGUUUUUUUUUUUUAUUCCUAAUCUUUUCUAUUCACUCUUAUUAUUAUUAUUUAUUAUUAUUAUUAUUAUUAUUAUUAUUAUGUUGAACCCUACUUUAAUUGCCUUGAAUCUGACCAAGAUGGGCUAAUCCUGUUCUGGGUUUGUGGUUUAUUUCAUUCACCUCCCUUUAGGAAGCCCAUUUCUGGCUUUCUGAUUCUUUUCCUCCCCAUCUGGCCUGCAUUUUCUCUUUUGGGUCUUCUGAUUUUUGUCUGCUCUUGGGGUGGGGGUUUAUUAUCAAGGUGAGAUUUUGCUUGAAAUGGGGUGCUGACUGUUAACUUUUGUGGGUUUGGGUUUGUUUGUUGGCUAAGAAGAACUCAUCAUUUUUUUUUUUUUAAAAAAAAAAUCUCAUAUUCUCCCUGUCCUUUUCCUUUGAUUUUUGCUACCUAUCAUGUUUCAGGAUUUGUUAUGCUGUUCUUGUGUGAGACUCUUUCAUAUGGUUUAGAAAAAAAGAAAAAAAAGAAAAAGAUUACUUUUUAGGUGGUUGUUGGUGUGUGUAACAUUUACUAUAUUGUGAGAAGUAGCUCUUAGGAAUUGAUAGAGAGACAGGGAGGAGUUUGUGUGGGUGUGCGAGGAGAGUGACUGUAGAGCUAGAUAGAGAGAGAUAGAGAAGAGUAAAGUGUGCGACAAAUAGAGUUUGAGUGAGAUAGAGUGUUGUUGCUUUUAUGGAUUGGGAUCUAAGGAUGCCCCCCUGGGACUUGGCUGACGUGCUGAACCACAACCCCCAGCCGCCGCCCGGAUUCGGCGGCUCGGGCGGCAGCCGCACCGACUGCUCCGUCGACCUGAAGCUCGGCGGGGGGUCGGGGGAUCUCGGGCCAGCCCAUCAUCACAAAUUCCAAUCCAAGGCCUCUGUUUCCGCCGCAAUGGCGCCGCCGCCGCCGCCCUCUUCUUCCUCCUCCGGCCCGCCGAAGAGGCCUCGGACGCACGGCAGUGGCGGCCCGACCCCUUCCUGCUUGGUCGACGGCUGCAAAGCCGAUUUGAGCAAGUGUCGGGAGUAUCACCGCCGGCAUAAGGUUUGCGAGGCCCAUUCGAAGACUCCGGUGGUGCUGGUCGGCGGCCAGGAGCAGAGGUUUUGCCAACAGUGCAGCAGGUAUAAACUACCUACGCAGAGAGUUCUCGACCAAUUUGGAUUAUUUGAUCUUUGAUUCAUAUACUUAAAUCACUCAAAUUUGUUUUGUGAUAUGCUUAAACUAUUGCCAGAGUUAUUUGCUUCAACUGGAUAUGAACUUCUAAUGAAGUAGAAACCUAUCCUUUUCUAAAUUUAGAAUAUCUUUUAUAAUCUUCUGUGAUGUGUACAUGCAGUGGUUUAUAUGGGGAUAUGUUGCUCAACUAGCCACAGAUAGUUACUUCUUCAAAUUAGCAUAACAUUUCGUCACACAACUUAGUAAAAUAUAAAAAAAAAAGAAGUUUAUUUUGUUAAGGUAUUCAUUUUUUAUCAUUUUUUUUUUUUUGUCUUAGUAUGGAAGUUAGAUUAAUCAAAUCAUAACGUCGGUUAAAUUCGUUGCACUACUAAUAGUUAAUCUUUUUUUCGCCUAUUUUAUGAGUAGAAAAAUAGUCGGCAUCCUACUAUAAUGCUUGUUGGGCUUUUCACUUUAUGUGGUCCCCAAGAAUGAUAUCUGUUAUUAUUCACUUAGUUUUACUUUUCUUUCGCCUACUUUAAGGAAUGAAUUGUGACCUGAAAGGAGCUUAUACAUCGUCGUAGCUAAAUUAUCGUGAUCUUUUAUUAACAAAAAGUAAAUAAACAAACAUGUUGUAGUUUUUUACUUAAUUGUGCAGCCAGAUAGAAGUACGACGGAUUUCGACAAUGAAAAUCUGAAAAGAUAUCUCAGUUGGCUUGAUUAGAUUUUGCCUUAUGAAAUUUAUACUAUUUUGCAGAAAGCUGAAAUAUGUCAAAUGCGGUCCCGUGCUUUAUUUGCUUUACACUUCUUGGUUGUUCAUUCCUUUUUUUUUUUGUUUCCCUUUAAUUUAUGUUUCCUGGUUUAAAUUGCAACCUACGGUCUCAAUCCACGAUAACAGGGAGCAGCCAAUCUCCUGUCUGGCUUUGUACCAUCUUUCUUUUACUUUGCUCAUCUGUUCUAACUCUCUAUCGACAGUUACUACUCCGUAUAAAAAGAUAAAAUUUAUUCUUAUUUCCUUCAGCAUGUGUACGUCGGUCUUAUUCUCAAGAUUUGCAGCCUUACCUUUUGUGGGAAUUUCCAUGUGACUAUAUCCUCAUUCCGAAGUAACGGUCCUUACAAUUGUACUUAGUUAUGAUGUGCGGAUACCUGAUUUUAGCUACCGUGUCCAUAUCGGAUAUUGAGAGACAUAUCCGAGAGACACCUGUAAAUGUCUGAUAAGGGUAUCCAAUGUACUAGGAAUAUAGAAAAAUGCCCAGAUAUGUUAGGCGCACGCAAGGAAUAUGGGAGGGACUUAGGGUUGCCUUUUUCAGUCUAAUUCGUGUCAGAAUAUGGGAUGGACAGAGGGUAGCCAGGUCGACAUUCUUUCUUGACGAAUACUACUCAUGUCGGUUGUGCGUUUGGAUGACUUCUGCACCAUGGUUUAUGCUCGAUAAAUCUUAAGAUUUUGCCAGAUCAACUAUCUUUCUUGACACUCUUGUUUAUGUGACUAUGUCGCUGUACUUAGGAUCUGUAGAUAUCAAACGAUUUCUUUUUUUCAUAUGUUACCUCAGAUUCCCAGGAUAUCAAAUCCAAAGAUUUUUAAAUUUGAUGUAUUGCCAUAUCCAUACUGUGGCAAUCUUUGUCCUGCAUUUGUGUCUUGCUACAUGGGCACCUAGCUAUUGUCCCCCAUUUGUUUAUUGGAUCAAAAGAGUGGACAUGUUUGAUUGCAAUCAAAAUUGUUAAAUGCAAUCAGUGCUCUGUAUUCCUGAAGAUCAAAUAAUGGACAAUAUCCAUAACGAUACAUUCUCAUUAAUGGAUUUUUUUUAUUACUCCAUCAGUAUACAUUAUGCGCUAUUCUAACAAAGAUUAUUAAUAUGAAGCGUAAAAUUGUCGCAAUUUUCUAUUAUGUUGCUUCCAGCUGUAGCUUUUUGGGUUUUGGCUACAGCAGGUGUAGUGGAUACACAAAUAGGGUUUAUCCCUGUUUCCUCAAAAAAAAAAAAAAAAAAAGCGUAAAAUUAUGCUCGUACAACAACUUAUCUCAGCUUACAAUUAUCUUCCGAGUUGUACUGGUCUUCUCAACACAUACUGUUGAUCAUGUGAAUCGCGAAUUAUUGUGUUAAAGAUCUGUAUCUUCAGCUGCGAAGACCUUAAAUUUAUCUUCUGUUUUUGGGCUUUCUUUGAAAUUGAGAGUUCUCUCAUAGUACCAGGUAUGACUCUUUGGCAAAAGAGUCCAACAAUCUGAUAAAUAUAGUUGUUUGUGUUUCCGACAGAUUUCACUUGCUUGUGGAAUUUGAUGAGGUCAAAAGAAGCUGCAGGAAAAGGCUUGAUGGGCACAACAGGCGUCGAAGGAAGCCACAGCUGGAUCAUGUAAACUCUGGGGGCUUCUUUGUGAAUCACCAAGGUCUUUUAUCUCUGCAUUACUGCCUUAUUUAUUUGUAGUUUGUUUGAAAUCUCGAUAUUGCAGUUUCUCAAAUCAAUCUUAUGUCGAGUUUCAAUUUGAAAUAAGCUGUUAUAUUUUGAAUAUUAAACUCUUUUUGGGUUAAUGUAAGAUAUGAUUUUCAUUCGCGUGAUCUGCCACUAUUUUGCUGCUACUCUUACAUGAUUAAGAUGGUGUUUCGUAGAUGUAUCAAUUACUUCAGUUAAGAGCUUUAUCAUGUCAAAUUUUGCAAAUCUCUCACUUUACAUUUCUGAUGAAAACCAUUCUGGCUUAUAUACAGGGACAAGAUUAUCAUCAUACCCUCAGAUUUUUCCAACUGUUAGAUCCGAGCCGAACUGGACCGGGCUCAUGAAAUCCGAAAACAAUACUUCCUUUUGCGUGAAUAUGAAUCGGCAGCCUCUACACCUUAGUGAGAAUUACAACAGAGAAAGACGGCAGUUCCCUUUCCUGCAAGAACUCGGCCUGGCCCCCUUCAAGACCGUCACUCCCCCCGAGAGCAGCAAGAUGUUCUCCGAUUGUGCUCUCUCUCUUCUGUCAUCGUCGCCCGCUCAGCAACCGUCGGAUGCCAUCAAUAGCACCGCGCAGAUCGUACGACAGCCGGAUCACGACCAGAUCCCGAUCGGCCAGCCUCUCCUGUCGAGCAGCCCGCUGUACGGCGUCCCGCACCGGUUUCCGUGCUCGCAGGUGCCGGAUGGCGUGUCGGCGGCCGGGUAUUCGUGCCCGGCCGUGGCGAACGAGGCCGAGAUCCACUACGAGGGCAUGUUCCACUGCGGGAGCGAGGGACUGCCCUCCUACGGGGCCUCCCAAACACUCCCCUUUUCAUGGCAGUAGUUUGGAUUUAGUGUUUUUGUUCGUGAUUUUCUCUUUAGCUCAGUUCCUCCUCCUGCUACUCUGUUAAAAUGUCGAAAACUUGCGGAUUAUGCGGCGAUAAAAAGUGUUUCUUUUCCUCCUGAUCAUCUGUUGAAGACAGUGGGCAAGUAACUGUAGCGGCUAAAUUGUUACUAAUAUUUCAAACAGUGUGUAUCAGUUAAUUUUUCGUAACAAUGUACGGCAGCUGAUUCAGUUAUCACAUCAUCUGCAGUCUCGAACAGGUCUACUUUACUGCUUACUACUGUUAAGUGGCAUCACUUUGGGCAGAGCUUGAGUUUUUCGCUGCCGCACUAUGUAUGUGAUCCGAACCCAGGAUAUGUUGGUCCAAACAGGCUCUCAGUUGAUGCAAAAUGCACAAAUCCAAAAUUAAACAAAGAUUUAUACAUCAAAAUGAGAAAAUUCUGACUCAGAUUGACUAACUAAAUUGGGUGUUAGGAGUAUAUUGUGAUAAUGUUUUUUGGAUAAAAAUAGAAAAUUUUGAGUAGUAGUGAUAGGUAAAUAAGCAAAAGUCUCGAAAUAAUAAAUAAUUUUAUUUAAUGUAUAAAAAUAUAAAAUUUGAAAGAUUUUAAUUAUAAGAAUAAUUUAUAGUCAAUGCAUGUUUCCGUAAAAGUUGCAAAGGUGGGUCCCACCUGCUCUAUCAUUGGCCCGGCCCAUCACGUCAAAGCGAGCCCUUUUUGGCCCACAACGACGUUGCGGCCACGAAGGGCUGUGAUCUAGUUCUACGGAACACGUGUACGGUGGAUUAGUGCGAGUUCCUUCACAGCAUUUUUUGCGGGUGUCCGCACCGCAAUUUUAUUUGAAAAAGGGUUCGCUGGCACGUCACGAAAAUUCAGUGGCGAAACUUCGAAUACUUUUUCGACCAUUCAAAAUCCACCACGUCAUCUACAAACUAGAUUUUCCCUGGAGGACAACACGUGUCGAAUGUUUACUGGGUGUUUCCACUGCACGCUGUUUGGUCCUUCUUGUAGACUGAGCUGUUGUAGUCGUGUCACUAUUCGCUGUUGUCGUCGAGGGAUUCUACACUGUCACACUUGCACCACGUCAUCAAUAACAAGCCAAUCACAUUCCUUCUUUUCAAACAAAAGUACAAUAAAAAUACUUUUUUACAAUCAUGAUGGGACAUAUAUUCUUAAAAGGAUUAAUUUGAUUGGUUUGUUACGCCACGUCACUAAUAUACCCGUUGCAUUCUAGAAUUUUUCGUUGUCGUCGUGUCAUUAUCCGUUGUGGGGCCCUUCCCCCAUUAGUCGGAACAAUGGAGGGGUGAAAUGUAUGGAGAGUCCCUGUACUAUUCCACUCUUGCGAUUCCGUUCCUUUACUUUUUUGUGAACAUUUUAAUUUUUAAAGUUACCUACUAAAACGAAAGGUACAUAAACUAGUGCAAAUUUGGAAUAGUAUAAGGACUAUCCGUACAUUAUAUAUUGAACACCAAAGAGCAAAAAUGCUGCGGAGGAUAGAGAAAGAACUUGUUCCAAAGCCUAUCCACUUAUCCAUUCACAUCCAUCGACCCCUCAAUUAUAGAUCGUUUAACAUUAGCCCCUCAACCUUAAUUUUUUUUAUAUUAACAUGCACAAAUUCAAAUUUUUGUCUAAUAUUAUAAUAUUUUAUUAAUUUAUCAUAUUUUUACUUGGGAAAAAAUAGUUUAGGCUAUCGAUGUAACAAAAUUAUGUCGAACUUACAAAGGUCUGUAAUUUAAUUGGCCAAAAUAAUUCAAAAUUUUUUCAAAAGUUGGAAAUUUUAAUUACAAAAAGAUUAAUACAAUGAGAGGGGCCGUUUGAAAAUUACUUAGUAGUCGAGGGGUCUCCAUACAUUUCGCCAAAAACGAGAAAAACGAGAAGUAAUCGAAGAAAAAGUGAAAUGCUGCAGAUGCUGAGGAGGAGAGAGAAGCAUUUGCUCCCAAUCCUAUCCACUUUUCCAACAAUUCUCACCCCUCCAACUAUUUAUAUUUCUCAAAGAGACGCCUCCGUCUCGCUCUUUCUUUCUCUCUCUCCACCGCUUCGCUUGUGCGUACGCUUCUCGCUUUCUCUCUCCUAGGGUUAGGGUUAGGGUUUGCGACCUCUCGAAACCACAAGAUGCGGGGCGACGACGAGCAAUCGAGGCUCAUCUACGAGCUCUGCGCCCUCCUCUUCACCAUGCUCCGCUACCCCCACCUCGCAGUGCCCUCGGCCCCCUCCUCGUCGUCCGCCGCGGCGGCGGGGGCGCCGCUCCCUCCGCAGCCGACGAGGAGGCCGCGGCCGCCGCAGGUAUCGGCGGCGGGGGUGGCGUCGCUGCUGCUCGGGGCGUCGCUCGCGCUGAUGCUGUGCGGGUCUGUGACGUUCGUGAUCGGAUUCAUACUCAUGCCCUGGGUCGUGGGACUCCUCAUGGUGUUCUACUUCGUCGGGAUCGUCUCCAAUCUCUCCGGGAUGGGGAGGGCGAUUCUUUGCCCUAACUCACCCUCCUCCCCCAAAGAAGUCUAAGGUGAGAAAAGCUUAUUUUUCUGCGACCUUUUUACCCUUAUUACGUUGGAAUUAGGGUUAUUAUUAGUAGUCCUGUUCUCUUAAUUGGUCGUUUUUGAUGAUGAUCGCUUAAUAAGAUUUAUUUUGCUCUGAUGGUGCCAUGUGUUAUUUAUUAGUAAUUUCCUGGUGGGAAAUAGGAAUCAAUUUAUGGGCCUAUAGAGCGCUUCUAGUAGAGCUGUUGACAAAGAGAAAAGUUUUGAGCUUUUCCCUGUAGCAGGAAAGUAUUUGUUGCUCUCUGUGUUUGUUGAUUUUUUUUUUUUUUUUUUUUUUUUUUUUUUUUUUUGUAAAAUAUUGUAGCGUAUUGGCGUAGUUUUUGUUGACGAAAUUUCAUCAAUAUAUUGCUCUGAUUUCUGGGAGGAGGUUGUGAAUGUGCUUCUUGCAUUGCGUUUUCUUUGUCUAUUAGGUUUUAUUAUUAUUGUAGAUGGAUAGACGCUACAUAUCUUUUUUAGAGAUAGGAUCUUUAUCUUCUUCUAUGAGAAAAAAGUUUAUUUGGACUAACUUGACAGCUCAUUGCUUUUACGUGUGGAAAUGUCAGAGCCCUUUGGGGGUUGUGUUAAAAUACGUACAAAGCAAGUCCCUUUCUAUGGGGAGUUGUUUGGUUGUCCUUAUCUUUAAAAUUAUUGGGUCUUCAAUAGUGCUUGUUGUUAUUAAAAGAAAAUGAACCUAAAACUGUAACGCUUUUGGAGGCAACUAGGGAUAGAGUUAGAGGAUAGCACAAGUUUAGGGGUUCAUUGAAAUGGAAGUUUUUGGUUUUUUCUAGAAUAACCCGAUCUAACAGAUCAAAGAUCCUUGUAGUCUUUUGUCGGAAAACUUCAGAUAACUUCCAUUGAUAUGAGAAAUUAUAGGCUGGACAUGGUCCUCCUCGUCAGGCGCGGACCUCCUAGUGAUCUGCCAUUCAUACCAUCUCUACUUUCAAUCUUCAACAUAUUUUUGUAAAACAUAUUAUAAAUUUGAAUAUGGUUGUAACCAAGUGAUUUUGCUGGGAUUGAAAGUAGAGAUGGGAUGGAGGGCAGAUCAACUGGGCGGUCCACGGCUUAUGUGGUGGGUCAAAGUUCAGGCAAUAAUUUUCCCUUCGGGAUAGCUCUUCUUUUGCUUUUUGGCUAGCAGUUCAAAGUUUAGCAUUUUGCUCUCGUAAAAUUUUCUUUGUCAUUUCAAGCUUGAAAUGGCGCUAGGAAAAGGUUGCAAAGUGCAGCACUUUUGAACAUUGGGCUUUGUAAAGCGAAUUUUGCGCUAUAACACAGGCUUUUUGAAAGUUCUUCCGCUGUAUUUAAAACGUAGCAAUGGGGAUGCAACCAUAGUAUGUCACUUUUGUUGGCUUAUGAGCAUUAGGUCCUCAUGAGAGCCAAAUACGAACUUAAGUAGAGUAUUGUUAUGCCGUAGAUGUGGGUCUCUAAGGUUUUUCUUCCCUUUUUCCUCCGCUACAUUAAAGGCAGGAUUAGGAGGAUAAUUGAUUUAUUCCUAGUAUUGGCUAAUUAAAAGUCUUGGUGAUUAGUCUGAUGAUGAAUUUUGUAUGCGAUGUUUCACCUUUACUCUUCUCACUUGGACAUGGUUUUUAUGUGGCUAUUGAAAGUCUUGUCUCUUUUAAUAUCUAAAUAGUUUAGGGUAUUGUUUCUGAUCUAAGUCUGCUGAUAUCUGCAAUAAAAACAGAUAUUGAAAAUGUUGCUGCAGAAUUGCUUUUGACAUAAGCGUUUGUCUUUUUGCUGUAAGGGAAAAUUUAGCAACGGAAAAUUCUUUUGUUGGCAGUGACCACAUAGAGAGAGAUUAAAGAUAAUAGAGUUUCCAAAAGGAAGAGGGAGAGAUAAGAGAUAUAAAAGCCCACAAAAUAAAAGGCCAGCGGCAUAGAGAAUGGAAGACUGCAAAGUAUGUGAUGUGGAGAUGUGGCUCAACUUUUAAGACUUUUGGUGCUCUAAUCCACCUUCUGUAUGCUGACUCAUAGGCAGCACUUAGGAGAUACUUCAGGGCAGCCGGAAUGGUACUCUGUUUUGGUUGAAUAGGAUGUAUUCCUACUUAGUUCAUAUAGAAUUUUUUUCGCAUCUCACGGAAGUCAAUUACACUAGAGUAUCUAAUAGGAAAGGGUGCAGCUAUCCAUAUAGAUUUUAUUUUAGGUAAUCUUAUUUAAUUAAUGAACUAGACAACGUCGGUCCUCCUGAUUUCAGGGAUGUUGAUCCUCCUAACAGAGAAAGGUCUUAACUAACUAACUUGGAACAUAGGAAUUAUAUGAUGAAUACGCUUGAAAAGGAUUGCUAUGUUUGCUGGAAGAGUGUACCCCAAUGUAUAGGUAAUGAGUCAGCUUUUGCAAUGUGGCAGCUAGCCGGUAGCUUGUGGUGAGUUUUUCAAACUUGAUGUACGCCUUAAAUGCCGCAUUAGAAAUCUGACUCGUUAACUAUAUUUGGCGGGAUUUUCUUAGACACUUUAGAUUUCUCUUCUUGAGAAUCAGAUGUAGUCAAUCUAAGGAGCUGGUUUAGUGUCUUAUUAAAGCACCAAGUCCUUGAUGCUUACACGUUUGUGCUUGUUGGAUCCAUGAUGGAGUUUGUGGGGCACCAUGUUCAGUGUGCAUCUUUAUGCACAUUCGCAUGUGCUUUUCAUUGAUCUCCAUGCAAAAUCCAACUACAUCGAUGCAAGCACCAAGCUUGGUGCUUUUUAGAAGUUCCCAAGUCUAGGUCCAAGUUCGUCUAAAUUUUGUUUAAUCUAUACUUUGUUAGAUUGAUAGGCUUACAAUAAGUUGAAAAAAAAAAGCUUAUAAGGUUAUUAAUAUUAUGAUAUUUGGAAAUAUAGAAACAAGGGCAACAUAUGGAAUAAAAUUCUAUUUGGGUAUUCUUUACAUAAGUUAUUAUAAAGAGGGGUUAGACGUGCUUCAUCUAACUAGUACUUUGAAUGCGUACCUUCCAUUGAAUUAGAUCAUUUUUUUUUAUGAAAAAUUAUUCUUUUGUUAAAAGCUAUGGUUUCAUAGUUGGGAUUGAAAGUACUAGUUGGAUGAAGGAUAUCCGAUACCUCUUUAUAAUAUCUUCCACAAGGAGUACCCUAUAGAAUUUUUGCUCCAUGACGUCUUGGACAUAAUUUUCAGGGUCUUUAAAUUUCUCGAUAAUUUGGACCAUUGUAAUGCUUAACAACUUGAGAGAACAAAGGAAAUUUUGGAGGCUUUUCUGAUUCCUAUCAGCUUUUUUGCAUUGAACUUUUGGAACCAUCACUUUUUCUCUUUACCAUUUGCACCUACUGUAAAUAUGAAUUGAUUUAAUAUUUCUACUUGUUGCUUACCUGCAAUGGCUCAUCAAAACUUUGUUCCUAACAUUCUUCCAUAGUUUAGUCAAUUUUGUUUGUGUGUUGAUUCGAAACGGAAAGUUUGUUCAAGUUUUAUGCUACUUAGUUCCUUCAUCUGUGAGUAUGCUAUAAAUUUCAUGUUGUACAGGCUAAGCGUAGGAGGAAAAUAUUAGUGCUUUUACUAGUUACCCUUAUGAGGCAUGGAUAGAGAUGAUCAAAUCAAAAAACAUUGUGAGAUGUGCGCUCAAAUGUCAACAGCGAAUGAAUAGAGAGAAAUAUAGAGAGCUAGCUAUUCAUGACAUCUCAAAUUUUUUGACCAGCUUUUAGUUAUAAAUGAAACAAUAUUCUAGUUAGAAAAGAUUUUCCGAAUGGAUAUCAAACUAAGAUGAGUUGCUUAUCUUGGUUUACUAGUAGCUUUUCUAAACUCAUUUCUCACAUUCUAUGCUUCUUCAGCAUCUCUUCUUAUGCUACUCUAGUUGCUCAACUAAUUGAUUGAUCUUUUUAUAUAUGCAUUUAAUUUUUUCCCCUUUAGUUCCGCAAGUUCUUCGUAUCUGGUGUGUAAAAAUAAUUUGGUAAUCAUCUGUGGCAUAUUAGUGAAUCUAUUCUUUAGGUGGUUCACUUUUCUAAGUAUAAAUCACUAGAAAAAAUAUACAUCUACGUAUCUAAUAAAGUAUAUAUAAUUUCGCUUUUUCUCUCUCCAGAGUUUUAUCAACUAAAAUGAAAUUGAUCACCCUUGAUUUUUUUUCUUCUUUCUCAGGGCAGAUCUUCUCCAAACUUCCUACAACUUACAUGUCUGUGCAUACAAGGACUAGUAGCUUCCAAUGAAGCUUAAGGCGGCCCGAAUUUAUUAGCACGCCAGCAGUUUGCAUCUGCAUCAACUGAUACCCUCUCCUCUUACAGUUAACAUGGUGGUAGCCUUUCGGUUUGAUACUCUGUUUUGAAGGUCCUUGUAUUCUCUUCAUUGUAAGCUUUGUAAAUAUUGAAAUUAUCCUUCACGAAGGGUAAAAGUAAUCUGAACUUUACCCGUGUUGAUCCCCCUUGCCUUUUUUCUUGAUCGCAAUGCAAAUCGGUGUCUGAUUGUGCCCGGCUAUAUAAUUUGGGGGUAUCAUUUUGUUGUAUGUUGUGUUAAAAUCUAUAAAGUACGUGAUUCUCUCCAGUCUCUUCUACUCUUCUACUAUUCGCAUUUAUCUUGUUGGCUAUUGGCCAAACUAAUAUUGUCCUACUGUUUCUUUGUGUUUUCGAAAAUAAACAGGGAGGCCACAAAUAUUUUAUCUACUGUAAAUUUACCUCGUCGUGCAUGUAGCAGGUACAACUAGGAACUGUAUACACUCAAGAAAGAAGAGUAAGAUCAGUGAUGACUGAUGAGUGAUGAUCAUCAGGCGUAGGCGUAGACGUGGUGGCGGAGGACGAGGAUGAGGAGGGUGUAGAGGGCGAAGAAGAGGACGGCGUGGACGAGCACGGCCGGGCCGUUGGUGCGGAGGCUGCCGAAGUCGACGGCGCGGCGCGACCCGGGGGCCUCCACCAGCAGCCCCGGGGACAGCAGCACGAACAGCACCACCCCGACCGCCACCGACGCCCAAUCCGCCCUCCCCAUCUGCCCUCCCCAAUCUAGAUUUAUUCCAAUUUUUAACUAACUCUUCUUUAUUUAUUUUCCUUCUUGGAUUGAGAAUUGUGUAUGGAAUAUGGUUAGAGGUUGGAGUGCGCAGCGCAGUGAUCGUGCUCCGGAACUGGUCGCGGUGGUGGAUAUAUCAUGCAUGCGCCGCGGGCGGCGGUUGACGGCGACGUCAUCCGCGCUGAGGUGGCACCUGGAGGCGCGGGAGUGUGUGCCACGUGUAACGACGUCCUGAAUCAUCAUCACCACCACACCGCCCAAUCUCCAUUCGAACCUGGAUCCGAUCUGAAACCUUCUGGUCCGACCCUCGUCUGACAAAGUUUUACGGCUAAAUUUAAUACUUAGAAUUUUAAAUUUAUUUUAAAAUAAUAAUAAAGUCCAGAGAGUAAUUAAUAAGAUUUUUAAUGCAAAUGGAUAAUUAAGACGUCCGCUAAAAUACCAGAUUUUUUUUUGCCGCAUAAUAGUAUUUAUUUUUUUCUUUUAUUCUCUUUUUUGUAUAAAAAUUUUAUAUAUAAAAAUUAAAAUUAGAUACCAAACAAAGUAUUCAUGCGUGGAACGUGUUUUAUUUGUUUACAAUAUCCAUCACAUUUCGUCGUUGGCGCGGACCAAAAUCACGCGUUCCCAUUCUAACUACUUCAAUGCGGAUGGGUCAGAAACUCCCUGCAACGCAGAAAUCUAGACGGCCACAGCAUCACGUAACAUCCACGUGUACGGGCGAUCAUCCUCCCUUACAAAACUUUCUAUGCGAACGUUCGGACCGGAACACUCGCUGCGACAGCGACACCGUGAAUGACCUUUCUCCCGAAAAUACCCUUUUUAGUAGGAGCCGCAUGGUAUCAUUAAAUAAAGGAAAAAAAAACAAUACCCUGUCACCCACUUAGACACCCACGUCAGCGCACGGAGAUAUAGAAUGUGGGCCCACUUCAGGUUGCAAUACGUGGAAACUUUUUAUUGGUUAGUUGAAUCGGGAGUCUAUUUCCUUUGUCGUUGAAACAGCGCCCCUCUUUGAAACGGGCAAAUUUUUGGGGUUAGGAUUUAGGAAAGCAUAUGAUUCGCUUCUCGAUGGAUGUAGAACUGAUAAGUUGUUUACCACCUUAUUUGUGGACCAGCGAGUUAUCCACCGUACAUUCCAACUAUUUUUUCAAUUUUUGAUUUAACGUGCGAGCUCGAAGCGAAUCAAAAGCCCCGCUGACGGAUGACGUGGUGAACCUUGUUCAUGAUAUUGGUUUACUCCGUCCAAAUAGGAGGUAGAGAUUAGCCGAGACCCAAUCGCGAUAGAGAGAGAGAGAGACAGAGAGCCCACGUCGAUCCUUCUCUUACCCUCUCCGCUUCCUCGCCGGCGAUCGGGGAUCCGAGGCGGCGGCGGAGGAGGCGGCGCCGCCGUGCUCACGAUCGGGGCCGUGGUGGCGGGGCUUCUCUGGGGGGAUUCUCGAUCGUCGGAUCGGAGAUGGACCGCGGCGGAGGGGCGGGGAGGAGGAGCAGCUUCUCUGGGAAGAAGUUGGCGGAGAACGGCGGGGCCUUCGAUGGCGGAAGGAGGACCUCUAUCUCUCGCCCUCCGUACGAUCUCUCUCUCUCUCUCUCUCUCUCUCUCUCUCUUCCCCCUUCCUCCUCCCAAUUCUCGAUCGAGUUGUUUGUAUUAGUUCUCUAAGGUUUCGAUUUUAGUAGGGAGUUUAGUUAGUUAGUGUUAGGUUCUAGGAUCUCUUCAUUGGAUUAUGUGCGCUUAAUUCUUUAUUAAUUAGCAACUGCUCGAUAUUAAUCAGAUUGCCUUGUGACAAAGUAACUUACUGUUUCUAGUAUUUUUAUGCUACGCUUAAUUCGUUCUUGCUGUUUAUAUUGUUUUGUGUACCGAGAGUGUGAUGCUUUGGGUACUUGAAUUUAUUUUAUUUUAUUUUAUUUUAUUUUUUUAUUGAUUUGCUACUGUAAUAAGCGAGUUAUCAACAAUGGGAAAGGGCAUGUUUCUGAUUUGUGUGAAGAUUCCCUCUGUAGAAGACUAGGUUUAUGAGAUGGAUUAGUAGUAGAUAAGAGGGAUUAGUAGUAGAUAGAUUCGUAGGCGUUUAUGAGAUGGUAAAGCGUAGAGAAUAGCCUUAUCAGCUGUAGAGUAUUUGAAAUUUGUGUGAACCAAAAUUCGCAAUUUUUCACUAGGGUUCAACAGCUCUAAGUAUAUUAUGCUAGAAAAGUCCUUGUACAGAGGUAAUUCUUUGGCUUUGUUUGGAUGUCGGAAUGAGAUAUCCAUUGAUAAUUUAUGUUGUAUUAAGAUUUUCUUAUGUAACUGGAAGUCAAGACAUCCAUGAUCUUAUACGACAGCAUAUUUUGCUUACGAGGUGAUUUGUCUUAUUCCGAAAGAAAGGACUUGAAGGCUAGAUAUUGUAUCCACUAGAAAUAUACAGAAUAAAAUGUCCAUACAUCCAAACAAGGCCUUCGUUAUGGUUGGAGACAACGCUAAUGCUUUAGUUUUGGUCAUCAGAAGCUUUUUGUUCUGUACAUUCUUAGGAGCUAUAAUAGGAUGCUAGACUUGUAUAAUCAAUGAAUACUUACUUAAAGUAUGUUAUGCUCCAAUUCUUGCAUAUUUUCUACCUCAUUCUCCAUGUUGGGAAACAGGACCGGCGAGAGAACUGUAAAGAGACUCCGGUUGUCGAAGGCCUUAACAAUACCUGAAAAUACAACUGUAUAUGAGGCUUGCCGCAGGAUGGCUGCUCGAAGAGUAGAUGCUGUGUUGCUGACUGAUUCAAAUGCACUGCUUUGUGGUAUCCUUACAGACAAGGUUAAUUUAUUUCUUUUACUCCUUAAUUGAAUCUACAUUGGUUUGUUUAAGCUCAUAUUACUGAUUUUAGCUUUUCUGAUGUGAAGGAUAUAACAACAAGGGUAAUUGCCCGUGAAUUGAAGCUUGAUGAAACACCAGUAUCCAAGGCUAUGACCCGGAAUCCUGUCUUUGUUCUUUCGGAUACAUUAGCUGUGGAAGCAUUGCAGAAAAUGGUGCAAGGUUUGUGGGAUCAAAAACACAAGCACAUACUAGUUGUCUUUGUGAAAAAGGACAACUGCAUCCAACCCCCUGAGGUUCCCACUUUUGCAUGUGGUUAUCCAGACUUUUUAAAAGUUAAGAAAAGACGACCUGAACAAUGUCCAUUUGAAUCAAGUCAACCAACUACGCCCCGUUACCAUCUAUCAGUGACGAGAGCGAGCCCUUGGCCGCCAUAUGAAACCUAAUGUUUAUGUCUUAUCCUUUCAUGUGAGUCACUGCUGUUAGAAAACAAACAGAAAAACUGGUGGUUUGGUUGGUUGACUUCGGGCUUUUCGUUUUCCUUUUUUAGCUUUUGAAAGUUUGGAUGGUCACUUGUAACGAGCGCCUUUAAGGGGCUCUAAUGCAUUUAUCUCUAGUUGAAAUUUUAACUUGAGUCAAUUUUUUUAAUUGCAGGGAAGUUCAGGCAUUUGCCAGUUGUAGAAAAUGGUGAAGUCAUUGCAUUACUCGACAUAGCAAAGUGUCUUUAUGAUGCUAUUGCUCGCAUGGAGAGGGCUGCUGAGAAGGGCAAAGCCAUUGCGGCUGCUGUUGAAGGGGUGGAAAAGCACUGGGGUACAUCAAUUUCUGGUGUGUAGAAAUCUUAUAUAUUUUCUGAGGAAAAUUAAUAUUACUAUUAGUUUUAUUCAACUUAUUUUACUUUUGAAAGCUUACUAUGUUUGCCUGUUUCUUGAAUGACUUUGUAACUAUAUGCUUUCCAAAUUCUUUCCAGGUCCUCAUACGUUUAUUGAAACUCUUCGAGAGAAGAUGUUUAGGCCUUCUUUGUCUACAAUUAUUUCGGAGAAUCCAAAGUAGGUAAUAUCCUCUCAUUAAGAAUCUAUUAUAAGCCUUGAAUGAUAUAUAAAGAAGAUCGAAACAUAAAAAUUUCAAAGAUUUUCUGAUGGUGGCAUCUUAGGGUUGUUUCUGUCUCACCAACCGACUCAGUGUUAACUGCAACAAAGAAGAUGCUCGAACUGAAGAUUAGUUCAGCAGUUGUCACAAUUGAAAAGAAACCUAAAGGAAUACUAACGUAAGUAGUCCUUGCUUUCCAAUGGAUAAUGCUUUUCAGUAAAAUGUAGCAUCAGUUUAACCUCUGUUCCUAGUCUGGUCUUUACUAUCCCUCUUUUUUUUUCCUCUUUCUUUCAUCUCAGUUCCAGAGAUAUACUGAUGCGUGUAAUUGCACAAAAUCUCUCUCCUGAAUCUACUCCUGUGGAGAAGGUAACUUCCCUGCCACAUGGGCUCUCAAUUUUCAGAAAUCUUCAUAUAAUCAUCAGUUGGUACUCUAGCUGGCAAUUGGUUGCUAUAUGAUAAACUACUGUUGUUGCUAUGGUGUGAUGACCGAAAGUCGAUGUGAGAGGUUCUUAUCCACUGAUGCAGGAAUUACAAUUAUUUCUUUUGUUCUUAUCCGUGCCUGCUACAUCAUCUUGCAUAUCCUUUACAGUUAGCAAAUUUUGGCGUUAGCUAUCUUAAUUGCUGGUUUGAACAUUGACAUUUUCAGCAUUUAGCUAAUUAUCCAAUCUCUGAAUAGUAAAUUAACAGUUAUAUUAGAAAUAAAAUUCUCUCAACUUUAUUAUCCACAAAUUUUGCCUUCUUUUAUCUAUGAUAAAGAUGUUGGUCUCUUUCUCGAAGGAAAAAUUGUUUCGGUUGAUACAGCAUGUAAUGUGUCAAACACUUUUACAGGUUAUGACGCCAAAUCCUGAAUGCGGAACAGUUGACACUCCGAUUCUUGAUGCUCUUCACACCAUGCAUGAUGGGAAAUUUCUGCACUUUCCUGUUGUUGACAGAGGUUGGUUAAACAUACAAACAAGUUUAUCUGUCCUUUUUCUUCUCAUAUAUUUGCAUUUUAGCCACUUAUAUAACUCAUAUGCUUUAUACAGAAGGGAACAUUGUCACAGUUGUUGAUGUUAUUCAUAUCACUCAUGCCGCGAUAGCCACUGUAAGUUGGUGAUGUACAUUUAUCAGUUCACAUCAUUCUCUGCAACUGUCUGGGCUUUCAAGCUCUAAUUUAAUUGCUUAUUACAAACUAAUGACUAGUAGCUUGUAUAUGAUGCCUGCAAUCUUUAUUUUUCUUUUUUUUUUUAUUUUUCCUUUCAAGCUCAUCCUAUAAAGUCAUGCUAUUAUAACUCCUAAGUAGUUGCCUGCCAUCUGAAAGAAGCUAUACUUAUAGUCAUACUGUUACUAAUGGAUCCUUGAUGCUAGCAAUGCCCAUCUCCUGAAUGCCAAUAUUAGUGCACAAUCACAUCACUAUAUCUAGAUGGGAGUUCAAUAUCUGCAUUCUUCGGUUAAGUUAUUUGAUGGUCCAUAAUAGUUGGAGACUUUGAGGUCAUCAUAGGAUUUAGAAACAUUAGAACUGAGUUCGAUGUUCUCUUUUAUAAAGGUCAAACUGUAAACAAAGGAACUAUUGACUCUUACUGAGAUCCAUAAAUGCUGAAUAAUUCAUUACUCUAUGUUCAUAAUGUAUAAAGGCGGGAAGUAGCGGGGGAUCCGGAACCGAAGCAACAAGUGCAAUGAUGCAGAAGUUCUGGGACUCGGCUUUGGCCAUAGGACCUUUAGAUGAUGACGAUGAUUCUCAAAGGUUGGAAUCCUCUUGAUCUAUUUGAUACAUAUUAUUUAACACUUAAAACAUGGUUUCAUAUUUUUGACAAUCUAUUCAAUUAACCAAUUUUCAGUGAAGGAUCCAUGAAAGUGGCAUCUGAAGCCACAGAGGCAGGAAGGUCAGCAUUUUAUCCAGUGUCAGGUUUAUCGAGUACUUUUGGAUUUAAGCUCCAGGACAAACACGGCAGGAUGCAUAGAUUUAACUGCGGUAUGCUAUCCCAUUUAGAACUUUUACUGAUUAACAGAAAAAUUGGUCAAAUACUUAAAUUUGGUCCCUUAAAUUUUAUUCCGAUUUUAGUUUGUCCUAAGAUAUCCGGUUUUUGACAAUUUUGUCCCAAAGUUUGUUCUGCUUAGUAAUUAAGUCCUUUUGUUAGUCUACUUCUUGUCCUGGCUGGUGUGAUGCUGAUGCGGCAUCAGUUUUCCAAUGCUAGAUUAAUGAAAGUUCAGUGAUUAUGCGGGACAAACUUCAGGAUUUAAUUGCUAGAACUUAAACUAUGAGGAUGUAAAUGAAAUUGGGUCAUAUUUCAUCCUAAGACUUUCACAGAAUUUUCGCAUUAUUAUUCAUCAAGAGAAAUGUAAUCACCUGUUUUGUUGUUGUUUAUAUCAGAGACAGAGAGUUUGUCAGACUUGAUAACUUGCAUCCUUCAGAGAGUGGGUGAUGACAUUGAUAGGAAUAAUCUACCCCAAAUUCUGGUAUUUAACUAACUGUAAACCCAUCUCAGACAAAUUAUAAGAAUUGUGACUAAAUAUGUUUCAUCUUGAUAUUUGUUUUUGAUGAUGCUUCUUAGUAUGAAGAUGAGGACCACGACAAGGUUAUUCUUUCGUCGGACGGUGACCUUGCUGCAGCAGUGGACCAUGCCCGACAGAUUGGUUGGAAGGUAGCAUUUAAACACAUAAUUUAUUCUCCUGUUUUAUUUACAAUGAAAUGUUAGUAGUCUUAAAUUAGCAAGUCAACUCAGUGAUUCACUUGAGUCGUGCUCCCCAUUUUAUGUUAUUUGUCUUGAUUCUUUCUAGCUUUGAUUAAGUGAGGUUUUUUUUUUUCAGUAGACAUUUUAAAAGCAUAUUCUAUUAGUAAUGAUACCUUACACUUCCAAAUAGAAGAUACAAAUGGCAAAGAUAGCAUAUUAGCACUUUUUUCCUUGGAUUGUUUGAAGUAUUAACACUUUAUUUAUGCAAUUAAAUCAAGUUCACGUAGUAGUCAUUAUUUUCAAGAGCAAAUGGCUCGCGGAUUAGUGAGGAGCUAAGUAUAAUCUUCCAAACUGACCAUCUUCCUUUGAAUACUCAGUUUUUUGUAAGCCGUAUUUACUCAAUUAUUCUAAUAAACUUUCUCUGACCUCUUUCAGAGUUUAAGAUUGCACUUAGACUACAUGGGAUCCGGGAGGCGAAAGAGAGGUGGCGGGUCAGGAAGCUUCGAAUAUGCGCGCAAGGAUGCCUGGGCGUCAGCAUACAGUGCGGUAGCCGCUGGAGCAGCACUAGUCGCAGGCCUUGGUGUUAUGGCUUACCUCAAGAGAUCAGGUUGAUAGAUGAUUGCUUGCCUUUUUUCGAUUACAGCCUUCUUCUUGUUGAAAUCACACCCCACUCCUCGAAAAACCUUGGGAGAUUCAUCAUUCGAAACAGUGUAUAAAUAUAUUCCUAUUUAGAAAAAUAAUUGUGCCGGUGGCACAUACAUGGAAAUGUAAAUUGCACAGAUUUUUAAAUCGCUCACUGCAUACACGAAAUUGAUUUUGUGAUUUGAUAAUUGUGAUAUUGUUGGCCAUUGUUCUAGUAUCUCACUGUGUGUGUGUGUGUGUGUGUGGGUGUUACAAACAUAAACAACUAAAAGCAUGUAACAUAUGAGGACAUGGCUUAAAUGUUCAACAACUGCUAUAUUAACUGUUUGCCAGAAAAGGCGGAAUGGUUGUAUAAACAGUUGAGUAUGUAAUAAACAACAACACAAAAUUCUUUCGAAAAUAGAAGUGACAUCAUGGAUUUCACAGGGUAAAAAGGAAAAAUAAGUGUUUUAAUGUAAUUAUAUUUCAGAGAAAAUAGGGAAAAAAAGGGUUAGGAAUGAACUGCAAUGAGUCUACUGAGUUUGUUCCACUGUCUCUUAUGUUUGCUCAUCUGGCUUGCAAAUUUGAUUCCAACCAAUUUUCGACUCAUAUCCUCAUUCAUAUUAUACAAAGAUGGUUUCUAAAAAUUAGUACUAAUCUAGGAUCGUCGAAAAGGGAGAUGAGGUGUAAUUACAGAGAAAUGAGAUACAAUUACAUCAACCCUAGCUUUGUACCGUGCUUUAUCGCAAAAAGAGCAGGAAAGCUCUGAGAAAACAAAAAGAAUGUAGAUGAUGACAUCUGAGGCAAAAGCAGAAAAGAUUGAUUAAGUAAAGAUAUACUUCCUGUUCUGCUGCAAUGUUAAGAUUCAAAUGUCUUUAUUAAGGACUUAAAUGUUCCAGCUGCUAUAUUAACUGUUUGUCAGCAGAUAGAAUAAAUGGUUGUGGGUUGUAAACAAAUGAGCAUGCAGCUAGAAGUAACCAAAAACUUAGUAGUAAAUGUGAGGAUCAUGGGUUUCAUAUGAGUUAAGACACAAUAAAGGUCAGUAAAGAUACCCAGAGAAGUAGACAACUAAAUAAAUAAUGCACAGAUGUGGGUACGAAGGCAAUCCUUGAUACACUAAUAUAGUAAUCCGUGCGAUGCGACGAAUAGAUAAUUAAAGAAAAAAAAAAGAAAACGACAAUAAAGAAAGAGAAAACAAUGUUGGAAGAAGCGACGAUGAGAGGUGAGAUUCAUCUUACCGAUGAAGGAAGGUAACAGUCGAAAGAAGUGGAAGAGGAACAGUUCGCCUCAAUGCAGAGGUGUGAUAUGGUUCGGUUCAAGAAAAAGAAAAAGAGAAAAAUCCAAAUUUGGUUCAACUAAAAAAAGAGGAAAAAAAAAAAUGUGGAGGACUUGAGCCGGUUUGGGGGAGCUCAUACUCAACAAUAAUUGAUUCGGUUCAAACAAAGAAAGAGAAAAAUAUGUGGAGGAUUUGACCCGAUUCGGGAUGGAGCUCACAUUCAACAAUGAAAAAAAUAUUGCUAUGUGACAAAUUUAGAGAGUAUAAUAUAUAAAUAUAGAUAUUCUAAGUUAGAGCUGCUCAACUACCCACAAAUAAUUUCUAUGAAGAUCUUAUGAAACUGGAUGAUUGGACAGUUGGGGUUCAAUCAUUAAUGUGGUCUGUACUAAAUUUUCACAAAAGCAUUGUCAGUAAUGUAAAAUCCUUUUACCUUCUAGUUAAAGGUGAAAGAGAGAUUUAAAGAAGGAAACAAAAAACACCCAAUGUGACCAAUCAGAAGUGUCCGAAUUCAAACUGGAUCUCAUUCUAAAAACUGUACUCAAUGGGGCAUUAAUUUGUCAGCAGUAGAGGAUAACCUGCAAUGAUCCAGCAUAUUAAAAGUUAGUUAUCUGUUGUGUUCUGAGUGUUAGUUAAAAUAGAAAGGUUGUAUUUAUGAUUCAGAAUGUCAUUUCAACUUUUUGUUACGGCAGAUAAAAAGUGACCGUUUCUGAAAAAAAAAGAAAAAGAAGAGAAAGUAUGACCGAACAAUAUGGUAUUAAAGUGUCGCCUCGUGUCAUACCGUGUCACCAAUACGAUAAAUUUAUCUAAUUAGUGUACUUAUAAAUUUUAUUAUUAUAUUUUAAUUUUUAUUUCUUAGAUAUAAUUGUAUUUUACAUAUAAAAAAACCUACUAAUAUAUUAAUUGGUGAAUAUGAUAAACUAUAUAUAACUAAUAUUCAUAAUUAUUUGACUAAAUCUUUCAAUAUAAUAUUAUAAGAAUUUAUUAAAAUAAAAAAAAUUAAACUACAUAUGUGUCAAAACGUGCCAUUAGAAGAUCAUAUGUAUCCAUUUGCACUCGGCACGAAAGCGUGCCCGUCGCAUAUCGUGCCAGGCAAUCAACGGCACGCUCUCGUGUUACGGCACUUUAAUCCUCGCUGCUGUGUACUCUUCAUGUAUGCCCGUAUUGGUAAAUAAUCCCAAAUACUGAUAUCCAUAUAAGAAUAUCUCGACCCUGAACGUUCCCUAAAGAGUAAGUUAACGAUCUGAGAGUGUCAGAAACAUCAGCUACUGAGGAAAACAUAUUUUAGGGAGAGAGAGAGAGAGAGAGAGGGGAAAAAAAUUAGGGAUUUGAAAAUUUGAAUGUUAUCAUGUUUUAGGAUUAUGUGCAAUAGUAAAAUCUGAAAGAGAGAGUGUGUUAUGUAAAUUUAGAGUUGGGCUCAAUUGCACGGUUGUACUUAUUGGGUUUAUUUUAUAGGCCAACAAUAAUGACCCAAAUUAAAUUAAAGCCUAUAUAUAAUUAAAAUACAUUAUAUUUAUAAAUAUUAUUAUGUAUAUAUAAAAUUAGAUUGGAAUACUAUUAAUAGUAGAACGCUCUUUUUGCUAUCAAGUUUUUAACCCUUAGAUGAAAAAUUGUAGGGUCAGGGUGAUAUUAGUCGUUAGAGUUGAGUGGUCCCCCUAGGGUUGAGUGGUCCCCACUGGAUUAUAGUAUUUAAUCCAAUGGUUAGAAAUAAUGAAAAGAGUUGAUCCAAAGACUAAAAAACUGGUAGCAACAAUGAAAUUUUGCUACUGAUAGUAGCCCAGUCCAAAUAUAUAUAUAUAUAUAUAUAUAUAUAUAUAUAUAGAAUUAGAUUACUAUACUAUCUAUAGUACCGAGCUCCGGUACUAUAGUGUUUGUUUUUGAUCUUAGUAAAGCUAUAUUAACUAACUUUUUGAUGAUCAGAUGCCGAUUCUUUUCAAUUUUCCAAGAGAACCAAGAUAACCUGAAAUCACUUGUACUUUAGAAGGAUAAAAAGUGUCACGAAAAGAAUCAGAUAUAAAAAGCAAAGGUGCAAGGAACCAUUCAAUCAGAAAAGCACAAUCUGCAGGCAAAAACUUGUACAUAAAUAAAAUUGACAUAGAAGGAUGGUGGGGAUAAACUGUUUUCCUCUAUUUCAUUAUAUAAAUCACUAAUAACUUACAUCCAUCAAUUUCUUCUUUGUUGAUCGAAGAACGACUAUUUAUCUCACAUUUCAACAAAUAAAGGGUGGGGAAAAAAAAAAUGAUUGCACUCUCUGUACACUCACAUAUAUUGCUACUGAAAACCAAAAAAAGGAUUUACAAGGUCGCGAUAUCGGUGAUGAGAUCUAAAUUUGUCUCCUUGAAAAAGCGCUUCCAGCGAAUCUUGCAACUGUUGAUUUCGGUCUGUUGAGAUUUCGUAAUUUUGUGAUAUUGUACUGCAUCUAGUGUACUUGCUGAGUAAGAUAGCAAGCAGGAAAAAAAAAAAAGUACUUCUCGUCCCGGAAAUUGAUCCCUGAUAAAGAAAAUCGAUAUUAUACAAAUGAAUUCAUACAGUAACACUUGAAUGCGAACUAGGAUUGGACAACAUUUAAACCAACAAAACACAAAUAGCUAUUCUAGUGCAAAAAAAGAUACUCCAAACUACUUAAGAAUUGAAAUUUUAAAUCCCUGGUUGAGUUCCCACAGCUUGAUUAGCUAAAACAAACGUUGUUUGUCUCCAGUAGUCGGCAUUAAUACUGGACAAUUUUAUGAAAAUAGUCACGAGUUACUGCAAAGAACGACGUCGCUCUAUACCAUAUAGAAACGUGGAGGAUAAAGAGUGUUUAAGACCCAAAAAAUAAAAUAAAACCCCUUAAUGCAAUUACCAAUCUUUUAAAAAAGUUAAUUCGAAGGGUACAUUAACAAAUAACACUAUCAUCGAAACGAAAUCUUCGUAUACUCGGUAAGCCAUUUAAAUAAUUUGAACAUUAUUAGGAAGCCUGUGGUUCACUAUAUCUGUUCUCUAGUUGCAUGCACAGCUUCAGCGCCAAAAUGCAUCUAAAGAAUAUAUGGAUGAAUAGUAGUCGACUCGGGCUCUUCCUUUCCCUCGAAACCAUAUAUCAGAGUUAUUCAUUUGAUAUUUGUCUCUUUCUUCGCAUUUAUUACCAAAUUCCCAUGAGUCAAACCAGUAGAAUCAAAACGAAAAGACCAAAUUGCUUACUGUAAAAGCAAUAAAAUGAGCCGAGAAUUGCUUACCUUUUGAAAAAGUUGUAUAUACAACCAGAUCGGCAAAGAUGCAAUAGACGAAUCUCCCGCCAACAUGCUUUCAGCAUGUAUAUAAUCUACUGACUUAAUUUUUCACCGUGAUAUUGAAAAAGCGAGCGACUUCUCUGUACAACUGUUCUCCUUCGAACGGCUUCGACACAUAGCCAUCCAUUCCACAGCGUAAGCACUCCUCGUGUGUGGCCUGGAUCACAUCCGCCGUCAUGGCCAAUAUAGGAAUGUGCCAGUGCAAUUUAUUCCCACAAGCUUCUAACGAAACUUCUUUGUGUUGUAUCCGAUCAUUAAGAGUAGUUUCCAUCUCCCUUAUUCUCCUUGUAGCUUCAAAUCUGCAAUAAAAUAAAGAAAAUGAAGAGAUAUUCCUAUGGUUAAUCUGAUAAACAUGCAAUUGCAACCACUUUGAUACAAGGUAAAAACUUACAUCCUAUAUUGUUUACCGCGUUGAAAUAAGUGACAAAAGUUUCAUAACUUAAGGCAGUAGUAUAUUGGUUUUAGUAUUUAAAGUUGAUACAAUUGAAAGGUUAAAAAACAAAAAUCGUGAUGAAUUGCUGGAAAGCCCUCCACUUCUCAAUAAGGGGGUUUACUUGACCAGUUCAUAAAAAAAAAAAAAAAAAAAAAAAAAAAAAAUAGUGGACAAUAUGAUGAUAAAAAACAAAGUAAGAUAAGGUAUUUACCCAUCCAUCUCUGGCAUUUGAAUAUCCAUGAAACAAGCAUCAAAAUCGUGCGGCGGAGUCAGCAGCGCGAUCGCCUUUUUCCCAUUACUACUAAGCGAGCUACUCUUUAUCGGGCUCGAAGAAUUCGCCAAUAUAAACAGUUUCGGAAUGUCUAAUUGCCCUCCUAUCCUCAAUUUGUUCAUAAAAAUAGGCCACUGACUCGACUCCUUUAACCACGUUUCCUUGUCGACAAGCACUAUUUUCAAACCCAAAUUACCGCUUGUUAUUUUCGGAAGGACUAGACUGAAGUUCGUGGAGAAGUCGACAUGCAUACCGAGCCUUUCAAGGUGGUACUUGGUAACCUUUGCACGAGCCGGCCUGUGAUCGACCACUAAUGCAGUUAACCCUCGGAACUCAAACGAUUUAUACUCGGUUGAAUUCGUCUUAGCUCUCGAAAGUACAGCCGUGAAUGUGAAAGUAGAGCCCACUUGAGGUUUACUUGCAAAUCCGAUCUCUCCCUUCAUGAGAUUAACCAAGCAUUUGCUGAUGCUAAGCCCAAUCCCGGUUCCUCCGUGUAUACGAGAAAUCGAGGGGCCUACUUGCAUAAAUGGGGUGAAUACGCGAGAUUGGGCUUCAAAAGGGAUCCCCGCUCCGGUGUCCUCAACGGAGAUGAUGAGGUUUAUUUGGUCAGGAGAGGUGGCCGGGAAAGGCUUCUCCAACGUAGAAAACUCUUUAUUGAAUAUCUUAAACCUCUCCCAGCUUUUCCUUCUAUCUGCCACCGGAAAGCCACUUACGGUGCUCAUCGGUUGAGCUUCUGUUUCCACUUCUAAUGGGAUCAUUACCUCUUCGACAAGAUGAACCGUCAAGUAUAUGUGCCCUUUUUCCGUGAACUGUUGACAAGAAAUUGGAGCUAAAUGAACUUCUUGGACAAUUGCGCAGAACAGCUUUCAGUUUUUCAUAAUUCAGAUAGAGAAAGAGAUGCUUACUUUGAUUGAAUUUCCGAUUAGAUUUGUGAUGAUUUGCCUAAUUCUUCCCGGGUCACCGAUGAGAGUUUCCGGAACUUGCUCGGAGACGAACGCAGCCAACUAAUUCCCCAGAAUAUUGAAAAGCAAGAUUCCACAGGGCGGCCAAAAGAAAUUGCAUGAAGUUAGAAGACGAAUAAAACAACUCCCUCAUAAAUAUCGUGAUUUUACUAAACAUUUCAUCACUUCUUAUCCUUCUUCAGUGUUUCGUUUACGAUAUAGCCAUCACUUUGCUCGUGUAACCGUCGGGUUAACUUGCAGGCCUUAACUUUCAGGGCGUGAUGCGAAAAUAUCAAAAAUCACGAUAUUUGUAGACAAUUGAAAGGAGAAAUUUGAAAUUUCUAACGUACCUCUAAUUCUUUCUCUUGGGCCUUUCCGCAGAAGAGUGACAGGAUGUCAUCCAAAACGGCCCGCAGAUCAAACGGGACUGCCUCGAGCUCGAGCUUACCUGAUUCGAUCUUUGCCUGAUCAAGGACCUCAUUGAUCAGUGACACCAAAGCUUUUCCGCUAGCUUGGGCUGUUCUCACAUAAUCUUGUUGAGUUAUGUCCAAAUUCGUAUCCGUAAGCAUUUGUAGCAUCCCUGCCAAAAAUUAGAAGUUAUUACUAAGACCAUCUUCCAUAGGUCGAUAUAUAUCAAUCAGGUCAUUUAUAACAAGUUUGAAAUCGUCACCUAGAACGCCAUUCAUCGGAGUCCUGAUCUCGUGAGAAACAGUUGCCAAGAACUGCAAAGAAUUGCUUGCGUGUUAGACAUAUAAAUCUUAUAAAAGUCGAAGGGUGAAAAUUAAAUCAAGUACCUGGGAUUUCGCAACGUCGGCCGCCUCUGCCCGUUUCUUGAGCUCCAUCAUCUCGCGAUAAUCGUCUUCAACUUUCACAAUGCGGUUGACCGUGGCGUGGAAUAUGUAACCGAUGAGCAAUGCAAUGACAAGAGCUCCGAUUGAUGUUGUUAUUCCGAGCCAUGGCAAGGGCGGCUUUUGCUUGAACCUAUCAUUUAAACAAAAUCUUGUAAGGUUCUUCGUUUCUCCAUGACCAUUUUGCAAGAAAAACAAAAAAAAAAAAAAAAUCAUAACUUCUACAAUCAAACUUCCCCUCCAUAUAAAACUACGAAGCAUGGUUUCGAUAGUAAAGGAUUUACCUGCAAUGCAUCUCGUGCUUUCUUAAUGGAUCGCCAAAGUUAAGCAUGCUUUUAUGAUAUAAACCACUAGCGGUCUCAUUCGAACCAUACAUGCUGAUCUUCCCGUUGGUAGUAUCAUACACAUCGACUAUGAUGGAUUGAUUACACGCAAGUUGGUGAAGCAACUUAUCGACCAACGAUUCAAUGUCGAAAAUACCACCUAAGUACCUGUUUAAGAUAAUAGAGAAGAGAGAUGUAAUAUUUGUAUUGAAAUGAACUGAAACUUUUGCAGAAAAAUGUUUAAAGCAUAGAAAGUUGGAAAACUCACCCUAUGGCGGCUUGAAUACGUUCCGUUGGAGUCGCAUUGGAAGGAAGAUCGGAUUUGUACACUGCAUAUGUAAGAAUGACCCCUAAGCGGUUCGAUUUUACUAGUUGUAGAGGAGCAGUUAAGACACCUUUACCCGAUUCUCUAGCUCGUAAUAUGUUCUCGCGAUCUUCCUGCAUAAAGUAGACAUUGAUAAAUUGAUAUUGGACAUGAUAAGAUUAAAGGCAAAACCUAUUUGAAAAAGAAAAGAUAUAAAAACAAAGUUCUAAUCAACAAAGUUACAAGUCAAAAGAACAAAGAGACACGUAAAAGAGAAUUGGCUCUUUAUCAACUAGGCAUGUAUAUCAAAUUAGUCUGGUAUACGACGAUAACAUUUCUGCAACCGAUCAUUAGAAGAAGGAAACAAUAAUAAAUACUAACAUACAUGUCGAGAAAGAUUGAAACGAGUAGAAAUCAAUAAUCAUAACAAGAAAUUGAUAUUAAGAGAACAUGAAAAAUUUAAUCGAUAGGGUAGUUACCUUUCCGGUCAACAUAUCCAAAGAAACCACAUGUUUGUAGGCGUCUUGAGCAAAAAUAACAGGAGCAUACUCCUCGGCAGGGGGCGAUAUCUCUUGGAUCUCACGAACCCUGCCAUUUUCGCGGUUGGGGGAUUGCUUUGACGAGUACAUCUUCUUUAUAGUCCACCCUUGUUGCUUCUCAAAUUGCUCCCUCUCAGAACGCAACACCUUCACGGCAUAAGCUACUCCGCUCGUCAGUGGCCUCUCGAAAGCCGUCCUAUCGGCAUAUCUCGCGAAAGUCAUCUGCAGAAAAAUGAUCGUCAGCAACCAGCUUGUCGGAUUUCCGGAAUUAUAGAAGCUUCUACGGAAGUUCUAUUUGACUAGAAUUGUUAGAAGAAGAACUAAAGCUUCUGCUCUAGGGACUCAAAAGCUUGUUUUGAUUUUGUCACGACAACGAAAGCCCCAAAUUUCUAGUUAACCAAACGGCCCGUUUAAAUAAGCUUCUGCUUUUUGGAGUAGAGAAGCCGCUUCAAACGCUAGACAACAAUUCUCUUCGAUUAGAUUUCAAAAGCAAACAUAUAAUCGAUCUUAUUUAAGUUCUCAACAUUAAGAAAAAUAAAAGAGCCAAAUUGCUACACCUUGGAAGAGAGAGAAAGUAGAGAGAGAGAGAGAGAGAGAGAGAGAGAGAGAGAGAGAGAUUACCUGAUCAACUGCAGAGGGAUGUUUGGAAUGGUGGAAGGUAGAGACGAGGAUUGCAAGGGCUUGAAGAUGGUUCAUGCUCACAUUGAACUGGUCCUGGAGCAUCCGCGCGCGCUCGUCGCACAUGUUGGCUAGGGUUUCUCUCCUCUUCUCAUUAGCAUGGGAGCUCAUGAACAUGAAGAUCCACAAGGAACACAACACCCAACCCACAACCCACAAGAGGAGAAGCUUCCUCCACCAUGUUUCCCUCACCUUCUUAGACCCAAAGUAAUGGCUGUAGAGAUGAUUCCUCCAACACCUAAAUGAGAGGUUUCUCUUGUUUCUAAGUAAUCUAGCCUUUUCCUCCAUUACCUCAGCAUCAAUGAACCAAGUCAUGGGGAACUUGGGAAAAUCCCACCAAAAUACCAUCAAAAUUAAGGGGGAGAGAGAGAGAGAGAGAGAGAGAGAGAGAGAGAGAGAGGAGUUGGAUUGAACUGUGGCCUUCAAUGCAAGAAAAGGUUCUUCUUCUCAAACAGUUGCUUCUAUCUUAAAGAAGGGCAUGAGAAGCCCACUAUUUCAAAGGCUAAAAAAAAGGAGAAAUAGGAUGGAUAUAUGAUGGAUGUGGGGUGAAUAGUUUCAUGAGCAAGACCAACACAGCAAAAGGAUUAAAAGAUCCUCCUUUUUAGCCUACAAAUCUAACACAGUGACUGAACCACAAACCAAUCAAGAGGAGCUAAAAUCCAACCCAGAGAUUUAAAAAGAAAAAGGAGAAAGAAAAAAAAGGAGGACCUUUCAGCUUCUGCUUCCCCUGCUUCAUAGAUCCAUCUCCCUAUGCCAAAAAAAACACCCAAAAGAUCCAAACUGGAACAAAAAACAAGGGAGGGGAUCACAAACCGAGCAAUAUUUGAGGAAUCUGCAAAAUGAGAGCUCAAAUCACUGGAUCUCAACCUCAACCUCUUGUGGAUCAAACAGUGAUGAUGAAGGAAACCAAGUCCCCAUUCAUGGGCUCCUCUGGAGAGGAGGUGAACGAUGCAAAGAAAUCUAUCUUAAUGCCAAGGCCAUUAUCUAACCCCCCCCCCCUCCAACCCAAAGCAAAGAGGAUAAAAUAAUAAGAAUACAAAACGAAGGGAGAAAAGAAAAGAAACAGAGGAUGCGUAUAUCCACAAUAAACAAAGCCUCCACACUCAGAAGAAAUGGCUUGUUCUCCUCUUCACCAUCCCCAAGCAAAGAAGAGGACAAGCCCCACACGCAAGUGUCUCUGUGGCUCUUCUGUGAGCCGGGGCGCUUUGGCCCUGUUCUUAUUCUUAUGAUAGGGUGGGGGGUUGUGUGUGAGGGGGCUAAAAAUGGGGCCUUUUUAUUGCCAUAUAUAAUCUACAGUGGAACAGGGGAGGGUCCCUGCUCCAGUUCACAAGGACAAUGGAGGGUGUGAGUGUGGGGCCUCAGCAAAGGCGGGGGUUUUGGCCAAAAGAGUAGUUGGUGAGGAGAGGGUGUUCAGUGAGUGAGAGAGAUGGAGCAUUUUAUGAGAGAGAGAGAGAGAUAGAAAGAGAUAGAGAGAGAGAGAAAAAGGGGUGAAAGGGAACUGCUUUAAAGAGCCACAUUGUGGAUGAGUUGGGCAUUUGGGUUUGUGAGAUAAUAAUAAUAGCUGCUUUUGGUGUAUUCUGAUAGCAAUGUUGUGAGAUGGAUGAGGAAUGAUAAGAUGUGGGGCCUCUGUAAAGCUCCACCAUUUGAGACAGCUUAUAUUAGAGUUUAUGGAGCACAUAACAGAAUCUGGGACUCUUUUUAGUGACUCCCCAAUAAUAUGAAGUGUAUAUAUAUAAAGAGAGGGAGAGAGAGAGAGAGAGAGAGAGAGAGAGAGAGUCUAGAGAGGGACUUGUGUGCUUUGCUCUAUGUAUCUUCUGUCUACAUGGGGUUGAGAAGGGAUGUUCUUGGACAGUGUGACACUGAUGAGUUUGUGAUUUUUUUUCUUUGCUUGGAUUGCUUUGGGGGAAUCCAAGUCAUUAGUCUAUAGACUUAGAUUCUAUUAUGGAUAGUUCCUAUGUUUCCUGAUAUAAUUGACUUAGUAGUCCCCUUAUAGCUCCUAUUUAGAUGCUAAAAUAAAUUAUUCAACAAUUAUUUUUAUGGUACAAAAAAGAUUUUGUAUGUGAUUUNNNNNNNNNNNNNNNUUUUAUAAGUAUAGACCAUUUUCUACUUAUAAAUUUUUGGAUUAAUUUUCUAAUUAAUUCCUGAUUUAAAUUCAAAUUUUAAAUUUUUAUUUUUGAUGACUAAAGUGAAAAAUAAAAUUUAGAGACCAAAAUUAACAUGCAAAAAAAUGCUAAAUAGGCGAUAGCACGAUAAUAUCGUAAAAUGUUAAACCUCUUUUAACAGUACCAUUUUAUUGCGAUGAAAUCAAGAGAUUUAAAAAUUUGAUUGCAAAAAAAAAAAAAGAUUUAAGGGCAACAAAAAAAUAGUGAAAAGUUUGGGACCAAUGUUCGAUUAAUUCUUAAAUAAAUUGUUGUUGGCCCCACAACCCCCCAAAAUAAAGGGAGGCCUUCUUUAAGGUUCACAAUUUAUCUUUAUAUAUAUAUAUAUAUAUUGUAGAGUUACUAUGCUAUCGGAAGUAUAAGAGAGUUGGUGCUUCCGAUUUUUUGGCCAUUGGAUCAAACAUUGUACGGUUAGGAUGAUAGUGGUCCCUUUAGGGUUGAGUGGUUCCCAUUGGAUAAUAAUAUUAAUCCAAUGGCCAAAAAUGAUCAAAAGGGUUGAUCUAAGGGCUAAAAAAUCGGAAGCACCUACCUUAUACUUCCGAUAGCAUAGUAGCUCUACUCAUGUUGGUACCAAGUUUUCCGCCGUUAGAUCUAUCAUUUUGAUCGUUUUCACCUGUUAGAUCAUACUAUUCAACCAACCACCCACUCAACCUUAGGGGACCCACAUCAUCCUAACCACACAUUUCUUAAUCCAAUGACCAAAAACUUGGUAGUACCAAUGACUUGGUGCUAUUAAUAGUAUAUUAGCUUAGUUAUAUAUAUAUAUAUAUAUAUAAUAAAGAUUAAAUCAAGAGAUUUGAAAAUUUAAUUGUAAAAAAAAAUAAAAUAAAAUUUAAUUGUAAAAAGGAAGAUUAGGGACCAAAAUAAAAAUAGUGGAAAGCUUACGAGCCAAUGUGCAAUUAAUUUUUAAAAGAUUGUAUGUGGUACAAAAAGGUUUUUGUAUGUGAUUUAAAAAAAAAAAGAAGAGUUGAAUACUAAAUAUGGUAUCGUUAAAGUAUGUAAAAUAAUCAUAUACUAGUUAAUGACCCGCGUGAUGCGGCGGAAAGAUAUUAUUAUAGUAAAUUAUUAUAUAUAUAUAGGAAGGUAUUAUUAUAGUAAAUUAUUAUAAUAUAUAUAUAGUUCAGCUACUAUACUUUUAUGAUUAUUAGACUCCUUUCUACUUAUAAAUUUUUGAAUUAAUUUUAAGAUUAAUUCCUUAUUUAAAUUCAAAAUUUUGAAUUUUUAUUUUUGAGGACUAAAGUGAAAAAUAAAGUUUAGAGACCAAAAUUGAUAUGCAAAAAAAAGCUAAAUAGGCGAUGGCAUGAUAAUAUCAUUAAAAUCUAAAAUCUCUUUUAACAGUGCCAUUUUAUUGCGAUGAAAUCAGAGGUUUGAAAAUUUGAUUGCAAGAAAAAAAGAUUUAAAGACAAAAAAAAAGUAAAAAGCCGGGGACCAAUGUACGAUUAAUUAUUAAAUAAAUUACUGUGAAUCCCACAACUCCCAAAAUAAAGUGAGGCCUUCUUUAAGGUUCACAAUUCAUCUUUAUGUAAUAAUAAUAAAUAUAAUAAUAAUAAAGAUUAAAUUAAAAGAUUUAAAAUUUUGAUUGUAAAAAAAAAAGGAUUAGGACCAGAAUAAAAAUAGUAGAAAGCUUAUGAACCAAUGUGCAAUUAAUUUUUAAAAGAUUGUAUGUGGGCCCCCCACCCCCCCUCCAAAAUAAGGGAAGGACUCCAAAGGGCUGCCCUUUCAUGUUUAUAAAUAAUAAUAAUAAAUAUAAUAUAAUUUUUAAAAGUUUAAAUUACCAAUAAACGGUAUUAAUAUUUUAUCUUCAACAUUUUUCCCACGCUUGGACUUGAAAUUUUUUUGAUAAAUUUUGAAUUACACGGGAGAAAAAUAAAUAAGAUAAAAGACUUGGCGGGAUUUGAAUUCAGAAUAUGUUAUUCUGAUCAUGUUAAAUUAUGUAAUAAUCAUUUGUUUCAAAAAACACUUAAGAUUUUAGAAAACAUCGUUCAUUUCGAAUUACUUUAAUAUAGUAUCAAACCCGGACGUUUGAUUAUACUAUUCAUCUAUCCGAAAGUUAGAUACAUUUUUUUCUAGAUGUGCGACGGAUGUUCAUGAAUCCAAACAAGGACCUUAUUUUUCUUUCUACUAAAUUCUUUACUUCCCGAACUUGCUGUUACGUGCUUUCGUACGAAAAUCUCUCGACUGGCCAAAUGAAGCUUGGUUUAAUUUCUGGACGUAGGGUCGGGUCAGGCUCGACCCACUUUUGUUGAGCGGGUUAGAUCUUAAAUUCUAAACCCUAAAGACCAACCCAAAAAGAAAGAAAGAAAAAACUGGAUAGGUCUCUAAUUAAUUUCUAGUUGAUUCCGUCUUAGGUCCAAAUUUUUGCAAUUUGAACGAGCCAAUGGUUUGCUUGAUCUGACCACUUUUGACCACUCAGUACUGUGUGUUUUAAUACUGGCCAGGUUGAGUCCUGACAGAGUCGACCCCAUCUGAAACAUGGCUCAAUUCUUCGUUUGUCAACUUAGAUUGCAAUUUCAUCACCAAUAAUAAUCCUUAGGAAACUUCUGUUUUCUCCUGAUAUUAGGGUAUGCUUAUCUUUGUAGAUUUCGAAGAUUGGACUCGUCGUUUCGAAAGAAUUGUAUGCAUUAGUGUUUGUUCCAGUACCAAAAUCGCAUGAUCAUUCUGACGAUCCUACUUAUAACUGUAUAGAGAUCGGCCUUUCGAUUUCGACAAGAUGAGAACAAAACUCGAGUUUAUGAAACUUACAAAAUUUUUGCUCUCUUUUCGCCUUCGCCAGAGAACAUUUUGGUUUUACUUGAAAUAUACUAAUGAAAAUUUUAUAUUGAUGUGCCGAUCGAUAGGUUUUGUCAAGAACAGCGUUACAUUCGCAUCAUGUCAUCAGCAACAAGUCAAUUAUAUCUUUUUUUUGAGAGAAAAGUACAGUAAAAAUAGUUUUUCUAAUAAUCAUGGUGUAACGAGCGAAUCCAAAGAGGACAAUAUUAUUGAUAUAACUAACAUAUUCUAAACUUUUCACCCGUAGCAAUAAUAUCAACAUAUAAAUAGGAUUUGAGUCGAGACGUGCAGGCUUAUUGUAUCGCCGUGCUGUAAUAUUGGCAUACUGGUAUGCCUCUUGUCAAAAAUACAAUAAUUUUUGGCUCACUCAACUAAUGACUCUCUUUGGAAUAAACUUCGUCUUAUUAAAAUUUUAAUUAUUUUAUAACUUAAAUUAUUUUUUUAAAAUUAAAACUUUGAAUUAGAGAAUAGAGUUUGAAAAUUUCUUACUUCGUUGGCUAGCUAGUACCCCCAUCAUGUGCAGCAAUAUAUAUGUAUAGAGUUGUGCUAGAAUACUAUCAAUAGCAAACGGGUUUCGUUGCCACUCAUUUGUUUUCGAUGAUGGAGCCUCCAAAUCGACGAUCGGCAUCGUUGAACGUGAUCUAUACUACUUAAAGUGUUUAGAAAUUAAUUUUCAAAUCUUUUCAACAUCAUUUGCCUAAUGAUUAAAGGAUUUCAAAAUUUGUAAUUUUAAUGGUCGAUAUGAGGCGUUUUCUUGUUUAAUGGCGUAAAGAUAUCCAAAUCAAUUGAAUUUUUGUUAGAAAAUUCUUUAAACUAUUUAAAACAAGAUCUAUGCUCUUGAUUUUGAUUACAAAGCUCCUAUCAUCAUUUUUUAAAGAAUAUUCAUUUUCAGCCAUUCAUUUUUGUGUCACUCGAUGGAUAAGAGAACAAUAUCAAAAAUGUAUGGAAUUUGAUUUCUAAACACUUCAAGUGGUAUAAAUCAUAUUCAACGGUACCGAUCAUUAAUUUUGAGGUUCAAUCAUCGAAAACAAAUGGAUGACAAUGGAGUCCGUUUGCUAUCGAUAGUAUUCUAAUUCAACUAUAUAUAUAUAUAUAUACUAGUUAUAGUGCACGUGCAAUGCACGUAACAUUUAAUUAAAUUAAAUUUAUAUUUAUAUUUUAAAUUUAAAUAAUUAUUUAUGGUAUAAAUCUAUUUAUCAGUUAGUUUUUUUCUAAAAUUAAUUUUUUUAAUAUGUAUCCAAAAUUUAAAAAUUUAAAGUAAUUCUAAAUUUUAAAUUAAUAAAUUCAUAUUUAAAUUUAUGAAUAAAACUCAAAAUUUGAAAUUAAUUUUGAAUCCAUAAUUUGAAUAUAAAUAAUUAUUAAAGACAUUAAUUUAUUUAUCAUCCCAUCUAUUUUUCAAAUUUGAUAUAUUUUCAAGUUAAUUAAUUAUUUUUAAUUUGAAAUACUGUUUACACACCCAAAAUAUUGAAAUUUUAAUUAAUUUCAAAUUUUGAAUUAAAAUAUUAAUUCACAUUUGAAAUUAUGAACCAAAUUUAAAAUUUAAAGCUGAUUUUAUAAGCUUAUUUAAAUUAUUUUUUUUUCAAAUCUAAUUUUUUUUAGUUAGCUAAUUGAGAGAUAGUAGAUACAAAAUAUUUUUAAUGUUUGUUGCAUAGAGAUUUUCGUUUUUUUGAUAAGUAUGGAAUAUUAUUUUAUGGGACGCAUAAAUAUUUUUCGGUUAGCAAAAAUUUGGAUAAGUAUAAAUUUCUUUCUAUUCUCGCAAAUAGAAUGCAAUAUCUUUUCCGAUUAAAAAAAGGUAUGUCUGUGUCAACAACUAUUUUAAUAAUUAUCUCAAAUCAAUAUCAAUUUGUGAAUCAUAUUUACUGCAAAUUUAAAAUUUUAAAAAGUAAAUUUAUAUGUUAUAUUUUACUGAAAAAAUAUUUCAUAUUUUAAAUAUUAGUAGGUAAAAUUGAGAUAAUUUUUAUAUAUUCACUUUUAAAAAUAUAUGAUUAAAUAUUAUAUAUGCGGAAGGUAUUAUGUGAUUGAAUAUUAUAUUGGUGGCGGAUAUUACGUGUGAGAAUGAAAAUAUUUAAAAAAUGCGAAUAUUAUUUGUGAUAAAAUAUAAUAUUAUGUUGGCGGCGGUUAUUAGGAGGUAUGACACACAUAUAAAAAGUAAAAUUUGAUACGUACUAUCUAAGGGCAAUUUAGGUAAAAAAGUGACAGAUACUUAAUUCGUCAGUCAUUGGAUUAGAUCGAAUGACUAAGAAUUAAUAUAUUUUAUGAUAAUUUAAAAAUAAAAUAAAAAUUGUACGGCUGUGAUUUAUUCCAUUAAAGUUGAAUGAAUGAUAUUAUUAGUAUGUAAUUGGAAUUAUAUUAAUAGGGAUCGGCAUUUUGGGAAAGUGGAAAAAAUUUAAAACUCACGCUUUUAUAAGUAGUAUAGAUAUAUAUAUAUAGAGCUAAGCUGGUAUACUAUCGGUAGCACGGAGGCCUCCAUGUUACCAAGUUGUUUUCAAUGAUGCGACUUCCAAAUCGACGAUCGGCUUCGUUAAAUUUAAUCUACACUAUUGAAAGUAUUUAGAAACUAAAUUUCAUAAUUUUUCGGCAUUAUUUACUUAUCAAACGAGUAGUGUAAAACAACUUGGUAGCACGAAGGUCUCCGUGCUACCGAUAGUAUACCAGCCUAACUAUAUAUAUAUAUAUAUAUAUAUAUAUAGAGAGAGAGAGAGAUAGAGAGAGAGAGAGAGAGAGAGAGAGAGUUUUGUCAGAAUACUAUCGGUAGUAAACGAGCCGUUUUACUUCUUAUUUGUUUUCGAUGAUAGAGCUUCCAAAUUGACGAUCUGCUCCGUUGAACAUGAUCUAUACCAUUUGAAGUGUUUAGAAAUCUAAUUUCAAAUCUUUUCGACAUCAUUUGCCUAAUGAUCAAAGGGUUUCAAAAUUUGUAAUUUUAAUGGUCGAUAAGAGGCGUUUUUUCGUUUAACGGCGUAAAGAUAUCAAAAUCAAUUGAAUUUUUGUUAGAAAAUUCUUUAAAUUAUUUAAAACAAGAUCUAUACUUUUGAUCUUGAUUACAUGACUCCUAUCAUCAUUUUUUAAAGAAUAUUAAUUUUCAGCCAUUCAUUUUUCUGUUUACUUGAUGGAUAAAAGAACAAUAUCGAAAGUGCGUGAAAUUUGAUUUUAGGUAGUUUAAUAGUUAGAACAUAUUUAACAGAGCGAUCGUCAAUUUGGAAGCUCUAUUAUCGAAAAUAAAUUGGUAGUAAAACGCUCGUUAUAUUCGGUAUAUUCUACUUCAACUAUAUAUAUAUAUUAAUAUUAUAUAUAUAUAUAUAUAUCAAUCCUCCCAGAUUGGACAACGUCAACGUUUACAUAGCGUGAUGUCUCCGCCCGACAAAUGAGGAACGUCCAGCUGCCACAAGUGUACGCGCUGUUGUACUACGCUGGAGCAACGCGGAAGCGUUAAACGCUACGAUAGUAGGAUGUGGUCGAAUUCGAAAUUGGACCUUUAAAGUUCGAAUCCGAAUCCGCAAUAAAAAUUAAAAUCUAAUCCGAAUCCGAAUAUUUAUUUUUUUAAUAUUUAAAAUAUAUUAUAUUAAAUUUAAAAUUUUAAUAUAUAUAUAAUAUCAUAAUAUAUAUAUAUAUAUAUAAAUAUAUAUAUAUAUAUAUAGGCUUUGCCUUUAAUGAAUCUAGCUAGAGAACUAAAAUUUAAAAUAGCUGUUGAAGUCCAAAAAUAUUGUUUUUUUUUUUUCUCACGCUUAAUUAAAUUUGUGAGAUCUAAAUUCGGGGGACUACAAUCAAGGAAAAAAGAAAAGUCGAUAAAAUAUUAGUGCGUCGGUUCUCGGGAGUGCCCUGCUGUUUUUUUUAUUGUAUUUUUUAUAAUAUAUAUACCAUUCGUGUAGCAUGUCCAUUUGAAUAUUGUGCCCAAAUGUUCAAAAAUGCGAUACCAAAAUUUAAAAAACAGAAUUACUUUUAAACUCAAUUUGUUUUGUUUUUGGUUUGAACUAUUUUAGUAAAUUUUAGUGUUGGUAUACUUGACAUGUAUAAGGAUUUUAAAUACAUUAAUUUUCAGAUGAUUUCUGAGUUUAAUAUUUUCUUAAUUUAUAAAUGCAUAGUCUCAUUAUUAAAUCUUUGUUUCUUAUUUUUCCCCAGUUGUUACGACCAACUUUACCUGAGUUUUCAGUUUUCCAUAGGUAUGAACACAACAGUAGAAUACAUGACACACCAGAUUCCCAAGGUUUUCUUUAAUUUAUUUUCAAAUUUGACUAAAAAUAUUGAAAUCUAAUUUGAAAUGACGAAAAUUUCAAGAACACUAAAUUCCCCAAAAUUUCCUGAGGCUGAUUGAAGGUAUAUACUAAUCAAGAGAGAUGAAACAAUAAAAGAACUCCCACUAUGCACAAAAAAAAAAAGAAAAAAAAACUGUCAGAAACUCUAGCAAUAAAAUAAGCAAAGCAAUUUCAUUAAAAAAAGCGAAAAUAAUAUUCUUAUUGCCAUCAAAAUAUAACGUCAUUAAGGAUAACGGAAGAAAAAUAUAAAACAUUACCAGUAAUUUGUAUAUGCAAAUAUAUGCAAUAAUAAUUCAAACCAUACUAUAUGAAUAUAUUUUAAUCAUCUUUAAUUUUACCUGUAAAUUGAAGGUGUAACAGGAAAAAGUAAAAAGAGAGGAGGAGUAUAUAAUAUAUAUUACUGCCCCACUUAUGGAAUAUAUAACCACCAAGCACCAUCCAUAAAUUGGGAUGUGAAAGUGUUGGCAUCUUAUUUCCUCUUAAUUCCACACAUUUGGAAAGUUUAUAGUUAUAUAUAUAUUCAUGAGAAACAACCGUAUAAGAGUCGAGUUAUUAAACCAAAGCACUAUUUGUACUCAUAUAUAUUCUAUCAUAAUGCUUUACUCCAUCUUUAUGUGAUUAAUGAGAUACUCAAGAGGGUAUUGUUUUUGUAGGCAUAUUAUUCUUAUGAAUGCAUUAAAAUAAAAUGUGCAUAUAAAGUUUGCGUAUGUGUACACACUAUACUUGUUUGUACGUACAGAGUUUUUGUUGCAUGGAUUUAGACAAAUCUAAAGAGAAGCAUUAUCGGAUCCCACUGUAGAUACUCUCUCUUCUUCUUUCCCAUGUACAAAAGAUUUAAUUAGCUAGUUGAAGCUAUUCUCUUAUUUUUCCUUUGUUUAUGCAUUUUAAAUGAUAUGUCAUCUCAUUUAGAAUAUAAUGAUGAUAUAUAGGAUCAUUUAUCAAUGGGUUGUUUGUGGGCACGGGUGAUCAUUAUAUAAUAUAUAUAUAUAUAUAUAGCCACAUCAUAUAUAUAAAAAUAUAUACAACUUAUAUUAUAUGCACUAUAAAUAUAUAUCCGCUGGCUCCGGUGAAAUACUAAUAGGAUUAGAUGCUUUGUGAUUUAAAGUUAAUAAUUAUUAAUUUUUGCAUUUUUUGCUGGAGCGGAAAUUGGAAAAAGUUUAAGCGGAAAAUUUUUCACUACCUCUCAAAUACAUUAAUAUCAUAAAUACCUUGUAAAUUUUAAAAAUUUCAUAUAUGGCCCUGCAAAAAAAGCAUUUAAAAAUUUUCAAAAAAUGCCCUCGUAACUAUUGCUCCGUUAUGUUUAGGUAUAAUAAAUUCAAAAUGUCGAGUUUCCGAUUUUACCCUCAAUACUUUUCAAAAAACGAAUUUAUGUUUACUAACAGGAGCAAUCUAAGUUAAAUAUGAAAUUUUAAAUAUAACUAACUAAAUAAAUAAUAAACAAAGAUUUAGGACGCUAGUAUACUAAAGAAAUCACCGGAAUAAUGUAGUCUAAAUGUUAAAACAAGAUAAUGAAUAAAAGUUAGGUAUUAAAUAGUAUAAUCAUAAAUUAAUAUAGCCCUCAAAUAUUUCCAACUCAUGCGGCCAAAAUAAAAUUUCAAAUUUUAACCGUGUUAGACCGCCAUUCUAACUAUAAUUUAAUAUGACUUGACAGUGACGAGUUACAACGGCAGAGGAUGUUUUGAAAGAAGUAUGAUUUAGAAGUUAUUGAUCUAUAACGAAAAUUUUAGGGACAUUUUAUGUUAUUUUUGAAAUUUAGCGGAGCGUAGCGAUAAAUUAACCCAAAAACAAAUAGGAAACAAAUAAGGUUAAAAAGGUAAUUUCAUUAUUUUUGGAAGUAAAUGAAAAAAAAAUACUAAAUUGACGGAUGUCGGAAAAACUUAAAGGGAGCGUAUUUAUGAAAAAUAUUAUAUUUAGAGGGGCAUUUGCUGAAAUUUUUAAAGAAUUUAAAGUGUAUCAUGAUAUUUCCUCUCAAAGAUAACCUGAUAAAAACAUGAACCAAUUAAGAUUAGUCUUAAACAUAUUUCAAAUGUCCAUAUUCUCACAAAUAUUCAAAUGCAUUCAAAGUUCUUGAUUAGUUCCGUAUAUUUUUUUGGAUUCAAUAUGGCAAACUAUUAUGGAAUACGUUUCUAUUUAUGGAUUGCAUGGAACAUUCAAGAUACGCACUUAUAUAUUCUUAAGCAUUUGACUAUAUUCAAUAGAAAUUAAUUUUCUUUGUACCUACUUCUCUGAUUUUCAUCUGCACUUUUAAUCUGAACUUAAUAAGCCAUGUUUAUCAAAGCUGAUAUAGAUCCAAUAAUAACUUUUCAAAUCGUGAGGAUCCCGAAUAUAAUUUAUGUGGCAUUUAAUCGACCUCCAAAGAGUUAGAACUUAUAUAAUACUAAGAUAAGUUACUAUUUUUACGUGUAGAUUAAUUAAAUGUAUUAAAUCUGACCAAAUUAAUCAAUUAAUGAUUGUCAAAUUUAAUAAAUAUCGUUUAUGAUAAAAUUACAUACAAUAAAGAACGAUUAUACCGAUAUUUUUAAAUAUCGAUACAGAGCCACAAAAAUGUGCUCGCUCAAAUUCUGCCAUUUUUAAAAGCGUUGCUAUAUUGUGGGUUGCCUAUAUAUAGGGCGCUUAAUGAUUUGACACCCACUCCUCUUAGCAUAUGUGGGCAGAGGGACACGUGACUCGUAAGUGCCUAUGUUCCUGCGAGAUUCUCAUAGCCGACAUUAGUGCCAGAUCCCUACUCGUCAGUUGCAGCGACGGGAGGAGAAGGAGAUGCGUGAUCAAUUUUUCAUUCUUUUCUUUUCUAUUGUAAUCAGAUUCGAUUGGGCUGAGAAUGUGGUUAGUGAGUUAGACAGAAAUUUUAUUGUUUAUUAAAUUGCGACGUUUUAUAUUGUUAGGCCUUUAAGAUAUUUUUAAAAUUUUGGAUAAAUAGAACAUUUUAAAAAGGUUUUUAAAAAUUGUGUUCCUAUAAUCUAACUUUGCUUUACUGCAACACAUUUGAUUAUUAGAAACAAUGAAUUAUUGAGUGCGGGAAUACACUAGAUGUAGAUGAUAAAAAACGGCGGGUUAUUAUAGAUAGGCUGUAUAUGUCGCGUAGCACGAAGGCCUCCGUGCCUACAGGUGUUUUCAAUCAAAGCGGCUGCCAAAUCGACGAUCAGUCCGUUAAGGAUUGAUCUACACUAUUAAAAAAUAUUUGCGAAGCUAAAUUUAUAAUUUUCAAAAUCAUUUAGCUCAUGAUCAAAAUUCUUCAAAUUGACAAUUUUAAUGAUAGAGGUGAUGCAUUUGUAAAUUUAACGCGCCUUAUCAAAUAUAAUCCAAAAUCAGGAUGAAAUUUUGUAUAGAAUUUUUUUUUUACUAUUUUAGAGUAAUCAAGUACCGCCUGAUUUUAAUUCAAGUCUUCUAUUAUCAUUUUUUAUGAGAUAUUUAUUUUCGCUGUUUCAUUUUUAGACUCCUCGUUGACUAGGAUAAAUGAUACACAAAAGUAUGAAAUUAGUUUCAAAUACUUUAAAUAAUGUUAGAUAAAGCUCAAACGGAGCGAUUCGUCGCUUUGAAAGCUGCCAUCAUUGAAAACUGGUAGCACGGAGGCCGUCUCCGUGUACCGAUUAGUAUAUCUUAUAUAUAUAUAUAUAUAUUAUAUAUAUAAUAGUAGAACCAACUAGCUGGAAUACUAUUAAUAGCACCAUACUUGGUCGCUAUUAGUUUUCGGCCCUUAGAUUAAAAGGAGUGUCGCGGUUAGGGAUGAUGGCCCCUUAGGGUUGAGUGGCUGUUGGUUUAAUAGUAAAAUCUAAGGCAUAAAAAUUAAUCAAAUGGUUUAACCUCUAACGGCCAGGAAACUGAUAGCACAAGGUUGUGCUAUCAAAUAGCAAUGCGGCCGGGGGGGGAAACUCUCUCCCUCUCUUCUCUUCUCUCUCUCAUCUCUCUCUCUCUUCUCUCUCUCUCUCUAUAUAUUAUAUAUAUUAUUAUAUAUAUUUGAGCUAGAAGCAGACACAGAAAAAUUUGCGAAAUUUAGAUAUUUAAAGAGGUAUACACGUGUGUAUUAUAUUUAUUGUCUUACCAAAGCGGAACGUUAAUUAAGUAGAUUGAGUUUAACACCUGUUUAAUUUGAAGGAUUUGAGGCUGGAAAUAAAAAUCGAAAUGAUCCAUUUUCGCUGUUAGUAUUUGAUUUGAGAGAUUGACAUUCAAAUUUUUAUUUUCCGGAGGAAAAUCAAAUCCUCACAAAAUGAAUCUCUCCAUGGAGAUGGGAAUAAACUUCAAUUCCGAAAGAAAUGAAGGAAAAAAAAUAUCUUUUUUUUUCCACUAACAGUUAUUUAAAUUCAAAUAUUAAUUUUUAUUUAGUUUAAAUUAUAAUCUUAUAUUUAAAUUUAAAUUAUGGGUUGAAGUUCUAAUCUUUAAUUUUUCUUAUUUUCAAAUCUAAAUUCUAAUAUAUAAGUUUUAUAUUUAAAUUUAGUACUAAAGUUAAAAUUUGAUUUUGGACUUAAAUUUCAAUUAUAAAGUCAAUUAUAAGGUGCAAUAAAAUAAAUAGACCGAAUUUUGCAUUCAUAAAUCAUGAUUCAUGAGCUUAAGCCUUAUGGUUGAUUAAUUUGGAUCUGAACUUCUUCCUUUUCACUGAAAGUAGGAUUUUUUUCUUUUCAUUUUUUUUUAGGAUAAUGCUCUGCGUACUCUGGAGCGAAGGGAUGUCAAUGGAUACAGAUAUUCGAAAUUUUAUCUAAAUUCGAAUUCAAACAGAGUGGCUUUAUCUGAUGCUAAAUGGAUAUAAUUUCGGAUAUGAAUAUCAAAAAUAAAAGCUCGACGAAUUUGGAUUCGGGUAUGGAUUUUGAUUGUACCCGACUGGAACCCAAACCUGACCCGAAUCCGACCGAAAUCCGAAUUUAUUUUACAUUAUAUACAAUAUGUAUAUAAAUGUUUGAUGUUAUAUUUGUAUUUAUAUUUCAAAAAUUUAGAUUUAAUAUAAUAUAUUUUGAAUAUUGAAAAGAUAAAUAAUUAUUUCGGGUUCGGGCUCGGGUUCAGAUUUCGAAUUUUUUGUCGAGUUCGGGUUUAGAUAUGGAUUUUUAAAAUCUGUCGCAUUCGGGUUUGGGUUCGGAUUUGGAUUUUGGAUUUAGAGUCGAAUUUAGAUUCGGAUUUUUGAAAAUCCGCCUCGAAUCAGGCCGUUGACACUCCUACUGGAGUGUCCUUCAAAUAUUGCUUAGGAGUCAGGAAUUACACAUGACAGCUAGUGAUAUGUCCGUUCUUAUAUUUUAUAAUUCAUAUUCUUAAUUGGUGUAAUGUUCAGGCAUGGAAAAAUUCUUACGAUAUUCUUAAUAAGUCGGCAGUUGUAUAUCGCAAUUGGUGAUUAUCUUUUUUUUUUUUAUCAAAUUUAUAUUAGCGUCUAAUCAAUUAUCAACUGACACGUGUAUAAUUUCUAACUCACCAAUGACAUUCUUGGGAACUUUUUGAGAUGAAAGUAGCAUUGCUCUUUUUUUAUCCUUUCACAUGCAUCUUUAUGAAUAGUGUGUUGAUAAAUCAAAGUUAUUAUUUUAUACAAAAAAUUGUUACUAAUUGACCUUGCAAUUUUUUGGACUAUGAAUAGCAAAGCUUUGUUAGUUUGUACCUUAAAAUGGGCCCCUCCAAGUGUUGGGGAAACAUCAAACAAAGUGAGGAGGAAACAUCACCUUUAGAGAGCUUAGGCUAUGGUGAUGCUUAGUUGAGAAGAGAGUCCCUUUUUAGUUUAUUUAAUUUCCCUUUUUCAAUUAAGUUUUUUUUUUUUUUUUUUUUNAAAGCUUCUAGAAAAACCCAACAGGGGGCCUCUUUGAAAAUUUGCUCUUCUUAGAACAAAGCUAUUCAUACACCGUAUUUCAGAGUGUAUGAUUUACACUCAUCCAUCUAACGGAUGGGAUUAAUUACGAAGCGCAUCCAUUUAUGUCAUUCAUUAGAUGAACGAGUGUAAAUCAUACACUCCGAAAUGGAAUGUACAUGUUUUUUUUUUUCUAUUUAUUAAUUAGUCUUACUACAUGAGAGUUUACAUAAUAGAGAGAGGAUGAUGUAAUGUAACAUUGAAUCAUGCAUGGAGUAUUUGUAUGUCUCUACCCCAUAUCACUAUCUUGAAAGGAAAAAAAUAACACAAAAUAAAAUAAAAUAAAAAUUUUAUAUAUUUGUAGUAUGUAGUUACAAACUUUUAUUUUGACCUGAAAUUAAUCUACAAACAAAUACUUUGGUACAACAUUUGCAGACAAUUAACCAUAGAAUAAAUGAUGAAUUUUCGACGCGGGCCGGUUAUUACGCGCGUGAUCGGAGACUAUGAUCACCUGCUAAGAUGAAAAAUUUGUAUUGAAUUCACAUCACUAUCUACUAUGUAAUUAAAUAUCGAAAAAUCUUACUCAAAGAAGAGUGUAAAAUUGUUUAGCUUAGACAUGUUUGGUUAUUUAUAUGGUGCUUGGUUAUUGCAUAUAAUAUAAUUUUAUUGUUGUGAUCAAGUCGAUUUGACUAUAUAAUUAGGCUUAAUAUUAGGCUUAGCUUUAAUGAAUCUAGCUAAGAGAACUAAAAAUUUAAAAAUAGCUGAAAGGUCCAAAAAUAUUUGUUUUUUUUUUCUCACGCUUAUUAAAUUGUUGAGAUAAAUUUCGGGACUACAAUCCAAGGAAAAAGCAAAAGUCACUAAAAUAUUAGUGGUCGGUUCUCGCGUGCCCCUGCUGUUUUUUUUAUUGUAUUUUUUAUAUAUAUAUACACAUUCGUGUAGCCAUGUCCAUUUGAAUAUUGUGCCCAAAUGUUCAAAAUGCGAUACCAAAUAUUUAAAAAACAUAAUUUACUUUUACUCAAUUUGUUUUGUUUUUGGUUGAACUAUUUUAGUAAAUUUUGUGUUGCGUAUACUGUACAUGUCAUAAGGAUUUUAAAUACAUUAAUUUUCAGAUGAUCUUAGUCUAAUAUUUCUUAAUUUAUAAAAUGCAUAGUCUCCAUUAUAAAUCUUUGUUUUUUAUUUUUCCCCAGUUUUUACCGACCAAACUUUACUGAGUUUUCAGUUUUCCAUAGUAUGAACAAACGUAGAAUACAUGACACACCAGAUUCCCAAGUUUUCUUUAAUUUAUUUUUCUAAAUUUUGACUAAAAACUAUUGAAAUUAAUUAAAUGACGAAAGAUUCAAGAACACUGAAAUUCCCCAAAAUUUUCCUGAGGCUGAUUGAAGUGUAUAUACUAAUCAAGUAGGAUGAAACAAUAAAAUGAACUCUCCACAUGCACAAAAAAAAAAAAAGAAAAAAAAACUGUAGAACUCUAGCAAUAAAAUAGCAAAAGAAUUUCAUUAAAAAAAAGCAAAAGAAUAUUCUUAUUGCACAAAAUUAACGUCAUUUAAGAUAACGGAAGAAAAAUAUAAAACAUUACAGUAAUUGUAUAUGCAAAUAUAUGCAAUAAUAAUUCACAACACUACCUAUAUGAAUAUAUUUUAAUCAUCUUAAUUUUACCUGUAAAUUGAAGGUGUAACAGGAAAAAGUAAAAAAAGAGAGGAGGAGUAUAUAUAUAUAUAUACAUGCCCCACUAUUGGAAUAUAUAACUCACCAAGUCACCAUCCAUAAAUUGGAGAUGUGAAAUGUUGGCAUCUUAUUUCCUCUUAAUUCCACACAUUUGAAAGGUUUAUAUAUAUAUAUAUAUUCAUGAGACAACAACCGUAUAAGAUCUAGUUAUAAACCAAGCACCUAUUUGUACUUAUAUAUUCUAAUCAUAAUGCUUGUACUCCAUCUUUAUUGAUUAAUGGAGAUACUCAAGAGAGUACUUGUUUUUGUAGGCAUAUUAUUCUUAUGAAUGCAUUAAUAAAUGUGCAUAUAAAGUUUGGUAUGGUGUACACACAUAUACUUGUUUGUACGUACAAGAGUUUUUUGUGCAUGGAUUUAGACAAUCUAAAGAGAAGCAUUUUCGGAUCCCACUGUAGAUACUCUCUCUUCUUCUUGUCCCAUGUACAAAAGAUUUAAUUAGUAGUGAAAGGAUUCUCUUAUUUUCCUUUGUUUUAUGCAUUAAAUGAUAUGAUCUCAUUUAGAAUAUAAUGAUGCAUAUAUAGGAUCAUUUAUCAAUGGGUUGUUUGUGGGGGUGAUCAUAUAUAUAUAUAUAUAUAUAUAUAUAUAUAGCCACAUCAUAUAUAUAAAUAUAUACAACUAUAUUAUAUUGCACUAUAAAUAUAUAUCCGUGCUCCGGAUUGAAAUACUAAUAGGAUUAAUGCUUUGUGAUUAAAGUUAAUAGAUUAUAAUUUUUUGCAUUUUUUGCUGGAGGGAAAUUGGAAAAAAGUUUAAAGGGAAAAUUUCCUCACUACCCUUCCAAAUAGAUCUAAUAUCAUAAAUACCCUUUAAAAUUUUAAAAUUUCAUAUAUGCCCUCAAAAAAGCAUAAAAAUUUUCAAAAAUGCCCUCGUAACUAUUGCUCCGUUAUGUUUAGGUAUAAUAAAUUCAAAAUGUCGAAUUUACCGAAUUUACCCUCAAUACAUUUUCAAAAUACCGAAUUUAUGUUUAGCUAACAGAGCAAUCUAAGUUAAAUAAAAUUUUAAAUAUAACUAACUAAAAUAAAUAAUAAACAAAAAUUAGGAGCUAAGUAGUACUAAAGAAUAUCAGCGAAUAAUGUUAGUCUAAAUGUUAAACAAAUAAUGAAUAAAAGUUAGGGAUUAAAUAGUAAAUCAUAAAAUUAAUAUACCCUCCAAAUAUUUCUCAACUCAUGGGCAAAAUAAACAUUUCAAAUUUUAACCAGUGUUAGACCGCCAUCUAACUAAAUUUAAUAUGACUUGAAGUGACGGAGUUACAACGGCGAGGAUGUUUUUGAAAGAAAGUAUGUAUUUAGAAGUUAUGAUAUAACAAAAUUUAUAGGGACAUUUAUGUUAUUUUUGAAAUUUAGAGAGGUACCGAUGAAAUUAACCCAAAAACAAAUAGGAAACAAAUUAAGGGUAAAAAGGUAAUUUCAUAUUUUGAAGUAAAAUGAAAAAAAAAUACUAAAUUGACGGAAGUCGGAAAAACUUAACAGGGAGGGUAUUUAUGAAAAAAUAUUAUAUUUAGAGGGGCAUUUGUGAAAUUUUAAAAAUUUAAAGGGUAUUCAUGAUAUUUCAUCUCAAAGAUCAACCUGAUAAAAACAUGAACCAAUUAAGAUUAGUCUUAACAUAUUCAAAUGAUCCAAUUCUCACAAACAUAUUCAAAUGAUCCAAAGUUUUGAUUAGUUCCGUAUAUUUUUUUGAUCAAUAUUGGUCAACUAUUAUGGAAUACGGUUUCUAUUUAUGGAAUUGCAUGGACAUAAGAUACGCACUUAUAUAUCUAGGCAUUUGACUAUAUAUCAAUAGAAAUUAAUUAUUCUUUGUACCUACUUCUCUGAUUUUCAUCUGCACUUUAAAUCUGAACUAAUUAAGCAAUAGUUUAUCAAAGCUGAUAUUAGAUCCCAAAUAAUUAACUUUCAAAUCGUUGAGGAUGCGAAUAUAUUUAUGUGGCAUUUAAUCGACCAUCCAAAGAUUAGAACAUAUAUAAUACUAAGAAAGGUACUAUUUAUUAUAGAUUAAUUAAAUUUAUUAAAUCUGACCAAAUUUAAUCAAUUAAUGUUGGUCAAAUUUAAUAAAUAUCUUUAUGAUAAAAUCACACUACAAUAAAAACGAUGUAUAGCGAUAUUUUUAAAUAUCGAUACAGAUCACAAAAAAUGCUGCUCGCUAAAUUACCGGCACUUUUUAAAAGCGUUGCUAUAUGUGGGGUUGCUAUAUAUAGGGCCGCCUUAAUGUUUGACACCCACUCCUCUAGCGAUAUGUGGCAGAGGGACACGUGACGUCGUAGUGCUCUAUGGUUCCUGCGAGAUUCUCAUAGCCGAACAUUAGUGCCAGAUCCCUACCUCGUCAGUUGCAGCGACGGAGGAGGAGAAGGGAGAUGGUGAUCAAUUUUUCAUUCUUUUUUCUUUUCUAUUUGUAAUCAGAUCGAUUGGGCUGAAUGUGGUUAGUUGAGUAGAGAAAUUUUUUAUUUUUUAUUAAAUUGGACUUUAUAUUUAGGCCUUAGAAGAUAUUUUUAAAAAGUUUUGGUAUAAAUAGAACAUUUAUACAAAAGUGUUUUAAAAAUGUGUUCCUAUAAUCUAAUUCUGUUAUACUGUCAACACCAUUUGAUUAAUUAAACAAUGAAUUAUUGAGUGGGGAAUCACUAGAUGUAGAUGAUAAAAAACGGCGGGUGUAUAUAUAUAUAGGCUGAUAUACUGUCGGUAGCACGAAGGCCUCCGUGCUACCAAGUUGUUUUCAACAAAGCGGCUUCCAAAUCGACGAUCAGCUCCGUUAGACUUGAUCUACACUAUUAAAAAUAUUUGGAAACUAAAUUUUAUAAUUUUUCAAAAUCAUUUAGCUAGUGAUCAAAAGGUCUCAAAAUUGACAAUUUUAAUGAUAGAUGUGAUGCAUUUGUAAAUUUAACGGUAUAAAAUAAUCCAAAUCAGAUGAAAUUUUUAUAGAAUUUUUUUUUACUAUUUAGAGUAAGAUCAGUACCUCUGAUUUUAAAUUCAAGUCUUCUAUUAUCAUUUUUUAUGAGAUUUUUAUUUUCAGCUGUUCAUUUUUAGACUCCUCGUUGACUAGGAUAAAUGCAUACUGAAAAGUAUGAAUAUUAGUUUCUAAAUACUUUAAUAUGUUAGAUAAAGUCAACGAGCGAUUCGUCGCUUUGAAAGCUGCCAUCAUUGAACCAACUGUAGCACGGAGGUUCCGUGCUUACCGAUAGUAUACUCUUAUAUAUAUAUAUAUAUAUAGUAUAUAGUAUAAUAGUAGAACAACUAGCUGGAAUACUAUUAAUAGUCACCAAUACGUUGGUCGCUAUUAGUUUUCGGCCUUAGCAUUAAAAGGAUGUGCGGUAGGGAUGAUGGCCCCUUAGGGUUGGUGGCGUGCGCGGUCCCUGGUUUGUUAUAGUAAAAUCUACAGGAUAAAAUUAAUUCCAAAUGGUUAACCUCUACGGCCAGAAACUGAUAGCACGAAGCGUUGGGUGCUUCAAUGAGCAUGCGGCCGGGAACUCUCUCCCUCUCUCUCUCUUCUCUCUCUCUCUCUCAUCUCCUUCUCUCUCUCUCUCUAUAUAUUAUAUAUAUUAUUAUAUAUAUUUGAGCUAGAAACUAUCGUAGUACGAGCCGUUUUCUACUGAUUUGCUUUUCGACUGAUAGCAAUUUCAAAUGACGAUCGGCAUCCGAUUGAACAUGAUCUAUACCACUUGAUGUUUAGAAAUCAAUUUCAAAUCUUUUCGACAUCAUUUGAUUAGAUGAUCAAAGGGUUUCAAAAUUUGUAAAAUUUCACAGGUCGUAAGAGCAUGUUUGUUUAACGGGAGUUAAAGAUAUCCAAAUGAUGAAUUUUUGUUCAGGAAAUUCUUUAACUAUUUAAAACAAGAUCUAUACUUUUGAGUUUGAUUACAAGACUCUUCAUAUUUUAUAAAGAGUAUUUCAUUUUCACCAUAUAUUUCGUCUGUUCACUUGAUGGAUAAAAAGAUAAUAGUCGAAAGUACGUGAAUUUGUUUCUAGCUAGUUUUGAGGUUUGGAUCUAUUUUAACGGAAGUCCGAUCGUCAAUUUGGUGAAGCUCUAUCAUCGAUAACAAAUCGGUACUAUAUAGUCGUUUACUACCGUUAGUAUUCUAGGCUCAACUCUCUCUCUCUCUCUUCUCUCUUCUCUAUAUAUAUUAUAUGUUAUAUAUAUUAAUAUAAUAUAUAUAUAUAUUAUAUAUAUAUGAGUUCGGCUACUAUACUAUCGAUAGUACCAAGCCCUUGAUACUAUUGAAUUUUUAACCGUUAGAUUUAUCUUUUGAUCAUUUCCAUCCGUUAGAUUAUACUGUUAAACCAACCCCCACUCAACCCUAGGGGACAACUAUCAAUUUAACCGGAGACAACUAUUAUCCUAACCGCACAUCCUUUCACCCAACGGCCGAAAACUCAAUAGUACCAAGGACUUAGUACUAUUGAUAGUAUAGUAGCAUAAGUCUAUAUAUAUAUAUAUAUAUAUAUAGUUGAGCUAGAAUACUAUCGAUAGCUAAUAAGCUCCGUAGCCAUCCAUUAGUUUUCGACGAUAGAGUCUCCAAAUCGACGAUCGGCACUGUUGAACACGAUCUAUACUACUUGAAUUAUUUAUAAAUCAAAUUUCAAAUGAUUUCGACUUCAUUGACCUAAUGAUCAAAAUGUUUCAAAAUUUGUAAUUUUAAUGAUCGAUAUGAAGCGUUUUUUCGUUUAAUGAUAUAAAAAUAUCCAAAUGAAAUAAAUUUUGGUUGGAAAAUUCUUUAAACUAUUUAGAAUAAAAUCUAUACGCUCGAUCUUGAUUAUAAGAUUCAUAUAAUUACUUUUUAAAGAAUAUUCAUUUUUAUCCGUUCAUUUUGUGUCCACUUGAUGGACAAGAGAACAAUAUCAAAAAGGUAUAAAAUUUUAUUUCUAAAUGCUUCAAGUAGUAUAUAUCAUAUUCAACGAUGCCGAUCGUCGAUUUAGUAGUUCCAUCGUCGAAAACAAAUGGGUGGCAACGAAGCUCAUUUGCUAUCGAUAGUAUUCCAGCUCAACUCUCUCGUUCUCUCUCUCUAUAUAUGUAUAUGGUAAAUUGUAUUGUUACCCCCUGAACUUUUGGCGAAGUUUGACUUUACCCCUCGAACUCCUAAAAUGGAUAUCAAACAUCCUAAACUCUAAUAUUUCAUUCAUGUUAUCCCUUCCGUCAGUUCUUUGUCAAGCUCUGUUAAUCAAAAACUGACGGAAAGAGUAAAACGAAUGAAAUUUUAGAGUUCAGGAUGUUAGAUGUUUAUUUUAGGACUUUAGGGGUUUAAAUGAAACUUGUCAAAAGUUCGGGGGGUAACAAUGCAAUUUAUUCCUAUAGCAUUCUUGACUAUAAAUUAUUUUUUUAUUUUUAUAUUAAAAAUUUCUAAUUGGCUGAAAUGAAGUACAAAAAUUUUAUUUAAGUAUAUUUUCUAGAACAAUGCUUCUAAAGAUAAAAAGGACAAACGGGUAUUACAGAAAAUUAACUGAGAAUUAAAAUCUCUAUAUCCGAGUCGGGACACCUAUUGUAAAUCAACAAUAUUAGCGAGUACACAAGGACAGUAGAGUGUUCGAGUAUCAUAGGUAGUUAGUAUCGCUAUUUUCUUAUCUUUAAGUAACUCUAAUUCAUUUAUUUCGCUUUUAUUUUAUUACAAUAAAAUGCAUGUAGGAUAAAUUAUGAUAUGAUUUAUUUUAGGAUAAAAUAUAUAUAAAUUCAAAAUCAAGUAUGAACACUAACUUGAGGGUUAGUAGUCAAUCUAUAAGUAAUAUAUUAUAAUAAAAUAAUUUAUAGUCAAAAGUCCUCUACAGGGUAAAUUGCACGGCUAACUCCUAAAUUUUUGACGAGUUUCACUUAACCCCCAAACUCCUAAAAUAGACAUCUAACACUCUAAACUCUAACAUUUCAUUCGUUUUACCCCUUCCGUCAGUUUCUGGUUAACGGAGCUUGACGGAAAACUGACGGAAGGGGUAACAUGAAUGAAAUAUUAGAGUUGAGGGUGUUAGAUGUCUUAUUUUAGAAGUUCGAUGUGUAAAGUAAAAUUUCGCCAAAAUUCAGGAGGUCGAAGAAUGCAAUUUACCCUAUAUAUAUAUUAAUAUAAUAUAUAUAUAUAGUUAUAUAUAUACACACAAGUAAAAACGGUCUAUAGCGACACUUUUAAAUGUAGGUACAUGUCAAAAAAGUGAUGCUAGCUAAAAUUACCGGCACUUUUAAAAAGUGUUGCUAUAUGUGGGGUCGCUAGGUAUAUAGUGACAGUUAAAGAGUGUCGCUAUAACCUAAAAGAGUACUGCUAAUUUACCAACACUUAUUUAAGCAUUUAGCAACCGCCGAAACUCUAUCUCGUUGAUUGCGGUGGCGGAGGAGGACGAUAGGAAAGGCUCUUCGUCUAGAAUUUCAGUAGAUUGAGUGAAGAGAGAAGAAAAGAUGGUAAUUGAUUUUUCUUUUUUUUUUUUCUUUUCUGUUUGUAAUCGGGUCAAAUGGACUGGGUGUGGUGGAUUGAGUAGAGUAAUCUUUUAUUUUUAGUUGGAUUGGGCUUUAUAUUUAGGCAUAAGUAGAUAUUUUUUUAAGUUUUAGUAUAAAUGGGACACUUACUCAAAAGUGUCCCAAACAUAUGUCCCUAUAACCUAAUUCUGUUGUAGUGUUAUAUACACACACACGCAUACAGAAAGAGAGAGAGCCGUACAUACAUAUAAUAAUGAUAAUAAAUAAUAUAUAUUAUAUAUAUGUAUAUUAUUUUUUAAAAUGAAUGGUCCUACGUGUUAAUUAAUUAAUGUCCUAGAUUUGUGUGUAUACGUACUCAGUAGUAUAAAUGACACAUGGCUUCAAUUAAUGCGAGGAUUUUUGUUGACGUAUGAGACGGACGUCACGAGUGUCAUGCACGUAUACGUGCGGGGCAAAUAUACGGCCUCGUUUUGAUCUUCUACAUAAAUUGACGAGCUAUUUGUAUCGCGUGUUCCACAAAUUGGAUUUGACUGUAUAUAUAUAUAGAGUAGGGCUAGAAUACUUUUACAAGUAUCACCCAAGUGAUACUUGUGUGUUUUUAGCCAUUGGAUCUACUUUUUGAUUACUAAUAGUUCUUGGAUCAAACACUAUUCCACCUACCACCACCUAUCACCACCUACCACCAUCAUCUCAACCUCACAUCUCUCCAUCCAAGAGCUAAAAACACACAAGUAUCACUUGGGUGAUACUUUUACAAGUAUUCUAGCUCUACUCUAUAUAUAUAUAUAUUAAUGCAAUUGGGUUCUAAAAUUUGGAUUAAAAAAUGUUUUAUAUAUAUAUUUAUAUUAGUUCAGGAGUUCAUAUAUUUUUUUUACAUUUUUAGGAUCAAUAAAAGUUAAAAAUUGUAAGAUAUAUAAACGUUUAGUUUGUAUAAGUGUAUAGAUAAUAUUUGCUUUUUUGAAUCGGAUGGCUAAUCACGUUUGGAAAUAGAUCGUAUUUUGUGUUGACAUUAAAAAAAAAAGGUCGGUUCUAAUGCUAGCACGAUAAUUUUUACCCAAAUUUUUAUAUUUUUUAAUUGCAUGAUGAGAUAUGAGUGAAACAUUAAAUAAAUAUUAAUACUUAAUUAAUUGCAAGAAAGUUUCCAAAGUAAAGUGGAAAAUUGGAUAAGAUAAGAUGGGAAGCUAAUAAUGUGAGCAUAAGUAAUUAACCUUUUUAUUAUAUUAUGAUGCUUAUCCUACCAUGAGAGGUAGAGAGAGAGAGAAUGGUGGGAAUUAAUGAAAUAAAAUCAAACAUCUUAAAUGCAUGGUGUAGGUCAACUGUUCCUCCAAUGGAAAAUUUUCCCAACAAUGGUUUGUCCCUAGAAAAGUCAAAAGUGUACAUGCUAAACAUGUAUGUAUAGUAGCCUAAGUAUUUGAACCACUAAUACACUUUGGUGGUACCAAACAUUAACUUUAUUUAUAUUAAUAUAUAUAUAUAUAUAGUUGAGCUAGAAUACUCUCGAGAGUAAACGAGCCCGUUUAUUCUCGAGUUGUUUUCGAUGAUAGAGCUUCCAAAUUGACUAUCGGCUCCGUUAAAUAUGAUCUAAACCAUUUAAACUAUCUAGAAAUCAGAUUUCACGCACUUUCGAUAUUUUUUUAUAUCCAUCUAGUGAACAGAAAAAUAAAUGGUUGAAAAUAAAUAUUCUUUAAAAAAUGAUGAUAGGAGUCUUGUAAUCAAGAUUAAGAGUAUAGAUCUUGUUUUAAAUAGUUUAAAGAAUUUUCUAACAAAAAUUCAAUUGAUUUGGAUAUCUUUACACCGUUAAACGAGAAAACGUCUCUUAUCCACCAUUAAAAUUAUAAAUUUUGAAACCCUUUGAUCAUUAGGCAAAUGAUGUCGAAAAGAUUUGAAAUUUGAUUUCUAAACACUUCAAGUGGUAUAAAUCAUGUUCAACGGAGCCGAUCGUCAAUUUGAAAGCUCUAUUAUCGAAAACAACUCGAGAGUAAACGGGCCCGUUUACUCUCGAGAAUAUUCUAGCUCAACUCUAUAUAUAUAUAUCUAUAUAUCUAUAAACAUAUUUAGAUAGUACAUAUACCAAACAAUUAUGUCAACAGUUUUGAGGGGGACUCUUCUUCAUGGCUUAUAUUAAGUUCCUAUCACAUGUACUAAGGAAAAGAGACAAGCCACCUAAAGAAAAGGACAUUGAACUCAUUAGGUUAGAAAAGCACUUACCCUCUCCCCUAUCAACUUUUUAAUUAAACUAAGAUAAAGGUAAAGGAGAAACCCCCAACAAGUGUUAACCUACCAUUCACUUACUUUUCAUGUGAUUGGUCCAAAAUGAUGCUAAUGUUAGGGCACCACCAUACUCUAAUUUAAGCCAUCUUUUAAUUUUCUCUGUGUGGAGACCCCACCACCUCCUAACAACAUGCAAUACACAUUAGAUCCAUGAACACCAAAGUCCUAAAUUUACGCACAUCGAAUUAGAAAAAUAGAAAAUGAUAAGCCUAAAAUAUUAUACUCAUGAAAAGGAUAAAAUAAAAUACUAACUGGAACACGAUACGUGAGGUUUAAUUCAAAAAGGAUGACGUACUCCACGACGUCAACAAGAAAGGAUUUGAAAUUGUCAAGAAAAAGAAAAGUAUAUAUAUAUGCCAAGUUUUUUUUUUACUUUUUUUUUUUAUAAUCAAAGUCAAUCAAACUCAUUUGUUGUUAACAAGUUAUUGAAGUGCUUAGUCAAAGCUCUACCCUAUCUAAGGAGACUUUAUUCCUUAAUCCUUGCUUAGUUUAUAAUUAAUUAGAAGGUAACAAGCGCUAAUAUGAAAGCCAAAACACUUAAUUUGACUUCCGUCAUUUGUGUCCAAUAAUUGUUUAUUUUCAAAAGUUUACGCGACAUCAGAGCCCUUGACUUGUAAUAAGCUACGAAUAUGAACAUUGAAAUAAUGUGCUGGGAAUUAAAUUUACAAAUUCAGAACUAGAUGACUCAUUAAUAAAAGAACAAUCUCUAAAGAAAACAAAUGUUAUUCUAUGAUGCAUGCGUAAUUGAAUAGCUGCUAUUCUCUGAAAGCUUAAGCUGUAAUUCUUAAUUAGUAAAAUCUUCGAGAAGGGACAUUACUUAAAUCUUACCUCACAAUGGGAAAGCUAGGUUAUUAAGGGUUUAUAGAAUAAAUUAAGAUGGGAAUUUAAUUGGUUUCCCAAUUAAUUAUAUAAUUCCUUUUUAAUGUUUGUCACAUAGAGAUCCUGUUUUUUAUGUACUUUGUCUCAUCCGGAAUCCAUGGGGGGGAAACCACAUGGUGUUGGGGGACAAACAGCCGUUAAGCAACACUAAUUUGUAUCCCCUCCACUGCCCCCUUUGGGGAAUCCUUCUUUGAUCUCAUCUUAUUUUAUUAUUUCUAAUGCCAAGAAAUUAAUAAUUAGUACUAUAUAUGCUUUUCGUCGUUUUGGAUAUUGUGAUUCCUUUUGUUUCGUUUAUAUAUUUAUUUAUUUUUUUUGAGAUAUGAAUCCGGUUAGAAAUGUUAACUUUGAACUGAGGACCGUGGGUACCAACCAUUCAGCCCUUAUCCGAUUACGUUAAAUACAUGCGAUAUCGUGCUUCAAAAUCGUUAAAUUAGGGCUUGUUUGGUUUCUCUGGAUUUCCUGCAAAAUGGUGGCUUGGGUAAGUUCCUGAUUAGACUCGUUUUUGCGUUCUCUUUCGAUAAUAAUCAUUUCUGAUAUAAUAUUUUACAAAUAAAAAAUGUUAGUGCUUCUGCUUAAGUUUGGGAAUUAGAGAAAUGAGUUUAUGAGGCACUGAAAAGCUAAAAUUUGGCACUUCUACUUAUACAAAGAGCGCGACUAAGCAGAAACUAAAGUUGCUUGAAGAACCCUUAUUUAGUUUUUUAGUUGAAGCUAUAAAAAGAAGUUCAAAGUAGACAUGCUGUUUAGAAACUAGAAGCUUAUUUUCCCUCUUCGACUUCCUUUCGAGCGAGAAUCUCUAGACUUUUUCUUUUUUUUCCUCUCCCUCUUAAAACGCUUAGCAAAUGCACUUACAAUCUUUUGUUUUCGUUGUUGCGCUUCAUCUUUGCUUAUGUCAAAACUAAAACAAUAUUCAAAAUCAUCAACAACAUAACAUUAAGGAAAAUCCUCGGUUCUCGCUACGAUUUUAAACAUUUAUCCCAGCCCGAACCCGAACGGGCCCUGUAGCCCAUUUUCAUGUAGCCUCUCUAUUCUUAUUCUUUCUCCGUUUUAUUGGUUCUUAUAAACUUUUGCUUUUUAAAAUUUUUUUUUCUGAUUUCAGCUAUUUUUACAAAUUUUAUCAAAUAUGUGUUCAAUUUUGUAUUAAGAAACUCUUCAUAUAUAUAUAUAUAUAUAUAUCUGCACAUCAUCAUAUUGUUUUUACUUUCUUUUCAUUGUCUUUAAUUUAGUUAACUGUCGCGUAAAAUGAUUAAUCACGACUUUUCUCAACCCCCUCUUUCAAUGGAAUCUCUCUGCCAUUACAGUAAUCGCGGGGCCUUCAAUGAUUGAAAAGUAGCAUGAUGAUUAUUCUCAUUCCUAUGUUUCUUCUGCGUGGAAAAUGAUUAUGUACCUUUCAAUGUGUAAACUUAAUUUGUGCGUAAUAUAUCAGUAUCUACGUAUACCAGCAUCUGUAACGAUCGAUGCUCCUACAUGCGAUAGUUGCUGAGUGAGUCAGUUUGUCAAAUCUUAGAUACAACACUUGAAUUAGGCGCAAGCUCUGAAUGAUAAGCUACUAAUAUGACUUCGUCGUAUGUACCAAGCUGACUCAUCAGUGCUAAAAGUACAAGUCAAAAUUAAGCAUUUCGUCAAACAGCGUUACACUCAAAAGUAAGGGAGGGAACAAGCGCUUAUUCUCGGUUGGAGGGCCAAUUUAACAAUGGGCCGAGAAGGCCAUAUAUUGAAGCCCAAUGAUAAUGGGCUAAAAAACCUCGACUUCAUGGGCCUCGGGGCGGCAUUUCGCGAAGAAAACAUAAAUUUAAUUGGCAUUGCAAAAUUUAGGUUUAAUCUAAGUACCUUUAUCUUUAUAUAAAAAGAAUUAGAAAUGAAAUUGUAAGUCGCGCAAAAAAAAACGGUACAAGGAGUAUCUGUACAUGCAACGCUCAAUUGUAUGCCUUCAGUUGAAGGCCGUGCAAUCUCGUCUGAUCUGCCCCCGCCUGCCGGUCUUCACCCCGACCCUCCCGAGCUUGACCAUCGACUUUGCAAAUGCCGCAAAGAAGCUGCUUUGAUCGCCCGCGAAACCCUUAACAACCGGUUGUGACCGCCCGUCGGCAUACAACACCUCGUCGGAGGUGAAAAGCCCUAAACCGGCCGCUAGGUUCGCGUAGUAGACGUUGUCGAACGUGAUCGGGGUGACAGGGUCCAUGUUAACUGCGAUUGUCGGGCCAACAUUUGCAGGGCAUGCCUGCAUCAGCUCUCGAGCGUAGUCAGGGUUUAUCGUCGGGUCGACGGAUGACGAUGAGCCGAAUCGAUACAGGCGGUUGGUGAAGCGACUGCAGUGCGCAAAACCGACUGUGUGGGCCCCGGAGAGUGUGAUCAUGUCAAACAAAGUUAGGUUGUUUUUUCCGAAUAAGGUCGUCAGGGAAUCGAGAUUGAAGUCCGGUCCUGGGAGCUUUCCUGCGACCCGACUAGCCAGGGAGACAAGCCCGUCACGUCGACCUAACUCAACGGUGAAGUUCGGACCGCCCGACUGGAAAGAAAAACAUUAGUUUUUCUCAGACGUGUAAUCUUAAUACUGUUUUCUAGCAGCUUAAGUUUUUUAGAGAAAAUUGAGAAUUUUACAUGGUAUCAGAAUAUGAGGCCACUUACAAGUGCGACGACAUCUCUGGCGGCAAUCGUAAGUAUGUCGGCACAGGAGACCACUCCAGGGCACUGGGCUUCGACUGCCGCCUUAGCCUUGAUGACCGUGUCGAAGCCAUCGCCGGCGAGGGAGAGGUUGUCCGGUGCGUCCUUCUCGGCGUCGUUCCUCGGGGAUGCGAUCAUAACUGAUGCAUCGCAGCCCUACAAGUUUGAGAUUGGAUGUACUGAAUCAAAAGUUGAAUGUUGUGUAACACACACACACACACACACACACACACACACACACACACUGAAAAUAAGAACUAAUUAUUCUCCAUUAUGAUAGCAAAAUAGAAAUAGUGAUUGUAUUUAACACUUAAUUUAUAAUCAACAAAGCAGCUCCUAUAACGAAAAAAUAGUGUUAUUGGAUAAACUAUUAUCCGUCUAUCUUAAACUCUUUCAAUAGAUUCUAUUCAAAGCACCAAACUAGCUUUUUUUUUUUUGGUCGAUUAAUAUCUCAAUAUUUUUUUCAAGAAAAUUUUAUUUAAUAUGAUCGUUGGAAUUAACCUGAUCACUAUUUACACCACGAAUCCGUUACAUCAAUAAUAAUUUUUGCUCAAUUUAUACGACUUAAAACAACCCUAGCAAACCCUAGGUUUCAAUUUCAAAAUAUGCUAAAUUACAUUGUGAAAAAAAAAAAAAUGGUGGGUUAAAAGGAUCAAAUUUUAAAGGCCGAGUGGGCGCAACCCAACAAGGAAUUAUUAAUUAGCGUUAGGCCCGUGACACGGCAUCGAUUGAUGUGGAGUCAAAAUUGGACGUAUUAACACUUGCACAUGCUAGACCUGCUUGGUCCUUGUCGCUAGUGCACGUUACAAAAUAUUCGUUUAAACCUAACUCGAUCAAUUCAAUUAAAUAUUCAUUAAUUUCCCUAAUUUUACUGUUGAAUAUAUAUAUAUAUAUAUAUCUAGCAUGUUUCAUGUCGAAUUAGCAUGAAUUUUCUUAUGUAGAAAUCGUAUUGAGAAACAUUGCUACGUACAUGAAUAAUUUUAUUUAUGAUCACUAAGCUGCCGUAUCGAUACGAAUAUCUGAGCCGAAAAACAAUUAAGAUGCUAUGAACUAAUUGGGAGAUGGAUUAAACAGCUUCACAAAUUCUGAGUGAUCUUUUAGUUACCUCUACAAAGCAAUAUGGAAGAAGAGGCGAAGAGUGGCGGGGAUCGUGACGACGGUUUGGCUGAUCUUCUUCGCUCAGCCUCUCACGAUCUCCUCCACAUUCGGGCACGUCAAUCGGUAGAAGUUCGCCAUAGCUUGGCCUCUUCCUCCCCGCACUAUCGUCGAUAACACCAACACAAUGAACAAACUUCUCUAAUCAGCUCCAUCUCUCUCUCUCUUAGGUUUUUUUUUUUUUUUUUUUUUGAUGUAUCUUUCCUUAACAGUAAAAAGAGAGAGAGAGAGAGAGAGAGAGAGAGAGAGAGAGAGAGAGAGAGAAAACAGUGUGUAGGGGUGGAGGGGAUAGAGAAGAGAGAGUACAAAUAUAUAGGAGGGAAUGUAUUGAGUGAAAGAGGAGAAGGUUCCAAAAGAGCACAUAAUGGUUAAUAAUGGCUACAAUGUUGCAUGUGUAGUGUACAAAUUUGUUAGGCUCACACUCAAUCCAAAGCUUAGACCAUAUUUUGAGGCACUGAUUGCGAAAAUGCCGGUUCAAUCGGAACUCGACGCGUGGAACCAAAAUUUUCUCCCUUUUUUUUCCUGAAUUUUUGUGGUUAAAUGAGUUGGAAUGAGGUCCUACUAUAUUAUAUAUUUCACUAUUUUGAGUGGAUUCUAGUGCUUUAAUUUAGAGGGGGCUUCUUAGUGGUUCCACCACUAUACCAUGUGAAGCAACUAUUCCAAAGCAUGAAAGGAGCAUCUUUUGAUCUGUAAAGUGUAGCGAGAGUGAGAGAGAGAGAUUGGAUUUGGAUUCUUUUCUUUCUUUCUUUUUUUUUUUAAUUCUCUUUUUUGGUUGUUGAUUAGUUAGUUGUGUUUAAUUCCAAGUCAACAUCAUGUUGUUAAAAAUGAAGUUCAGGUGUUUAGGAGGAGCACAUGCUCUCCAACUGUUUCCAUGACAAUCUACAUUAAAGCAUUGUACUAUUCCUGCAGGUGGGGUUAGUUUGAACAGUUUAUUUCAAUUUAUUUUGUUUAGGAAAGCUCCAUUAAACUAUAAUUUUGAUGCGCGUUACCGUUGGAUCUAUCAAUGGGUCUAUCUGAAUGUGACCGUUGCCUGAUGCGCGGCGUGAUUAGUUUGAAUUCCAUGUUAUAAUUACUCACAUGAUUACUUUAUUUUUUCUCUAUUAUUUUAUUAGCUUGAUGCAUGAGGCUCACCCGAACUUACGGUAGCCCUAAUGCUGUGUAAACUAAAAGAUCGAUCUGAUGGAGUAGAAGUUUACUGCAUCUGAAUUGUUGGAAGUGUUCAUAUGUUGCUAUCAAACACAGCUAAGAGUGUCCAUGAAUAGCUGUGAGUGUGGUGUUGUACAGCUAAAGUCAGUGAUGGAGAGACAAAUGCAACCAACCAUUCAAAGAGCCAAAUCUACAUGUCCUUUUAGAAGAGGAAUAACUUUUGAGGCAAAAGCAUGGUCCACACAAAAAUUGAUUAAUUCCUUGUGCAGGAAUAUAUGAAGGAUGAUCACCUCCGUAACGCGGUUUGUUCGAGGACAUAUAUAGGUUUAAUUUCUAACCCUAGGUCAGGCGUUAGCGCAGAGCGAAUAAGCUGGCAUAAUUUGGGGCGAGUUUGUAUAAAAAGACUUGAAAAGGCUAAAGGUAUGUAUAGUUCUUGGCCACAGCGUCGAUCGAUCUUUUCGAAUAUACGAUGGCGUUCGCAUGCGAACAUCUCUAUAAAUCUACCUUAUGAUUAUAAUACUACUGCCUACGGAGAUAUUACGUUGACGAAUCUUGCUAGUGUUUGACGGACCAGUGAAGGUAUUUAUCAGUGGCCUACCAAUAUUAACCAUUGUUUUUAGGUUUUCUUAGGAUGAUUCCGCGUGUUAUAUAUCUUGGGUUUACCUCAUCAAAAUUAAAAGGAAAUUAAGCAGCAUUAAAAGAUUUGUAGUGACAUAUUAAAUGUGGCCCAAACUUGGCCCAUGGCCUAUUAUUGGUUACCCGAGCCCUCUUUGUUCUCAUAAAUUACAUCCUCUCUCUCCGCUGAUUGAUGCAGUACUAUCUGAAUAGUACUAUCAAACUAUAUGUAUAUAGAGUAAGGCUACUGUGCUAUUAGUAGCCACAGCAGCCCCUUGUGUUUCUAAUUUCUAACCAACCAUCAAGUUUGCAUGGUGUGUUAGAAUGAGAGAGGGAGGAAUAUUGGAAGAGAAUUCAAGGAGAUGAGAAAUUAAACACCCAAUUUCUUCCAAUAUUUUCUCCAUCUUAUUCUAACGCCCAUCCAACUUGAUAGGUGUUAGAAAGUUAGAAACAACAAGGGCUGCUGUGCUCCUAAUAGCACAGUAGCCCUCUUAUAUAUAUAUAUAUAUAGGAGAGAGAGAGAGAAGAGAAGAGGAAGAGAGAGAGAGAGAGAGAGUUGGAUUGGGCUACUAUUAGUAGCAAAAUUCAUUAUUGCUACCUAGUUUUUUUAGCCUAUGGAUCAACUCUUUUCAUUUAUUUCUAACCAUUGGAUUAAAUACUAUAACCCAGUAAGAAUCAUUCAACCUAGGGGGACACCAACUUUAACCGACUAAUAUCAUUUGACCCUUCAAGUUUUUCAUCCAAGAGUUAAAAACUGAUAGCCAAAAAGAGGUCUUUACUAUUAAUAGUAUUCCUGCCUAAUUCUAUAUAUAUAUAUUUGAUAGCAAAAUUUCAACAAAUAACUAUUAUAGCUUUGAUUUUGAGGCUCAAAAUUAUAUUUUGUGUUUUCGCUGCAUCAAAAGCUCCACAUAUAGAAUAGAAAUAGCGUUGAACAGAAUCUUAAUCCUAUAUAAAUAUGAUAUAAGUAAAUGAAAGCAGUAACUCAUCCUUAUCAUUCUUGGAGAACCAAAUAGGAAAAAGAGUUACAUGCCAUGAGAGAAAGUAGUGGUAAAAUUAAUUAUAGCAAGUUUCUCAUUACACCACUAGAGCCUUGAGCAUCAAAUAAUAAUAAUCCACAUACAAUUACAACACAGCGAAAAGUUAAAAAAAAAAAAAAGAAAAAAAAAAGAAGGACAAAUAAUUGCUCCAAUUCCUUAAAAACCCUGCCUUAAUAGAUGGAUACAAAGAUAGCACUAAUUAUGGCAAUGGCAAAGCAAGCAAGCAGGCUUAUCUGAUGAAUAAUACCUUCAGAUGUAGUGUCUGAGCUGCUGCUGCUGCUUGUGGGUGUAGCUGCAGAAGCAUUCAAAAACAUGUACAUGUAACAAGUUAAAGGAAUUUAGUUUGUGCAUGAUAUUCAUUCUGAAGCCACAUCAAAAUCCCUAUGCGCGAAUUUCCUACAUCUUCGUGCGCAGAUGGUUGGCUGAUCUAACCGAUCUAGUUGAUCCACCCUGAGAUAUGGGCGGCAGGAUCGACCGGUGCAUGCGAAUAUGAGGUUGCACGAAAUUUGUGCCCCACUAAUGCGCAAACUCCAGCCGAGCCAAAUAGGCUCAUUAAUUUUAACCCUAGGAUGUACUUCUAAAGAGAGUAAAAUUAGGAUUUGAGUUUGAGAUUUGAUUAUGUUUGGGUCAGUCGAUUUUGACCUAACCUCAAUCCAAAAUCUAAACCGAAAGUCCCAAACUCAAACUCGAACCGCUUCGAGUUGAGUUUGCUUAGAUCAACAUGGUAUCUAAUUCAAACUCAAAUUUAACAAAAAUGACUAGCACACAAACAGGUUAUCAAAUUGCACUUUUGUUGAAUUUGUGUAAAUAAUAGUAAUAGGAGAGGAUGAGUUUGGGAAGAGUAAAUUAAAAUUUACCUUUGCUAGGGUUUGUAAAAAUAGCAUAGUCAGGGGAGCUGGGGGUGAGAUUCAGAAGCCCUGUCACAACAAAGGAACAACAAGAGGGUACAUCACAUUAAUUAGCAUUCAACAUCAAUGCUCUAACCGACCAUCCCUAGAGCAAGUGGCAAAGGGCUUGGUGGUUGAUAUCCGAGACCCAAAUACGAAUUCUAAUUGAUUCACAUUUCUCGCUAAAUUUAUUUCUAAAUGAAAUAAACGAAGCAGGUAGCGUGCUACCUAUCUCUCAAAAAAAAAAAAAUAUCAAUGCUCUAAAAAGAAAUAAUAUGAAGUAAUAAUAAAGGUGAGAUUUAUAAAUUUUAUUUAGCUUGAUAUAUAAAUAUAGAGUUGAGCUGGAAUUUUAUCGGUAGCAAACGGAUUUUGUUGCCGCCCAUUUAUUUUUAAUGAUGGAGUAUCCAAAUCGACAAUCGACACCGUUGAAUAUAAUCUGUAACACUUGAAGUAUUUAGAAACUAAAUUUUAAAUCUUUUCGACAUUAUUGAUCUAAUGAUAAAAGGGUUUCAAAAUUUAUAAUUUUAAUAGUCCAUAUGAGGCGUUUUCUAGUUUAAGGUGUAAAAAUAUUCAAAUCAAUUGAAUUUUGGUUAGAAAAUUCUUUAAACCAUUUAGAACAAGAUCUAUACUCUUGAUCUUGAUUACAAGACUCCUAUUAUCACCUUUUAGAGGAUAUUCAUUUCCAGCCAUUCAUUUUUGUGCCCAUUUGAUGGAUAAGAGGAAAAUAUCGGAUAAGUAUGAAAUUUGAUUUCUAAAUACUUCAAAUGAUAUAGAUUAUGUUCAACGAUACCGAUCGCCGAUUUGAAGGCUCCAUAAUUAAAAAUAAAUCGGUGGCAGCGGAGCCCGUUUACUACCGAUAGCAUUCCAGCUCAACUCUCUAUAUAUUACUAUAAUAAUAAAUGAGAAAUGAUGUAACAUCAAACUAAUACUCAUGACUAAUCAGACUCUGAGUAGAAUUAUAGGAGGCCAAACUUCUGAUUCUCGAAAAAAAAUAAAAUGAAAUAAAAUAAAAUAAGAACUUAUCAAAACCAUGCAAUUAAUUAAACAACAAAUUCAGUUUGAGUGACUGCAUAUGACAGUCCCUGGAGUUGAUCAGAUCAUUUUUAUGUCCAUUUUCGAAAAAAAGGGGAGUCAAAUUAAUCUCCAUUUUGGCCUCUGCUCAUCUAACUCUGUUGAAAAAAAAAAGAAAGUAUAUAGAGAUAUAUUUCUGUAUUUUUUAGUAAAAUGACAAAACUUAUAUCGAUCGAAAUAAAAUUAUUGUGAUCUACAUUAUGUAAUUUUAAUAAUUGUGCUCUAAUUUGAAAAAUGAACAUUUCAAACGCAACCGCUUUAUACUUUUAGAAUGCUUUAAGAAAAGAGCAAUGCUUGGUUUACAACCCAUUUUUUAUUAUAAUCCUAUAACUUGGGCAACUAAAGGCCAAGUUACUAUAUAAGUUUGAUCACUUUUUUUUUUUUUUUUUAACUAAAAUCCCAAAAGGAUGGGCUAAAAUUAAGAGGUCAUUGGAUGAGUGGUUGUAAUCUUUACAACCCCUCUUUGACUAUGACUUAGCAUUUCUCAAUAUUAUAUAUAGUAUUUUAAGCCGAAUUAAUUAUAUAAAAUUUAUAACUAUUUAAAUAUGUAAAAUCUAGGAGAUUAGUUUUAUUUGCCUUUUGUAUUCAAUUUAAAAUUUUGGAAAAGAUAUAAAAUUUGCAAAAAGAUAUUUUAGUCUUUUAAAAGAAAAAUCCUCCGAAAAAAAAAAUAGUAAGAGACGAUGCGGAUUUUCUUCUUUUUGUUUUUUGAGAGAGAGAAAAAUAGCAUGUUAUCAUCUUUCUUCAUUUUUUGUUGAGAAUAAACUCAAUUAAAAAUAUGAAUCAACUAAGCUUCGAACUUAAGAUCUCGUGUAAAGAAUUAUAUAAUUUUAUAAAAAAUUUUCAAUUCCUAACUCCUGUGAUAAAAAAUAUAGAAAAUUUUAUAAUUUCAACUCUUCAUUUGUUCAGGCAUUUUGAAAAUUACAGUGAACCAAACAUGGUCAAACUUUUUGUAUUGUUGCAAUUAAGUUACACAACCUAUUUUUUCUCCAAAUAUUGAUAAAUUAUUGAUAUAAUAUAAGUAAUAUAAUAUUAUAAUUAUUAUCGUAUUAUUAAUUACAGUACUUUUCUCUACGUCAACAAUUGAUUAAUAUUUAGCCAACUAAAUUAGGACUUGAUUGUAGUAAUUUAAAAAAAUUAAAAUAAAAAUUAUAAUAAAAUAAAAUUUGAGUAUCGAAGUGUUAACACGGCUCGUAGUUUCAGGAUCAAAGUGUAAUUUACCCAAAAUAAAUUAAAUUAGGUUUGCUUUUCACUGCUUUGUUUCUGUUUUCUCACAGGGCAGUGGCAGUUGGGUCCAACUUUAUAGCGCUCUGUUUUUUUUCUUUUUUUUUUUUUGAGAAAAAAUACUAAGGUAUCUUGUUCCGUUUAUUUUUUUAAAAAAAAAUAAAUUUAGUUAAAAAAUAUAAAAAUAUUAAAUUUAAAAUUUAAAAUUUUGAGCAUUAAUCAUUAAGUUCUUAGCUAACUGCGCAACGUAGAAACGGUGGUAGAAUCUUUUCUUUAUUUCUACAAUAAAUUUACCUACGGGCUAACAUUUUUGAAUUUUUUUUUUUUUGAGAGAAAGUGUAGUGUCCGUUCCGUUUAUUUUUUAAAAUAUAAACUUAGCUGAAAAUGCAAAUUAAUUAAAAUUAAAAUUUAAAAUUUCGAAUAUCAACCACUAAGUCUUUGAUCACUUGCGUUAGAAUAUGUUAAGUUGAGCUUACUGGGGCAGUCAGUGAUGCUGGAGUUGACGAGCUUGCAGGCGGUGGGGAGCGCGAGGAGGCGGCCGAACUGCAGGCCGAGGCUCUUGGCGCUGGACGUGCCGGAGUGCGUCUGCUGGAUGACGUAGCACAGGCAGGCCGGGUCGGCCUUCCGCAUCGCCCCCACCGCGCUGCAGCACUCCCCCGACGGCGCGUCCGCCUUCGCCGUCGCGUAGUCCAGGCAGUUCGUCAGCUUCGCGAACUCCUCCCCGCACUUCGCUUGCAGAGGCGACGGCGACGACGACCCAGAGUCGUCGCCCACCGCGAACCUCACGACCACUUGAUCAGUGAUCAUCAGAAGAAGGAGAGAGAAAAUGAGGAGAGAGAAAAAAGUGUGGUGGUGGUGGUGGUGGUGGUGAGCACCCAACAUGGCCUACUAAGUUUGACGAGCACUAGGAAUGAUCGAUUGUAGAGUCGAUUGUAGAGAAGUCGUUAAAUCAGAACAAGGAAGAAAAAUAAACGAUAGUACUGUGAUUAUUAAAGUCAAAAAGAACAAGGGUCGGACGAUAUACUGCAGUUCAAGAAAAACUAACAUCCUUCCUUUCAAGAGUUAUAGGAUGGUUCAGAGGUCAGUCUUCCUGCACUUAUUAGUUACUCGUCCGUUUAAGAGUUCCAGGAUGACGCAAGUACAGAGACGAGUCUUUCUGUCCUUAUUAGUUACUAGUAUAAGAUCUUUCCAUUAUAGUUUAUAAGUUUCUGAUUACGGAGGUGUGUGUGUGUGUGUGUGUGUGUGUGUGCAUAUAAAUAGAGUGGGAGUGUCGGAGNUGUGUGUGUGUGGGGAGUUGUAUGUAGUGGAAAUGUUAAAUACGUGUGUGUGUAGUGGAAAUGUUAUAUUUAUAUUUAGGCUAAAUUACAUAAAAGUUUUUUGUCAAAAUCUAAUUUUUUAUUUUUUUUCAUGUCAUUUAAAAACCUACACUUUACUCUCUUGUAAAAUAAAAAAUAUUCACUUUGCCUCUUGCCGUUAGUAAUUCGUUUAUAAAAUAUUAUUAUAUAUUUUUUUAAGCCGAAAUUGUCCUCAUCCUUCUCUCCUGUAAACAUGAUGAGGAGCAAAAUGGUGAGGGACAAAAUGAUCAUUUUGUCAUCACAGUUCACAUCGUACUCCCUGUGAACAUUUUUUUAUUUUACAAGGGGGUAAAAUGUAGGUUUUUAAAUUACAGAGAGAAAAAGUAAAAAAUCAAAUUUUGACUGAAAAAUUUUCUGUAAUUUAACCUUAUAUUUAUAUAUGCAUGUAGGAGUGGGGACUGAGACUGUGAGCAUUAAAUAAGGGGACUUCAUGUGCAUUUCUAAAAUCUUAUUCCUAACGCCUCAAAAUCAAAAUCUAAUUUAAUUAUUAAAUAUAAUCUGCAAAAAUAUCUAAAUAAUAUAUCUCUUAAAGGGGGUUUUUGUUUAUUUAUUCCUAACUGCUAUUCAAAAUUUUUAAAUUUACUUUGAAAUCGCCAGAAAUACUCUUAUAAAAUCAAAUCCCAUUAGUACAUGUAUCCUAGAGAAAAUAGAGAUAUUUGAAAAAAAAAUUUAAAAUUAAUAAAAAAAAAUUUUGGUCCUUUAAAAAAUAAAUAAGAUAUUUUUAAAAUUUUGAUGGGCGCAUUAAGUGUUAUCUCCCCUCCUUUUUUUUUUUUUUUUUUUUUUUUUUCUCCUCCCUCUUUUUGACAUUUCAAAACCUCUUUUUGACAUUUCAAAAAGGUAUGUUUGAUGCUUUCAUGAAUACAGAGGUGGUUCUGGCCGUUGAAAUGGUUUGAUCAAGCCGGGAUUUCUCGCAUGGCCUCAUUCAAACAUUACGACUCUUCAUAUCCAACACCUUUUUGUUCUCAUUUCGCUAUUUUUCUUUCUCCUCCUUUUCCCUUUUUUGUAAUUUUUUUUUGCUCUGAACUGGAUGAAUAUAAUAUAAUGAAUACGAAUUAUCUAAUCAAAAUUUUCUUUUUGGGGGAGAAUAUAGUUGAACAAAGGAAACGUUUCUUCUUCCCUGCAUUCAGUUGUACGUUGUUGUUCAACCCUUUUUUCAGACCGCGCAUGGGCGUGUAAUAGAAAAUUUAUUUAUUUAUUUAUUUUCUUUAUUAAUGAAAUAAAUUGUGGGCAUAUCAAAAGCACUUUUGGUGGGUCGGACAAGUUUGAUUGUGUCUCAUCAUUAGGCUUUGCCUGCGCGCACCAAAAGCUUACCGAAAGAGAGUAACGACGACUUAUCAAUCUCUCUCUCCCACUCACUCUCUCUCUCUCUCUCUCUCUCUCGGCCCAUGUGGAGCAUUGCGAAUCUUGUUAUCCAUUUUAACGUCGGUGAUUUCUAAGUGGAAGACAGUUAAUUUGCAACUUUUACUUGGGCAUACAAGAUACGAGGCUAAAUUACGAAUAAGAGGCCCAGAUCAUGACCCAUGCCUUUUCACUUAAGCACACAUAUUGUGAAUGGGAGGCCUGGAACGUGACCCAUCCCCUAAUUACAUUUCAGCUCAACUACAACCUAAUCAAUCGGUUGAGAUUCAUAAUAACAUCUCGGCGAGAUGGAUUACUUGCCCAAACAAGAUUAAUAAUCCCCAAAACAUUCUCCUCCAACAUCACAAAUGAACACAAUAUAGAAUAGCAGCACUUAACCAGGUUAGUUAAAUCAGUAACAGGCUCAAACUGAAUGUUAAACAGACAUUUAACAGGACAAGAACAAAUCCAUUUUCCAAUCCUGUAGGAACAAAGUUCACUAAUUCACUCAUCCAUGUCUCACUAAUAAUUAUUCUAUAGAAUUUUCCAACUAAAUUGCCAAUGCUUGUUAUAUUAAAAGAAAGAAAGGGAGGGGAAAAGGCUAGAGCAAAUUCAGAUCUGACUCACACCGAACUACUGGGGGCCUCUGUAGAGCUUACCAAAGACAUGGAGGAGGGCGACAACAGCGAUGAACCCAAUGCUCAUGAUGAGGACAGUGUUGGGGGAUAUCUUGCGCCCUGCGGUCUCAUCCGUGUAGAACUGGAGCAUCGUGCUGGCACCCCCUGCUCCCCCACCGCCACCUGUCACCCUCCGCCUCCGCAGACCUGCGGCAGCCGCAGCGCUUCCCCUAGGUGGUGCUUCCCCAUUUGCCACCAUCCUGAUCGACUCUGUGCCUGAAAAAUAGGAUGAGACAUAAACAACAAGCAAUACACACACGGACAUGAUGCACUGUUGGGAGUUAUAUAAGUGGGCAAAGAUGCAUAAAACCAAUAACAAUGUAUUACUAUUCAGUGUAGAAUAUAUAUUACCCCGCCCCGGGACAGUUAAUGCUUACAAAAAAUAACUAAAAACAAUAUUCUUGGUCAUAAAUUGGACAAACUUAUGUGCCUGUUUAGAUGCAUGAAUAUGUUGUUCAGCAUGUCUUCUGUUUACACAAAGGAAAUGCAGUAAUUAGUUGAUGGGGAGUAUGAAAAACCUGUCUAAAACCCUAUAAGUAUAUGGCCUCCAAAUAUUUUCCGGGGAAUGCAACAUACGUCAUCUUGUAGGCAGGUUUAACCAUUUGAAGAAGUCGUAAGUAUUAAAAUUUCGAAGUAGGUAAAAAUAAACUUUUCGUUGCAAGUUCGCUAAGGUAAUUACAACAUAAUAAUAAUCAUGAUUUUUCAAGACAAAAGUAUUCUAACCAGAAGAACUUAUUCAAGCCUCGAAACAGGCAAUUGGCCUGCUUGGAUGUCCAAAUUUGUCAUCCUCUAACCUGCCUAACAAAGUAGCAUGAAGUAUUACAGUAUACGCAAAACUUUUAACCCAGCAAUAGCAAUAGACGGUNCCGAGCUUGAGCCUAGAUUUAGGCUCGAAAUUAAUUUCAAGCCGAAUUUGAGCUGACAUAAGCUCGCUCAAGCUCGGCUCGUUUCCACCCCUAGUUGUGAGCAUUGAAUAAGGAGAGAGUAUUAAUUCCAUGCACCAUGCGUGCAUGUAUCUCCUACACUUUGCUUCUAAAAUCUUAGUAUUAAGGUCUCAAAAUCAAAAACUAAUUUAUUGUAUGUAUUCUGUAAAAAUGUCAAAAUAAUAUAUUUUUUUAAGAAGCUUUUGCUUAUUUAUUUUUUACUGUUAUUUAAAAUUUUCAAAUUUACUCUAAAAUUUUCAAAAAUGCUCUUCUAAAAUCAAAUCCCGUUAGUAAAUAUAUAUAUGCUAGAAAAAAUGAAGAUAUUUGAAGGAAAUUUUUAAAAUCAAUAAAAAUAUUUUAGUCAUCGACCGUCUCCGGCGUAUAUAGCAAAGGCUUUGCUAUUUAGUAUCCAAGGUCCAAAAUUCGAAUCCUAUUUGAUUCAUAUUUUCAGCUAAAUUUAUUUGUCAAAAGAAAUAAACGAAGCGUACUUCUUUUCUCUCUCUCUCUCAAAAAAAUAUAUAUAUAUUGGUCCUCCGGAGAUAAAUAAAAUAUUUUUAAAGUUUUAUAUAGACUUUUUAUGUGAUAUAGAUUAUAUCACAUCGAUCCGAACCGAGUGCGAUGUAUUAUACACCAGGUGCAGUUAAUAAUUUCGUUUGAACGAGGGGUGUUGGAUGAGAAGCUGGAUUAGGUUGGUCGUGGUGGAGGGUUUUAAUGAGGCUUUUGUGAGAUUGUGUUUAAUGUUGUGUAGGUGGGAAUAAAGAUAUUAAUUGUAGUCAUUUAUGGCAUAUAUAUAUAUAUAUAAGUUUGGGUACAANGAACCCUCUCCCUCUUCCCCCUUCCUCUUCGCCUUUCUUCUUCCUCUCCCUCUUCCUCUUCCUCUUCUUCGUCGCCGGCGAGGGAGGAGAUGCAGCGGCGGCAGCGGUGAAAGCAAACCCUCUCCCUCUCCCUCUUCCUCUUCCUCUUCCCUCAUCCUCUCCUUCUUCCUCUCCUUCUUUCUCUUCUCUCUUCUUCAUCGCCGGCGAACCCAAUCCCACGCCGCCGCUGCCGCCGUCCACUCCGGUGGCCCAAAGAGGGAGAGAAAGGGAAGGGAAAGAGAUUUGGAGGGAUAUAUUUGUGAGGGUAAAAAAGUCAUUUCACAAAAAAAUUGUUAAAAAAUAACAGUUUCUUAACAAUUUCAACCGAAGGGACAUAUCUGCAUAACUUAGGACUUUUGCAGGGACAACUCAUGAAAUUUCUGUUUUGCAUGAAUAUUUCUACAAUUCACUAUGUUUGCAGGAACGUGUAUGCAAAUAACCCUAUAUAUAUAUAGAUGAUGAGAUGUAUACCGUAACCUAGCAAAUUAAAUAAGUGAGGCAUCAAAUUUGUCCCUUUUUUUUGCGCUCGUAGGUUCGUAAAUUUUUUUUUUUUUUUGAGAAAUAGGUAGCAAGCUUCCUGCUUCAUUCAUUAAGCAAAAUGAGUUUAGCUUACAAAUUGGAAGCAGCUAGGGCCUCCGAACCGAGCCAAUGGAAAAAGAGAAAACGAGAAAACGAGAAAAACCAGGUCCGUGUGACCAAACAAACAAGGGAAAACAAAAUAAACAAAGGGGAAACAAAGGGCAGAGCACGGGAGAGUAUCAAAGUGCUUCGUUCCAGGCUUCGAUCAAAACGGUGACACGUUCGAGUGCCCGGGAGACAUUGAGAGGCACGUCGCGGAAGCAAAUGUCGUUACGCUCCGUCCAGACAACCUACCAAAUUGCCGCCAACUUGGUUAAAAUUUUUGAUCUCGUUACGGCCUCGGGGAUGUCCGAGGUCUGAGUCCAUAGCUGACGUACAUCCCUCACAUCCGAAUCAGCAGCCACUAGUGCUCCUGCUUUAAAACGAAGAUAUCUGACGACGAUACAGUCGUGAAAUAGGUGGUCACAGGUUUCGGCUAGUGACACACAGAACCUGCAGUGCUGAUCCACAAGGCACCCUCGGCGAAGCAGUCUGUCUGCUGUGGGUAAUCUCUUUCGAAGUAGAAUCCAAAUAAAAACUUUGUGCUUGAGCGGGAUUUUUAGCCCCUAGAGUUGAUCAUACAAAGUAUCAAUUUGCCCUCCGUCGGUGAUGAAUUCAUAGAGUGAUUUGACGGUAAAAAUUUGGUUGGCGGUCCAACGCCACUUUAGUUUGUCCUGUGUAUCAGAUGGGCUAUAGUGGGAGAGUAGGUUUUUGAGCAACGCAGUCUGUUGGCGGUUCUGACCAAUUGUACGAGUAGCAACGCCUCUUGUUAUAAAGCGCCAUCUCCAUCCCCUUUCGUUCCAACAUUGUGAGACCGUGGCUUGUUGAUUUGCGCUUCUGCUGAAGAUUCGUGGAAAUCGGGUACUAAGAGGGGUUUCUUCGAUCCAAAUAUCUGACCACCACCUGAUGUUUUUCCCUCGCCGAGAACAUAUGAAAUCCCGCUUUUGAACACAUCUCGACAGCUCAUCACACUUCUCUACCACUGGGAGUAAGGUCUAAAGGAUCUGGCUUCGCGCAGCGGCCUUCUUCUAGUGUAGUAUAAUGCCGAGAUCAACCUCCCCCAAGACAGACAGACGCAGCGGCCUUCUUCUAGUGUAGGUUCGUAAAUUUUAAGAGCAUGCAAUGUGAUAGUUGAAAAUACAUUUUAUAAUACUUCACAAAUUAGCAUGGGUGGGGCAGUAUUUAACUAAUCGAAAAGUAUAAAUUACGAUGCGGUAAACAUGUAAUCCAACCAUUGAGUUGUAUAGUUUGUAAAAUAUUAUGAGAUUCAUUCAGAAGCAAAGUACAUAUUUUCUUUUUUUCUUUUUUUUUUUGAGAGAGAUAGGUAGCACGAAUCUCCGAGCUCUUAAUUUGUAAUUAGGAUGUUUUCCUCUUCUUUUAAACACGCAUUAAUUUUGAGUCCAAUUUGAAGGGCCUGAAUUCAGCAAUCUAGAUCUAAACCCAAAUGCGAUCUCACGCUUGAAUUGUCAAGGGUAUUCUGAUUUUUCGUAUGCACGCGAGUGAAAGUGUUAAGAUUACUGAGCUAUUUACUAUUACAUUAAUCUUUUUCAGUAGCAUUAAGCACUAAAUUUAUAAAUUAUACCUUCAUGGACAACAAGACAAUUUAACUUUUACUUAUUCUAAUCUGACCAUUUUGAUUUUAUUGAGUUAUUAAGGAUUAUUAACAUCCCUAUCUAGUUAGAGCAUUUACAUAAUAAGUGCUCAUUUAUUUUUUUUUUUGAACUAUUUAAAAAGUUUUAUUGAUAUAUUUUUGCUAGAAUCACUAAUGGUCAUGCCAAGCUACACCUUUAGUUUUUGCUAGAAUGUUUUAUCUUUUUCCUAUUUUUAUUUUCAACUAUAGUUAUAUAACAAAAGGUUUAUCAAACACAAAAUUUUGAGACUUUUAUUGCAAGAAAAGGUAAAAAUGAUAUUUUCGAGAGCUCAAAAGCUAGAAGCAUGAAUUUAGACCUUUUAAUUUAGGGUGUAUUUGUUUCAUAAAAAAUGGAGGGUGGGAAGUUGCUUUUUGGCUGUAAAUACUCACUUUAGUUGUUUGGUUCGCCAUAAAUUUAAUUAGCCUGUAAUUCAACUUUUCUAAAUUGUCAUAAUUGGCUUUCGCUUUAAGUGGUGCCGAUGUUAAUUGCAGAAGAAAAAGAAAUAAAAAAUAAUAAAGAAUUGUUCGUUGUAACUCUUUUAACCUUUCUAUAUGCUAAUGUGAAAUUUUUCAAUGAAACAUAUAAAACAAGUGGAAUAACUAUAAUUACAAAAUUAUUGACUUCCUAAUGCAAAAAAAAGAAAAAAGAAAAAAGAAGAAGAUUCCUCUGAAAUUUAACUUAAAGUUUUUUUUCAACCUAAAAAGCACUUACGAGCAAAACUCGUUUGGUUCAAGUAUAAGCAAAAACUAGUUAUUAUAGGAAUAAGUAACAAGUAUGGGGAUAAGAAAAAUAGUAUUUGAAUGAAAAUUGGAUUGUUCGCGGGGAUAAAAAAAAUAACGUUUGAAUAGAUAUUAUGGAAUAAAAAAAAUAAUGAGUAGUUAUAUAUAGAAAAUGGAGGGGUUGGUGGGAAUAGUUAUAUCAGAUUAUUUCAGAUAUCUGAGAACUACUAUUUUUGGAUAAAAAAUUCACGUUUGGGUAUAAAGGUGAAGGGGAUAAGGAGUUAUCCCUCCCCUUAUCCCCCAUCCAAACGGUGCCAAAGGUGCAAAAAAGACCCUAGCUAGUAGCCAAAGAGUGACAAAUAGAAAAUAAAUGUGAGGCAAGAUAACCAUGUGAUCAGUGCUACAUCUUUAAUUCCAUGUCCUAAUAUUGGGGCAUUAAUUUGUUAAGGAGACAAAUUCCACUUUGAGUGCUAAAGGCUCCCUCCUUUCAAUCCCAUUUCAGUAUAGUUAAUGGUCCUUAUUCAAAGAUAGUGUAACAUAGCAUUUCCCCCAUUGAAAUGUGGGACAAAAGGUUUAAAUUCCCCACUGUCCCAGUGUACUGUGCUGUGUUUGUGGUGUAUAAUUUGAUCAUUUAUUGCUUUCAUAUGGGGGGCAGGUGAGUGUUGAUUCAAGAGGGACAAUUCUAGUGCUCAAGCUUUCAAUGGUGUGUCAUGACAUUUCAUAAAUAAGCCAGGCUAUGAUAUGCUAGCCAUGCUUCAAUACCUUCCCACCCAACCACUCAGUUUCAAUGCACUUUAAGUUUACCGUCUCCGAUAUUAUAAAAUAGUGGUGGAAACUGUCAGCAAAGAACUAACUAUCAGCAUCGGAGGAGCAAAACUCCAAACCGUGCCUUUAGGACAGUCUAGAUCAUCUAAUCGACGUAUUCUGACCACUACAUCUCUGAACAAAAUCUCGGUGUUUUCUAACUUGACUUUUAGGACAGUCUCUGUAUAGUGAGAAUCAGUAAUUAGACAUUUAACGAAUAAUGGACAUCAAGCUUCGGAAUUUUGAGAUUUUCUUGUUAACUGUUAAGAUUUCAAAUUUUCAACCUACUAUAUUUAAGAUUUUAACUUUUCAAUCGCUUUUUAAGUUUGAAUACUGACUACAUCGUUGUUGCCGAUCGAGAGACUAAAAUAAGCUUGAUUUCCGGCCCUCAAUAAAGAAACCUUUCAUUUGAAGAUUUCACUUCUUUGAUGUUAGAAAGAGUUUCAUUGAUGUUUCGUUUAUCUGCUUUGCUCAAAUGAUAGUACUUUCUGCAAAUCUUUAACUAAGCCAAUCAAUUGUGCAUAGCUUAGUCCUUAAACUCAAAUGAUUGUGCUUCUUUUGAACUCAUUUUUAGAAUUACGCCACUACACUAUUAAUAGUACAAAGUUAUUGGUACUAUUAGAUUUUCAUUUAGUCCUUGGAUGAAUAGAUGUGCGGUUAAGAUGAUAGUGGUCUAGGGUUGAGUGGGUGGUUGGUUGAAUAGUAUGAUCUAACGGAUGAAAAUAAUUAAAAGAAAUAGAUUUAACAGUAAAAAACUAGAUAGCACCAAAUAUUUGAUACUAUUGAUAGUAUAGUAGCUGAACACCUCAUUUUCAACAGAAAUAUACUUAGGAUCCCAAACACUUUUUUUUUUUUUCCAUUUUUUUGGUUGGCCCUUGAUGCAUUGGUAACUGUAUGCAGCUUUAUAGAUGCUUAUUAUGUGUUGGAUAGCUUACCUAUAGGUGUACAUAAAACGAAAGUAGUAAUAAUUAUAACAAUAAUAAUAAUAAUAAUGUCAUAAUAACUGGAUAAUGAGACUUCAUAUUUAUUCCAACUUCAAACAACUACCAAACAAUCGAACAUAAAGAAGGCCGGCCCAGUAACAGCUUUGGGCUUACAUGGGCCAUGCUAAUCUUUAGCACGAAAAUAAGAUAUGUUGGAUUUUAUGGAGAUUCUAUCGACUUGACAUUCUCGACUGGUGUUGGAUCUGGAGGUUCUGUCGGAUUUGGACCUAUAUUGACUCGAAAUCUUGGUUGACAGGUGCCGACUCUGGAGGUUCGAUCGGAUCUGGACCUCGAGGAACCAAUCGCUCGAUUGACUUGCUAUCUUGGUUGACAGGUGCCGACUCUGGAGGUUCGAUCGGAUCUGGACCUCGAGGAACCAAUCGCUCGAUUGACUCGACAUCCCGGUUGACAGGUGCCGACUCUGGAGGUUCGAUCGGAUCUGGACCUCGAGGAACCAAUCGCUCAAUUGACUUGCUAUCCUGGUUGGCAGGUGCUGACUCUGGAGGUUCGAUCGGAUCUGGACCUUGAGGAACCAAUCGCUCGAUUGACUUACUAUCCUGGUUGGCAGGUGCCGACUCUGGAGGUUCGAUCGGAUCUGGACCUUGAGGAACCAAUCGCUCGAUUGACUUACUAUCCUGGUUGGCAGGUGCCGACUCUGGAGGUUCGAUCGGAUCUGGACCUUGAGGAACCAAUCGCUCGAUUGACUUACUAUCCUGGUUGGCAGGUGCCGACUCUGGAGGUUCGAUCGGAUCUGGACCUUGAGGAACCAAUCGCUCGAUUGACUUACUAUCCUGGUUGGCAGGUGCCGACUCUGGAGGUUCGAUCGGAUCUGGACCUUGAGGAACCAAUCGCUCGAUUGACUUACUAUCCUGGUUGGCAGGUGCCGACUCUGGAGGUUCGAUCGGAUCUGGACCUUGAGGAACCAAUCGCUCGAUUGACUUGCUAUCCUGGUUGGCAGGUGCCGACUCUGGAGGUUCGAUCGGAUCUGGACCUCGAGGAACCAAUCGCUCGAUUGACUUACUAUCCUGGUUGGCAGGUGCCGACUCUGGAGGUUCGAUCGGAUCUGGACCUUGAGGAACCAAUCGCUCGAUUGACUUACUAUCCUGGUUGGUAGGUGCCGACUCUGGAGGUUCGAUCGGAUCUGGACCUUGAGGAACCAAUCGCUCGAUUGACUCGACAUCUCGGUUGGCAGGUGCUGACUCUGGAGGUUCGAUCGGAUCUGGACCUCGAGGAACCAAUCGCUCGAUUGACUUGCUAUCCUGGUUGGCAGGUGCCGACUCUGGAGGUUCGAUCGGAUCUGGACCUCGAGGAACCAAUCGCUCGAUUGACUUGCUAUCUUGGUUGACAGGUGCCGACUCUGGAGGUUCGAUCGGAUCUGGACCUCGAGGAACCAAUCGCUCGAUUGACUCGACAUCCCGGUUGACAGGUGCCGACUCUGGAGGUUCGAUCGGAUCUGGACCUCGAGGAACCAAUCGCUCGAUUGACUUGCUAUCCUGGUUGGCAGGUGCCGACUCUGGAGGUUCGAUCGGAUCUGGACCUCGAGGAACUAAUCGCUCGAUUGACUCGACAUCCUGGUUGGCAGGUGCCGACUCUGGAGGUUCGAUCGGAUCUGGACCUCGAGGAACUAAUCGCUCGAUUGACUCGAAAUCCAUGGGUAGCAAUGACUUUGGAGUUCCCAUCAAGUUCGAUUCUUCGAAUGCCAAUCUCUCAACUGGCUUGAAACUCCCGGCAUGUACUGGGUCUAGAUGUUCAACGAUUCGCCGGUUGAAUCCCCCAUACAAAUCGCUACUCCGAGCUGGGGCGUCGACAAAGAACCCAUCAGGACCUCCAACUCUAAUACCAAAUGAAGUGGUGAGAGAAAAAGCAAGCAUUACGAAAAAUGAAAACGCCAGUCUCUCCAUUAUUUGUACGCAAACACGGCACGGAAAAGAGAUACUGAAAAAAGCCUUAGAAGAGGAGAGAUUUAUAAGCAAAUUGAAGGGGGAUAAAUUCAUGUCACAAAAUCACAUUCACAAAUCCUCUUUUUAUUUCUCUAUGAUUCUCAUUCAAUGCUUUCCUAUGGUUCUAAAUAGAAGAAUUUAUUUAUUGUAGCAUUAUAGGAAUAAUAAAUCAUCAAAUCUAUUUUUAAAAGGCCAGCGAAUCAAUUUCAAAUCCAACCCUUCAAACUUUUUUAGACUGAUAUGGUUCUGAUAAGAAUCUAUUCAAUGAAUCAAAUAUAUCGUACCCGAAUCAUACCAUAAUUGAAUUGGACCAGAUACGGAUCGGAUAUCAAGCCAAAUGAACCAAAUGAUACAAUAGGUAUAGAUGCAAAAAUCAGAUAAAGAUCUACUAAGAACCUUCCACUAUGUGCUAUCCUGAAUUUGGCCCCUCCAGUUUAUUAUUUUUCUUUUGCCACCCCACCAUUUUGUUUUUUGUUUUUUUUUUUUUUACUUUAACCUUGUUGGCAAAUUUAGAAAUUAUUUUAAUACAGCCUAUAGUCUUACAUAAAUGCGAUUAAAGCUGUUAAAUUUAAAGUAACCGCUAUUGAAUUUAAAUUUUCUGAUUAAAUUAACUAGAAUCACCCGCAUUUAAAAAAAAAGAGAAAAAGUUAAGGAGAUGUCAAUUUUUCUCAAAAAAGAAAUGUUAAGGGGUGUACACCAAAAUAGCCUAUAGUUAAGGGGGUCUCUAUACAAUUGUGAACUCCUGAUAUAUUUAGGCCACAAUGGGUGGACCCUCCAGGGCCGGCCCAUUCACAGUUGCUGGGCCCACUGCCACGUCGGCGUAUUUUGUACUAACACAGCAAAUAGAAUCGUGCCACGUAGGAUUAAGCGGUUCAUCGAAUCGGACGGCUAGAUUUGCAUCAAUCCGCAUAGAAAAUGUCUAUACGAGCGUCCGUAGAGCGCAAACACCAUUCUCUCGACUCCUCUCUCUCUCUCUCUCUCUCUCUCUCUCCUUCGCUUCUCCCAUCUCCGAAUCUCCCAAAUCGAUCUUCGACGAAUCGAUCCCACAAGCAUCGGAAGCGAGGUUAGAGAUUCAAAUCGAUCUCGUGAUCUCUUAUUCGUAUCUCCAUUGAUCACUCCUUUUUGUUCUCCUAUGAUUUUGCUGAAUAAUGAGUGAGUUCUUGGGAUUAUUAUUGUUCUACUGGUUGUUUCGGCGGAUCUUUUAGCGAUUUGAUGAUUUUAGUGUUUUGUAAUUUGCAAUUUAUGUGUUUUUUAGGGGUAUAGUGGAAUUUUUGGUGCAGAUUCGUGUUUCUAUGUUUGUUGUAUGGACGAUAGAUGUUAGGGUUUCAAAAGAGUCAUUAUACACCCGAGGCACAUCUUGGAAUUGUUGAAUUAGCGUGCUCAUAUUGCACUUGAUCAUGUCAAAAUCUUUUCUUCAGUGUUUGGAAUUGUAGCUGAACUCUAAUCAUUUGUGCGAUUAGUGAUUCAGAACUGAUUUGUAGAGAUUUGAUUGUGUUAUUGAUUGUUGUGGUGUAUCUAUUUGCAACUUUUUGUGGAUCUCACCUGUACUAAUUGGGAAUUAGGGCUGUUGAAUAUUGGGAAAUAUGAAUAUUAGCAUUUCAAAAUCCACGAAACAAACUUAUUGGUUUACUAGAAUGGAAUGCUUGAAUGGUUCAAAUUAUAUUAGAAUCCUUUCUUGAACAGUCUAUAAGGGUCUUAGGCUCCAAUCGUAUAGAGCGUCUUCGUGAUUUCUGCCUUGACUAUGUAGAUUUCUUACAAUUUAUUGUUUUAUUUUCUGGAGUAAUUUUUCUGCCCUUGUUGUUUUUUUGCUGUUUCAUUGAUUGUCGUGGUGUAUGUAUUUGCUGUUAGGGAUUUUAUAUUAUCUAGAUAGAUACUAGGGUUUUCAUAACUUACAUUUGCUCUUGUACCUUGGGAGAUAGAAGUGUUAGCAUUUCAAAAUCCACUGAAUUGCUUAUUGGUUUUGUAGAAUGGCAUUAAUUUAUUGCUCAUAUUAUCUCAAAAUCCUUUCUUGAGCAGCCUGAAUUGUUUUAGAGUCUAAUCAUGUAAAGGAUCUUUGUAAUUCUGCAUUGUGGUAGAGAUUCUUAUACAUUCUGAAUUUUCUUUCACUUCUUGUGUAUGGCUGCAUUUGCUCAUGUUCGAUACUCUUGAAUUGCAGUUAUGGAGGGGCUUUGUCAGAGGUUCAGUCAUUUAUUAUUUGUAGCUUUCUUGCUUUGUUUGCCACCGGUUUUUGGGAUUAGGUUUGUGAUAGAUAGGGAAGAAUGCUUUUCACAUGAAGCUCAAUAUGAAGGGGAUACAGUUCAUGUGUCCUUUGUCGUGAUCAAGGCGGAUACUCCAUGGCAUUAUAGUGAUGAUGGCGUUGAUCUUGUGGUAUGUUGUUAGCGUGUUAAUAUUUUUUUAUUUAUAAUUGCAUUCGUGAUUUGGAUUGUCUUAAGUAUGGUCAAGUUAUGGGUUGUUUUAUUAAGUUGUCAUGUUGUAUGAGAAAUUAAUAUUGAACAUUGUUUAUUCUCCAUUGAAAAUAGUUCUCUUCAUAUAGCACCAAGUUAGACAUUAGCACUCUUUGGUACGUAGCUUCUGAGUGUGUUCUACCGUGCAUUUUAUAGAUCUUAUUUUGUUUAUCAGUCUCUCUUGUGAAUAUUUCUGUAAAUACUAGGUCUUUUUAAAUAAUUCUCAAAUUUUUGAUGCACAGAUAAGAUGUACUUGCCCAGUGUACUCAAUUCAUAGCAAUAUCUGGUAUUUGAAGAUAAAUUCCUAUAGUGAAAAGUAUAUUUUAGUGUUAGUAGUACAUCAUGAACAAUGCCAACCACUUGUGCAGUUUAAGGAAGUUCACUUUUACAUUUGGUGUGUGAUGGUAUGGAGAUUAGGUGUUAUCAUGAUUGAAUGACAUAGAAUACUAACUGUGAUCAUGGGCUUAAUGUCAUUAAGUUGAAUUCUUUGUAUUCUUUUUUUUCCUGUACUCUUGACCUAAUAGCGAAUACCUGUUAGGUGGUUUUUGGUUCACAUGCAUGAUGGCUUUCCACAAAAGCAACAAAGUCUGGGGACAGCUAUUAUUUUUUACCUUGUUUGCGAUGUAGGCCCUAGUAAUCCAAGAUAGACCCCUUCAUCUUUUUUACAUGUACACUAGUUAAGUUGAAGUAUGAGAACUGUUUAUCUUGUGAUUUCUAAUGGAUAUAAAUAGCUAGAAGCUUAGCUCCUUCAUUGCAAAUUGUUAUUUUAAUAUGGUAAUUACUUUACGUAUAACAUAUUUGGCUUUUUUAUUUGUAAUUAUAUUUAAAGUAAGUAUCAUCAGGAGUUGUUUCUGCUUCAAAGUAAUUCAACUCUUCAUUUGUGAGCAUUUUGUUCUUUUUUCUUAUCCUAAAAUUUGUCUUUUGGGCUAUCUUGAAAAAUAAAAUUAGCUAUACCAUCUUGUGCUCUGAUUCUGUGGUUGCUUUGAUUUUACCAGGUAAAAGAUCCUUCCGGCAGUCAAAUUCAUGAUUCUCGAGACAAGACCAGUGACAAGUUUGAAUUUAUGGUCCAGCGAAGAGGUCUCUACCGUUUCUGCUUCACCAACAAAUCCCCAUAUCAUGAAACCAUAGACUUCGAUGUGCAUAUGAGCCAUUUUUCGUACUUUGACCAGCAUGCUAAAGAUGGUUAGUCUUCCAUUUUCCUUUUUUGUUUUCUGUUCUCUUCACUUGCUUAGAGAGGAGCAGAACAUGAUUCCUUUAUUUUUCUUUUUUUUUUUUGCAUAAUUAUGUGUGCAGAGCAUUUUGCCCCUUUACUGGAACAAAUUGCAAAGCUAGAUGAAGCUCUUUACAACAUUCAGUUUGAGCAGCACUGGUUGGAGGCUCAGACAGACCGCCAAGCUAUAUGUAAGUUUAUUCACUUUUUCUGCCCAUUAGGAGUGUGUUAUUAUAGAGCUUACGCGCAUAAAACAUUAUUGCCUGUUGUCUCUGACUGAUAUAAUAUAUAGAUAACUCAUUCACUCCCAUAUAGGGCUUGUUGUUUUGCCAAAUGUCAUAUAGACAACAUCCUUUAGCCAUUGGUGCAUUAAUCUAACCUAGUGGGUCACAUUCUAGAUUCAUCUAACUACAUCUAAAGCACUUCUCCGUUCACAUUUUAGAUUAGUCUAACUACAUCUAAGGCACUUCUCCACUCCCACGCUAUCUUUUCAUACAUCUCUUAUUCCCUUCACAAUGCAUUCCCUUCAAAUCAGGCAUCUCAAUCACUAAUAAUUACCAUUUAUAUUAUACCUUUUUCUUUGUAAUUUUCUUGUGUUAUAAACUGCAUUAUGCAUCGAACCAGAUUAAAACUAGUUUCUUUAUCAUUUGGAUUUGUGGGAAAUUGGGAAUGACGUGGUGGUCGAGUUGAAUGUAGUUCAUAAGAUUCAAUCUGUUAUAUUUCUACGUCUUCAGUCCUGAAUAACUAAGUUAUCCUAAUAUUGGGCAUAUUACAUCAGAGGACUCCAACCGUUUUGUGGGGUCUCAGUUAAGUCCUCUAUCCAUUUUCUAACAAUACCUUUGUAUUCCAUCUCAAUCUUACCCUUUGCAUUAAGUUUUCCCAUUAAAUAAAAAUGCCAACAUAACUGCAAUUUGUUGAGUCCAAAUGUCGAUUACAUGGCAAUUAGAUUACAAUUAUGUUGAUAUUUCUAUCCAAUUUGAUGGAUGAAUUUAAAUGUAAGGGCAAGUUUGAAACCGAUGGCAAAGUUUAAGAACCAAAUUAAGAGGGAAAACUAACACUGUGAUGGCAUAUUGAGGAUUGCUAGUGCAACUGGUCUCUUGUACUCUUCUCGAAACAUAUAUAGUAGCUGAAACCAUGUAGUGAUUAUCAAAAAAAAAAUUUCUUUUUUUCCUUUUUUUUUUUUUUGCAGUAAAUGAAGGAAUGAGCCGCAGAACAAUUCACAAGGCGCUUUUCGAGUCAGCCGUGCUGAUUGGAGCGAGUGUUCUCCAGGUCUAUCUCCUGCGCCGCCUCUUUGAGCGGAAACUGGGAACCUCAAGGGUUUAAUCCUCUAAACCCUGUUAACUUAUUUCUUGUGUACUUCUAGAUUAAGAUAAGAAAGAUCAGAUGCGUUUAUUAGGCUUUAUAUUAUUACUUUUAGUUAUAUUGUGGAUUAAUAUUCCAGAAUUUUGUAACCUUAUUUUGUGAGGUUAUUGCAUUAUUAUCAGAUAAUGUACAUUGUCGAUCAGGUGAAUCACUUUUCCUGGAAUGUUGUUCUAAUCUGGUAAUUAUGAUGUUAUUUGCACGCAAACUUACUUGGUAUGUACUAUGUAGGUAGGUGAUGCAUUGCAUUUUGAUAAGCAAGAAUUUUUUUUAAAAAAAAAAAAAAAACAAGAUGUAUAUUAUUCAUAGUAUUAACAAUUAAGUCCUUUUGGUUUUUUUUUUUUUCAACUUAAAAUUAAGCCUCUUUGGGAGUCGUAAAUCCGGAGGAAAAAACAUAUAUAUCAUAUCAAUAUCAUCCAUUUUAUCUCAUUAGCAUGAAGAUAUUUUAAAAGGCGUAUUAUCGGGAGGAAUUGAUUUUUUUCUACUUAGAGCAAAAUUUAGGGCUUAAUUAGUACAACUGAAAGUUGGGAGGAUUAUUUCUAAAUCGCUAAUGGCGCCUAAGGUCUUCAUACAUUUUGAUCAAAUAAUAAUAAUAAUAAUAAAAAGAUACUGCAUAUGAUUUUGCUCAAACAACAAAAAAAAAAAACAAUAAUGUUUGUUUGUUUCUUUGUUGUCUUUUAAUGUAGGGUAAAUUUCAAAUACCCUCCCGCUGGUUUUGCACUUUCUCAUUUGAGUACCCUAUAGUUUAAAACGUAGCAAUUUAGAACCUAUGAUUUUAUUUUUUUUCUUUUCGUCAAUUCCUUCGUUAACAUUUCGUUAAAUUAUAUAUAAAAAACUUCAGAUACCUUACCUAGGUUUGUCGAUUAUUCACUUUAAUAUCUUUUAGUUUUAACUUUGUCACUAAUUUAAAAAAAAAUUAAUGGAUGGGAUAAUAAAAGAGAAAAACGUACCCACGGAGUACUAAAUUGAUACACUUUAAACCACAAGAUACUAAAAUAAAAAAAUACGAAACCAUUGGAGUGGUAUUUAAAAUUUUUUCUUUAAUGUAUUUUAUAUAUAUAUAUAUAUAAAUAAAGAAUCUUAAGUAGCGGCUACAGGUUGAUCAGUUUGAUGCUUGCUUAAUUAAAUACUGCUGCUGCAAAAUAUGAAUAUUAAUUAAACAUAUCUUCUCAUUUUUCAGAGUAAGCACAUGAUCUCCUGCUCUUUUUUUUAUUACUCCGUUUUGGUUUUAUUAGGCCAACACUCCUGCUGUUUUGUUGUGUGCUGUUUAUGAGUGAGCUUCACUUACUAAGGACAAAACUUACUCUGAGACAGUUUAUAUAUGUAUGAGGACAAAGUUUCAGAGAUUCCAAUAGGAAUCUUUGCUAGUAACUCUCUCUCUCUCUCUCUCUCUCUCUCUCUCUCUCUCUCUCUCUCUGCAAAAAAUUGUCUACAUAUCCCUGCAAAAUAGUGAAAUUGUAUAUAGGACUCCAGAAAGAUUCGACUUAUAUGUGUAAACUUAUCCUUCUUCAUCUCUCUCUCUCUCUCUCUCUCUCUCUCUCUGCAAAAAAUUGUCUACAUUUCCCUGCAAAAUAGUGAAAUUGUAUAUAGGACUCCAAAAAGAUUCGACUUAUAUGUGUAAACUUAUCCUUCUUCAUCAGUUGACCAUUUAAAUUAAAGACCGUUCAAAACUAAGCUUUUUAUGCGUCUACAGUGAAAGAUCUUUUAAAAUAUGUUGAUCAUCAUUUUUUUCGCCUCUAACUCUCUUAUUUUAUCAUUGUCGUUAUAUUUGUGUAAACACUGCAUACUAAAUGACUUAGAUAUUUAAAAAAUUUUAAACAGAAUGAGAGAGACGGUUACUAAUCAAGUAAUAAUAGUUAACAAGCAAGAACAAAUUUUGUAAACAAAAUAAAUUUAGAGGAAUACGUAAUACAUUUGGGAAUUUAAGAACUUUUUGAGGUACAAAUAUGCGAGUUCCAUAUUUUACAGGGAUAUCUAUACAAAUGCUUCUCAAUUAUUGCUCAUUUUUAAUUCAUGGUGAGACCAGGAGCACAGUCCCUCUCUGAUUAAAUUGUGGCAAAUAAUAAUCCAAAAACAGUAUGACUGCUAUUUUGUUGGAUCUUGGAACAGGAAUAUACAUUAAUUUAUCUCCAAACAUAAAAUAAGAAAUUUGUUUUGCUUGCUUGUGCAAUUAAUAUUUCUGCAAGGGACUGUUCAUUUGCUAGUAUCAAUAAAGAUUGUGCUUAAACAGUUACAGUUAUUAGGGGCUCGAUGUUCUUAAAGAAAAUUACGAGCUUGCCCCUGCAUGAAUAUAACAUUUGAGUAGAGCUGCUCGAAAAAACACCACAGAAUCAUUAUAGAUGCAUACUCUUGCAGAUGUGUCAAUCUCCUUUCCAUAUUUACAAAAUAUUUGAAGCCAAUUUACCACACUGGUUAUCAACACUUUCUAGUUUGGGAUUAUAAGGGAUUAUUUUUAUUUUUUUUUCUAGUGAAAGCUUAGUUCAUUAUUUUAGAAAUAAAUUCGGUUAGAAAUGUAAAGCAGCUAAGCUUCGAAUUUGAGAUCAACCAUCAAAUUCCGAGUCAACUGCAUUAGGUAUGGUCGGUGACUGUAUAUCAAAGUUAUUGCAAAUUUGGUAUGGAUUCCUUCUCAAUCCAUGAAACAGUUUACAAGGCCCAAAUAUAUCAAAUACCUGUAGUAAUGUUUGUAUCAAUUUGUCAAAAUGAUUGUGAAAAAAAAAAAAAAACUUUGGUGAUUGUGUAAAAAGACCCAAGUUAACUAUUAGAAUGACAAAUGAGUUGUUGGAUCUCAGUUUAAGGUUUUCUUUUUCCAGAAUAGGAUUUAAAUAGUGAAACAUUCUUUGACAAGCUCCAAACCAAUUGAGCCCAUCCCCUAAAAUGUCUCAAGAAUCUCCAAAUAUACAUCUAGUGAGUAGUUGUGUGUAUGCUCUUUACAACCUUGUCCCCUUUCCCCACUCAAAAUAUGCUCCUCCUUAAACCUCUUCUUUAAUGUAAAGCAAACAAAAUGGACCAUUGUAGGAUUCUGGAGGUUGCUAAUUCAAAUGAGAAUCUCACAAGAGAGAGAGAGAGAGAGAGAGAGAUAUGUAUUAUACAGAAAGGGAAAAAAAAAAAAAAAAGAAAAAAAAAAAAGAGGGUGGAGAUAAAAACUACAAAACUACAUUUCACUUGACCUACAUGAGAUAUCUACUCACAGGUUCACUUUGGGAAGGGUGGAGGAUAAGCAUGGGGACCACCCCUUUCCCUACCCAAAUAUAUUAGACCACAUGCUAUCUCACUUGUGAGUCACCAUUCAAACCACAAUCCAAAGUAACAAACACAAUCUUUAUUGUUAAAAAAACUUUUUUUUAAAAAAAAAAUAUUAUCUGCACACUCUAUACAAGUGUGCAAAUCUUACACCAUUAGAUUCAAGGAUUAGUUAAAAUUUGUUUAGAGUUUUCAUAAUUUUUUUAAGAAUUAUCGGACACGUGAGCGAAUAUAAGCACGAAAAGAUUAGAGUAUAAAGUUUACACAUAUAUUAUAGAUGUCCAAACAUCAUUAUGUUAAAUAUAAAAAUAUUUAAAUAUCGUUUUCUAUUGGUGUAAGUUUUUAGAGAACAACAGUUGUUUUGUAUAAUUUAACAUAAUAUCAGAAUAGGAUAUUCUGAGUUCGAAUUAUUUCAGACUUGUAGCAUUAUAGAUUUUCUCCUAUUUAAUUCAAAUUCACGUCAAAAGUUAGAAAAAAAAUCUCAAGUUCAGAUGCCAGAAAGUGUGCUAAAUAUAAAAAUAUUUAACCGUUUUUUACCGACUUAAAUUUUAUAGAAUAAUAAUUGUUUCAUAUAAUUUAACACAUUGCUUUAGAAAAAAAAAAAAAAAAAAAAAAAAAAAAAAAAAAACUCUGUGUCUCUCCACCCUGGUGAAGAGACACCAACAAUCACAAGGCCACAACACACAGGCACAGCAGGAGUUGUGCGAAGUGCAAACAAUGACAUUGCCCAUCCUCAUGACCCUAUAUAAAAGAGGGAGAGAUAUAUAUAAAAACAUAAAGAGGGAGAGGGAGAAGUUAUCAUAAAAAAGUACACCAAAUUAAGAAGAGAGCAAAAGGAGGAAUCUUUACCCAACCCAGAUUCUCACAUCUCUGCUCCUGUUCUUCUACUACUAAAGCCCACUGAUUCACAAACUUUGGGGGGGGGAGGGGGGUCUCCUCACACUGAAGUUGAAGAUGAGUAUGAGAAGCUGGUGAUUAAAAUGAACCCACCAAGGUGAGUGAGUUGCUUCAUUCAUUAGCCCCUGUUCUAUUCAUUACUAUUUUGUCCUCUUGGACUCACUCACAUGGUUUCAUAAUCUCUUCUUUAUCAGGGUUACUGUGGAUAACACCUCAGACAUGGCAGCCACUUUGGUGAAGGUCCCUUUUUUCUUGUUUCUUUUUUUUUUUCUUUUUUUUUUUUGGGGUUGGGUGCUGUAGAGCAUGAUGAUUAGUGUUUUGAUUGAUUCAUUUUUUUUCUUUUUUUUUGAUGCAGGUGGAUAGUGUUAACAAGUUUGGGAGCUUGUUAGAAGUUGUGCAGGUUUUGACUGAUCUGAAGCUUACCAUAAGAAGAGCUUACAUUUCCUCUGAUGGAGAGUGGUUUAUGGAUGGUGAGUGAGUUGAGUGAUUCCACUUUCUUGUCCUUUUCAUUACCUAGUUUGAUAUCUUUUCUCUCUUCUACUUGAUUCCAUUUUCUCCUCCUUUUUUUUUUUCAGUGUUUCAUGUUGUAGAUAGGGAAGGGAAUAAGAUUUACGACGGCGAAGUUAUCGAUCGAAUCGAAGAGGUGAAAUGUUGGCAUUAAACUGCUUAUGUUGUUUGCUCUUGAAUUCAUAGUGCUUUCAUAGUUUUGCUCUCAAAGUUUUAUGAACUAAUUUGCAGUAGUUCUAGUUAAGGAAUUAGGGAGAUUUGGACUUGCAAAAUGUAGGGUUUUAGAUCAGAGAAUUUGAAUCUCUAUCUACCAAAAAAAGAAUUCACAGCACAAAUUUCUUUUUCUUUUUUUUUUUAACUAUUUCUGUGAGCACAUAAUGCAGUAGUGGCAAGUUUAAAUAUUCAGCUACUUGCUGAGUGAGUACCUUUUAAGCCAUUAUCAAGAUGAUCCUUUUAGCCUUUACUGAUAUUAGCCAAUCAUCCUAACGAAUCGAUUCCGGGCCACAUCGACUGCACCUUCUUUUUUGAUUGUUUCCCCCUGUUUUCUCAUCUAAACGUUGCUUAAUUUCUCGAACAAUCUCGCAAAAUUCGCAGUCGUUAGGAGCGAAAUCGUUUAGCCUUCGGUCUGCGACAAGAUCGGUCAGUAUUCAAGCUACUGCUGAAUACACUUGCAUCGAACUUCUAGGCCAAGACCGGCCGGGGCUCCUCUCGGAGAUUUUCGCGGUCCUCGUGAACCUCGAGUGCAAUGUGGUGGGGGCCGAGGUGUGGACGCAUAGUUUGCGAAUGGCUUCCGUAAUUUAUCUAACCGACGAGUCGACCGGCACCCCGAUCGAGGACCCUGAUCGGCUCAACACGAUGAAGAGGCUUCUAAGAUUUGUUCUGAAAGGCAGCGGAGAUAAGCGGAGUACUGCGAGGACAGCUAUUUCCGAAGAAGUGACCCACAUAGAAAGACGGCUUCAUCAGCUGAUGUGCGCCGAUCGGGAUUGCGCGCUGGGAGGUAGCAAGUGUUCGGACGAGGAAGAAGCUGAGCAGAGUGAGACGAAUAAGACGGUCGUGACGGUCGAGAGCUGCGUAGAGAAAGGGUAUACGGUCGUGAAUGUAAGGUGCAACGACCGUCCGAAGCUGCUGUUCGACGCUGUUUGUACUCUCACUGACAUGGAGUAUGUGGUGUUCCACGGAACUGUUAUCGCCGAAGGGCCAGAAGCUUAUCAGGUUCAACCUCGAAUUUGAAAUUUUGCUUGCUUUUUCCAUCUUAAAUCGGUUUCAUGAACUACUUUGGCAAUGUGAUCGCUUUUCUUAGAUAGAAACUGCGAACUACUCUCAUAUAUACUGUAGGAAUUCUAUAUCAGACACCUCGACGAGAGCCCCAUAAUCUCCGAAGCGGAGGGGCGGCGAUUAGUCCACUCCUUAGAAGCCGCGAUCGAGAGGAGAAACACUGAGGUGCUUGCAUUGCUGUUGAAUCCGAUAUUCUUGCUCCAAACUUGGAUGCUAAAAUUUCGUCAUGUUUCCACAUUUUAGGGAAUAAGGCUCGAGCUCUGCUGCGAAGACCGGUUCGGGCUCUUAUCGGACGUGACGCGAAUCUUUCGAGAGAACGGACUUUCUGUGACUCACGCGGAGGUCUCGACGAGGGGAGCUCAAGCAGUGAAUGUGUUCUACGUCAUGGAUGCGACAGGAGGUCCAGUCGAGAGCCAAACAAUCGAGGCGGUGAGAAAUAAAAUCGGGGAGAAAAUUCUGCAUGUUAGAGAUGAUCUCAAGUCGAAAUCGCCGACCAAGGACAGUGGGAGUUCCUCUUUCGGAAACAUGAUUAGGUCUAGGUCAGAGAAGUUUCUGUAUAAUCUGGGGUUGAUAAGAUCAUGCUCUUGAGAUUUAGUUUUUAGCAUUAAUCAGUGAGAACUUCUCAUCAACAGCUUGUUGAUCUUCAGUUUAUGGCCUUUGUAACAUAUCUGGGGAAGAGAGACCUCCUCCUCAUUUUGUAAAUAUAUGCCCUAAUCUCAUAAUCUGCUCAUCUGAACUGAUUUUUUUUGUUUUGUUUUUUUUGGGUUCAUUUACCUAAUUUUGUCGCAAGUUAUCAAACUAUACAUGGUUUUAUUAAUUCGUGUAUUAACACACAUGAUGAUGAUGCGACAGAUUUGUGAUUCGUUUAUGCACGCACUCAAAAUUUACACUCAUCACUGUACUUCCUCUGAAUUAUGCAGAUAAUUAAAAGAGAGAUGAGUUGAUAACUCUUCUUUCUGUGUUUUUGUAUGAUGAUAUUAAUUGACAAUUAAACUUAUAUCUAUGCGUUUUUAUUUUUUCGGUAUAUAUACGCUAACAUAUAUGCGUCAAAACUAACUCAUUAACUAUACAAUUUGAGAUUUAACUCUUUCAAUAAAGCUGCAUAUAUGGUACUUUAUAUAUGUCUAAUAGUCAAAUAAAUUCAAAUGAUACCUAAUCGAGAUUUAACCGAGUAUUAGUUGAGCAUGACAUUAUUUAAUUAAGACCUAAUGGGCUCCAACUGAUUCAAGGAUAUUAUGCCUAACCAGAUACUGUAAUAUUCCAGUAAUUUUAUAAAAGUGUUGAACGCCUCAUUAUUUUGAUAGUUAUAAAAAACAAAAAAAAAAAGAAAAAAAAAUCAAAAUUGACGAGCUAAUAAGUAAGUUUUAUCUCUCAGAAAAAAAAAAAAAAAAAAAAUCAUAACACCGAAGACAAGUCAAAAAAAAAGAAAAUCAAGUGAGGCCUUAACCAUCUACUUAAUAUAACAAGUAAGUUUUUACUUAUCUUUCAGUAUAUACAUGGGUUCAAAAUUUAUUUACCUGAUGAUGUUCAAAUUAUUUUUUCAUCAGUAAAAUCAACGUCAAAUGAAAAAAUAUGUUAAUUUGGAAUAUUUACAAUGGUUUGGCUAGAGGGUGUUUAUGUCAUAUUUAAAUAAUAGAGUAUAAAGUAAAACUUUAAUAAAAAUUCAGAGGGCUACCAACACAAUUAACCUUAAUAUUAAUCAUAUAUAUAUAUACUAUGUCUAGACGCGUGACAUAUAUAUUUAUCCAAAGUAGUUGGAUAUACAUAUAUAGUUUUCUUAAAUCCCCAUCGUAAUACCUGGAUCUUAGCUAGAGGAUCCAAAAGGUUGGUCGAAAACAACGAUUCUGAGUAUUUUAAUUUUUAAGGCCUUUGAUUUCAAUCCUCACAUUUUCAUAAUCUUUAAUUUAUUGAAUAUAAAUAUUAAAAAUAUUAUUUUUCGAUAGUUUAAUUUUUUUUUAAAAUAACGAUUAUUUUUUCUAAGCUUGUGUCUCAAAAUUUCUAGAAUAAUUAAUUUCUUACAAAAUUACAUCUCAAAAAACAUCUCCCAGAUAUAAUUCAACCACACCUCAAAAUAUUUUUCUUCCAUUUAAUUCAAGCUUGCAUCUCAAAAAUUUUCCCACUUGAUUCAAACUUAUAUAUCAGAUGCGGGGAUGCGUAUAAUUAAUUUUCUUCUAUUAAAUUCAAACUUAUAUCCUCUCAUUUAAUUCAACCUUACCUAACUUGAGAAAAAAUAUUGAAUAUAUAAUCUCGAGAAAAGCUAAUUUUCCGAACGUGAAAGAAAAUAUUAAAUAUGAAUAAUAUUAAUAGAUUAAUCUUUUAAAAAAUAAUUAUUAUUUUUUAUUAUUAAUAAAACUAAGGUUUCCGACACUUAUGUUCAAGUUUAAACUAAGCUAUAACAAAAUUACGUACAACACCACAUAAAAGUGACGUACGCCCCUCUCAUUGGAGUAAUACCAACGCCGACUUCGUAUAGCUUCUAAAUACUCAUAUUUAUAUCCAACGCCGACUCUGUCAAUGUUAACUGUAGGUUAAUUAUAAGUUGCUUUUGCGUGUAGAAUUCAAUAAGAAAGUAGCACCAAGGCUCCUGUACUACCAAAUUAUUUUCAAUAUUCUGACUUCCAAAUCGAUGAUCGGCUCUUUUAGACUUGAUCUACACUAUUAAAAAUAUUUGAAAACUAAAUUUCAUAAUUUUUUGAUAUNCACAUUUUAAACUUCUCAUUUAUUUUAAACCCAAUAGUGGAACUUUUCCCUUUUUUGUUUGUGAAAAUUUUUUUUCCUCUCAUUAUUUUAUACUUCUCUAUUAUUGAUGAAUAGAAUUUUGUUUCUUUCUAAUUUUAUAAGUAAAACCUUUGUUAUAUGAUCUCUCAAAUGUUUAGUAUUUUUAUUUAAAAAACAUAGUUCCCACAUAUUCUUGAGUAUGUAUACGUCCACCAAUAGUUAUCUCAACAAAAAUUUUUUAUAGUCGAAAAUUUCUCUAUUUCGCUCUAACCAUAAAGCCUACCAAGAAAAGGAGAUGAUAGUUAGCUCUUUCUUUCCAACUAUGCCCCACUUAUUGCUACUGUCUAUCCAAAGCUCUCUGGCUGAAAUAAAGACGCUUCAGGCCUUUUUAUUCGGCAGUGAUUUUUUUUUUUUGUCCUCUUGCGAAACCACGAUGCUUCACUCUGUUGCUAAAUUUAUCUUCUUACUGAAUAAAACGGUAGCAUGCUAUCUUUCUCUCUCAGAAAAAAAAAAAAAAAAAAAAAAAAAAAAAAAAAAAAAAAAAAAAAACAUAGUUAAUAAACACACUCGUGGCAGUGCUUUCCAACUGUUUACUGGCAUAUUUUUUAUCAGAAACUUCAGCAGAUAUAUAUUAUCUUUAAUCUUAAACUUGAAAGAUUAUAUAUAUAUAUAUAUAUAGAGAGAGAGAGAGAGAGAGAGAGAGAGUUGAGCUGGAAUACUAUCGGUAGCAAAUGAGCUCCGUUGCCACCCAUUUGUUUUCGAUGAUGAAGCCUCAAAAUCGACGAUCGGUGCCGUUGAAAAUGAUUUAUAUCACUUGAAGUAUCUAGAAAUUAAAUUUCAUGCUUUUCUGAUAUUGUUCUCUUGUUCAUCAAGUAGGCGUAAAAAUGAACGGCUGAAAAUAAAUAUCCUCUAAAAAGUGAUAAUAGGAAUUUGAUUAUAAUAGAAAUUUUGUAAUCAAGAUCGAGAGUAUAGAUCUUGUUCUAAAUAGUUUAAAGAAUUUUCUAACCAAAAUUCAAUUAAUUUGGAUAGCUUUACAUCGUUAAACGAGAAAACGCCUCAUAUCGACCAUUAAAAUUAUAAAUUUUGAAACCUUUUGAACAUUAGGUCAAUGAUGUCGAAAAGAUAUGAAAUUUGAUUUCUAAACACUUCAAGUGGUAUAGAUCAUGUUCAACGGUGCCGAUCGUCGAUUUGGAGGCUCCAUCAUCGAACACAAAUGGGUGACAACGGAGCCCGUUUGCUAUCGAUAGUAUUCUAGCUCAACUCUCUCUCUCUCUCAAAUCAUGUUCAACGGUGCCGAUCGUCGAUUUGGAGGCUCCAUCAUCGAAAAUAAAUGGGUGACAACGAAACUCAUUUGCUAUCGAUAGUAUUCUAGCUAGCUCAACUCUCUCUCUCUCUCUCUCUCUCUCUCUCUCUCUCUCUCUCUCUCUCUCUAUAUAUAUAUAUAUAUAUAUAUAUAUAUAGUUCGGCUACUAUACUCUUAUGAGUACGAUCGCCUUCGUACUCAUAAGUUGUUUUUGAUGAUAGAGCUUCCGAAUCGACGAUCCAUUCCGUUAAACAUUAUCUAGAGCAUUUAAAACUUCUAGAAAUCAAAUUUUAUAAUUUUUCAAUAUCAUUUAUCUUACGAUCAAAAACUCACAAAAUUGACAAUUUUUAAUGACCGGUAUGACAUAUUUGCUAGUUUAACGGUGAAAAAGAAUCGGAAUAUAUUGAAUUUUUUAUAGAAAAUUCUAUUCACUACCUAAAUAAAGAUCAAUAACUCCGAUCUUAAAUUGAAAAAUUCGAUCAUCCAUUUUUAGGAUGUAGUUCGAUUUUAACCGUUCAUUUUAUACCCGCUUGAUAAACUUUAUAAUGAUUUCGAAAAAUUAUGAAAUUUAUUUUCUAGAAGUUUCAAAUACUCUAAAUCAUAUUUAACAGUGUGGAUCGUCGAUUCGAAAGUCCCAAUAUCGAAAAUAACUUUUAAGUAUGAAGAGCUCUAUACUCAUAAGAGUAUAGUAGCCCUAUAUAUAUAUAUAUAUAUAUAUAUAUAGGAACUGUAAAUAUUCAAAAAAAAUAUUGCUUCCACAGUUACACCACAUCUUGUGUACCACAUCAGUUGCAUUGUUUUUGGAACUGCACUCUCUCCAAAUCACAAUUUUCAUGGUGGGAUUAUUUUUAUAUGAAUAGCAAAAAAUGGUGAACCAUGAAAAGCAAAAGGCAGUUCAAUUUUUAUAUCCAAUUUGUUAGAUUUUUCUUAGAUAAAUAUUUUUCAAAAGAUAGAUUUUAUAUGAAAUACUUGAAAUUUGAGCUUUAACGAAAGAAAAUAUUUAUACAUGUCGGCUUUAAUGAUGUAUAAUAUAUAUGUGUAUAUUUGUAUGUGUCGACUUUAACGAUCGAUGUUCCAAUGUUGUGACUAAUUUUAAUCAUGCUCCUCGUAUUCUUAGGCUUAGUUUGAUAUUGAGAUAUUAAAUAAAAUAGAGUUGAGGAAAAGACAUAUAGGGAUAUGCUUCUGCGUUCUCUGGUAGGACCGCAGAAAAUAUAUCGUAACUGACUCAUCGCAAUAUACGGAACACAAUAUUACAAUAUUAUGUAUAGAAACAGGAUAUUUUUCCAACGUACUUUCUCAUCGCACGUAACGCAAUCUCCCCGCAAUUCCAAACGAAACCUUAAUCCGCUUGGUUGAGGGUUAAGGGGUGGAAUAACCUCUUAACCCCUAUUUUAUUCCUAAACACUUCUAAAAAUGGGUGGGGUUAGCUAACCUCACCUCAAAUGGGUUAUCCCGGAUUAGCUAACCCCACCUAACCCAACCAAACCCCAACCAAAUACUAUUUUCUAUUCAUAAUAACCCACUAUCCUUCUUAUCCCACCUAUUCCAACCAAACACUAUUUUUCACUAUACUGGCUUAACUCUAACCUCCAACAAACACAAAAAUACUUUAACCCCAUCUUAACCCUAAACUUAACCCUAUCCCUGGAAUAACUAGUUUUUUCUUAACCCCGAACCAAACGGUAGCCGAUCAUGUUACUGUACCCAUACAACUUUAGACAACACUGGUCAAUCAUGCUUCAAAAUUCUUAAAAUUGUAUAUUUAAAUUAUCAAAUAUGACACAUUUAUAAAUUUUACGAUAUAAAACAAUUAAAAUUAAAUAAAAUUUUAUAGAAAAAAAUUUUACACUAUUUAGAUUGUGUUCGGUACCUUUAACUUGGUAUAGAUUGACACAAAUAAUGUUAAAAAAUUAUACAUUUUAAUUUUCAGAUGCCUUCAAUAGUAUACAUCAUAUGUAACCGGGCAAAUUGUCUAUUUGGAGAUCUCAUGCAUUAUCUAAAAUAAUUUGAAAACACGAACCCUCCGUUUGGUUCGGGGUUAAGAAAAAAAUAGCUAUUCCAGGGAUAGAGUUAAGUUCAAAAUUAAAGUAGAGUUAAAGUUUUUUUGUGUUUGGUUGGAGGUUGGAGUUAGUCUAGAAUAAUAAAAAAUAGUGUUUGGUUGGGUAGGUGGGAUAAGAAGAUAAUGAUUGAUAAAGAAGGAUAAUGAUUGGUUGGAGUAGGUGGGGUUGGAGUAGGUGGGAUAAGAAGAUAAUGAUUGAUAAAGAAGGAUAAUGAUUGGUUGGAGUGGGUGUGAUAAGAAAGAUAGUGGGUUAUUAUGAAUAGAAAAUAGUGUUUGGUUGGAGUUUGGUAGGGUUAGGUGGGGUUAGCUAAUCCGAGAUAAUUUAUUUGAUGUAGGAUUAGGUGGGGUUAGCUAACCCCACCUAUUUUUUGAAGUGUUUGGAGAUAAAAUAGGGGUUAAGAGGUUAUUCCACCCCUUAACCCCCAACCAAACAAGAGCGAAGAGUUCGGUGCAUUCAAAAGUUUUAUAGCUCCACUCUUCCAUUAAAAAUCAAAUUUGGUGUUUGGUAAAAUGUUGCUCUUAAUAUUAACUAACAUAAUACCGAAGAGAUUCUGAAGACUAGAUUUUGAUCCUCGUACAAAAAAGUAAUAUUAUCUGUACACUCCUUUAUUGGACGGCUAUUAAUGCUUCAUCUUUGAAGCAGUAUUAUUCUAAAAUUUUGGAUAAUUUAUAAAAAACUUAUAAACUUUAGGGUAAACAACUGCAUGUUUGAUUCUCAGGCUGUGAGCGAGGUGAUAUUCUGAUCUUCAAAUUUUAAUUAAUUAUAAUUUCUAGUUCAAAAUUUUAAAAUUAUUAUAGAUUUUCAAAUCUAUAAGUUAAAUUUAAUUUUUAACAAAUAUAUAAUAAAUUUGAAGAGUAAAAUUUCACUCGUCCCGUAGUUCGGAAACCAAACAUGCAAAUCACUUGUAGCGACACAAAAAAAUUGUCGGAUCGUUAGCGCUAACCAUUAAUCCCAGAAGCUCAAGCUGCUAGAAAUACGCAACUAAUUCACUUAAAGUGUACAGAUACAACGUUCGAACAUGAUUCGGCCCAUCUAACCUCACGCCAUUUCGAACAUGACUCGACUCAACAUGAUCUCUCAGCCACGGCACAGAAUGCCGGUCCAUUUAAGCCGCAAAAAGUGAUCUGUCAGUGCUUUUCCGAAUAGAGCUACUCGCCGCGCAUGGAAUUGUCACGUGACUCGGCACGGGUUGGGGCUCGGGAGGGAGGCACGUGGCGCGAGACCCAAUAAGGAUCCGCGAGAACCGCCGCGUCACGGGGCUCCGCACGUGCCGCCACAGGGACACGCGUAAAGCGCAGAUGAGACCCGCGAGAAAGCAACCAUUCGAAUGUUGCACCACCUCGAAUCUCGGGCCCACCACGUUGCUUGCUGUAUACGAAUCCUGUUCAUAGUAACUGGAAAAAAAUAUAUAAAUAAACUUUAAAUAUUAUUUCCGUAAAUUUCGUACUUUUCUAUUUUACUGCCGGUUAAAACAAAUCAAUUUAGUAUUUUUUUUUUUUUUCAUCAAAUUCUUCGUUAAUAUUUUGUUAAAUUAUAUAUAAAAAUUUUUAAAUACCACAUCUAAAAUUAUCGAAUAUUUAUUUUAAUAUCUUUUUAGUUUUAACUUUAUCAUUGAUUUAACGAAAAAAAUUAGUAGAAAAAAAAAAUAAAAAAAAAUAAAAUUAGAGAUACGAAAUUAAUAUAUUUUAAAUUACAGAAUAUUAAAAUUUUAAAAAAAAUGAAAUUAUAAGCGUGAUAUUUAAAGUCCCCCCCCCUAAAAAAGGACAUUAGAAAUAAGUAAAUUACACUUUUCGUCCUCAAACUAUGAGCCAAGAUUAUAGUUUGAUUUCCAAACUUUAAUCUAGUAAUUUUUCUUAAAAAAAAGUAAAAAUUUCUCUUAUAGAUAGGAUUCAUUUAAUUCUAACAUAAAACUGUAAAAAAUAAUUUUUUGUAAAAAAAAUUGAUAGAGAAAAAAAUUUACUUUUUGUAGUACUUGAUUUGCGCGAAAAAAAUAUAUUUUUUCAUCGAUAUUUGUUUGCUUGAAAGAAAAAAAAUUUAUAUUUAUUUGAUACGGUGAAAAAAUAUGAAUGAAAAAAAUUUACGUAGCUUGAAUUUUCGUUUUCUACUAAAAAAAUAAUGAAAAAUAAAAACUUAAAUUUUUCUCCAAAUCUGUAAAAAUAUUUUUACGAAAAAAUAAUUUUACGUCAAACCAAACAAGCGUAAAAAUAUUUUUCAUACCGAACAAUUUUAUGAUUUAUUUUAUACGGAACUAACUUUUAAAAAAUUGUAAAUGUUUCUCCCAUAGUUAGCGAUUUUUUAGUUUAAUACACUGUAGUUCAAGCAUAUAACUUAGUACUUUCUAGUUUCAUUUUCACUAUCUGUUGGUCCCUUAAUUUUUUUUGUAAAAAUAUAUAAAAGAAACUUAAAAUAACAAUCCAGUGGUUUACCACCUUCUCACUUUAAUACCCUCUAAUUUUAACUUUAUUAUUAGUUUAACUAAAAAAUUAACAAAAAAAAUAAAAUCACAGAGUAUUAAAAUGAGACAUUCAAAAUAUGAGAGUACUAAAGUGAGAAUGCUAAACCAUAGAAAAGAUAUUUGAAGUGUUUCUUAUUCCAUAACUCUAACUUAAUUGAUAAAAUAUUAACAAAUUAUUAUUCUAGAAAUUAUGUAAAAAUAUUAUAAUUAAUGAUACAAUAACAAUUAAGAUGCUAUAUUAUUAUCACAUUAACAAUGUUUUCAAACCAAAAAUUGCAACAAUGACAAAUUUAAAGACCAAAAUAUCAUGCACCGCGUAAUUUAAGAACCAAAAGUGCAAAUUACCCUCAGCAGAGUGUGAGAUGGGUUCACCCAACAAUAACAUUGCUCUUAUAGAAAACUUCUUGUUUGAAAUUGGAUUAUUCUCUCCUUAUUAUUAGUUUUUUUUUCUUUUUUCUUUUUUUUUUUUUGCCUACUCGGAAACUAUAAUUUUAUGGUUAACUUAAAGAUACUCUGUAUCUCAAAACAUUGUAAAGUAGUUUCGUGAUUAAUCGACUUCAAACAACCCUAUUAACUAAAGCACUUGUACACACAAACACUUCGCAGCAAAGUGUUAAGUAGAAGAGAACCAAGAGCUUAGACUUGGUAUUAUGUAUUGUAGUAUGUAUGCAUGUACGUACAUACACACCUGAACUUGAGUUCUUUACCAUAGGAUCUUUCCCUACCUUUGAUUAUUAUCCCCCACCUUUAUUUGGUUCACAUCUAUUUUUUGUGAAAAUAAUAACAGAAAUAAUAAUAAUAAUAAUAAUAAUAAUAAUAUGUGUGCUUUAAAAAAAAUUGUUUUCGAUUUGAAAAUUGUUAAUAUCGUCGAGCUUCACAUCUAUAUUUGAAAACGAUUUGAAAAUUGUUAUUAUUAAUAAUAAAAAAUAAUUGUUUCCGAGUAGGUUUGAAAAUUGUUAUUAUCUAUAAUCGAAAAUAAUAAUAGAUUUGGAAACGAUUUGAAAAUUGUUAUUAUUAAUAAUAAUAAUAACAGUAAUAAUAACAGUAAUAAUAAUAAUAAUAAUAGUAAUAGAUAAAAUAGAGUUGAAUGUAAGUAUAUUAUACUUCUGAAUUUUUCGAUUAGACGAUAAAAAAUAUAUCGUAACUAAUUUAUUGUGAUAUACAAAACAAAAUAUUAUGUACAAUAUAAAAAAAUAUUUUAAAAAAUGCCUGACACUGACACAGUUAGAAAAAUGAGUUGCUAAAGAAUGGAAUUGGCCAAAUCUAGUGAUUUGGAGGUAUAGUAGUAAUCAAUUAUCACUCCAUAUAAAUCUUUUUUUCAUUAAUCCCCUUCACUAUACUCUGCAAAUUCACACUCUUAAUUAGGGACUCUGCUUAAUUUCAAAAUUGAACCCUAUUUAUUUAUUUUCACAAAUAUUUUAAACCAAAAACAAAUAUCAUGAAAAAUAAGAAAGAUCAAAACUAAAAAAAUAACUUUACAAACCUAUACAGCCGAAGAAGGAGAGGAAAGAAACCGAAACCGAGCUCUCAAUCUUCGGGGCGUUGGAUCUCGCCCAUCAUGAUGCGAUUGCUGUGGACCUUGAAACCCAGAAGCGACGGGUCGAUUUGCCGACCCUUCUUCCCCUUUUUCUUAAUGUUGCUCUUGCUGCCGCUACCCUGCAUGGAUUCUGAGGAGUCGGAAGGAGCAGAAGCAGACGCGUCGGCUUCCAGUGUGGGCUUUUUGCUGGUGCUCUUCAGCAUGUCGAUGAAGGAAGGCUCCGACGCUCCGGCAAUGAUGCCACCUGACGGCACUCGACGAAAUGUUGCAUCUUUCUUGGCAGACGAUGGAACGUCUGAAACGCCUCCAGGUUCUCUCUUAGCAUCUGCAUGUCCACGAAUAGAUCAUAAGCUUAUUUUUAAAUGAAGAAUUAAAUGCUUACUGAAGUGCACGAAGUUUCCUUUUUUUUCCCUCUUUGAAAGGAGAAAAGAGUUCUAACAAUUCGAUUAUGAAUAGGCAGUUUCCUCAUAGAAUAUAAACCUAUCUGAAACACACACUGCAUAAAUAUCAACGCACAUACUGUAGAGCAUCAAUAGAAGCAUAUACAUAGACACGACAAAAGUAUACGCGCAUAUGAGGGUAAACUUCAUUAAGGGCCCAGUGGUAUUGGGCAUCUCAUUCUAGUUUUCUGUACUGACCUUUCUGUUGGUACCAUUGGGUUUUGCUCCAUGAUAACCAGUUUGGAUUAUAUUUUGGUUCAGGUUUUGAACUGACCCAAUCAUGUAAGAAUUUGGUUUUGGAUUUGAGUUUUGAACAAAGUAUAUAUCAAAAUGCAACCGUGACACAAUCCAAACCUGUUCAUUUGGAUCAAAACCCAUUCCAAAACAGUGCUGACAGGAAGUCCUUUCAGAAAACCAGAAUAGCACCCUCAAGUGAGCUGAAGUGAUACAAACAAACCACAAUGCAUCGAUGUGAAAAUGCACUAUACACAUGGCCCCUUUUUGAAGUUUACCAUACAUAUAAACAUGCAUCUAGAUUGUGUGCACAAAAGAGAUGAGAGAGAGAGAGAGAGAGAGAGAGAGAGAGAGAGAGAAGGGGGCUUUAGGAAUCCUUACCUUUGACAGGAAGAGUAGAAACUAACUCCGAAAAUGCAGCCUCUGAUGAAACAGAAGCUCUCUGAUCAUGGGCGAGCUUUAGUGUUGAACUAUCAGUCCCCUUCAGAGUAGCACUAGAAUUCCUAUCAGGAAAAGAGUUUAAGCAAAAGUGAAGGUAAUUUAGCUAAUAGUAGAAUUAUAUAUCCACUACGAUUACAUUGUCAUUAGCUACUUGGUCCAAUAUAAAAUCAAGGAACAGUGAGAUAGUUAAUUCUUUAACAACUCUUUUACUUUGCGAUGUCAUUCUGGUAGUUUCAAUUUCAUCUCUUUCCUCUCAAAAUUGUUUAGCAGUUCUUCGACCAUUUACCAAUACCCGAACUAUAAAAAACCCUGAAAAAUCAAUAGAAUUUAGUGUUCCCAGAAAGCAGUCUAAUACAAGUUAACCUACUUUUCGGAAACUCUAAAGCAACUAUUUUCCGAGAGUAUGAUUAUUUCAAUUCUUCCUAUCUAAUAUUUAUCUUUUGAAAAGCUUAGUAAUUUUUCACCAACAACAGAAACCAGAACCUGAAACUCUGAAAAUAGCCAAAACUAAACUCAAGAAGCCUACACUGAAGCCUAUAUUGGGCUUUCAGUGAUCUAGUUAUACCAUCAAAUCGCAGUGAGACAGAUGUAACAAUGGCUUCCAGUAAUACAUAUAGUUGUUUCAGCAAUUGUGGACUAAUUAAUUGGAACAUAAGAGAGAGUGCAUAAGCAACAUGCUAGCCAGAGGAAUUAAGAAGUUCAGUUAUGAAAAUACUGCAAUAUAUUACUCAUAUUAUCAAAACAUACUGAGCAAAGCAUUCAAGUAAUAAGUAAGCUUACAUAUGAGAGUUUCAGACAUUCUGGAAAAACUUCACUAUUUGCUACUUGUCAUAACAUUUGAAAGAAAUUUAUAUACCUGUUCUUGCUUAUCUCGCCAACAAAAGCAUUAUCAUCUCCAACCUCAUAAUUCUGAAAGAUAGCAUCCCCACCUGGACAAAUCACAGUAAAGUUCACAUGGAUAUUGUGAAGUAGAAAAGGCAGGAAAAUAAUAUUUAAAGAAGAUUCUUCUACUAAUCACCUGCACUGCCAAAAGUGGCAGGUCUGUUAGGAGCAGCAACUUCCAUUUCUUCUUGACCUCUGCCUACCAUUUGCCCAACCCCAGCUUCAAGAUUGUCCAGAAUAGAUUUACCCAUGAAAUUAGCUUUAGAACCAGGUUUUGUUCUGCUCCUACCGUCAUUUGGAUCGGCAAAGUUCAAUCUUUCUAUAGAUGGAUUGCGACCCAUGGUAUUUACAAGCUCUUCUUUGUGAAUUCCAUCAGCAUCUGUGGGGAAAAGCUUCUGUUCUAGAAACAUUCCACUAGUAGAUUGAAAAGGCAUACCUUGACUGCCAAAAUUAGCAUUUACUAAUCCAUCCUGUGAUGCUUGCCUUGUCGUAGCGAAAAGAGAAUUUUCUACCAAUGAUUCACUGUAGUCUGUUCUAUCUGCAGCAAGCUUACAGGAAUUGUCUGCAAUAGGAUGAGAAUAGAGCCAAGAAGGCUCCCCACGGCCAUAAGAUGAUGAAGGAGAGACAUCAGAAAGCCCUAAUGACUGAUGAGAUUGCAGGACCAUCUUUUGGUUCAUCAUAUUUCCUAAAUCAUGUUCUCGGUUCUCAAAGGAUGAACUCAAUUUCACACCUCUCCUCUGCCUCUCUGCUUCAAUCUGGAACUGUCUCAACUGUGAUUCUAUAAGGUUAUUAGACAGCUGCCUAUUAGAGUCAACCAUCAAGUGCCCCUCCAUGGCAUCCAUGAGUGAACCACCAUACUGUUCAGGCAUCCUAUGUUGAUAGGGAUGAACACUAGAAUGAAUGUGUGAAAGGUCAUUCACAAGGUCAAUGUUUGGCGAGAGAGAGGUCGUAGGUAAUGAAAUUGCCCUAUCAAGAGGAUGGAUCCCCUGACCUCUGUUUAAUAGCUCAUGCAAUGCAACAUUCCGCUCAAUUUGGUUGUUGAGCUCAACGGACGAGGCUCUCUGAGGGGGGUGCACAAAAUCCAAUGGGCUAAGUCUAGAAGAAUGAUUAAGGUGUGCACUAGGUGAUGGCUGGAUGAACUGGUUAAAUCUUUCUUCCAUGUGCGAUUGCUGCCUCGAAGGAAUCGGAAAUUGCUGUGCUCGGAGCAUCUGUUCCUGCUGAAGAUCUAAAAGCAGCUUCUGUUGUUCGAAAGGAAGCAUCUGCCUACUGUUGGAAUGAGAUAAGAUAUCCAACAAAUUCUGACCAUGCUGACGGUUUUGCAUGAAUUUUGCUUGGAUAAGCUGCUCGACAAGUGCAUCAUGCUCUCGUUGAAGAUAGUGGGAUUGCUGCUGUGACUCAUUCAACAGGUGCUGCCUCAACAGAACUUCAUCAAGGAUGUUGUUAUUUCUGUGGCGUGGAUCGCCAUUUAAUUGCUGAUGCAGCAUUUGCUCCAGCAAUAAUUGCUGCUGCUGCUCCUGCUGCUGCUGCAGAAAUUGCAUCUCCUGUUGAUGAAGCUGUUGUCUUAUAUUCUGCUGCUGCAACUGCUGAAGACGUUGCUGUUGGUCAAGUUCAAACUGGAGUUUCAACAUGUGCUCCAAAUCCGGCACUUGGUGAUUAUUAGAUUGUUGAUGGUGCAGAAAAUCGAGAUUUUGCUGGGCCAGUAACUCUUCCUGCUGUAGUCGCUGCUUAAGUAACUGCUGGGAGAGGAGAUGCUCUUCUAAGUUGAACUGGUGUUCAAUAGUGGGCAAAUGACUAGCACCAAUAGCAUCAUGAAGUACAUUUGAACUACUAUUCUUCCUAUACUUGGUGGAAAAUUCAUCAGGAACCAUAUGUUGUUCCUGUCUAUGGCUAAAAAGAGAUACAUCCUUCACAGCCGCAGUUUCAGGAAACGGCUGAUCAACUGACAAAAGAGGGUUCUUUGGCUGAGUUCCUUCCAGCUCAGAGAAAAGUAAUCUACGGGAAUUCAAAUCAUUAUCUUUUGGGUCCCUUUGAUUAGGUAAAGAGACUUGUCCCACUUCAGAUGCCAUUAGAAUAUGACCACUAGAGGUCUGUAACAAAUUACUUUGGUCGCUAGUAAGAUUCACCAGUGGCCUAUCCAUACUCAUAAGCUUUCCCCUGUACAACACUUCUGCAGCAAAUAAGAAAGAAAACAAUCAAUAAAUUGAAACUUCUAAAAGAAUUUUUUUUAUUUUGGGGGGGGGGGAGGGUGGUGCCCCGUAAAGAAAACUAACCGUCAGCAUCCUGUACAGCAAAUUCAUGAAUUCGAGACUCAGAGUUGCCUCUAGCAGACUCCAAAGGCUCGAUAUUUUGAACAGGAGAUACAACAGGGACUUGUUCACUUUUUGAAGUCAAAUGUGGUAUAAGUUCACCAAGUGGCCUGAAAGGAGUGCCUUCUGGGGCAUCUGAAGGGCACACAGGUAGAUCGGUGCCAAAAUAUCCUUCUUCAAGCCAAGACAUAAUAUCAGCAACAAGAAAAGGGCCCUGUAUCCUUCCUUGCGGGUCCCGGUAAAACAAACUCAACUCCUCGGGAGGAGUAGAAGGAUUUGGAGCAACAUCACUACUAUUCGAUAAUUCAAUUGUUUUCUGAAUAACUUGGACGGUUGGUGUAACAAAGAGCGAACUUGAAUCAUAUGGCAACUUAGCACUAACAUCAAAAGUAGCAGCUGGGUCCACUUCUUCCAACUUUGAGUUCUUUAGAAAAUCUGAAUUUCUAGCAUGCCCAUCAUUAUUAAGCAAUUUUCGCUCACCAGGUUUCUCUACAGAGCCAUUGGUACCCAAGGAGACCUUUGUAUCAUAGAAAGCAUCAUUUUCUGAAAUUAGUGGAGAUAUGCGAUCAUUAUCCACUGCAAUAGUUAAAGAUUUGACAUUGUCGCUGAAUUCUCCAAGUAUGUAAUCUGAUCCUGAAAAAAUUGAUCACCAAAGUCAACUAUUCAAAAUCUAGUAGAAUUAACCAACAAGCUAAUAAAAGAAAAUUGUUAUUAAUGAAAAAAAAUGUAUCAGAAAUUGUUCUUACCUAUCUCAUUGUCAACUCCUGUCGCGUGCUCCUUACUUGGAGAAUCUGCUUCACUGCUAGUGACCUUUCCCUCCCAGAUAUCAUUUACAGCUGCCUGCAACCCACAUAAUUUAAUUCCCUUAGAAUAACUAAGUCAAAGAAAGUGCUUAUUUCCCUAUAAACAAAAUAACAUAUCAAAGCAUUUUUGCUAACUGAAAAGAUCACAUGGCUUCUUUCCUGGAUCAGGAUUUUGAAGAAAGAUGGAAGGCAAUGGGGAAAAAACCCAAUUUCUAAAAUAGUUAAUAAUCAUGUUAAAACAAGCAAAUGCAGUGUCAAGAUGCUAUUUGAGCAGAUAUGAACCUCAAAAAUGGAAAUCAUUAACAAUUACCACACAUGUAACAAAGGCGUAAAGUUCAUUUCGAGAAAACAAAUGAGGCAUGCACUUUUGAGUCAGAUUGAAGACACCUGCAUAUUGACACCUCAAUGACCGGCUAAAUGAAAAAAUGCUUUACUGAAGCGAAUAUAGAUAAGCAAUCUCCGCCUUACAAUCCAACUUAUAGGACUUACUUUUUUGGAUACAAAAAAUCAAAACAGGAGAAGAACAGUAUAAAUAUCAAAUCACAAUUUGACCCUUCAAAUCCUUUAUUUGUACAGUAAAAUACUGGGAAGAAGACUGCAUUAGUUGCAAUAAAACAAGGCGUCAAAAUAAGAGAGUCCAGUUAUAUUUGCAGUAAAAUCAACAUCUCUUAUCAUGUACAACUUAAAACUUGUCUAGUCAGCAGAAAAAAUCAUCUUAGAAAACAUAAGAAUAAAGUCAAAUAUAUCCAUUGGUUUGCCUUGUCCCAGGUCAGGAUAAAAGAGAAGGCUUGCAGUAGGUACUUUGACAACAAAGCAAAACUUUUGACAGAGAGACUGCUAUUCAACAUGAUUCAGCCUAACCAAUAAAAAAUGUGCAACAACUUAGUACAAUUCCCUGGUAUAUAUAAAAUUUACUAACUUCGCUACUCAAUUAACAUAACAAAAAAAAAACACACUUAAUCCCAAAGCUCACACAAAAAUAAGAACAACUUAGAUUGCCUUAGAUGUUCUGGGAAUAAAUCGCACAAUGUGUUGGCUAGGUUUUUGCAUAUAUUUAGAGAAGUAUACACAAAUGCAUCUAAUUUAAGGGCCAUAUGUGCAACAAAAUUAGCAAACAGAAAAAAUAAUACCAUUCUUUCCGUUACUCAAAUCAAUACCAUCCUUCAGCAAUUCCCCUUCUUCACAAGGCAUUACGCUUUUGCAGAGAGAAUAUUAUAUACUAGUUAUACUCAACUAAGUGAUCAGAACUUGGUACUCAACAUUCUUUAUAAACAACCUUUUCUACCUUGAUCAGUAUGAAUUGCCAUUCCAAUGAUACAAAAAAAAUAUAAAGCAAAUUCCCAUAUUGAUAUGAAGAAAAACUUUUGUUCUCAAAGGGAAGUUAAUAAAAGCACUAAUCUUACUUAACUAAAAAUUAAGCAUACCUUCUCAUCAUCAUCUAGUGUGAGGAAGGCCAAUGGAGUCACAGAACUAGACAACGUAAUGGAAGGAACUUCUUCUAGACCCUCAGGAGUAGCUUCAAAUGAUGGCAGUGUCCUCUGCUUCCUAUAAAUGUCAAGAAGCUUUCCUCUUGGAUACCGAAAAGUAUGAACAGUUUCAGACACAUUCCUUUCUACUGGCAAAGCACCAAUAGGCCCAGUAGAGAACGACCUGCUUAAAUUUGACCUACCCCUUCCAGGGGCAAAUCCCACAUUUGAUCCCUCUGCACGCCCUUUCUCUAACCCAAAUCCAGGAGCCCCAUGAUGGGCCAUAGUGGACCCACCAGAUUGAAUUUCCUGGCGGUAGCGAGGCCGCCAUUUAUCACGUGAGUCUGACUCCGACAAUGGACGGAGCCCACCAGAAAAAGGCAGCUGCUGCUUUUGAACAUGAGAAUCGUCCUUGUCUACAUCCAUCUUCUUCUCCAGUCGAGAGUCCUUCUCUUUGUCUUCUGGGCCCCACCUCGAUGACCAUUUGCUAUCAGCAACUUCUCUCAUAGAGAUAUUAUCAGAACGGCGAUUAUUUUUGCGAUAUUCAGCAGUUUCUCGAUCUCCUUCCUUUCUACGCUCUCUCCUACCAAGUAAGCUAGUUUCUCUUUCCUCUUCAAGCCAACGACGAUUACUAUCAAUAUCGGGCACAUUCCUUCUCCAUUCUUUCUUAUCCAGAGAACUAUCCAACCGCCACAUAUCUUUUGGAGUGGGUGGGCGAGCAUCCUGUAGCAAGAAGCACCAUAGAGAAAGUAAGACAAAAGAAGAAGAAGAUGAAGAAGAUAUAGUGGGAGGAAAACAUGAGAAUGCAAUACCAUUUGAUUGCUAGCAUUGCAAUAGGUAAUUUGAGACCCAAAGUCAUAAAAGUUGUCUUAAUAUCAACUCUUAUGGAUAAACGUUCAAAAGAACUAAAGCAGGAUGUAGACUAAACAGUGACAAUCUUAAGCAUCUUAUUUUACAAAACAUAGAACUACAUGUCUCAGACUAACAAUAAUCUUAAAUAUCCUGCAAGUCAAAAGUUUAAAUUUUUAUCACAUGAGUACCAGGAGAGAUGCAACUCGGAUAAACAACAAAAAAUGUAACUAGAUAUAGAUGAAGAUCGAGAAUGAAUAACAAAAUGUUAAUAACAAAGCAGACCAGUCAAUUUAAAAAAGAAAAAUGAUGACCUGCAGCUAAAGCAUUCAUUUCCUUUCUUAGGUGUGUAGUUAUGGGUCUUCCCAAUAGACCUGGGAAUUGGAUUUCAUUAACUAGGUUAUCCAUCGGUAUUGCAGAUAUACAACCACGAUCCAGCCGUUGGGCCUUCUAACCAAUCUUAGAUUCCUUUGAAGCCCACUAUUCCUCUAUACAUGUUCACCAAUCAUACAGCAACCUAUGACUGACUAGUUUCAAAGAAAAAGGAUUAUAAAACCAUCUUCCUGGACAUAUUAUGAUUGCUAAUUCUGCAAUCCUGAUAUCAUACAGGAGUUGAACUAACAUCUUCAAGAGUCAAGACAUUGAAAGGAAAGAGGAGAAAAGGAAAGCUAAAACCUUAUAUCUGAUAUUACAUCUAUUAAGUAUAAUUUCCCACUGAAAUGACAUGAAUAAGACAUAACAAGAAAGAAUUAAACCUUCAAAGAAGAGGCAACAUAAAUUUCCUCAUUAAAAAUGUGCAUUUGCAUGCUCCAUUUAUCGAAUAGCUACACAGGUUGCAUAAAUUUAGGGGGAAGAGAAUAGACUAAUACCCCUGAUGCAGCAACAACACCAAACUUGCUAUCAGCAGGUUUAGCAUAAAGCCAUUGUGGCGAAAGAGGAAUGCUAUUCUCAGCCGAAGGUUGAUCUGCAGACAGAACAUGUAAAUUAUAAAUACAGUGGUUGCAGAUACAUCGAAAAAUUAAAAAUAAUAUUGUCAGCUUGUAAAAAUAUAAUCCACUACAAAAGACUAAAAUUUGUGCAAACAAUGAAACAUAUGAAAGAAACAAACAAUGCACACAAUCUUUUAUGACAAGCAGCAACCAGAAAAGGUAAUGUAUGUAUUCAAUUGAUGGGUGGCUAGAACAUCGUGAAGUCUGCGGAAACCAUAAAUACAGUAAUAAAUAAGGCAGCAAAUAUCAAAAAGGUGUGCAGAUGGUAGUACAGUAUUCUCACUCGCACCUUCUUUAAACAACUUAAAGAUUGCCUAACGAACGACGAAUUCCAAGUUCUUCGUGUACAACAGUUCUACCAAAUUUCAUAUUUAAAUUUUUCAUCAAAUCCGCCAAAUCAGCUAAAUCUAAAUCAAUCAAAUACUAGCAAAAGCUCUGAGUUUCACAUUUCAAGCUAUGAUAGAGUUACCAAACUCUUUACGGUGAACAAUCUACUGCUGCAUCAAGCAUCAAGCACAACCGGAAAGAGGCUGCUCUCCAAACCCACUAAGUAACCAGGCGUACUACAUAACCUCCAGAAUAUAAUAAAGCUGCCUGAGAAUCACCCCAACUUCCACAACAAGGAUGAUAAAACUAUGAACUGCUUAAGUACUACAAAAGUCAUCGGCGAGAAACUACACGAAAUCACCUUUUGAUUCAUUGAGAAAUCCCACAAGAGCCUUCUCGUCAUCAUGCUCAGCAGAAACACCACCUGCCAAAUUUAAAGGCAAAAAAAAAAAAAAGCCCACCAACCAAAUUAGCAAAAAAGGAGCAACCAACAAGCAUUUAAACGAAGAAAACAAAGGAAAAAGGAAAGGAAUAACCACAGUAUCUGUAUACUUAUAUGCUCAAAUUAAGGCCUCUGAUACAAAUUAUAUAGUAAGAUUAAAAAAGUAACACAGUUUCAGAUCCUUCGCACAUCAAAAUGGAAAACCAACUAAGAAGUUUCCAAAAUAUAAGCACUUAUCAACCACAAACACCAUGGACUGAAGCUACUGUAGAACCAAAACAGAUCUUAACGCAGAGAAACACUAAUCGCGCAACAAAAACCCUAAAUCUCCGCAUGCGGGUAACAGAGAUCGAACGGGUAGGGAGCACGCGCGAUCGAUCCCGUCCGAUCGAAAUGGGGGCGAGGGGAUGGCGACAAGCUCACCUUUUGCGGCCCACGCCGCCACCUCCUCCGCCGCCGCCGCCGCCGACCUCGCGGCCCGGCGAAGGUGGUCAAGGGGGCCGAAUUAGGGUUUCCCCGGAGUUGGAAAACCUAGGGAUCGGAGGGGUUCGAGAGCGAGAGUUUGCAAUCGAUCGAGGGAUCGAGGGUUUGAGAGGGCUAGGGUUUCGCAAACGAGCGAGCUUUGAGAGGGUUGUGAGAUUUUUGGAAACACGAGAGCAAGAGCGAGAAAAAACUAAAGCGAUGAGAUGAGAGAGAUUUAUCUGAAGGAAAUAUGCAUUUAGCUCCCUAGCCAAUCACUUAUUUACAACCCCGUUAAAACCGAAAAUGGGUUCAACAUUUUAUUAUGGAUAAUAAUUUUAUUUUAUAAAGUAGUAAUUACUGUAUAAACUAUUUAAUAUUCUGAAACGAUCUAAGAUUUUGUAAAAUAUGAUUAUAAUUUAUACUUUUUCCGUUUGGUUCGGGGUUAAGGAAAAACUAGCUAUUCCAGAGAGUUAAGUUCAGGAUUAAAGUGGGGUUAAAGUUUUUUUGUGUUUGGUUGGGGGUUGGAGUUAGUCUAGAAUAAUGAAAAAUAGUAUUUGGUUGGGUAGGUGGGAUAAGAAGAUAAUAAUUGAUAAAGAAGGAUAAUGAUUGGUUGGAGUACGUAUGAUAAGAAAGAUAGUGGGUUAUUAUGAAUAGAAAAUAGUGUUUGGUUGGAGUUUGGUGGGGUUAGGUGGGUUUAGCUAACCCGGGAUAAUUUAUUUGAGGUGGGGUUAGGUGGGAUUAGCUAAUCCCACCUAUUUUUUGGGAUGUUUGGGGAUAAAAUGGGGGUUAAGGGGGGUUAUUCCACCCCUUAACCCCCAACCAAACAAGGGCUUAAAGAUCAUGUGACAAUGCUAUUAGAGAAAAUUAACGGAAGUAAAACAUAUUUUAUCGGUUGAAAUAAUCAGAUUUAUGUGUUUUUUUUCUUUAAAUUUUUGAAAAUUUUUUGUCUGAUGUGAAAUUUGCUUGAAUGUCCUGCAUAUUUUUUAAAUUUUUUUAGAAUAGUAAUCAAUAAAAUGUCGAAAAAAAUCGUGUUUUUUGAUUUGAAUGGACGAAUAUUUAUCCUCUUUGGUGGGUAAGAAAAUAUGUAAUUUUUUUUUAAAUCAAGUUCACAGAUAAAUUUUAAAAAUUCUUUAAAUUUUGGCUUAAACUUGCCCCAACAGCUAAUGACUUAAAUAAAUGAAUUCCAUUAAACUUUUGACUUAUCACUGAAUCAUUUUCUAAAUAUGAGUUAUGAUUAAUGAUUGUGAUGUUGGAGCCUAUUAUUAGUCAAUUAAAUUGGACCUGACUCAUAAUAUCCCAAUCCAAAUAUGAAGGAAUUCUAAAUAGGUGAAAACGUAUGGAAUUUAUCUAAAUUAUAAACCAUUUUGAAUUGGUUGUCAAUUUUUUUAAAAUUUAAAUUUUACUAUUCAAUCUUUUUAAUUUGUUUGAUUUGAAUUAGUCAAUGGCACUUUGAUUUUAAAAUUUAAAUAAAUUUAGUUAAUAUAUACUUUAUAUAAUUUUGCAACUAUACAUUUAUUAAGUUAAGUAAUUAGCUUAAAUUUUAAAGUCAAAUUAUCGUUAACCGACUCAAAUCAAAUAAAUUGAAAAUGUCCGAUAGUAAAAUCAAAAUUUUAAAAUGAUGGGUGGCCAAUGCAAAAUAGGGCAUAAAUCAGAUAAGGUAUGUAUGAUUUUAUCUUCUAAAUAUAAUGAAACUUUCACUCACUUUUUAUUUAGUAAUAAUAUUGUAUUAAAAAUGAUAUUUAUAAACUUGUAAACAGUUGUAAAUCUUAUGACUCAUUCAUUCAAAAACUAAUUUUCUCUCACUAGUCUUAAAUUCAUGGAGUUACAAAUCAAUUCAAUUCACCUCGAUUUAGCACGAAACAAAAUAUAACUAAUGAUUGAUAAAUUUUGCAAAAAAAAAAAACUUUAUUUUUUUAGGUACAAAAUUGAGUAUCAUGGAUGGUAGUGAGUGUCCAUAAAAGGUGUUCAAAUCAAGUUUUUUAGAGUCUAUUUGGAUGCAUGAAGAUUUUAAUUAAUAAUUUUUUUUUCUAUUUACCAAUAAUGUGCAUGAUCAAUGUUUAAAAAGAUAUAAAAUAUUGGGCCUCGAAAUCAUUCUAUGAUAAAUCACCUCCUGGUGUGGCUUUUAAACCUUUUUAAUGAGCUAAGAUCAAUAAUAAAAAUGAAGUACUCGUAAUAAAUAAUUUAUAACUAGGUAAUUUAUUCGGACAAUUAAACGAAUCAUUUAAACAUUCAUCAUUUAGAUGUUAUUUCAAAUUGUACGGAGAAUUAAUGCAUUAGAUACGGUUAAAAAAAAUACAAUAAGAAAAUUUCCACCUGCUAUCCUAAAGAACUCAAUAAAAAUAAAUUAAAAUACAAACAAUUAUCUCACUUAAAAGUGGAAUUUUAAUGCUCCUUCUAAAAAUUUUACAGUGAAAAGAUACUUUGGGGGUGAUUCCAAGGAAUUUCAGGAAAAAUAAAAUAAUAAUAAGACGAGAAGAUAGAAAGAAACUUCAAAGUUGAGCUCUCCCAUAACACUUCACUAAGGCUGCGUUUGGUUCGGGUAUAAGUAAGAACUGCUAGUUCUAGGGAUAGGUACAAGUUCAGGUAUAAGCAGGAACUAGACCAAUUUUGCGUUUGGAUGAAAAUUGGGUUGUUCCUGGGAAUAGGGUAAAUAGUGUUUGGAUGAUUAGAUUGGAACAAGAGGAAUAAACGUUAUAAUUUAAAAUUAAAAUUAUAUUAUGUAAUUAAUUAACAUAAAAAUAUUACUUAAAAAUAAAUAAAAAAUUAAUUAUUAAUAAUUAAUUAUAAAUAAUAAUUAAUAAUAAUAAUUAAUUAUAAAUAAUAAAUUAUUAAUAACGAUUAUCUAAUUAAUAAUAAUUAUUAUUAUUAUUAAUUAUUAAUAAAUAAUAAUAAUUAUUAAUUAUUCUUAUUAAUUAAUUAUAAAUAAUAAAUUAAUAAUAAUAUUGAUUAUCUAAUUAUUAAUAAUAAUUAAUAUUAAUAUUUAUUAAUAAAUAAUAAUAAUUAUUAUUAUUUAAUUAUAAAUAAUAAAUUAAUAAUAAUAUCCAUUAUCUAAUUAUUAAGAAUAAGAAUUAUUAAUUAAUUAUUAAUAAAUAAUAAUUAUUAUUAAUUAUUAAUUAUUAAUUAUAAAUAAUAAAUUAAUAAUAAUAUCGAUUAUCUAAUUAUUAAGAAUAAAAAUUAUUAAUAAUUAUUAAUAAAUAAUAAUUAUUAUUAAUUAUAAAUAAUUAAUUAUAAAUAAUAAAUUAAUAAUAAUAUCGAUUAUCUAAUUAUUAAGAAUAAAAAUUAUUAAUAAUUAAUAAUAAAUAAUAAUAAUUAUUAAUUAUUAAUAAUUAAUUAUAAAUAAUAAAUUAUUUAAUUAUUUAAUUAUUUAAUUAUUAAAAUAAUAAAUAAUAAUUUAAAUAUAUUAAUUAGAUUAAUUAAUAAUUUACUGCCAUUAAAAUUAAAUUUAGAUUUUAAUUAAUUUUGUUCUCAUCAAGGAACAAGCUUGUUUCAGUAAACAGGUGGAACAGCAGUUCCAGCCUUAUUCCAGCUAGUUCCAGAUUCCCGGGAACUACUGUUCCCGGGGGCAAAACAUAGCGUUUGGGAACAAAGGGGGGAACAAGGGCUUAUUCCCCCCCUUGUUCCCCAACCAAACGCUACCUAAAGAGUUUUUUUUAUCUUUAUUUAAAAAUUAUAAUCUUUUUAUGAAUAAGUCAUAAGAUUGAGAUAAAAUUAAUAGUGCACAGCGAAUCGAAACUCUCCAACAGAUCAUUAGAGUGAGAUAAAAUUAAUACGCGACAGUAAAUUACUGAAUUGAUAUGAAACAAAUAUAGUGACAGCGAAUCGAAACUUUUUAAGAAAUUGUUGGACUAGAUAAGAUUAACACGCGACAGCGGACGAGGACAUCCAAGGAGACAUUUUAUCAAAGAAAUUGGGGAUGUGGGGCCCGCAAAUGAUGGGUGGGGGCGCGAGACGCGUAAAACUGAAUUUUAGAAUUAAUUUUAUACAGCUAAUUUUUUUUUAUAAAAAAAAUUAGUCUAUAUUUAUAAAUAGAAAUGCAAACGAAACAGAUCAGAGCUUAAACAGAUCAGGUCGAGAGGGAUCAAAAUAAAAUAAUCAGAGCUUAAACAGAUCAGGUCGAGAGGGAUCAAAAUAAAAUAACAGUUUCUGUAUAUUUUGUUCUCACUCAUCACCUGAAUCAAAACAAAUCGGAACAAAAGAUCCACCAACCCAAAUCUCUAAUCCACCAAUUCUUUCUUUCUUUUACUGUCCUUAAUUUCUGCAUUGGUGAUUUAGCUCAAGCGAAUCAUAAGGAUCGACAUAUUAACUGAUCUAACAGAAUAAAAAUGUAGUAUGAGAGAAAUUCUUUUUAAAACCAUAUAAAAUUGGUGCAAUAAUUAUUAUUCACAUAAAAGAAAGACAAACGCACAUUCAAUCAUAUAAACUUACAAAUGUUUUUUUUUAAAAAAAAUUCAUAACUGCGAGAAUAUACUUUUAAAUACUCCUCACAUAUUAACCAAACGAAAGUGUCAUAGCACACAUUCUUAAGCGUCCCCUAAAAAGUCUCAAGAUUUGGAACUGAGUGGCAACAGGAAAAUAUUCAUUAAAAAUAAAAAACACAAUUCAAAUAUUCAAUCAUCUAAAGCCCAAAUCCAAAGUGUAUUACCUUAGAAUUUUAAAAAGAGACUUGAAAAAAAAAAAAUGGCAUAUUUGAGUUCCUCAAAGCAACAACAAAAACUCUUUUGUCCGAUUCAGGCGACUACGAUUACCACCACUGCUAAAGUUCCUGCCCCAAACUAAGUAGAAAACAUGAAAACCAAAAUUUGAAGAGAAAAAUCUAGCUCAUCCUCUGAGCAGCUUCCUUCGCGAGAAGCUUUUCGCGAGCCUUUGUUUUUGCUUGUGAUUUCGAUCCCAUAAUACCGCCGCCCCACUUCUUCCUGAUCUCGUCAAACUUGUCGUUGAAGUUCGCCUAAAAAAGGAAGAUCAUCAUUAGUAAAUAAAGUAUAAAUGUAUAUACAAUUGCUAAAAUGCAAACUGAAAAAGAAAAAAAAAAAAAAAAAAAACGUUUUAACAUUCCCACCUUAAUAGCCUCAAGGAUCUUGCUGAAUUCGAGCUUAUCUUCAUUCUUGACUGUGGUCAAACAGAGGACAGCUGCGUUCUUCUUGUGAACAAUCUGCAUGUCAUUUAUAAGAGAGUAUAAAUAUUAGGACGCAUAAAUUGAUCUUAGAAAUAGAAUAGAACCUCAAUCAAAUUAAGAGACCAUACCGCUCCAAGCCGCGCUUUUCCCUUGACGAUGCAGUAAGGGAUCUCCAUUUUCCUACACAACGCAGGAAGCCAAACAACAAGUUCGAUCGGGUCGACGUCAUGGGCUAUGACUACCAACUGUGCCUUUUUCUGCAGAAAAUACACAGAAAUAUGCAAUAGCUCAAUUAUAUUUUCCAUGCAAAAGUUCAGUUUCUCGAAAAUAAUUUGAGGAUAAGAUGCUUGAAAUAUAGCAGCGAUUGCUAGAAAGAACCGUCAGCAUAAAAAAAACGCUAUGCAGUAAAUGAUAGAAGCAGAUAGAAGACCCAAUAUACCUGCUCGAUGAGGUAGGUAACGUGGUUGAGGCCAUAUUUCACCACAAUGGGCUUUUUAGAUUCGACAGUCUUUCCUUCAGCCUCAGCCUUAGCUCUAUUCAGAAGCCGCUCCUUCUUAGCAGCUCGGUCUUCAGGGCGGUACUUCAAAAGCAUUUUGAAUAGGUUGGUAGCUGCAGCCAAAAUGUACCAAAUAAACUAUUAUAGGAAAUCUACAAACUUUUCAUUUCAAAAUGCAUAAAUUGAUUGUAAUCGUUCGAUUUCAAGAAGGCUGGAAAGUCUAGUAACACUGGAAACAAUAAUUACCAGAAGCUGAAGUAUUAAUUAAAAAAACAACUGACAGAUGAAUAGAUGGCUCAAAGAGAGAGAUUAAAGCCGACCUUUUUUUACAUAUUUAUUUGAAAAGAGUAUCGCUUAAUCAUAUCAUUUUGCCCCCAGUGAAUCAGGAAUAACUAAGACGCAGGUACCCCAACAAUAACACAAUACCUCGCCCAGAUAAAACAAUACAUCAAACGACUCAGAAGAGGAUAAGCAGAAUACAUUGGUUUUCAUACCGUGACUGACCACGCAAUAAUCCAUCAUUACAAGCACAAGAUACAAGUGGUCAAAUAUUAACAGCACAGGAGAGGUUCAGCAAUUCAUUGAAUAAGAUAUGGUCAAAACAAGAUAAAGGGUUAUAGGGUCCUUUCAAUCUCAUUUCUAUGCAAUUGAGUCGACAACCGGGACAGAGAAGUGAGAACAAGGGUAAAUAACCAAAUAUAUGAAUCAUACCAAACUGAUUCAUCAAUCAUUCAUUCCUGAGCAACUAAAACACUGAUUAGACUUUUGCAUAGGAUUCAUCAAAUCAUGACAAUCUUAAGAUUUUGAUGAAUUCUUUUUCAUGCACUCUUCAUGAAAGAGCUUCUAUGUAUAGAUUGCAUUGGUUUCGUGCAUUAACAACUUAAACAUUUAAAAAGGUUCAUCAGCAAAUAAUUCCUUAAACAAACUCGACAACAAUACACAUGUGAAUACUACUAACAAUUCAAUAAAGAUGAGGCAAUUGCAUUAACAAAAUCUCUAUCUCUAAAACAAAAAAAAAAAAAAGAAGAAGAACAUUAGUAGUUUACCGAGGUUCUUAUCAAGGGUCCUGGUGAACUGGUUCAACGCCGGGGGCACCUUCAACCUCUGCUUGAGGAUCCUCCUCUGCCGCUGGAUCCGCACCACCUUCGGCCACUUCACGAAGCGGGUGAGGUCCCUCUUCGGCGGCAGGGCCCCGCCGAUCCCGAACUGCUUCGGCCUCUUCUCGAACAACGGAUUCACGACCUUCUCCUGUGGAAUUCGCAUCAACACCACAAAAUGUAUCAUCAUCUAGGGCGAAAAAACAGAAAAAAAAAAAACACCAAUAAAUUCUUAAAAUAAGGCGAUAAUGUAGAUCAAUACCGUCUUCUUCUUCGCCGCGACCGGGGCCUUCCCACCUCUCUUCGGGGCCUGUUAGAUUCAAACACAUAGUAACCCAUCAAACCCUAAAAUACCAAAAAUUGUCAAAAAUUAAACGGAAAUGGAUGUUUUAUUUAAGAAAUUUACAAAAAUCAACGAUUUUAAGCGAGAAACUGGGACGAAGAACAACAAGAUCGAUUAGUUUUACACAAAAAGCGACGGAAAAAUCCGAUUUUGAGAACACAAGAGGGGUUUAGGGAUCGGAGGAGGGAUCGUACCAUGACGCCGCUUCGAGUAGAGCUAGGGUUUCAGGGUGCGAGAGAUAGGAAGGAGAGGAGAGGGUUUAUAAAGGGCAAAACCGAUCUCCUAUGAUCUCGACCGUCGGAUAUAUUGAUGAAAAAAUGUUCGAUUCAUAUUGAUCGUCCGAUUGAGAUUUGUAAAGGUUUGGAUUAAAGGAAUGUACAGAGUCUCCUUUGGAAACGCUUAAAACUAGGACGAGUUAGUAAUAAGUGGAAGUGGUCCACCAUGUUGGCCGUGGACCGCCAUAUACUCUCCAUUCUUUUCUUUUUUUUUUUUCUUUUCUGAUUUUUUUUUUUUUAAGAUGCAGUUAAAUUUUGUGUUUAAUUUCCAAAUAUACCCAAAAUAACAUGUCAAUAUCCAUUUCAAUUUUAAUUAUCAAUGAUAUUUAUGACCAACGCACCAGUUAUAAGAAAAUUUUUAAAAUAUAUAUUUAUUUUGUUUUUUGAGUUUUAGUGAAUAGAUGCAACUUUUAGUAAGUAGAUGCGACUCAAAUUAGAAAUUGUGACUCUUGUUGGUGAAUGAAUGUGAAAAAAAAGGUGACUUGUAGUGAAAGAAUAAGAUACAAAAAGGCGCAAAUUUAUAGUGUAUCCUCUCGUGAAUGUAUGUCCAUUGAAAUUAAUUUUUAUAUUUAUUGAACUUGUCUUAUGUAACUGGUCGAUAGUUAUGAUCAAAUAAAAGUCAUUUUAUAAAACAUCCGUUCAUAAAUUAUCACUUCGUAAAACACUCGUUCGUUGAAUAUAUAAGUCCAUAACGUUGAUGCUGAAGGACAGUUGAAAUUUUCAAAUUUCUAUUAAUAAUAAUUUUUUAUUUAUUUUUAACAACUUAAUCGAGUAAGUGCUAAAGACUCGACUUCGUGUGUGCAAACAUAGUUAAAAUUUGUAUGUUUCUUUAUAUUCUGAGAAACUAUUCGGUGACCCAAUGCACACCGAACUAUUCGAACGGUUGAGACGAAUUAAGCUUUAAGAAGAAUAGUAUUGCUACACAUCUUGAAGUUUUUUUCAUCUUUCUAAUUUAUAUACUUUUUCUACACAAUUUCUCCAACACAGAGUUCUCAAAAGAAAAAAAAAAAAAAAAAAAAACAUACUUUUUAUUUUUCAAUCGCCUAAUUUUUUAUUUUGUGUUUUGUUCUCGUGCUAAAUAUAUAUUCUUGAGAAAAUUUAACCCAGUGUUUACUAGCAUUAAGUACGUAAGGUGAUUUUUCAGUGACUAUUUAGUUUAUAUUAAUUACUCUUCUUGAAGAGUAUUUUACGAAGCUUUAAAAUUCACUUCUAUUUUAUUUUCUUUUAAUAUGGAACUAUAAUGAUAAUAAUAAUAAUAAUAAGUUGGUCCGGGCCCAGAUUCAGCUCAUUCUGGUCUGACAUUGGAAGUUGACCUUUCGGCCCAACAAAAUGGGCCUUGAAAAGGCGCUUUUUCUCCAAGCCUGACCUAAUGUACUAUUUUAUUGUUGGGCCGAAUGGUUGAUAAAAUACAAUGUAGAGAUUGAUAAUCAUUUUAUCAAUCUCUACAUUGUAAUUUAAAUUUAUUUUUAUUUUUCUAUCUUGUACUAUUUUCUUUUUUUAUAGAUAUUACCCGAGUAUUAUUUUUUCUCACCAAUAUCUAUAUUACCGUUAACAAAUUUAUUAUAUUAGAUAAAAUUGAACAACUUUGUUAAAAAGCACUAGUUAAAUAGUAGAAAAAAAUAUAAAAUAAAUCUCCAUACUAAACUCAUUAAGGGCGUGUUUGGUUCGCUUCUUUUUCACCCUGGAAUCGGAAUCGGAAUGGAUAAAUCCGUUUGUGGGUGUUUGGUACGCGGGAGUUCCAUUCCGAUUCCGAUUCCCGAGUGGAAUGGGAAUCUCCCAAUUAUCUCUUUUUUCAAUCCGGUUUAGGAGGCCGGAUUGAAAGUUGAAUUCGGACGGAAUGGAUAUUUAUUCGGAUUAAAUUUAUUUUUUCAACUUUUUUAAUUAAAAUAUGACUUAAAAUUUUAAAAUUAAAUAUAUAAUUUUAAAUUUUAAUUUUAACUUAAAUUAAAAAUUAAAAUUUAAUAAAGUAUUUCGAAUCUAACUUAUGAAUUUGAAUUUAAAUUAAAUUUUAAUUUAUAUAAAAUAUUAUUCAAAUUUUAUUUCAAACUUAAAUUAAAUUUAUGUAUUCAAAUUAAAAUUUAAAUUGUAAUUUUAAAUUUGAAUGUGAAUAAAUCAAAAUUUAGUUUCAUAUUUUAAAUUAUCCACUCAACUUCAAAGUUUAAUUUUUUUAAAAAAAUAGAUUUAAAAUUUUGGCAUUAUUUUAAAAUUUUGAUGUAAAUUUUUAAUAUUUAAUUUUUAAUUUGAAUUUAAAUUAAUAUAUUAUAAAGAUAAUGUUAGUAUAUUAAUUUAAUUACAUUUUUUAUAUCCACCUGAACCAAACACCGACAAUGAGAAUGAUUUAUUCCGAUUCCGAUUCAGGUGAUGAACCAAACAAAAUUAGGUAAUGAGUCAUUCCGAUUUCGAUUCUAGCUUAUUUUGAUUCCGAUUCCGAUUUCGAUUCCGACUUCGAACCAAACGCGCCCUAAAAGUUUAUAUCAAAUUAUUUUUAAUUAUUUUUAUAUAUUUUAUUAUUUUUUAUGUCAAAAUGAGUCGAAUAUAUGCUCUGCAAAUUUUCACCGGCAUUUUUUAACAGCUUUUAUAUAAAAUUAUAGGUUUAUGGCUUACAAUGUAGGAAUUGAAAAAAGAAAAAAAAGAAAAGAAAGAACAGUUGAAUGGUGCAUUUGAAAAAUAAAAAAUAAUAGUACGACAUAGGAAGUGAAUUUUUUUUUUAUAUAAAGUACAAUGUAGCAUUGUGUAAUUAAGCCUAAAAAUUUUGAAUGGACACAAAAAGCUUACCUUCGACAAGUAAUGAAAACACUCCAUCUGAGCCCAAAUAUUAUUGUCCUCUUUAAUUAGAUAAGAAUAAUGUAACUGGAGUUGAAUUCCAAACCCAGAUACACUACUUAUGACUCACAGAUAUAUAUAUAUAUAUAUUCUUUUUCGUUUGUGACAAUCUAUAACAACAAUGAAUGAUAAAACUGCAUGGGCGUAGACAAAAUUAAAAGGAGAGGAAAAAAAAACUCAAAAAAUGAUGAAGAAUUGCCGCAGAAGAAUAUGGUACCCUCUCUCUUUCGUAAUUCCCAAUUAAGAAAAUAGGAAAAAUGCACCUGCAACCAAAAAAAAAAAAAAAAAAACAAAAAGCAAGAGUUGAGCUUGAUUGCUUUCAGUUGUUUUUGCUGUUCAAAUAGUCCCAUAUCAGAAGAUGAUAAGAGCGACAAAAUCACGGGAUUUAUAAACUCAGGGAGACAUGCGUAACCACCAUGUGAUUGGAGGCUAACAUUUAAGUUAUUACUACUAGUAAGCUAGUUCGGGCUCUUAGUGGAUAAUAAUAUAUGCAUAUUAUAUGCGUGGUAAUACUAACAACUUUUGUAUUUUCUAAAGUUAUAACAUGGCCUAAUAUAGUACUGAUACUGAACUAAAAGCUUACCGGAUUUGGUAUGUCGCUUUUUCUCACUCUCUUUUUUUUGGGGGGGUUCUUUUUAAUGUUGAUCGCCAUCUUCUAAUCAUUAUCUGUUCCAAAGUAUCUGUCUCCAAACUCGCCCAUGCCGGGAAUGACGCGGUAAUCAUCAUUUAGGCCAACCUCAAUCUCCGAUGUCACAAUCUUGAUUCUUGGGAAUCUUUUACAAACUGCAUGCACCCCUUGAGGAGCCUGAUGAUAAGAAGGAAAUAACACCAUUCAUAUCAUAGGCUAAAUUGGUAAGCAAAACAUCCGUAAACGAGUAAAAGGGGAGCAAAAAACCAAAAAAAAAACACAAGGAAAAUUUUCAUGCUGGCACUCAAAACUUACAGAUAUGAGAUUAAGAAAUAUAAUGUUGCCUUCUUGUACACCCUUCUGUAAAAGCAAUGAUAUAGCUUGAACAGCCGAAUUGCCUACCACAGGAAUUGGAGAAAAGAAAGAAAACAGUCGUCAGAGGAAGCUCUCAUAGCUACUGUGAAUUAUCCAGCCUAGCACUUUCUAAGGUUGUGAAAAGUAAUUCAUUCUGAAUUCAUGACUAAAUCUUUCAAGUUGUUCAAUUUGAUAGGUUUAUAGUAAGCAAUACACUAACCAAAAGAGGUCCCUAUGAAGGCCGUGUUGUAAAGGAACCACAAAGAGUAGGAAUGUAAUGUUGAGAAGAAAGUGAAUCUGAGCAUUCAACUAGAAGAACAAAAGUUUAAACGAAGUAAUAGCAUUAAAAUAUGAAAGCAUUGAGAAAACUGCUCAAAAUAGAAGGUAUAGAAGCAAAUGGUGUGCUCAGAUGAAAUAAUAGCAAGUGGAGCUUGUAUGUAAUCAACAGAACUUGGUGGGAUAAACUGACACUGGAGCAGAAAAAAUAUUCUAGAUGAAUAAUGGAAGCCAUUUACAGUUCUUGAAUCCGACUUCUUUGGAAAACAACAUUGCCAACUCAAGAAACUUACAUUAGAAAGACAUUUACUAGUAACUACUGCAAAUUAUUGUAGCUUUUAAUCUUCCAUUAAGUUCAAUAUCAACAUAAAGUAAUAAUUCAGAAGAUGGGCAAGAAACUUCCAUUAAGAAAAUGGGCAAGAAAGGUACAACCAUGUUAGCACAAUCUAACCAAAAGAUUCAUGUAAACGUGUUGAAAUAGUAAACCAACCUGUACCAAGUAUAGGAUCCAGCAGCAGAACAUGUCUAUCUGAGAUGUCUUUUGGGAGAUUUUGGUAAAUUAGCUGUAUAAAACUUGAUUCAUCAGGAAAUCAACAGAAGCAAAUGUAUUGAAUAAUUGAUUGACAUAGUGCAAACCUGCUGACCAUUAUCUCCUUCCCUAUGAAUAAGAAUCUUGCCAAUCUUAAUACCUUUACAACAAGCCCGCAGUGCAUUCUCCAUACUCUCACCACUGUUAACCAUAGUUACUAUAUUAUGUUAUACUCAGUUUGAUAUAUAAAGGUAGAUUAAGGGGGGGUUGAAAGAGAGAGAGAGAGAGGGAAUAAUUAUUUAAUUUUUAUACAAAUGAUGUAUCAUUUCAAAAUUUUUCCCUCGGUCAAUAUGUCUCAAGGUGUAAUUUGAUUUCGACUGAUAAUCAACGGUGAUGCGUGAAGUACAAAAAAUUGAGAAUAUUCUCUACUGCUAGUAGAGAAUAUAAGAGGUCAUGGCAAGCUGCAAAUCAAAUGAUUACCUUCUGAUCACCGAGAUACCGCAUAACCUCCUACAGAAUUCCACCCCAGUAUAUACAGCUCCUGCACAGUGACCAAAUAUUAAGUAUCAAUGGCUCUACUACAUAGAAAGAAGUACGAGCAAAUUGGCGGUAUCACACUUAGCAAGAUAUGCAUAGUUAAAAGGAAAAGAAGUGAUUCCAUGAGAACUUGAUGGUAAAAGAGCAUCAGAACAACAUGCUUCUAGCAGUAGAUCUCUUUAUGAAAGUUAAAAAAGACACAUUAUGGAGAACAAUCACACACUCUCUCUCUCUCUCUCACACACACACGCACACAUCAUGGAGAUCAUGGAGAUUCAUAUUUGGUUAAUUGUGAUCCAAUUGUGUGAAUACGCAUAAGGUGUAAUGUCUGGUUGCUCAGGUAUCAUCCCCUCUCUCUACUAUAUAUAUAUAUAAAGAAUUUUCUAUCAUGAUGUAACCUGAUUUGAAUAUUUCUACACUAAUUAAACUUGCAAACUGCUCACAUUGACCACUAAAAUUGUUGAAUUUGAGCUCCUUCGAUCACUAGGUAAAUAAUAUCGAAAAUUGUGAAAUUGGUUUUCUAGAUACUUCAAAUACUCUAAUCAAGAUUAAUGAAGCCGAUCGACGAUUCUGAAGUCACAUCAUUAAAAACAACAUAGAGCAUGGAGAUCUCCAUGCUGCUAAAAGCACCUUAGCUAAACUCCUAUUUAUGUACUAGUGUAGAGACUAGAGAGAGAGAGAGAGAGAGAGAGAGAGCACUUUUUCUCCCACAAAAGAAAAGGAGUAUUGAGAAUCUGAAUCAUAGAUAACCAAUUUGCUUUAACCCAGUAACAACCACAAAGGUACACAUUUUCUGGGAGGUCUUCUUAGUCAAUUACAACUCAGAUAAAUCAUAGUAAAUUCCUAAUUUCUCUAUGGUGUCGAGUGCUCACUUGAAAAGGUCUAUAGUAAGGGGUAAACCAAAUAGCAGUAAAUAGAGAAGCGGUCUUAUAGAAGGUCAGAAAGUCUUUCCCUUUCUUUCUGUGUAUGUCGUUUUAUUUUGGAAAAGAGGGUGAAUCCCACUUUGUGCUUGCAAAAUAGAAGACGAAAGGAUCUAGACGGUCUAAUUUGUAAUCUUUACUGCUAGUAAUUUACAAAGGAUUAAGUGACACAAAAGCAAAAUACAUAAACAUUCACAUAAUCACAUGAAAAUCAAGAUCUACUUACCAGUAGGAGUUAUCACCUGCUUUUCUUUGAAUGGAAGAUGACCAAGACCAUGCUCAACAACCUAUUAAAUUAAAAAUAUUUUAACAUCAGAAAUAUCAACCCAUGAAGAACUUAAAACUAAACGAAUUCUCAUACUAACCAAACGAAUUAGUCUAUCAGCAUAAAAGAUGAAAUCAUGCUUUGUAGUUUCGGCAUCACGUAUUAGCGUAUGCAUGCCACGUAUCUGUAGAAGUAUCGGGAUUUGCUUGAUGUCAGAAGAAAACAUAGAUAUAGCUAUGAAUGCACGAAGAACAAUAGCCACGAGUUGCAGCAUUUUCUUGAAAACAAAACAAAUAUGAAGGCUAAAUGGUAGAUGACAUUCAAGUUUAAAAAUCACCUGAAAGGUUGAUUGAAUGACAUAGAGAUUUGGAUAUAUUUUACAAAGAUCAUGCUGACCAAGCUUAGUGCGAAUAUGUUGCACGAUCAAGUCAAUUGCCACGUGAUUGUCUCCACCUCGGGGAAUGAUAAUAUCAGCAUACUUCUUCGUCGGGAGUAUGAAGUCGUCAAAAGCAGGUUUCACAAAUUUUGAGUACUGCAAACAAAAAAUAGAAAAAAAUUAUAUUAGCAACAACAGGAAGAGAGAACUACAUAAAAUUACAAGCCACUUCAAUCAUUGACAGAAAUAGGAGCUCCAUGGUUGGUUGAAACAUGAAAAUUCUUCUGCAAUUCUUUGUUCAGCUCUUUAAAGUUUGGAUGGUGAUCGGUAAUUGCCCUAGGUCUCCAGGUGUCUGGCAAAGUUUCCUUAAAAUUUCAUAUUCUGUUCGUUGUCAUCCAUGCAUAUGUUCACAUGUCACUCCGAAGCACUCAAUAGCAUCAGAUUUUAGCAUACACCAGGGUUGAAGAGUUAAAUUGCAAUGCCAGUCCCUGAACUUUUAGUCAAGUUACACUGUGGUCCUCGAACUUUUAAGGUGGACACUUGACACACGGGACUUUUUGGAAGUGCUUCAUUUUACUCCUUAUUGUACCUACAGUUAGAGAAAAGUUAUUGCCUGCAUCCGGGUCAUCAGAAGUUCAGAACAUCUGCACACCAUGAGCCCAUUGGCUGCUCAUCAAUCUAGUACUUUCAAUCUGGCCAUCCAAUUUCGAAGAAGAGAGAAAGAAAAGAGGGUGGUAGGCACUGAAAUAGGAGAUGGUAUCAAGAGUCAAUGGGAAGCAUGAUACAUGAACUAAUGGAAGCACUGUCGGGGGCAAUAGUUUGUCCUCUAAAAAUAGAUGAGGAUAAGGACUGAAAUGAAACACUUUCAAAGUUUUUGGUAUGGAAUGUCCAACUUAAAGUUUGAUGACCAACAUGAAACCUGCCUAAAAGUUUGGGAAUUGAUACUGCAGUUUACCCAACUAGAAAAGGCACAACUGGAUAUAUGUUGUGUAACAGCUGAAAUGUCUACUUAUUUGAUUUUGAUAGUCCACAAUCCCUAAUCUGUCAAUUAUGAUGAAUUGGCCUACUAGAAGCUAUAAACUAUUAAGCAUCACCCUAAAAAGAAAAAAAAAUGUGAUAAUUAUAAGCAAAAGAUAUGAUCGAUAUAUAACCUGAUCGAGUACUGUUCUGACAUCUCUGCCCUUUUCAACAGUAUCACGGCAAAUCCUCCUUGCUAGACGUAUAUCAGCAUCUGCUCAGGUUGAGAAGUAGUUAUUUUCUUAGAAAUGCAAUAGUAAAUCAGUUACAGAAGAUUAUGCAGAUUUCAUGUAUUUUCACAAAAGUCAAAUUUUACAUUUACGUGUACAUGAUAUUCUUUUUUUCUGGUGUCUAUAACAACCUAAUCUUUAACAGAAGAUUAACGCAAUAGUAAAUCAGUAUCAGACAAUUAUGUAUGUUCGAUGUAUUCCAAGAAGUCAAACUUCAUAUUUAUGUGCAUAUUUAUGUGUUAUUUAUUUUCUGAUGUCUAUAAGAACAUAAAUAGAAGGAAAAACAAGCUUACAUAUAUAUAUAUUCAUACAAGAGAGGAAAGAAAUAUGACCUGUGUCAACAAAGAUCUUCAUGUUCAUUAGCUCCCGAACAUGUGAAUCAUGAAAUACUAAAAUCCCUUCCAAAAUAAUUACAUCUGAAGGGUUAACCUGACAAAGAUUGGUGAGGCUUUGGAGUCAACCCUUUCCAGAAAACAAACAAUAAAAAAAAAAGACUGAAAAUACAUCGAAUCAUCUCGAGUACACAGAAAAGAUAGUUAAGUUUGCAGCCUUUAGAGUUGCGUAGGACGUGAAUGCAAAGGCAGAUUGUAACCAUUUAAUAGCAAUACAGAUUAUCAGUUUAGCUAGGUAAUUUUUUUUUUAAUUAACAAUCAUUUUCAUGCAGAAUUAAAAUGACAGUGAAUGGCAAGAAAUAUGACUGUGAGUGCAUUCAGAGGAUAUCUUUUCAUAGCAUGAUCAAGUCUUGUAGAAAAGAUUAUUAGAGUGCUUGGGCUUUGUAAGGAUUUACUUACAUUUGUCGCAAGUACAAAGAGCAAUUUGCUGUAAAAUUUAUGUUUUACACAAAAGAAUUCCACCAAGUAUUCCAGGAAUGAUGGGCUUGCAACGAAAAUUCAUAUGUGAGAGCAAAAUGAAAUACUAGCAACACAGGGAAGUACUCUAUUGCAAUCAGCACGAUGUUGUGUAAAUGAAAAUGGACAAACUAUCAGAAAGUGCGGUAUACCUUUCGGGCCGGCGAUACAUUCCUAUGAGUUUUGAGAUCAUAAUUAGGGAUAUCAGCAGGCCUUCCGUGCUUCAAAUUCUCCAUACAAGAAAGUAACUUUUCAGUAUCAAAAGCGUCUGCAAUGAAAAAUAGGUUCAAUAUAAGGAAAAGCAGGCUUUCUCAUAUAAGUUCAUUUGAAAAUAUAAUACUAACUACCGGUGAAGUAGCUAAAAUGCAAAACAAUACAAUCAGGUAACAUUUGUCGCCAUGCAUGCAUGUAGAUAGGUAGGCGAUAAUGUGCACAAAAUGUUUCUCGACAACGUGGUAACUCCACAGUAUUUCACUACAGAGAAAUCGGCUGAUAUUAGAAAAUAUAGAAAAACACUCGUGCAAGUGGAAAUAUGGCUAUUAGUGUGGUGAGCAAUCUUGAUCUAAUAUUGCUGAUUUUCCUAAGAAAGCACCCUAAAUAAAACUUAAAAGGAAGAUAAGAUGUACCAGGAUGGUCAAAAUUGUAUUCAUGAACUCGACUUGAUUCCUCUUCUGAUAAACUAUGGUAAAAAGAUUCCUGCAACAGCAUAUUUGAAUAGGUCAAUGUACCAUAUAAUGAACAAUAAUUCAGUUAAUGGAAUGAUGUUGAGAACUGUUGCAAGAAUAAAAUAGUAACUCACAUAAUUAGAAUGAAAAUUCAGAUUACUUUCCAUGCUCAAAUAGGCCUUACUAUUAUGCCAUUUACACUUAAUAAUUGCCUCAAAAAUAAAUUAAUCAAUCACACAGGGAGCUUCUUUCAUCUCUACAGGAUACAAUCAGCCCCAGGACAACUGUCUAGAGUUCAGUAUCUGGUCAACCAAGUGGUUCGCCAGUUAAUCAACCAACAUAGCUGAUGACCGGUCAAUAAUCAACUGUUCCAAGCAAGAUCAUGGUUUAGACAAUUUCAAGCUUACUUGACAAGAAAACUUCCUGUAUGGUUCUUUAUGCUUAAAGUUCGAGGUGGUUUCAGGCUAUAAUUCUUUGCAGUGUGCUUUUAAACAUCAGAAAAAAGGAUAUUCUCGAUUAAUAGAAGCUUAUUUUCCCUCCUAAGAAGGCUUUCUUACUUAAAAGAGAACAUCUUCCCUUAGUCAAUGAAAGCUAAUUUCCUUCCAAAGAAGGCUCUCUUUCCUUAGAUCAAUUAAAAAAAAGUAUGAUGAAUAGUUUAGUUUCGACUUUCCAGUCUCUGGCCAUAAGUUGACCAACAAAAUGCAGCCACAAGAGUAAAUUAUAAAAUAAAUAGGCUUAACUAGAAACUUAGUGCACGAUCGUUAGUUUGUAACAAAAAGAGGAUUCAGAAAUAGUUUAGCGUUAUAAAUGAUUUGCCUCUGUUAGAUUGAAACAAACUGAAAUACAUUGAAGUAACAUACAAGAUGGCAGAUUUGCACUACCUGAUUUACAAGGACAACACGUUGAUCAUGUAGCUGCUCAAUAAUCAUCUCACAUACGGUGCUCUUUCCUGAAGCUGCACCACCACCAACACCUAAAAAUGGGGGGUGGGAGAGGUGGGGGAAUAAUUCUAGUCCACUUGAAUAUUCCAUUCAAAACUUCCACUUAAUAAAUAUUCUGAUACUUGUAAAUAAUCACACAAAUAGCAAAAAGCAAAUCACUAAGAUUACCGACCAAUAACAAAGGGUUCUCUGUGUCCAUACUCCUUUGGUGAGGUUGUUGGUUUUUUCUCCUGUUGAGAACUUUUUAGCUGCGACUCAUCCAGAUGAAGUCCUGAGAAAUGAACUCCAGCAGGGCUCUCCAGAAAACCAUUCACGGAGUUUGAGCCCAUUAGAAGGGAGCUUAUGUGGGGGAAUAACACAUGCAAAACAGAAUUGGUUCUUAAGAUGAGAAGAAUCUUCCAAAUUAUUAAUAUUUCAUAAGCUUCAGUCCAAAUAUAUAAUUCCUCAAUAAACUAAUGAGAUAGCAUCAACAGGUUAUCUGAUAUGCCAUAACCAAUCAAACUGCUAAAAAGCUAAAAAACGAUACCCAGCAAGUCUUCACCGUUUAUUUCCAUUUAUAGUUUAAUCUUCAAGGUAAAGGCCCAAGGAAAUACGGCCAAAGUAGAAAUUCUGCUGGUAAGCCUCUAAUUCUCCAAACGACCAGAUAUAUUACAUUCGUUUACAAUAACAAGUUGAAUCCUGUGCUGAAGCAAACAUCAUUAUGCAUAUCUAAGAGCUUAUUUACUCUUCUAAGCCUAACAACGAAAACAAAUGGUUAAAAGAACAAGAUGUUAGGAAAGAGUAGAUUAAUUUGGGGUGGUGCUAUUGUGCUUUUGGAACCAUGGAGACCUUCAUGGUUCUGCUUCACUUUCAAUAACAUGGCAUCUGAAUCAACAGUCACCACUGUUAAACAUGGCCUAAGGUAUUUGAACUACCCAAAAACCAAAUUUCAUGAUUUUGGAUAAAAAUUUUCUACCACAUCAAUUGACUACAAAACGAAUGUCAAAACUAAACAGCUUUCUUAAACUGGAGAAUAAGAUUGUUCAAUUCGGGGUUGGGGUUAUUGAUCUAAAUCUGGACAGUGAAGAGAAUAUUCCCAGAAAAAAUAGACUGAUUAAAUGAACAAACACCAUGUCGGUCAUCAAACUGUCAACUUUAACAUCUUUCGUUCAUCAGGUAAAUAUACCAGAUCACCUUUAACAAUGUCAAUCGACAAUUGUGAUGCCCUAUCAUCAAAAAAUAAAGUGGAAACACAAAAGGCAAUGGCCUUCGUUUUGUGGUGCCUCCGUGCUACUAGUGGGAUUAAUCUUGCAAACAUAGUCACAUCCCGAUAGUAUAAAUCGAUAAUUUAACAAGCAAAUGCACCUCGAUUUGAUUCCCAACCACAAAUCACUUCGCUAAACCCGAAUAACCCUUCCACAAUCUAAUUAACGGAAUCAAAUAAAAAGGACAGAUCUCUUGAAAAAAGAAAAAAAAAAAAAAGAGAAAAGAUUUGGAGGCAAUGCGAGGAUCUAAACAACAACAGAAUCCGAUCAGAAUUCCGAUCGCGACAUUAUGGAACCAAUCGUACUCAACGAGUUCCCAGAUCCAGCUAGAAUCUGAACGUACAAGGGUGUGGAGAUACCGGUACCGAUCGACUCCUCCGCCUCCGGCGAUCUCCGUGGCGCUGCGUCUCCGAUCGGCGACAAUGUCGACGGGGAUCGAAUCCGAAGAGAUUGGGGAAUAAUGGGGAAAGAGAGAGAGAGAGAGAGUGUGUGUGGGGUUCGAACACCUUUGCAUGCGCUCGAAUAGCGGGGCGAGGGGGACGGAGGAGGAGGAAACUAGGACGAGAAUGUAAUUUAAAAAACAAAAUAAAAAAUAAAAAAAAUAAAAGGAAAGAAGAAAAUGUAUGGAGACCCCUCAACUAUAUUUCGGUUUGCAACAGGUUUUUUCUUUGGGUAAACUUCAAAUAUCACCCCUGUGGUUUCUCACUUUUUCACUUUAAUACUAUGUGGUUUAAAGUAUACCAAGUUAGUACACUGUGGUUUUAUUUUUCUCUUUUCAUCAGCUCAUCCGUUAAUAUUUUAUUAAACUAUAUAUAAAAAUUUCAGAUAUCCUAUCUAGGUUUAUGAAUAUUUACUUUAAUACCCUUUAGUUUUAACUUUGUCCCUGAAUUAACGAAAAAAAAUUAGUGAAAUGGAUAAUAAAAAAAGAAGGAUGAAAUCACAGGGUACUAAAUUAAUAUACUUUAAACCACAGGAUACUAAAGUGAGAAAAUUAAAAAUCACAAAAAUAGUAUUUGAAUUUUUUUUUUUGUUGUGCAAUAUAUAUAUGUACCUCUUACACCUCUGAGUCAUAAUUUUUUAUUUAUCAGAUUAAUUUUUUGAUUUUUAUUAUAAUUUAUUUGGAGUUUUGUGAAUAUUUUUAUUUUUCUUCAGUUAAAAUAUACAAAGGAACCCCACAAACCAUUCGCCGUUAAAUUGCACUAGUUUUAUUUGAUAAAAUUGAUUAAAAGAUUAUUAAAUUUGAUAAAUUUACCAAUGAAUUUGUCAGAAUUUCUAACCAAAAUUGGUUAAAUUACAUUAUUCAAAAUAUUUUCGAGUAGGGUGGGUGUCGUUUUAAAAAAAAAAAAACUUCAAAUAUUACCCCUGUAAUUUCACACUUUUCCACUUUAGUAUCGUGUGGUUUAAAGCGUACCAAUUUAGUGUCAUGUGGCUUCAUUUUUAUCUUUUUAUUAUUGAUUCUACUAUUUUUUUUUGUUAAAUCAAUGACAAAGUUAAAACUAAAGAGUACUAAAAUGAAUAUUCGAUAAAUAUAAUUUGAAUUAGAAAUCAAAAGUUUGCAAGGUAACUGUUAGAAAUAAUUUGAAUUAGAAAUCAAAAGUUUAGAGCUAUUAAUAAACCAUUCAUAUUCUUUUGAGAAUAAUAAAAUAUUAAAAUUUGAAAAAUAUAAUUUCAAAUGACAUAUAUAUUCAGAAGUUUCUAUUUUAUUUUCUGGCGCUCGACAAAUCUUUUAUUUGACUGCUUGAAUAUUUUAUUACAUUAACAAAUGAAAAAAAUUACAAAAGGCAUUGAUAACUUACAUUUAAUGCCAAUAUAGUUCUUUAAACUUAUUAAAAAAAAUUGUAAAUGUAAUUAACUUAGAUAACUCAGGUGAGAUAUAUUAGUAGCCAAUAGGAGAGGGGUCUCGGUGCAUAUUUACCACACCCAAAAAAUAUUAGCGUUCUGUAGCUUUUUAAUGCGAUGGGGUCGAGAGACCUCCACGUGGACCCGUGGAGGGCCGCAUGGUGUACUUUUCUGUGUAUUGGGUCGGUGAGGGACACGUGGCGCGAAAUGGUAGGACGGUGGACGGUACUACGCGAGUGGGAUUGUCGGAGAAGUAAUCGAAGAAUCCGGGGGAUGAAGCGGUGGGAUUCGCAGAUUCCGGAGCGAUAGGUGGGGACCACGGGCCGGACCGGUUCAUCUCCGACCGUCCGCAUAAAAGCCCUAUAGGGACAUACAAAUAUCUACCGUUCAUUUUUUUUUUUUUUUGGGUAAAAUGUAUGGAGACCCCUCACCAAUAGAAUUUUGAAAUAGACUCCCCAACUAUAGUUUCUUUUUUUUUUUUUGAGUUAUUAUAUUUAGUUAAGUUAAAAAAUUUUAUUAAACUUAUGGCUAUAUAUAGUAGCUACUAGCCACCAAUUAGUCCAAGUUUAUAUUUGCUAUAAAAGUGAUUAUAGAAUCCAAUUUAAUAAAAUUCUCAAUUUCAUUGAUUAAAACAAUUGAUCAAUUAUAAAAAAAAAAAACUAAAAGUAAAACAAUCUCAAUUAAAAAAAAAAUUGAGGAGGUAAUUUUAAAGUAGCCCUAUAGUGGAGCAGCAAUAUUAUCCAUACACCGUAUAAUAAAAUAUAAACUUUACAUCCUAGACUUUUUGGUGGUGUAUAUAUGAUUUCACUUCUCACAUUAAUUUUUUUAAAAAAAAUUUAUAAAAUCUAUUGAGAUUUUAUAAAUCCUUAAAUUAAGAGGAUAUAAGAUGUACAUCCGUUACAGGUAUACAUAUAUUUUUUCCCAUAAUUGAGAGGCACAUCUUCAAAUUUUUUUUACUUUUCACUUUUUUUUGGAAAAGCUUCAAAACUCAGCCCAAUAAUAUCGCACGAUAAAUAAGGAUCAAACUUCUCACUUCAAAGCAAUGCACUGAUCGUACCAUAUCUAGCACAUUUGGUUAAAAUCUUAAUGAUUGGCAUAUAAGAUUUUAAAUUUAAAACUUUAUUUUAUAUUUUUAGCUAACUUUAUUUUUUAAAAAAAUAAAAAAACGAUAGCAUAGUAACUUUCUAUGUCACAAUAAUAAUAAUAAUAAUAAUAAUAAUAAAAGCUCUCCUGGAUCUGAUAAGUUAUGGGUCUCACUGUUACUGGAUCUGGGAGAAGGAAGGAUAGAGGAGUUUUAAAAUAUAAAAUAAUGUACAAAUAGUUCAUAUACUCUUUAGUAUUGUAAAAUAUUUGUUAUACUAUUUGUUUGGCAAUAUUGAUUAUUGAGCUUUAAAAAGGUUGUUUCAAGAUAAAAUUUAAUAAAUUAAUAUGUAUUUAUUUUACCACUAGAGUGUAAUAUGAAUAAAAGUUCAGAAUCUGAGUAUGUAAGUACGGGUAUAUAUAUUUCACAUUUUAAAUAAGAAAAACAACACCUUAAUCCUCUCAACAACACAUAUAAGCAUUGACUCCCUUUUGUUGUUUCUAUUUUAAAGCCCGUCUGGUAGGGAGUUUCAUCUAAGGCUUAGUUUAGGAUUGCGGGGAGAUAGCGUUACGUGCGGUGAGAAAGUACAUUGAAAAAAUAUUAUGUUUAUUUUCGUAUUUAAUAUUGCGUUUCGCAUAUCGCGAUGAGUCAGUUACAAUAUAUUUCUGCGGUACCACCGGAGAACGCAGAAUCAUAUCUCUAUAUAUUUUUUUUCUCAACUCUAUUUUAUCUAACAGUGUUUGAUAGGCCUCAAUACCAAAUUAAGCCUAAUAUUAUUAUGCAAAACAGAGUUGGAGGAAAAAAUAAAAUAAAAUAAAUUUUUUUGUUUUUUGAUGGACCAUAAAAAAAAUAUAUCUCAUUACGAUUUGCGUAAUCGGACUUUCUCACUGUACGUACGUACCGCAAUCUUCUUAUAAUUCCAAACAGAGUAAGUAAACUGAAAUGUACAUAUUUGCUAGCUAAAUUUCAGACGAAGAUGAAAAAUUUAACAAAACAGCUCCCGUAAACAAAAUUCUCAACUCAUUAAGAAAAGAAAAAGUCGAAUCAAAACAAACAAAUUAAAAUUAAGAAGUGGUGAUGAAGAUUAAAUUAAACUUAGUUUCAUUGGAAAUAUACAAGCACAAAUUACAAACAUAUAUGUGAGUGCUAGGGUUUUUGUGUGUCCACUUAGCCGUUGGUUUGGUGGGAGUUCUAAGUUUGAAUUCGGUGGCGACUGCGACGUCCCAACGUAGGUGCAUGAACAUGAAGUUGUUGAGUUGGUGCUUUCAUUCGCAUCAUCAUCAGCACAUGAAAUGUAUUGUGUUAGAAACUUAAUUGUUUUGUACUCAUGCUAUGGGUACUUUUUAGUGGACCCCUCAAUAUAUAUACAUGAGUUAGAUUAACUUUGGAACUUACCAUUGUACUUUGGUUCAUGUUACGUUGUAUUACCGGUUAUCUCAGCAUGACUAAUAAUCCGACAUCUGUUAUUCAGAUUACUACUAAUGCUGUAUUACUUUAUUUGGUUCAAUACAAUAAUAUAAUAUCGGAUUACUGUAUAUCUUGUGCUAUUAGUAUUAAUGCUGCAUUAUCAAUCGGAUUAUUUGCGAGAUAAACCAAAUAUAAUAAUUUGAAAAUAUAGUAAUAUGAAAAUAUUCUUGUAGGAUAUUCUAUAAUUCUGACAGGAUAAUGCGAACCAAGUAUCUUGAAUUUCUAAAUGAGAUUACUACUAAUGAUGUAUUAACGCGUUUGAUUUAAUGCAGUAAUGUAAUACUAGAUUAUAGUGUUUAUAACAUUACUAUAUUUGAUUCAGUCUGUAAAAUUUAGUAAUUUUCACAAUAAAAAAUAGUUUAUUUCAAAAUCAUCCUUAGCCAUAUUUGGCAAACUUUUUUUUACUGUUUACAAAUAAUAUUUUUUUCACUAAAUUUUAUUUUAAAUAAUUUAAAUUUUUAAAUUUUAAAUUUAUAAAUUUAAAAUCUAACAUUUUAAAUAUAAAUAUAAAUUUAAAAUUUAAAAUUUAAAAUCUAAACUUAAAAUUUAGAAUUUAAAAUACAAAUUUCAAUUUUAAAAUUUAAAAUUUAAAAUUUUAGAUUUAAAUUUAGAUUUAAAAUUUAGAAAUUUAAAAUAAAAUUUUAAAAAUUUAAAUUAAAAUUUAAAUUUUAAAAUUAAAAUUUAAAUUUAAAUUUUAAAUUUUAAAUUAAAAUUUAUAAUCUAUAAUUUUAAAUUUUAAAUUAGAAAGUUGACUAUUCAAAAUUUUAAAUUAAAACUUUUAAAAUGACGUAUUGAAAGGAUUCGAGAGUUGGAAGGGUAAAUUUGUAAUUUUAUAUAACAUGCAAGAUUAGUCGCUUUCAGUAAUUCAAGAUACACACCUCCUCGAUAAUAUUUUCAGUGUAAUCUUACACUUUGUAAUGCCGCAAUACCGAACAACGCAAUACCGAACAUAUUACAUAUCAAAUAAACCAAACGCAGUAACUCUGACAGGAUUGUUUGUUAUCCUGCCAGGAUAACCCGAACCAAACGCACCCUAAUGCACAUAAUAAUAAACACCAGGCCGAAGGAUGGUGCUGGGCAGGAUAUCCAUGAAUCCGGCCCGGCACAGCCUGGCCCAGAUUUUGGCCCAGGCCGCCGGUGAAUGUGGGCAGUCCCGCAUUACACCACUCAGGCACACUAGCUCCAGUCAUGUGGUCAGAAUAUACUAAAAUUAAGUACUUCCACAGAUUCUACUUCAUACCCUUCACAUAAGUACAGCAGUUGAUAGAUUUGAUUCUGAACGUUACCAAGGAAUACUUACAAGUUCUCUUGCUUGCUAAUAUACUCUCCUAAUAACAUGCCAAUUGUGUCAUAAUCUCUUUCCAUUUUGAAUUAUGGAAAUAAAAGUCGAGUAAUGUUUAGAAAAAAAGAUGCUUGAGAAGCAGUUUCUAUUAAGAGUAUUAGUUCCACAAAUUACGCAGUUUUCAGAUCUUCUCUCCCCAUUUCCGUACUUCAACAUCCAGAACAACAAAAAGACUAUUAAGUCAAGCCUACAAAAAUUUCCAUUGGCAAAGAUUGAUCGAAAUCGAACAAUUAAAGCAAUAAACUGAAACUGAUCGACAAAACCAACAAUUAGGAAGAAGAUGGUCAAGACUAGAAAAUCAAUAUGGACAACCAUAACAAAAAUCAUAAGCCAUUUAGAGCCCCUCAACAAAUAGCCCAAGCCGUAAUUGAUCAUUCCCACAGUCAUAAUAGCAUGUACACCAAAAAAGUAAAAGAAAUCUAACAUCCGAAAGCAUUACUUCGUGCUAGGAACCAGCAGUCAUACCUUCUUUUGGAGCGCAAGUGACACGCAGAAUUGCUUGAGCACUUAAGGGAGGAAGCUGUUUUUGGCAAAAGGAUUCCCAAGAAUCGAUGUCCGAUUCCUCGAGAGAAUCUUUGGAAGUUUGGGCUUGAAACUUUCCAUAGAAGGUUUGCAAUUCUAAUGCAAGGAUCCGAGCAGCCUCCCUCGAUUCAGGUAGUUGGUCGCUAAGCUGAGAUGCCGCAAUCUGGAUUAGCUUAUCGAUCCCAUAUGAUUUAAUUCCAUCUAUUCCCUGUAAAAGAUAUGAUUGUUAUCUUGUAUGCAAAUAAAUUGAACCUCAUACUUAGAUCUAGUACUGCCGGCAUAAAACCUGUAUGCCAUGGUUGAAUCUAUAACAAAUAAGUUACAUCUUAUUAACCAAUUUCUGAAGCCAUGAAAUUUUCAUUCAAUUGCAGUUCUUGAGAUUUACCCCUUGUUCGACUCGCAGUAGAAAUUGGAUAUAAGACAAGGGUAGCCAUCUUCUCCCAUUGCUAUUUCUUAUUUACUAUUCUCAAGUUAUUUCAAACUUCUGUCUAAAACAAGUUACUGUUUAAGAGAGAUACUACAUAAAGACUUGUGCAGUAGAGGUUUCUCAGAAACCUUCGAUGGUAUAACCAAAAACAGUGUUCCUGAAAUGUAGUUAAACAUAUAGAAAAUCUAACCGUGUAUAUAUAGUUACAUACAUACUUAUACAUCAAAACAAAUCCAUCUAAUACACCUUUAUUAUAAACCAAGAACAAGAAAAAGCAAUAAAUCAAGGGAUAAUGACAUUUAGAAUCUUAGAUAUUUUCAAUUGGCAAGAAAUAGAAAGAAACAUAGCGACUUUGAUGCGAAACAGAACAUGCAACAAACUACCAAUUAGACACUUCUAUAGGAUGCAUCAUAUAUUGAAAACUGAUAUAUUUGUACAACAGAAAAAACCUAAUGAGAAGAAUAACACUUUGUGCAUAGAUAAAAAGCUCUUAUGACUUUAGUUUGCACAGAAAAACAAUAUUGACCAGUAUUCUGGUCAAUUGUAUUAUAGAGUCAAGUUAUUUAGUUACUCAAUUUCUAAUCUGGUUGACAACUGAAGGUCCCUUGCUUUGUGAACUUCAGAAGAAGAGAAAAAGAACAAAAAAACAACCUCCCCUCAAGGUUGCAGUACAAUGUAUAGCAAUGAUUAGCUUCCAUCGAGAAAAAAAGUAGAAUUGCUUGAAAUGUUACAUUACGAGAGCACCCCACGUGGCUAUGGGAAAACUGCCGAUUCAUGUAUUUGUAAAGAUGAGUCAAAUAUGUAACUUACAAGUUGAGGAACACUCCUGCUGAAACACAUUGAUGCCUUUGCUCGUACUCGAGGAUUCUUGUUCUUGAGAUACGGGUGCAAUUUUGGCAACAAUGCAGAAGGAGAGACCCAAGUUGUCAUGGCUAUUAGGGCUGCCUCAGCCGCUUCACAAACGAAGCGUUUGUCUUGUGAAGAUUUCAGAAGCAGUUGUACAAGCUGAAACACCAGCACAAAGAUUUUUUUUGGUUAAGAAGAUUUUGAGAAUGCCUAUUUAGUUGCUAGCACCUAGUAAAUAGAAUAUAAUUAACCAGUAGCCUCUAAACUUUUGCAACAUUGCUAAUUAGUCCCUGAACUCACUCAAACACUUUAGCCCCUAACUUCCUCAUAUAUUGAAUCGCAUCCCUGCCCCCAGUCUGCCGUACAAAAUACCCGAUGUUUAGGAAGUCACAUACUCGGCACAUGACCUUUUCCCUAUAAAAUUACACAGUUAAUCAGAAACUGGGUCGAAAUGGUCAUUUAAAAAUAUUUGAUAUUUUGGAUGGCAAGUGGGUCCAAGGCGGUACCUGCAAUAAAUAGGAAAGUUCAAGGACUAAAAUGUACAAAGAGUUCUGGGACUUGGUCACAAUAUCGCCACAGUACAGGAACAAUCUAUAGUAUCUAUCUUGAUUACAGUUCAACCGAACAAAAUGAGAAAUUAAAAAAUAUAUGAGGACAUACCAGUGGAUCAAGUGAAUCAACUAUUAAAUCAUUGUAAACCUUAAAGAUGUCUGCCGAUGUCAUAAUUGCAGUUUUACAGACCGCACUCCUCGGAUUUUUUACCGACUUCACAAUCAGUGGAAUCACAAUUCCCCUGUUACAUAGAUAAUUUUUUCUAAUUACAAUAGUGUUACAAAAAUGCAAACUAAAUGGGGAAGAAAACCUAUGCAAGUGAAUUAUAUAUAUGCGAAAAAAAAGGACUUACAACAGCUCAAACAGCUUUUCCUUGUGGUAUAUCGAUAGUUGGCGAACAUUAUUCAAUGCUUCACAUAUCACCAUCCAAUCCUUUGAGUCCAAUCUUUUAACUAGUGUCUGCGCAAGAUUAUGGAAGACAUUGAAGAUAUUAUUACAAAUGAUAAAAUGAAAAGGAAUACAUGAUGAAAAUAGAUCUGAUAAGUAAAAAAAACAUUCUAGAGCCAUUUACAUGUAAAUCCCAAAAUCAACUAUCUUACUCAUUUACCCUUUAUAAAAUUUUAAAAUUUCAUUUCUAAUCCUUAAAAUGCAGUUUCUUACAAAAUUAACUCUAUCUUAAGUUGGGGGGGAGUCAUCCACUUCAUGGGAUGAACUGGUAUUGUAUUAUAAAGAGGGACGUCUCCAAAAGUAUGAGGCUAUAUAUGUAAAAUAUUAAGUUUUUGAAGGGCGUAGAUGAAACUUAAGAUUUAGCAGGAACAAAUAUACAAAUGAAAAAUUCUGCAGGGAUAUAUACAUGUAAAUAGCUCUACUUUUAAAUGAAGAAAUCAAGAAGCGGAUAUUAAGUCGUACAGUAAGACUGGAAUCAACAUCUGAAAGAUCUGUCAGGUUCUCAGAUUCUAUAUACUCGAUUUCUGAAUUCCCAACUUCUGAUCCAUUAACUGCAGCAUUAACCUCAUUUAGUGGAGAAGAGGUCACAGAGGGAGGAUUCUUGCUCUGCGACUUAUCAAUACUCUCAUUGCCGUUCCAGAUAUAAUGCUUAGUGAUAUUUCCUUUAGCAGAGCUUUCAUGUAACUUUUCUAAUUCUGUAAGUGGAAGUACGUUAAGAUCUCUCAGGGCUGUUCCUGACAUGUUCACCUUGCAACUCUGGAUUGAAAGGGCAAAGAAAGGAGAAACAGAACACAUAGCAAAUGAGGAUUAAAAAGGUACUUCCUCUAACCACCGAACAAGAAAAUAAAAAAAAAAAGAAAUUAUAUAAAUCAAAGUUUGGGUGAAUCAAAAUUUUUGCUUGCAAAAUUGCAACUUGACCAAACAUUCGCAUUGAAUUUAGAGAAUAUGCUCUCUCUUUGCAAGCCAUGUCUGUGCAUUACUAAUUGUCCAUAUUCAACCAUGCGGCAGUACUUAUGAUUUGAGACUUUUAAAAUGGAAAUUUAUUUUCUUGAUUCCUUAUUUAUGGUAUAUUCGGUGAACAUAUUGCCAAAAUAUCCUCCUUUCAUGUUGAACCAUGUAAUGCAAAUUAUGCAGCUCAUCAUAAGAAUCAAGAGGCAGUCUCCAUCAAUGCAUCAAUAAUCCCUUUCAGCCAAAUCAACAAGAGCCCUCAGAAACCAGUAAGCUUGAAUAACUCUCAAGAAAACCACAGCACCCAAGAAAAAUCAUCUUUCGUGCACUCUAUGGAACACUCAAUUGACAAAUCAUGCAUUUCAGGUUGGGGCUGGAAGAAAAUGAACUUAAAAAGAAAAGUACUUGAAGAAUAGGAAAAGUAGUUGCGCCUGCAUUAGUGCAGGUUCAGAUCUACAUGAUGGGGCAAUAACAUUAAUGUAAUCUCCUGAAACGAGAACAAUGAUGUCAGAGAUGUAAGGUAAAGCAAAGGACACACAGCCAGCUAGGAAGGGAAAGGAAAAGAGGUACACACUGUGAAACCAAAUAUGCAACAAAUGUAAAGCAUGCCUUUAGAGCGCAUUCAAUACGCACUAGAUCUAAGACUUUUAAUCAGAAAAAAGGAGAUACAUGGAUACUAAGCAUGGCCAUUCAUGCAAAGAAUUAAGUCACUAAUAACGCGUUGACUGCCAUAAACCAAUGGUAAGAUGCUAAACACAUGAUAGACAAGAAAAACUUCCUUUUUUCCUAUGUUUCUAGAUUCUAGAUUUUGCACCUUACCAGUUAUCAAUCUCGUGUUGUUGUUGGAUUGUAACAAGAUUUGCCAUCUAGGAAAUGUUCGAACAGCUGACAACUAAUGCCUCUUAAAAUUCUAUAACUUUCCAAAUGCAUUUUGAUGGUACAAUCAGUUUUGUAUAAAACUAUAGCACUGAAUGAAAGUGCUACUGCUGAACAAUUCUGUGACAUCCUCAAAUGUGCAUAUACCAUUAUGCACCUUGGCAUAUUAACAAAGUGAGAUGGAAGCUCUGAUCAUCAUUGAACACAAAUACGCUAGAGGAACAAAUGGAAUCAUCCAGUUCACACAUAUCACCCUGUAUGCAGUAGUAGCAUUAACUAUAGUACUGUUCUACACUACACAGUAUCGGCCAAGUAAAAGAAAUCAUUGUGUCCAUUUUGCUUCUUUUUUUCCCUUUCCUUUUCUCUCUGCCACUCUAUGUGGAAGACUAAUUCACUUAUUUCUUCUAAGGCAGUGGUCAGUUGUAGACUGCAGAAUUACAAAAGAAGAAAAUGAACAGAACUUUAGGUCUGCGCGCCGAAAAGAUGUAAACAUUAAUUGAAAAGGACUUGCACAACAAAGUUAUAAUGAUAAGUAAAUGUUCUUAACAGAUCUAGGCUAGAGUACACGGAAACUCGCCUCAUGGGAGGUCAUUAUCAAACCUUGCCAAGAUAGUUACAGCACGAGCAAUUUUCAAGUUACGGCACCCAAUAAAUUAGGCGACUAACACAUCAAUUCAAUCAAAUAUUUCGCUUCUGCCUGCAUCACAACCGCAUAGACUACACAUCUAAAUCUACAUACCGAUCAAUCAAUGCAAGAUCUCAUCAAAGAAGUAGCCACAGCGAACGAUCACAUUCCCAAAAAAAUCAUUUCUUACUCACUCACUACUUAGAGACCAAUCAUGAACAUAAUUGAACUCAUCUUCACUCCCUGAACUCGACUUUGUUACCACCUUUCAGCUCAAAACUACACUGAAAUUCUCCAACAAAAUACCCAUUUCAUACUAAUUUCGGCUUCAACAACGAUGAAAGUGCAAGUAAAAACCCUAAUCAACAGCUACAACUUCUUCAGAUCACGCCGGUCUCACUCCCAAAUCUCAUAGCGCUUAAUACAAGAUCUACCACACGAGAUCCGACCACGAAUCACUAAAGAAACGAAUCUGACAUCUACGAAUCUCGAAUUAGUACAAACGCAUCAAAUCGAAGAGCUUAACCCAUUAAAAAAAACAAAAAACCAGAUUCCUGAACGAGAUCGAACAAAACUUACAUGAGUCGAUUCGAAAAGAGAAGUGUAAACAGUAACCAAUUGGAGUAAGCGGAGAGGAUCGGCGAGGAGAGAGCGCUUACCGAAGAGAGCGACGGAGAGGGAAAUGGACGGGACCGUAGGUAGCGAAGGGAGGGAUCGCUCUCGCUUCUCUCUCCUCUCUCCUCCCCUCUCUCUCUCUCUCUCUCUCUCUCCGCCUCGUGGAAAUGUCGGGAGUUAUAGUUUUUUUUUUUUUAUUCUUGUUUUUUGUAAAUUAAUUUAUUCGAAAAAACUACCAUUAUUAAAAAAAAAAAUUUCUAUUUAUGAGAGCUGUGCUAUUUUAGUUAUAGUUUGGCUUUACGUACCAAGAAUGUCCCCCGCCAAUAACUUUGUGUGUUUAAUUACACACAUCCCUUAUUUUUACCAACCAUUUAACUUUCAUCUUGCGUAAAUUGCACGUUGGUCCUCAAACUAUGAGCUCGGUGAUAUUUUUGACCUCAAAUUUAAAUUUAUUGUAAUUUUUAGCUUAAACUUUUAGAAUUAUUACAAUCAUAUUCUGCAAUCUAACUUAGUCGACUAAAUCUUGAUGCAUCAUUAAUGUAAAAUAAUAUAACAUCUUAAUUAUUAUUGUAUCAUCAAUUAUAAGACUUUUAUAUUAUUUUUAUAUUACUAAUUUAUUAGUCGACUAAAUUAAGUAAUGAGGUUUAAUUAAUUAUAAUAAUUCAAAAAUUUUCAGUUAAAAAAUACAGUAAAUCAAAGUUUGAGAAUCACAGUGUUACACAUAACUCAUAGUUUGACGAGAGAACUUGUUAUUUACCGAUUUUUAAUAUAAUUCCUAAUUUUUGAGAUCUUAAUGUCUUUUCAAUUAAUUUCUUUCAACAAAAAUCUUAUCAACUUUACUGUAUGAAUUCAAAAAUAAUGUUUGGAAUAGUAUUUGAAUUCAAUUUACAAUCUCACCUACAACAAUUGGCCAGAAAUCAAUAAUCCAAUUUUAAAAAUAAAUAAAUAUAAUUUUAACGAUCAAAUAAAAAUUAUUACCUGCAGAAUGCGAGAAAAUGAUAAAUAAAAUUGGCAUAGUUAUAAUGAUUACGUCUGCAAUUUCACGAAUUUAUACCAUCUAUCUAUACCAUGAUAUUAAACUGUAAUAUGUUGUCACAUUAAAUUCUUUCCUUCACUUGGAUUGUGGGCUAUACCUUUAAGUAGUGCUCCUUUGAACUGAAUCCCCUUAACCGGCCCACAUUUUUUUCUUAGAUUGUCUUUGAACUGAACUGGUCUAUUUUGUUAUAUACUAUGUAUUGAAUUAUAUUCUUCACUAAACCAGCUCAUCUUUUUUUCCUAUUCUUUCUUUGAACCGAACCGAUUUAGUUUGUUAUAUACUUUAUUUGAACCCGAUUCUUCUCUUCUUAUCUGAACCAUACUGGCUCAAUUGUUGCUUUUCUUUAUUUCUUUAUUUGAACAAACCAGCUUACUUGAAUCAAAUUCUUCUCUUUAGCCUAAACCCUAAAUCGUUCUUCAACCGAGAUUUUCUUCAUCUGCUUCAGCCAUGGGAGGUAAAAGGUUAUAUAACUGUUGAACAUAAAGGCUCUAUAACUGUUAUCAAAAACUCAAAGAUCAUGAGACAACUCUUGGGAUUCACUUUGUAAUGAUGAGGGCUAUUUUCUUUGUUUUAGUAGGCAUAGUAGGUAAGUAAUUGUGAGUGAUUAGUUGCCAAGUUUGAUAUAUUUUAGAACAUAUAAAUAGGUAGGUUGGCUAAGAUCAGAAAAUAGUAAAAUGAGUACAUAUAAUAUUUAUUUCUAAGUAGCGAAGUACAAGGUGCCCUCUUUUUUUAUUGUCGUUUUCUAUGCGGGGCUCAAAUCCUCGGCACAAAGGAAAAGGCAUUUAGGUAUCAAAAUAUCCGGAAAAGAUGAAGAUAUAAAAAGUGAGUGAAAAUGAAAAGAUGGAAAUGAGAAGGAGAGGGAAAGUAGUAGUACAAGAAAAUGUUUGAGAGAAGGAAAAAAAAAUAUAUAUAUAUAUAUAGCACGUCGAUUCCUAUUUUCUACUCGCCGUUUUCACUGCUGUAUUAAAAAAAAAGGGAAAUUUGGUAAAAAAAAAAAGGGGGAAAUUUGGUGUUUAAAAGCGAAGCAAUGUGCUAGGGUGAUUUUGGGGUACCCAUAAAUAUGAUUUAUUUGAAAAUAAGUAAAAUAUGGGGGCCUCCGAGAGAUGGGGGUGUUAGGUGGACCGGAUUGUUGACUCGGAUGGUGGGAAAACGACCCGCUAUCUCUCCACAGGUUAUAACUCCUGGACCCGGCCCACCGCAACAUCCAACAGCUACGCAACUUUUCCCUGCACCUUGUGUACCGUACACCGCCCUCCCAAAAAUCCAAUCAUAUAUAGAUGCAUCCGAAGAAAAAAAAAAAGUCAAAUUAAAAUUCGACUACAAAAUUUGAAAUCGGUUGAAUCUAAAGCCGAGUAUUUAAUAUGUCUUAAAUUAUUAGAUAUCAAACUAAAUUUUGAUUGGGCAACACCGGGUUUUGGAUAUUUUUUUAAUCCGACCGUCCAAUACCUCUCGGUUCUGCCACGUGGCAGCAUCAGAACCCCGCCUUCAGAUACUGUAAAGAAGCGGCCAAUAAAAAUGAGGGCCGGCUGCAACAGGGGGAAAUUUGCCUGGACCGUGGUGCACGGUGGACCGGCUACUUAAACCCAAUCAGAGAAGUGUCAUGAGGCCCGUGAUAGUUUAGGCAAAACAGAGUAACGGUGAAAACAUACAGCAAAAUAAUUUUUCAUUUUCUGAGGAGAUGAGAAAAUAUACCGUAACUUCUUCCCAUAUGCGGCAUGCGCCCCAUAUGGAAUAUAUUCGAAUUAUUAUCGAGUCGAACACGAGUGAGCUGGUCUUAGCUCCUAUUCGGCUUGUUUAUUAAACAAGCUGAAAAUUUCAGUUCGUUUACUAAACGAGCAAUUCGAUCUUAAGUUUAUUUCGAACCGAACACGAGCUGGCUCGCGAACAGCUAGCUGGAUUGCUACCCCUAAACAUGGGUAUUUUAAAUUAAGAGAUAUUCGCUGGUUUUUUCACUGUUAAAGCGGCUAGUAGGUAAUUUUAAAAAGCAAAAAAUAUAUAUAAUAUAUCUAAUCUAAACUACUAAAAAGUAAAUACCCAUUUGAUAUAAAAGGUUACUUGACUUAAUACUGAACUAAAGAUAUAUAUAUGCUUUAUCAUUUAUCGAAACAAAUAAAAUAUUUUUUCAAUCUGAUAUAUUCUUUAACCAUAUUUUUUUAUCUUAUGUAAUGUAUUCUGUCUAUAAUAUAACGUAGGCAAUAUAGAUACACAUUAGAAUAUUAUUUGGUUGUAAAUUGUAAUCUUUAACUUGGUUAGGCUCAAAUUUGGGAUGAUUUAAAAAGUAAUCUUUAAGAUAAAUUUUUGUGCAUAUCUUAUUUGAGGAUAGAUAUGAUUAAGUAAUAUCUUGAAGAACAACAUUAUUAUGAGUUUAUGACAUCAAAUGUGUAACAACCCAUAUUUUCUCUCUCCUCUCUCUCUCAACUUCCUCCGGGUGGCAAAAUUUAAUCCGACCCGUUUAUUAAUCCGAUCCAACUUUAAAAAAAUAAGUUGAUUUGAAUAAAAAUUUCGGUUCGGAAAAUUGAGUCCACGAAAUUCUUCUAUGGCUAGUUUAAAAAUCGGAUCGGAUCCAGAUUAAAAUAUUUGAAAAAAAAAAUCUUGUAAACUAUCCGAUUUCGUGUUAAUAGUUUAAAAAGCAAAUUUUAUCAUGAUAUUAGAUAAUUUUUUAAAGUUUUGACUAGUUUGAUUUGAAAUUAUAUAAAAGCGUCUCUAUGAUUACAGUACUUUCAUUUUUAAUGUAUAACCAUGCGCUUUAAAUUUUAUUUAUUAUUAUAUUUUCACUAAUUUGAAACAUUGAUUGAUUAAAAAUUAAGCCAAAUCGGAUGUGAUUCGGACAUCCUUCUCCCAACCGGGUUUGGUUUUUCGGAUCGAACAUGCCUUCCAAACUUCGAAUCCGGGUCCGAUACGUGAACACGGUAUAGUUCGCAUUUUAAUCCUUGCACCUGGUAUUGCCAUAUCUAUACACCACAAACUUAUGGGUCCUUAUUCAUCUCAAACUUUCAAUCGAGUCCGUCAAUUUCUAAUUUUAAGGAACAUCUCUAUUGUGAGAUCGUUAAAUCAACCGUUCAUCACUGCUUUGAUAUUCGGGCAGGUGAUGCACGGUGGAUACAUGGUCCGCAUAAAAUAUUUUCGUUCCUAGAGGUGCACCCGGUGCAAGAAAGAAAGGACUUUUACAAACGGAUUAAUUACAUAUUGGUCCCUGUAAAAAUAUAGUAAGUUGCAAAUAUAUACUUACAAAGUUUAAUUUUUAUAUGUUGUUUCUACAAAAGUCCUAAUAUUUUCAAGUAUGUCCAUACCGUUAGAAAAUUUUAGUUAAUUAUAAGUUAAAUACUUAACCCUGAUUAGUAAACGAGGUAACUCGACAUUUUUAUCCUUUUUAUAUUAUAGCUUAUGCUCUUAAUCAAAAUUUUAGUGACGAGAACUCUUUUUCUUCCCCUUUCAAUUCUUUUCCUCUUUUCUGUCCUUUCUCUCCUUCGUGUUGGUUUCGAACCCACAGCUAAAAUUUCUCCGUCUCCAUUUAUCCACGAAGAUCACGAUGCAUGUUGCUUUGCCCACGUGUUAUUUUUCCAUUCAAUUUUCUCUCUAUUUUUUAUGGCUCAAAAAAAAGUUUAGAAAAAAGAGGAGUGAAAAAAGAUAUUGCAACAACGGUGGAAUGAGUUGAAUUUUACAUAAGAAGAAAAUGAGGAAGAAGAUAAACAUUGAAAUUUUUUGGGGAAUAUUUUUGUACAAUUAUAUAGUUGUUAUGGCUUUUGGAGGGUAUAUUGUGAUGGUAAAAUUGAUAUUUUACAUAUCUGCUGUUAAAAUAUAAAUAAUUCUCCAACGGUAACAAAUCAGAAUGAUAUAUUUAAAAAUAUUAGAAAUUUACAUGAACAGAUAUGAAAUAUUUAAAAAUAUUAAAUUUUUUACAAAAUAUAUAUGGAAGUUGAAUUUCAUAAAAAUAUUUUUUAAUUUACUAUAUUUGCAUGUACUGUAUGCAUUUAAAUAAAAAAAAGAUAAACUUCAAAUAUCACCCCUGUAGUUUCACACUUUUUUCACUUUAGUGUACUAUGAUUUAAAGUGUAUCAAAUUAGUGUCUCGUGGUCUCAUUUUUAUCUUUUCGUCACCUUCUCCAUUAAUAUUAUCGAAUAUUCACUUUAGUACCCUUNGGAGGCUCAGCGACAGCUCCCCGCUACGCGGACGGCGGUGGCGGAGGAGGAAGUGUACGAGAGGGUACCGGUGCCUCUCUCUCUCUCUCUCUCUCUCUCUCUCUCUCCUCUCCCCCCCAAAGUUAAGAAAUUCAUGAACCUUUAAUAACGGACGUGGUCCACAAGAACAUAUGAAAUAUACGGCGUGGCUUAUAAAGUGCUAGACUUUGUCAGUUUUGUAAAUACGUACAAUUUAAUCUAGUUGUUUGGGCCUCUUCUCAAACUAUAAUUUAAUACCCUUUGCUAUAUAGCAACAAGAGUUUUUUAAAUUUGAUCGUUUCUUGAUACAAAAAUCAUAAAUAUAAGUUACGACAUGUUUCUUAAUACUCAAAACUUUUUAGAGAAUAAACUCUUAGUCUAACUACAAAAAUUAUAAAUAUAGGUUAUUACGUAUUUCUUAAUAUCAAAACUUUUGAGAUAAUAGACUCUUAUUUCAUUAAAGAUUCGGAGGAGGAUUGGAGGAGGAUGAUCAGCACGAAGAGGCCGGCGAAGAGGGCGAAGGUCGAGGACUUGCUCCCAUUCGGCUUCCUCGACCCGCUCCCGGGGCCGGCCCCGGUCCUGAUGCCGAUGCCGAUCUCCGUCGUUCGCCCCCCGCCUCCGCACGAGGACGAAGAGGAUAAAGAUCGGGAAGAAUGCGCGGUCGCGACGGCGGCGGCGCGGUGCAGGCAGUUCUGGAAGGCCGGGGAUUACGACGGGCCGCCGCAGGCGGAGGAUUCCGCCUCCUCAUCCGGUAAACUGUUUUUUUUUUUUUUUGUUUUUUUUUUUUUGUGAAUUUGAGGACAUAAUUCAUUUUCUUCGGAUAUAUCUUUUGCUAGAUUACAAAAAAGAUGCAUGAUCAAGUCACAAUAUAUUUCUUGGGUGGUUUAAUGAUUAACCAGUAGCUUUUUAACAGUAUAAUAUAUUGAUCAGUCUCAAUUUUAUCGCUCCAUACAUCUGUAUCUAUAUAUAUAUAUCGAGCGAGGUUGGUAUUUCAAGAAGUGCGGAGCCCUCCGUAUUUUUAAGUCUUUUUCAAUAUUGAAACUUUCGAAUCGACGACCGGUUCCGUUAAACUUGAUCUAGAGUAUUUGAAGUAUCUAGAAAAUAAAUUUUGUGAUUUUUCGAUAUCAUUUGCCUAGUGAUCAAAGGGGCUCAAAAUCAAUAAUUUUAAUGGCCGUGGUGAGCCGUUUGCAAGUUUAACGAUGUAGAAAUAUCCAAAUCACAUAAAAUUUUGAUAGAAAAUUUUUUAUACUAUAUAAAACAAGAUCAAUAUCUUUAUCUAAAAUUUUAAUAUCAUAUAAUCACAUUUUGUAAGAUUUUUAUUUUCAGCAGUUAAUUUUGAGCUCCUUCGAUCACUAGGCAAAUGAUAUUGAAAAGUCGCAAAAUUUAUUUUUUAGAUACUUCAAAUACUCUAGAUCAAGUAUAACAGAGCCAAUCGUCGAUUCGAAAGUCCCAACAUCGAAAACGACUUGAAAGCAUGAAGGAUUCCAUACUUCCAGAAGUAUACCAGUCUCACUCUAUAUUUAUCUAUCUACUUACAUAUAUCUAUAGUGUACAGUAGAGGUGAUUUUAAAUAUACAAAAGCCUUCGUGCUCCCAAUUUUUUUCGAUUAUGGAAUUUGCCGAAUUCGGUGAUGGGCUCCAUUAGAUUUAAUCCAAAGUAUUUGAAAUAUUUAGAAAAUAAAUUUUAUUAUUUUUGACAUCAUUCACCUAGUGAUCGAAAUGAUUUAAAAUUAUCAAUAAUUUUAAUAGUCAAAGUGAGCCGUUUGCAAAGCUAAUGGUGUAGAAAUAUUCAAAUUAGACGAAUUUGUGGACAAUUCUUUAUAUUACCUAAAAGCAAGAGCAGAAUUUCAAUUGAUUUUUUUUUAUAUUAUCUUAAAAUAAGAUCAAUAUCUUUUAUCUACAAUUUUAGUGUUGUAUUAUUAAUUUCUGUGAGUUUUAUUUUUAAUCAUUAAUUUUGAGUCUUUUUAAUAACUAAGUAAAUAAUAUUGAAAAAUCGAAAAAAGUGUUUUCUACAUACUUCAAAUUAAUAUUCUAGAUCCAGUAUAAUAGAGUCGAUCGGUGAUUUAAAUUUUAUCAUAAAAAAAAAAAUAACUUGAGAGUACAUAGGCUUCAGUGCUUCUAAAAGCACUUUAGUUGGACUCCUUAUAUAUAUUAGCUUUUGAUAAAGCUAUGGUUCUUUUAAAAUUACUCAUUAAUUUGAAUAGUAAUAAUUCAGACCUUUUCUUAAGUUGAUCCUUGAAAAAUUUCUAAUUUGCUAAAUAACCUAAUUAAAAUUUUAAUUGAUGAACUAGUCUAUUUUACCUAACUCAGCGUCAUGUUGGAAAGAGAAGUGAAAGACGGUGAAUCAAGUUACUGAGAUUUUUGUGUGGUUAACAGGAUUGUAUGCGAAGAAUAUAAAUUAAAACAGUGAAUUAUUCAUCGUUUUCUUUCUAAAGAGAAAAACGGUGAACGAUUUAUUAAUUGGCUUUUAUGUUUUAUUAAGAACAGUGAAUUGUUCAGCAUCUUUGAGUUUUUACUCUACUCUGGCUCUCAGUUAGAAAAAAAACAGAGUUAUUUGCCCGCAUAAAUUUGUAAAGUAGUUAUUUUGGCCAAAUACAAAUUUUUUAAAGGGUAUUUUGUAAAAAGGUCCUAAUAAUCCUAUGUAUAUAUUUUUUUAAAACUUCUAUUGGUAAAAGAAAAUCACAAUUAUUUUCUCUUCUUUUCAGCUGGCAUGGAUCAUGUAAGGGUUCAUCCGAAGUUUCUUCAUUCAAAUGCAACAAGCCACAAGUGGGCUCUUGGAGGUAAUCUUAUGCCAUGAGACUUAAUAUAUUAAAAACAUCUUUUUAACUGUUUCCUCACUCUCCACAUCUUUAAAUGCUCAUUUAGCACUGUUUACAUUUUGUUUUUUUUAUCAACCUUUUUUUUUUUUUUCUUUUUUCACUCUAUAUGGUGAGAGGCAUCUAGCCAAGGACUAAUUGUUUAGUUUUUAGCUUCUUGUUGCUUAACUAACAAUUUAAGAUAAAGAAACAGAAAAGUGUACUACAUAUAUUUCGUUUUUAGCUAUCGAACAAAUCGCGUUAACAUAGAGUUUUUAAGUCUAAACAAAUAGAAAACAUAUGCGGCAAUGAUAGACAUGUGUGCAUUUAACAAACUAAUAAAUAUAUCUUUAAUCAUUUCGGCAGCAUUCAUGUUAUAUCGUGUAAACUAUAUGUGUAUUACUGGCAAAUUUGAAUCAAGUUUCUAGUUGUGCUGCUUUAUUCGACAUCUAACUAUACUUACUUUGAUUUAUCUAUCCUACUAGCUUUGGCUGAGCUUUUGGACAAUGCUCUUGAUGAGGUACCUUUUCCUUAAAUCAAAUUCAUUAAAUAAAUCUGUAAAUAAUUUCCCUAUCAUACCUAGUAAACUUACAAGUUGCAUUUUCAUUUUCUCUAAAGGUUUGCAAUGGAGCUACAUUUGUUAACGUAGAUACGCUGGAAAAUAAGAAGGGUAGGAGCAAAAUGUUGCUUGUUGAAGGUAUUUCCUAAAUUACUUCUUGAUUGUCCAAAUAAGACGUAUAUAUAUUAAUCGGUUCUUUAACAAUAUCUCAUGUUUAUGUUUUCCGAGUUGUACAGAUAAUGGAGGAGGGAUAAACCCUGAUAAAAUGCGACAAUGCAUGUCUUUGGGCUAUUCAACUAAGAGCAAAUCAACGAAUACUAUUGGACAAUGUGAGUUCUCACAUUUAAAUGAAAAAUAUUUGUGCGAUAACCUGGCCAUUUUCAUCAUUUAUUGUCGUUUAUUAUUAUUAUUAUUAUUAUUAUGUUUUCUUCCAAGAUGUUACCAUCAUUCUAUAUUCGUUUCGAACUUUAUUCAGAUGGAAAUGGCUUUAAGACAAGCACCAUGAGGCUCGGAGCGGAUGUGAUUGUUUUCUCCCGUUGCAGUGGAAAAGAUGGAGAAAGGUUUGUUGCCUUUUUUGCAAUUCCACUUUUGUUAGAUUCCUUGUUUUAAGUAAAGGAUUCCUCAGAUAAAAUUUUAUUCAAUUUGAGCAAGUUUUAGUAAAACAAACAAGUUUCCUUGCAUAAUAUUUGAGAGAUCUAUAUCAAAUUUAAGAUUUCAAAUUUCAAGUUUUAAUUUCAAAUCAAUGUGGUAGUUAUGUGUUUUGUGCUUUUUUAUCUUUUCAUAAAUAACUUUAACUGGCUCUUUUUUGGUUCUUCUCGGUCUUUUAGUCCUACUCAGAGCAUUGGAAUGUUGUCCUACACAUUCCUUACAUCUACUGGAAAAGAAGAUAUUGUAGUCCCCAUUGUAAGUAUAUAUAUUCUGUUCGUUGAUUGCUCAGAUUGAAAAGUUGCUUGUUAACACUAUUCUUUUUAAUUCUCUAUGUAUACCAAUGUAUGGAACUUGUAAGUGCCUUUGGAAAGCAUGCUAAAUCGUUAUAUAAGACUCCUUUUUAGUCCUACAUAUUAUCAACAUCUCUGUGGAAAUAUAAACUCUGUACAAACGCACACUCAUGCGUAUAAGAUAUUGUACUUGUUCAUGCUUGUGGAAUUAGAAAUUAACAUAAUAUAUUUUGAUAUUAUACAUCACUUGUACCCAUGCAGGUUGAUUACGAAAGAAGAGAACAGGGAUGGAGUAUGCUAACGCGAACAAGUGCGGAAUCGUGGAGUAAUAACUUAGACACUAUAAUUCAAUGGUCUCCAUAUUCAAGUGAAGCUGAUCUUCUUCAGCAGGUAAGUUGUUUUUCUUUUCUGAAGCUUUUCAGAUUUAAAUGUUUAUCUUUCAAGCCAUGUCCUCUAUAGGACUACUAAGAUCUAAGGCUCUAUUUUGGCAAUUUUUAAAUUUCAUUUCACAAAAACCCUUUAUUUAGACAUCAGCUCACAGUUAAAACAGAGACUUCUUUGGUUAAUUUAUUGUUUUAGAUAUUUCUCUGGGCGAAAAUUUUAUUGCUUAACAAUAGAACCAUCUAAAUAUCCACUGUAACUUUUUUCUCUACACGAUCAAUGAGAGUUGCGUCGCACUUUUGUUUUUCUACAUAUUAGUUGGCAUGCCGGAUACUUAUCCACAUAUUAUACAUUUAUGUGCAGUUCAAUUCGAUGACUGAUCAAGGAACUCGGAUAGUCAUAUACAAUCUUUGGGAGGAUGAUGAAGGAGAACUUGAACUCGACUUUGUUGCUGAUGAGCAUGCAAGUUUAAUUUGUUUAGUAUUCUAAAUUGAUGAUUUAGAAAAUUACUCAAUUAGUGUGUUCAUCUCUCUCUGUACUCACUCUUAUGCGUAAUAUGAGUUUUAACAGUAAGAUUCAAUGGUGGCAGGACAUUCAAAUUAGAGGAGUCAACCGAGACGAAAAGAAAAUCGAAAUGGCCAAGAAGUUCCCUAAUUCCUGCCAUUUUCUAACCUACCGCCAUUCAUUAAGGGUAAUUCUUUUGUGCUUCUUUUUUCUUUUUCAAUUAAGGCUAACAUAAAGAUAAGCCAACAAAUACAUGGUGAUGUGCAAUUUCCCCCAAUACAUAGAGAGGUAAAAUGCAGGAUUUUUUUUUUUUUUUCCAUUUAGUGAGUUGUUCUAUGUAGGUUAAAAUGCAAAUCAUGAUUUAUUUAGUGGCCAUCGAUAUUUUUCUUGUUCUUAAUUGAUUUGCAACAAGCUACAUCCAUUUAAGAAAAAUGCAUAUGAGUUAAUUUUGUUGCACUUAUUCGUCUGCGUUAAAAUUCUUUCUAAUUUGGGAAUUUCGUUAUUUCUGAUAGAGCUAUGCAUCAAUUCUGUAUCUUCGGCUUCCUCCCAGUUUUAGAAUGAUCCUGCGCGGUAAAGAAAUCGAGCAUCACAACAUUAUCGAUGAUAUGAUGAUGAAAACCGAAGUCAUUUAUCGUCCCCAAACUUUUGCUUACGGGCCUUCGAAAGAUCCAAAUGUAACCUUUUCUUUAUUUUCUCAAAUCCCUCAGUUCGUAGUUUUCAAAUCUUUCGCGAAAUAAUUGCUAACUUUGUGUGGCUUUUUCCAUUAGAUGUGUGUUGUUGUGAAUUUGGGCUUCGCGAAGGAUGCAAAAGAUCACAUUGAUAUUCAAGGAUUCAAUGUCUACCACAAAAAUAGGCUAAUAAAGGUUGUAUUAAAACUUCUUUUGUAUCUCUGAUAUAUAUUAUUUUUCCUGCAUAUAAGUCUUAGUAAAUUCCCCUUUUCUGUUUGUGAUAAAUUCAAAGAAGAAGUUAGGAUGUAGCUUUAAUAUUGUCACUUCUUAGAAGUAAACUAAAACUCGCUUCGGCAUUAACAAACAAAAAAAAGGGUCUUCUAGGGGCCUAAAUUUGCCUUUCAAUAGAUGGAUUAAUUUUUCUCCCCUCAUCUCAGCCUUUCUGGAGAGUUUGGAAUGCCGCGGGAAGUGGUGGGCGUGGAGUAAUAGGUGAAUUUUCUUAAUUUCUAUGCUUGUCAAUAACUUGAUUUUCAAAUUUUAAUUUAUGCCGCUAUUUACUUGUUUAUUUUUUCUCUCUUUUAGGUGUUCUUGAGGCCAAUUUUAUCAAACCGGCUCAUGACAAGCAAGAUUUUGAGCGGACGACCGUGUUUACACGGCUUGAAGCUAGAUUAAAUUGGAUACAGAAAAAUUAUUGGUUUGCACUCUUCAUCUUAACUUUUUCAUUUCUUUUUUUUUUACCCACCCUACAUGGAGAUACUGAGAAUUAUGUUAUUUUAACGGUGUUCAGGAAAGACAAUUGCGAUCGAAUUGGUUAUGCUGCGAAGAGGAAGAAGUCGACAAACGAGCUAGACGACAGAGGUACUUAAAUAAACAAAAUUACUUUAGCGAGGACACUCAAUCGCAGUUUCCUUUUGAUUCUAAACAUGUUUGAUUUUCCUUUCCUUUUCUUUUCUCAACAGAAAGCCCAGAAAACUUGUCGUCUAAGAACAAUCCUAAUCAUAAUUGUUCUUCGCGAAAUGUGUCUCCUAAUAACGACGACAAAUUAAACGAUUUUGGCAAGUGCCAAAUACCCAAAAAGGUUUACUCGCAUUCGAAUUACCACAAUGUGGAGAAAUGUGGUGGUACUCGACAUAAAGAUUCUGCAGAUACCGCGGAAUCAGGAAAUGUUAGUCACAUUCCAUCUGCCAGGAGGAAGGAAUCGCAGAAUUUUACGAACGGAAACUAUGUUGAAGUAAAAAAUACAGAUAAUUGCAGAAUGGCAGAAGCUUGUACUUCAAAUGGAGGCACUCAAAUUGCCAAAAUUCCUCGCGGAUAUAAUGCGGAGGUAAUCUAUAUUUUGUUUUUUUGCUAGCUAGAAUGUGUACUUUUAUAAUUUUGCGUUUUAAUUUAUUCAAAGAUGAUGAUGAUGCUGAUAGUAUGAUAAUUGGCAGGUACAAGACACCAAGAAUAUUAAAUUUAACGGAGAUGGCGCAAGCCGUACUGACUCUAGUCUGAGGAUUGAACAGUUAACUUCUCAGAAUGAAGCUUUGAAGAAUCGGUUAGUAUGGUACCCACAUUUUCUGGUUCUUUUUUUUUUUUUUUUGGUUCCUUUUUUUGGUGGAUUCAAACAGUGUUAUUUUCGAAUCGUUCAGGAUAAAGGAAAUUGAGCAGUUAAGCAUGAAAGAGAGGGAUAGAACCAAAUUACUAGCUGCCAAAGUAAGUCUUAUACCCAAUUAAACAAACAGUAAAUGGAUUUCUCUGAAAAAUAAUGUUCUUUGUGGAAUGUUCAUGCAAUAUUUGGCUAAUUUCCAAAUUUUUGUGUUGGUUUUUUCCUUUUUCUUUUAUGUUUCUUCAAACUCAGUUGGAAGAAGCAGAACAACUGGUGGAAAAGCUAACCAAGGAACAAGAGGCUCUUCUCGACAUAUUCGCCGAAGAACGCUGUCGGAGGGAUUCAGAGGAGGAAAGAUUGAGAAAGAAACUAGAGGUUUGAAAAAUCAUACCAAAACUACAUUUUAAUCUCCUAAUCUUAUAAUAUUUUGUGCGGUAUUCAAUAUAACAUAUUACUAAUCUGAUUAAAGCUAUUGCCCUUUUUAUAGGAUGCUACUGCAGCCAUAAGAGAGUUGGUAAAAAAGAACUCCACAGUAUCCAAUGUGAAACUGGAACACUAGCUAGCUCCAAGAGAAGCAGCAGAGAAGUUUUUUUUUUCCCUUUUUUUUUUCCUUUUCUUUCUUAUGCAGAUUGGUUGCCUCAUCUAGCAGGUUUAUAGCAUUCGAAGAUCGAUAGAUGGUUAGGAAAUUAGUAAUUUUAAAGCGCAAGUGACGGUGCUCCUAAGAGCUUAAUCAUUUAUUAUUCUUUUCUCGCGGUGUAAUUUGUUGUUCAGAACUUCUUGCAAGAUGUGAUAGUUUGUACAGUUUAAUGUAUAAAUAAAUAAUAAACAGGUCUUAUGAAGUAGAUUAAUUUUUGGAUUGUUUCCAUUUGCUCAUUUUAAUUAUAUGUUGUGAUAUAUUUGGUACUCUUUUGCAUCAUAUGAGAUGCAGUUUUGGACUCUCCAAUGAUUCUGCAAUCAGAAUCCAUUAAUCUUGCAAGAGAAAAUAAUAAAAAAAAAAGUAUCUUUGAAGCAGUAAAAAGAAUAAUUUGUGAAGUUUUGUACUGACAGAUAAAAGUGUUUGUUGCAAAAAGUCCUUGGGGCAUAUUUGAUUCAUGCUAUUUAACCAGAAUUAUUGAGAAUCUUGCAAGGACUUUUUUCAACUUCUUUUAGUUCAUGAUGGAUGUAAUCCCGUUAACAAUACCACAUCGUUAAAUACAAAAUUACUCACAUUAGGAUUACUGGAAUCUUAUGGGAAUUUUUUUUUAAGAUCAUUACAUUUUGUUCAUCCCGUAUGUAAUCCUCCCAAUAAUAUAGAAUUAUUACUAACAACACAUAAUAGAGUCGGUGAAUUAAAUUAUAUAUAUAUAUAUAUAUAUAUAUAUAUGAGUCCGGCUAUGGUACUUGUAAAAGCACCAAGUACUUGGUGCUUGUGAAUUUUUUACUGUUAGAUCUACGCCUUUAAUCAUUUUCAUCCAUUAGAUUAUACUAUUCAACCAACUAACCACUCAACCCUAAGGGACCCACACCAUCCUAACCGCACAUCCCUUAAUCCAAGGGCCGAAAACUUACAAGCACCAAUGACUUGGUACUUUUAAAAGCAUAGGAGUUCAAUUAUAUAUAUAUAUAUAUAUAGAGAGAGAGAGAGAGAGAGAGAGAGAGAGAGAGAGAGAGAGAGAGAGAGAGAGUGAGGUUACUAUGCUUCUGGAAGUACGGAGCCUUUCGUGCUUCCAGAUCGUUUUCGAUGUUGCGACUUUCGAAUCGUCGAUUGGCUCCGUUAAACUUGAUCUAGAGUAUUUGAAGAACUUAGAAAAUAAAUUUUAUGAUUUUUCGAUAUCAUUUGCCUAGUGAUCGAAAGGACUCAAAAUCAAUAAUUUUAAUGGCCGUGGUGAGCCGUUUGCAAGUUUAACGGUGUAGAAAUAUUCAAAUCACGUGAAAUUUUGAUAGAAAAUUCUUUAUACUAUAUAAAACAAGAUCAAUAUUUUUGAUUUAAAAUUUUAAUAUCGUAUUAUCACAUUUUGUAAGAUUUUUAUUUUCAGCCGUUGAUUUUGAGCCUCUUAGUUCACUAGGCAAAUGAUAUCGAAAAAUUGCAAAAUUUAUUUUCUAGGUACUUCAAAUACUCUAGAUCAAGUUUAACGGAGCCGAUCGACGAUUCCAAAGUCGCAACAUCGAAAACGACCUGGAAGCACGGAAGACUCUAUGCUUCCAGAAGCAUAGUACCCUCACACACACUCUCUCUCUCUCUCUCUCUCUCUCUCUCUAUGUAUAAAUAUAAUGAGCAGGCUGUUGUGCUCUCAGGAGUACGGAGGUCUCCGUGCUCCUGAGCCGUUUUCGAUGAUGAAAUUUCCGAAUCGACGAUCGGCUCCGUUAGACUUGAUCUAGCGGAUUUGAAGUUUCUAGAAAAUAAUUUUUGCGAUUUUUUGAUAUCAUUACCUAGCAAUCAAAAGGAUUCAAAAUCAAUAAUUUUUAACGGCUGAAAAUAAAAAUCCUAUAAAAAGUGAUGAUACAGCACUAAAAUUUUCACUUAGAAAUAUUGAUCUUGUUGUAGAUAGUAUAAAUAAUUUUGUAUUAAAAUUUCAUCUGAUUUGAAUACUUCUGCACCAUAAAACUUAAAAACGGCAGAUAUCAACCAUUAAAAAUUAUUGAUUUUGAACCCAUUUGAUCACUAGGUAAAUGAUAUCAAAAAAUCACAAAAAUUAUUUUCUAGAAACUUCAAAUAUGCUAGAUCAAGUCUAACGGAGCCGAUCGUCGAUUCGAAAAUUCUAUCAUUGAAAAUGGCUCAGGAGCACGGAAGCCUCCGUGCUUUUGAGAGCAUAGCAGUCCUACUCAUAAUAUAAUUGAGUUAGAAUAUUUUUAGAAGUUUCACCCUCUUGGUGCUUCUAGAUUUUUAACCCUUGGAUCUACUCCUUGAUUACUAAUAGCUCUUGGAUCAAACACUAUUCCACCUACCACCACUUGCUACCAUCAUCCCAACCUUACAUUUCUCUAUCCAAGGGUUAAAAACUCAAAAGUACCAACCUCUUGGUGCUUUUGAAAGUUUUCUAGCUCAACUCUGCCUCUAUAUAUAUAUAUAGAAUUGAGCUAAGAUGCUUUUAGAAGUACUAACCUAUUCGUGCUUCUAGGUUUCUAGCCCUUGGAUCUACUCUUUCAUUACUAAUAGUCUUUGGAUCAAACACUAUUCUACCUACCACCAUCAUCUCAACCCUACAUCUCUCUAUCCAAUGGCUAAAAACUCAAAAGCACCGUUCCCUUGUUGCUUUUGAGAGUAUUCUAGCUCAACUUUAUAUAUAUCCUUCUAAAGUAGUAUAUCUUUUUAACUAUAAUUUAAAUUAUUUAUUAAUUUAAUACUUUUAAUUUAACUUUUAUACAAUUCUAUGUAAGCUAUAUAUUAUAAACUCUAAAAAAUACUCUAAUCCUACCUUAACCUUGAACUUAACUCUAUUCCUAGAAUAACUAGUUUUUUCUUAACCUCAAACCAAGCGGUAGCUAAAUUUUUUUUGAAAAAAGCUAUUAUUUUACCGGAACAUAUCAGUUGAAACAGUAAAAAUUUAACGGUUAAC